CCAGGAGGCGCGGGCCCCCUGGCCGCGGCUAGGGCGCUUGUGGGGUCCCUGGUGACCCUCUGCCUUUGUUUUCAAGUCUCCCGAUCGUCUUAUGUUUCGGAAAAAAAUCUUUUUGGAAGCUUCGUUCCGUUUGGACUCCGUUUAAAAUCCUCCUCUGAAAAGGGUCAAAAACACGGAAAAAAACAUGAACUGGCACUUGGCACUAAGUUAAUAGGUUAGUCCCAAAAAAGAUAUAAACGACAUACAAAAUAUCCAAAGUUUGACAAGAUAAUAUCAUGAAACCAUCAAAAAAUAUAGAUACGUUGGAGACGUAUCAAGCAUCCCCAAGCUUAACUGUUGCUCGUCCUCGAGUAGGGAAGUGAUAAAGACUGAAUUUUUGAUGUGGAAUGCUACCUACAAUAGUUGUCCUUUGUAACUUCUUUCAUGUGACAUGAAUGUUCAGAUCCGUAAGAUUCAAAACAAUAGUUUGCUACUGACAUGAAAACAAUAAUACUUCAAGCAAACUAGCAAGGUAAUCAUGAACUUUCGAAAUAACAAGGCCAAAGAAAGUUAUCCCUACAAAAUCAUAUAGUGUGGCUAUCCUCCAUCAUCCCCACACAACUAAUGUAAAUCAUGCACAACCCCAGUAUUGGCCAAGUAAUUGUUUUCGCACUCUUACUUUCUCAAACCUUUUUUCAACUAUCACACAAUACAUGAGCGUGAGCCAUGGAUAUAGCACUAUAGGUGGAAUAGAGUGUGGUGGUGGUUGUGAGACAAAAAAGGAGGAGAUGGUCACAUUGACUAGGCACAUCAAAGGGUUAUGGAGAUGCCCGUUAAUAGAUAUCAAUGUGAAUGAGUAGGGAUUGCCAUACAAAGGAUGCACGAGAGCUAUAAGUAUGUGCAAGCUCAAAAGGAGAACUAGUGGGUGUGCAUCCAACUUGCUUGCUCACGAAGACCUAGGGCAAUUUUGAGGAAUCCCAUCAUCAGAAUAUACAAGCCAAGUUAUAUAAUAAAGAUUCCCACUAGUAUAUGGUGGUGAUGAAACGAGAGGCUCUCAAUCAUGAAGAACAUGGUGCUAUUAUGAAGCACAAGUGUGGAAAAAGAUAGUAGCAUUGUCCCUUCUCUCUUUUUCUCUCUUUUUUUAUUUGGGCUCUAUGGCCUCUUUUUUUAUUUGGGCUCUUUGGCCUCUCUUUUUUCCUCACAUGGGACAAUGCUCUAAUAAUGAUGAUCAUCACACUUUUAUUUACUCACAGCUCAAAACUCAGAACAAUGAUGAAUCCUUAGGAAAUGCCUCUUGGAGUGUACCGGGAUGUGCAACGAUCUAGCUUGGCGUAUGACGUUGAAACAUCUCGCUAGCUAUAUUACGAUCAUGCAACGGCAAUAUGAGAGUGACGGCACAAGUCAUGAGAUGGAAUGGUGGGAGUUGCAUGGCAAUAUAUCUCAGAAUGGCUAUGAAAAUGACAUAGUAGGUAGGUAUGGUGGCUGUUUUGAGGAAGGCAUAUGGUGGGUUUGUGCACCGGCGAAAAUUGCACGUUACUAGAGAGGCUAGCAAUGGUGGAAAGUGAAAGUGCAUCUAUACCAUGGACUCACAUUAGACAUGAAGAACUCACAUGCUUGUUGCGAAAGUUUUUAUUAGUAAUCGAAACAAAGUGCUAAACGCAUACUCCUAGGGGAAGGGUUGGUAGGUGUUAACCAUUGCCCGAUCCCGACCACAACACAAAGGAUGACAACCAAUAGAUCAAUUAUGCUCCGAAUUCCUAACAUAGCGGUUCACCAUACGUGCAUGUUACGGGAAUCACUACCUUCAACACAAGUAUUUCUAGAUUCACAACACCCUACUAACAUAACUCUUUAAUAUUACCAAAUCCACGUCUCAAAAUUAAUUGAGAGGAAUCAAAACUUCUCUUUCUACUCAAUGCACAUGAAGAUGGAGGUUUUUGUAUCCUCUUUGGGUAGCUAUCACCUUUGGGACUACUUUCAUAGCACAAGCCAACUACCAAGUCACGCACCGCCGUGCUCUAAAAGAUCCAAGUGAAGCACAUAGAGCAAAAUUGUCUAGCUCAAAAGAUAUAAGUGAAGCACGAUGAGCAUUCUAGCAAAAUCACGACGAGUGUAUGUCUCUCUCAAAAGGUGUGCAGCAAGGAUGAUUGUGACACAACAAAAAGAAAAGACUCCUACGAUACAAGACGCUCCAAACAAAAUACAUAUCAUGUGGUGAAUAAAAAUAUAGCUCCAAGUAAUGUUACCGAUGGAUUGAAGACGAAAGAGGGGAUGCCUUCCCGGGGCAUCCCCAAGCUUAGGCUUUUUGGUGUCCUUGAAUUUGGCUUGGGAUGCCUUGGGCAUCCCCAAGCUUGAGCUCUUUCCACUCUUUAUCCAUUUGUACAUGAGAACAUCACCCAAAACUUGAAAACUUCACAACACAAAACUUAAACAUAAACUCGUGAUAACAUUAGCACAAGAAAACAAACUACCACCUCCUUAGGUACUGUAGGAAUCUUGAUUUCUAUUUAUAUUGGUGUUAUAUUACUGUAUUCUCACUUUUCCAUGGCUAGUACCCCCGAUACUAUCCAUAGUUUCAUCAAAACAAGCAACCAAUUCAACAAAAACAGAAUCUGUCAAAAACAGACCAGUUAGCAAUCUGUAUACUUCGUAUAAUUAUGUUACCUCGAAAAUUCUGAAAAAUUUCGAAAGCCUGGGAAAAAGUCAUAUCAACCAGCAGAAAAAAGAAUCAACUCAAAAUCUCUUUCUGAAUAAAAAUGAAAAAUAAUCUCGUGAGCGAAAAGUUUCUGUCUUUUUCCAGCAGGAUCAAACAACCAUCACCAAGACUAGUCAUAAAGGUUUUGCUUGUCUCAAACACAAAAAGAAACACAAAAGACACAAUCAUGGCAUCAUUAUGAUAGUGUAGACGCAACAAAACAGAAAUAAAAAGAUAAAUUCAUUGGGUUGCCUCCCAACAAGUGCUAUUGUUUAACGCCCUUAGCUAGGCAUAAAGCGAUAGAAUAACGUAUCGUCGUGUUUGGUGCUCAAACCAUAAGUAGCCCUCAUCAUGGAUUCAUAAGGCAAUCUUAUUUUCUUUCUAGGAAAGUUUUCCAUACCCUUCUUUAAAGGAAAUUGAAAUCUAAUAUUCCCUUCCUUCAAAUCGAUGAUAGCACCGAUAGUCCUUAGGAAAGGUCUACCAAGAAUGAUAGGGCAUGUAGGAUUGCAAUCAAUGUCAAGCACAAUGAAAUCCACGGGUACAUAGUUCCUAUUUGCAAUAAUAAGAACAUCAUUGAUCCUUCCCAUGGGUUUCUUGAUAGUAGAAUCCGCAAGAUGCAAAUUAAGAGAACACUCCUCAAUCUCAUUAAAACCCAGAACAUCACAUAAAGACUUUGGAAUCGCGGAAACACUAGCACCCAAAUCACACAAAGCAUUGCAUUCAUAGUUUUUGAUAUGGACUUUGAUAGUAGGUUCCAACUCAUCAUGAAGCUUUCUACGGAUAGAAACUUCCAAUUCAAGUUUCUCUUCAAGAGAUUUUAUCAUAGCUUCGACGAUAUGAUCGGUAAAGGCCUUGUUUUGGCUAUAAGCGUGUGGAGAGUUUAGCAUGGAUUGCAUCAAGGAAAUGCAUUCAAUCAAGGAGCAACUAUCAUAAUUGAAUUCCUUGAAAUACAAAGUAGUAAUUUCAUUACUACUCAAGGUUUUAAUAUCUUCUACUCCACUUUCAAUGCUUUUAGCAUCAAGAUAGAUGGACUCCAAAUCAUUGGGGCAUUUUUCAACCAAAGUGGAUUCAUAUACAGCCCCAUCAUCAUUAGGUUUGACACAAGAAAAAAAAUCAAUGGGAUUCACACCAAGCACUUUAAGAUCUUCGUGAUUCUCAUCACGAGAACACGCCUUUUUAAGCCAUUCAUGUCUAGCACGAAUUUGGGCGGUUCUUUCUUUGCUCUCACUCAUGGAAACACGCAUAGAUUUCAAAUAUUCAUCCAUAUUGAUCUUGGGAGGAGCACAUAUAACUUUCAAAGCAUCAAUAUCACUAGACAUUCUAUCAACGCUCCUAGCCAAAUCGUCAAUUUUGAGUAGUUUUUCCUCUAUGGACGCAUUGAAAAUCUUUUGCGAGUUGAUAAACUCUUGGAUAUUACUCUCUAGAUUAGAGGGUAAUCUAUUGUAAUUUCCAUGAGUAUUGUUGUAGGAGUUUCCAAAGUUAUUAGAGGAGUUACUAGGAAAAGGCCUAGGAACAUAGUUUCCUCUAAAAGCAUUGUUGUUGCCAAAAUUAUUCCUACCAACAAAAUUAACGUACAAGCUAGCGUUGCUACUCUCAAUCAACGAAGACAAGGGCAUAUCAUUAGGAUCUAAAGGAACACUUCUAAUAGCAACCAAAUUCAUUAACUCAUCCAUCUUAGCACUCAACGAGUUAAUUUCUUCUAUAGCGUGUAUCUUUUUACUAGUAGGUGACCUUUCAGUGUGCCACUGAGAGUAGUUUGUCAUGAUAUUUUCUAGGAGUUUUGUAGCUUCUCCUAACGUGAUUUCCAUGAACGUUCCACCUGAGGCGGAGUCCAAGAUAUUUCUAGAAGCGAAAUUCAAGCCAGCGUAAAAGAUUUGUAUAAUCAUCCAAAGACUCAAGCCAUGAGCGGGACAAUUUCUAAUCAUCUAUUUCAUCCUCUCCCAAGAUUGUGCAACAUGUUCAUGAUCAAGUUGCUUAAAAUUCAUGAUAUCAUUACGGAGAGAGAUAAUCUUAGCCGGCGGAAAAUACUUGGAUAUAUAAGCAUCUUUGCACUUGUUCCAAGAAUCAAUACUAUUUUUGGGCAAAGACAAAAACCAAGUUUUUGCUCGAUAUCGCAACGAGAAAGGAAAAAAGCUUCAAUUUAAUCACAUCAUUAUCCACAUCUUUCUUCUUUUGCAUAUCGCAAAGCUCAAUGAAGGUAUUAAGAUGGGAUGCGGCAUCUUCACUAGGAAGGUCGGAGAAUUGCUCUUUCAUAACAAGAUUCAGCAAAGCAGCAUUGAUUUCGUAUGAUUCCGCACUAGUGGCGGGAGCAAUCGGAGUACUAAUAAAAUCAUUAUUAUUAGUAUUCAAGAAGUCACAAAGUUUGGUGUUUUCAGUCAUGGUGACUUCAGCAAGCAAGCAAGCACACAAGCAAAGAGAAAGCAAGCGAGAGAAGAGGGCGAACGAAAAAGGGCAAACAAAAAAGCAAACGAAAAAGGCAAACGAAGAAAAGGGCAAAUAUUUUUGUAAAUUUUUGUUUUUCAGAAGUGGGGGAGAGGAAAACGAGAGGCGAAAAAGUAAAUGCAAGAGAUGAGUUUGCGACACUUACUUGGAUGAGUUCUUGACUUGAUCCUCCCCGGCAACGGCGCCAGAAAUCCUUCUCCUACUUCUCAAACAAGAGCGCCAGAAAUUGACACGUUGACGAAGACUUGCUUGCGUUGGCUUUUCCCUUGAAGAGGAAAGGGUGAUGCAGCACAGGAGCAGUAAGUAUUUCCCUCAGUUUGAGAACCAAGGUAUCAAUCCAGUAGGAGAAUCUCGUCAAGUCCAGAGUACCUACACAAACACAAAAGAGCUUGCACCCAACGCUAUAAAGGGGUUGUCAAUCCCUUCAAGAUUGAUUGCAAAGUGAGAUAUGAAGGCGGAAAGUGCAACGAAGUAAAAGUGUAAGGCUCAAAAUAUGAUGUAAAGUAGACCCGGGGGGCAUAGUGUUCACUAGAGGCUUCUCUCAAAAUAGCAAAUAUUAUGGUGGGUGAACAAAUUACUGUCGAGCAAUUGAUAGAACCGCGCAGAGUCAUGACGAUAUCUAAGGCAAUGAUCAUACAUAUAGGCAUCACGUCCGAGACAAGUAGACCGAUACUUUUUGCAUCUACUACUAUUACUCCACACAUCGACCGCUAUCCAGCAUGCAUCUAGUGUAUUGAGUUCAUGACGAACAGAGUAACGCCUUAAGCAAGAUGACAUGAUGUAGAGGGAUAAACUCAAACCAAUGAUGAAAACCCCAUCUUUUUACCCUUGAUGGCAACAAUAUUAUGCGUGCCUUGCUACCCCUUCUGUCACUGUGUCAGGUCACCGCAAGGUAUGAACCCAAAACCAAGCACUUCUCCCAAUGCAAGAAUCAUAGAUCAAGCUGGCCAAACAAAACCCACAACUCGAAGAGAAUUACAAGGAUAUGAAAUCAUGCAUAUAAGAGAUCAGAAGAAACUCAAAUAAGAUUUAUAGAUAAUCUGAUCAUAAAUCCACAAUUCAUCGGAUCUCGACAAACACACCGCAAAAGAAGAUUACAUCAGAUAGAUCUCCAUGAAGAUCAUGGAGAACUUUGUAUUGAAGAUCCAAGAGAGAGAAGAAGCCAUCUAGCUACUAGCAAUGGACCUGAAGGUCUAUGGUGAAUUAUUCACGCAUCAUCGCAGAGGUCAUGGUGUUGAUGAUGAAGCCCUCCGUAUCCGAAUCCCCACUCCGACAGGGCACGAGAACGUGCCCCAGAUGGGAUCUUGCGGAGACAGAAGCUUGCGGCGGCGGAAAAGUGUUUUCGUGGCUCUCCUGAUUUUUUCUGGGAUUUUAGGGAAUAUAUAGGCGAAAGACCUAGGGCACAGGAGGCCCAAGGAGCCCACAAGCCUGGAGGCGCGGCCCCCCUGCCCGCGGCUAGGGGGCUUGUGGGGUCCCUAGUGACCCUCUCCCUUGGUUCUCAAGUCUCUUGAUCGUCUUCUGUUUCAGGAAAAAUCUUUUUGGAAGUUUCGUUCCGUUUGGACUCUGUUUAAAAUCCUCCUGUGAAAAGGGUUAAAAACACGGAUAAAACAGGAACUCGCACUUGGCACUGACUGAAUAGGUUAGUUCCAAAAAAGAUAUAAAAGGCAUACAAAACAUCCAAAGUUUGACAAGAUAAUAGCAUGAAACCAUAAAAAAUUAUAGAUACGUUGGAGACCUUCGGAGCACCUUUAUAGUCACCCAGUUACGUUGUGACGUUUGAUGCACACAAGGUAUUCCUUCGUUGCCAGUGAGUUAUAUGAUCUCAUGGUCAUAGGAACAAAUGUUUGACACGCAGAAAACUAUAUCAAUAAAACGACACGAUCAAUAUGCUACGUUCAUAGUUUGGGUCUAGUCCAUCACAUGAUUCUCCUAAUGAUGUGAUCCAGUUAUCAAGUAACAAGAGUUGCACAUAGUCAGAAAACCUUGACUAUUAUUGAUCAACUGGCUAGCCAACUAGAGGCUUGCUAGGGACAUUGUUUUGUCUAUGUAUCCACACAUGUAUCUACGUUUUCGUUCAAUACAAUUAUAGCAUGUAUAAUAAACGAUUAUCUUUAAACAGGAAAUAUAAUAAUAACUAUUUAUCAUUACCUCUAGGGCAUAUUUCCAACAGUCUCCCACUUGCAAUAGAGUUAAUAAUCUAGUCCUAACAUUGCCAUGCGAUUUACAUUGUAAUAAAUCGAACACCCAUACAGUUCUGGUGUUGAUCAUGUUUUGCGCGUGGAAGAGGUUUAGUCAGCGGGUCGGCUACAUUCACAUCCGUGUGCACUUUGCAAAUAUUCACGUCCUCUCCUUCGACGUAGUCGCGGAUGAGGUUGAAGCGUCGUUUGAUGUGCUCGGUCUCCUUGUGAAACCUUGGUUCCUUUGCUAAGGCAAUGGCACCAGUGUUGUCACAUAACAGAGUUAAUGGAUCUAGUGCGCUCGGCACAACUCCAAGAUCUCUCAUGAACUGCUUCAUCCAGACAUCCUCCUUUGGUGCCUCCGAGGAAACCAUGUACUCCGCUUCACAUGUAGAAUCUGCUACGACUCUCUGCUUGGAACUGCACCAGCUUACUGCACCCCCAUUAAGAAUAAAUAUGUAUCCGGUUUGUGACUUAGAGUCAUUCUGAUCGGUGUCAAAAGUUGCGUCGACGUAACCCUUUACGACGAGCUCUUUGUCACCUCCAUAAACGAGAAACAUUUCCUUAGUCGUUUUCAGGUACUUCAGAAGAUUCUUGACCUUCGUCCAGUGAUCCACUCCUGGAUUACUCUGAAACCUGCGUGCCGUACUUAUGGACAAGCUGACAUCUGGUCUAGUGCACAGCUUUGCAUACAUUAUAGAACCUACAGCUAAAGCGUAGGGGACGGAACUCGUUUGUUCUGUAUCUUUCGCAGUUGCUGGGCACUGAGUCUUACUCAAUUUUAUACCUUGUAACACUGGCAAGAACCCUUUCUUGGACUGUUCCAUUUUGAACUUCUUCAAAACUUUAUCAAGGUAUGUGCUUUGUGAAAGUCCUAUCAGGCGUUUCGAUCUAUACCUAUAGAUCUUAAUGCCUAGAAUGUAAGCAACUUCUCCUAGGUCCUUCAUAGAGAAACUUUUAUUCAAGUAAUCAUUUAUGCUCUCCAAAAGCUCCACGUUGUUUCCAAUCAGCAAUAUGUCAUCCACAUAUAAUAUUAGAAACCCACAGAGCUCCCACUCACUUUCUUGUAAAUACAAGAUUCUCCAACCACUUAUUCCAACUCCGAGAUGCUUGCACCAGUCCAUAAAUGGAUCGCUGGAGCUUGCAUACUUUGUUUGCAUUCUUUGGAUCGACAAAACCUUCGGGUUGCAUCAUAUACAACUCUACCUUAAGAAAACCGUUAAGAAACACCGUUUUGACAUCCAUCUGCCAGAUUUCAUAAUCAUAAAAGGCAGCUAUUGCUAACAUGAUUCGGACGGACUUAAGCAUCGCUACCAGUGAGAAAGUCUCAUCGUAGUCAACUCCUUGAACUUGUGAAAAACACUUUGCCACAAGUCGAGCUUUAUAAACAGUCACAUUACCGUAUGCGUUCGUCUUCUUCUUAUAAAUCCAUUUGUUCUUAAUAGCCUUGCGGCCUUCAGGUAGUACUUCCAAAGUCCACACUUUGUUCUCGUACAUGGAUCNNNNNNNNNNNNNNNNNNNNNNNNNNNNNNNNNNNNNNNNNNNNNNNNNNNNNNNNNNNNNNNNNNNNNNNNNNNNNNNNNNNNNNNNNNNNNNNNNNNNAACUAUGCGUAAGGUAAACAAUCCUUGCAACUGUGAUCACAAGCACCGUUAUUUUCUCUUUGGUGGCAACAAGAACAUCCCCUAGUCUCAUGCUUCUGUCACUCAAGCUAGACAUUGAGGGGCAUGAACCCACAAUCAUGCAUAACGCUCCCUCUUGGAGUUACAAUCUACUACUUGGCCAAAGCAAUAAAUAGCAACGGAGAACAUGCAUGAAUCACUAAGGAACAUACUAUAAAAGGAUAAUCAAAUAUAUAACUCAUAACAAUCUGAACAUAAUCUCAUAAUCCGUCGGACCUAACAAACCGAGCAUAGCAAAAGCAAGAGAAUUACAUAGAUGCCUUGAUCAUGUAGGGCAGCUCACAAGGACUAACCAUUAAAGCACAAGAUUGGAGAGAAGACAUCACAUAGCUACUGGUCAUGGACUCAUGGUCCAAGGAGGACUACUCACGACACGUCCGGGAAGCGUCCAUGACGGUGGAGAAGCUCCCGGAGGUCAAUCCUCCCUCCGCCAGGGUGCCGGGAAGAGGUCUCCUGACGCUCCCGAUCUCGGAAGCGUUGCGGCGAUGGAACGAUGGUAAAUUCGUGAUUCCCGAAAGUCUGCAAGGGUUUCCUCUCAGGACUCUAAAUAUAGGCCAAAGGAGGGCACCGGAGCAGGUGGGACCCACCCAGGCGACCUCCUGGCACGGCCUAGGGCCUGACGGCGCCAACAGGCCGCCUGGGAGGCCCCUGCCCCCCCCCCCCUCUGGCCCAUCUUCGGCGAUCCAAAAGCUUCCNNNNNNNNNNNNNNNNNNNNNNNNNNNNNNNNNNNNNNNNNNNNNNNNNNNNNNNNNNNNNNNNNNNNNNNNNNNNNNNNNNNNNNNNNNNNNNNNNNNNUUGCUAUUUUCUAUAUUCCUUCAUGGCACUGCCACAAGGUUUUCCAAACCUUUUUCCUGAUUCAUCUUGAAAAUAUUUGUUAUCAUUUAUUUGGUUUCACUUAUGUUUUUUCAUGCUUAAAACAGGUUGAUGAUCAAAAUCACUUCAUCCAUGGCGUAUUAAGCAUUAUAAAGGAUUUUCAAACGGUGGAUCCAGUAUUUCAAGUCGCCUUAAGGGCGACAUCAGGAUUCUUUUCGAGAGUAUCACAAAAGCAGUACCGAUUCCUAAAGGAGACCUCUUACAUGGCUCUUAGGGCCAAAUCAAUGAAAUUUAUUCUGCUGGCGCCUUGGGAUCGUUUUGCUGCGAACUUUGGCCGACCUUAAUUUGCAAGUCGCCCAGUACCCAGUUACACUUGGCCAGAGCCGCGAAGUCAUCUUCAUCGGUUAGGAUUGAUGAAAGAUAUGCGCCCAAGUCAAAAGGGUUCUUGGGUCGUCGUGGAGUUAAGCUGGUCGUCAGAAAGGUUGGCGGGUUGACCUUCUUGUUCUUGCUAUCAUAAGCAGCCUGAUACUUUGAUAAGUCCAGACUUGCAGCAAGUUGAGUCGCCGCCAGCCGGGAGUCCUUGGCGACACGCUGAUAGUCCUCUUCGACGAAUUCUGACCCGUCAUCUUUGAGUUGAGGAAAGCCCGCCGCUACUUCUUCCGAGUUGAUCUCUGGAGCAUACGCCAAGCAGCGACUUAAUGUAGUCAGCACUCCCUUCCGGGCGGCUGACCGAGUCAACUCGCCAAUCUGGGGAGGAAGCGUGGAUAGGCAGCCAAGCAUCUUCUUUAUGGAGGUUAUAGGUUCCUUGGCGCCCAUCACUGCUUUAACAGUUAGUACACUGCCGAUAUACAGUUGCUCUGUCAGUGUGUAAAUCGCCCUCAACAUCAGCACGCAAUCAUCCUGAAGGUUGGCGGCUCUCGGACCUGUGCAAGGGGUAAUGAUAAUCAGCGACUUAGGAUAAGAGUUAUUGGUUUAAAAAAAGAUCAAAGGUUUGAGUAUUUUACCAAAGACGGCUUGCGCCAUGUUUGAGAUAUGACGCUUCAAGCCGGACAGUUCUUGUUGCACAGUAGCCAGCUUGGCUUCAUCUUUCUCUGCUCGUUUUGUUGCAGCAUCUUGGUCAGCUUGAGCCCUUUUUAAAUCGGCCUUUAGCUUUUCCAUCUCAGCUAAGACCAGCUGAUACUUUUCCUCCGAUUUGGUUCGGGCAUCUUGCUGAUCAAAUAAGUUUUUCUUCAAGUCGCCAAGUGCUGAUUCAGUCUGAAUAAGAGUUUCCUGUGGAAAUACAUGAUAAAGGGCAAGUCUCAGAACUAUUGCCAGCAAUAUCCCUCACACUUGGGGGCUAAUGUAUAAUUUUUUCAGAGAAAAUUAUACAACAUGAAGACCCGGCUCAUCUUUUUACUGAUGACCCGGCCCUUGGGGGUUACUGGUCGAAAGUUUUUCUAAGUUAUCAAGACCCGGCUCAUCUUUUUACUGAUGACCCGACCCUUGGGGCUUACUGGUCGAAAGUUUUUCUAAGUUAUCNNNNNNNNNNNNNNNNNNNNNNNNNNNNNNNNNNNNNNNNNNNNNNNNNNNNNNNNNNNNNNNNNNNNNNNNNNNNNNNNNNNNNNNNNNNNNNNNNNNNAUGAUACUGACGAUCGAAUCUCGGGCAAGUAACCUACCGAAGGACAAAGGGAAUGACAUACAGGAUUAUAUGAAUCCUUGGCACUGAGGUUCAAACGACAAGAUCUUCAUAGAAUAUGUAGGAUCCAAUAUGGGCAUCCAGGUCCCGCUAUUUGAUAUUGACCGAGGAGUCACUCGGGUCAUGUCUACAUAGUUCUCGAACCCGCAGGGUCUGCACACUUAAGGUUCGACGUUGUUUUAUGCGUAUUUGAGUUAUAUGGUUGGUUACCGAAUGUUGUUCGGAGUCCCGGAUGAGAUCACGAACGUCACGAGGGUUUCCGGAAUGGUCUGGAAACGAAGAUUGAUAUAUAGGAUGACUUCAUUUGGUUACCGGAAAGUUUUCGGGCAUUACCGGUAAUGUACCGGGAAUGACGAAUGGGUUCCGGAUCUUCACCGGGAGGGGGGACCACCCACCCAGGAGGGCCCAAGCACCUUGGGGUGGCGCACCAAGUAGGUGGGGUCAGCCCAAGUCUGUCUUGCGCAAGAGAGAAAGAAAAAAAACCAAAAGAAGAGAAAGAAAAAAAAGGAAAGGUGGGAAAGAAGAGAAGGACUCCACCUUCCAAUCCUAGUUGGACCAGGAUUGGAGGAGGACUCCUCCUCCCCUUGGUGGCGCAGCCCUUGGGGCUCCUUGAGCCUCAAGGCAAGCCUCCCCUCCCCUCCUCCUAUAUAUAUGGAGCUAUUAGGGCUGAUUUGAGACAACUUUUGCCACGGCAGCCCGACCACAUACCUCCACGGUUUUUCCUCUAGAUCACGUUUCUGCGGAGCUCGGGCGGAGCCCUGCUGAGAUUAGAUCACCACCAACCUCUGGAGCACCGUCACCCUGCCGGAAAACUCAUCUACCUCUCUGUCUCUCUUGCUGGAUCAAGAAGGCCGAGAUCAUCGUCGAGUUGUACGUGUGCUGAACGCGGAGGUGCCGUCCGUUCGGCACUAGAUCGGAGCGGAUCGUGGGACAGAUCGCGGGACGGUUCGUGGGACGGUUCGCGGGGCGGAUCGAGGUACGUGAGGACGUUCCACUACAUCAACCGCGUUUCUUAACGCUUCUGCUGUGCGAUCUACAAGGGUACGUAGAUCGGAAAUCCCCUCUCGUAGAUGGACAUCACCAUGAUAGGUCUUCGUGCGCGUAGGAAAGUUUUUGUUUCCCAUGCGACGUUCCCCAACACCUUAUUCCUUGGUCUUGGUGCUGCAAUGGAGGAGCCUCUCCCAUUCUUGGCGGCUGCCUAGGGAGAGGCAAAUUCGUGGCUCCUGGUGGCUCUAUCAAAAUUAGGGGUUUUCUCUCCUUAUAUGUGCCUAUGUGGUGCUCUAUGACCCUCCGAUGGAUGGACCCUUGAUCCAAUGGCUCUAGGGAACCUCUACAACCUAGGGGCUCCUCACAACCCUCAUGAGUCUUCAAAGUCGUGGCUUGGCCGAAUAUAUCAGAUAUAUUAAGACUUGGACUUAAUCACCUCAACAAUUCUUGUGAUCCCGUAAUCAGAUAUUUUCCUUUAGUAAAACAGGUCUCCAGAUCGCAUAUGAACACCGUUUUGGACGAAUUGUUAGUCCACAAUUGUUGCCAUAAAAUUCCCCACACUUUCCUAUUUUUACCUUUUCCAUGUGAUGCAGUGUUCGGGGGUCAAACUGACGAUCACUAAAAACUGUUUGUGAACAGAUUUCAGGAGAAUCAGAGUCCUCCUCCAACAAGUCUCCUUUUGCAUUUUUGACAAUUUCUAAUUAAUUCCUAGAAAUCAAAGUGUGAAACAACAACUUGUGCAAUUUUGCAACCAUUAAUAGGUUAGUCUAAAAAAUAAUAUAAACUUGUAGUAAAAUGAUUGUAAAACACCCAAGAAUGAUAAAUAUAACAGCAUGGAACAAGCAAAAAAUAUAGAUACGUUGGAGACGUAUCAACAUCCCCAAACUUAAUUCCUGCUCGUCCUCGAGUAGGUAAAUGACAAAAACAGAAUUUUUGAUGUGGAAUGAUGCGUAACAUGUUCAUCAAAUUUUUUUCUUCUUUUUAUAGCAUGUACAUUUGGACUUGUAAGUGAUUCAAAGCAACAGUCUAGUUUUAACAUAAUGACUUCAAUACUAAAGCAUGUCAACAAGCAACCAUGUCUUUCAAAAUAGCAACACUAAACAAAGUUAUCCCUAGCCCAUCAUGCUCAAUCAUUGAUAUAUUCAUGAAACACACUCAAAUAUUAGCUAUGCCCAAUGCUCAAGUACGAUCAUAGUGUUCCCUAGUUGGUGCUUAUAAGAGAAGAUGGAGACUCAAAGCACAAUUAAAAAUUGCAUAAAGUAAAUAGAUAGGCCCUUCACAGAGGAAAUUAGGGAUUUGUAGAGGUGCUAGAGCUCAACGUUUAAAUUUAGAGAGAAAAACUAUUUUGAGUAGCAUGCUUUUCCUGUCAACGAAAACGACAAAGUAGCUCACAAUACUUUUCAUUCUAGAUACAUUAUAGGCGGCUCCCAAACAGAAUGGUAAAGUUUUUUACUCCCCCUCAACCAAUCAAUCACACUCCAUGGCAAGCCGAAUCCACGGUUACCGUCCAUACAAACAACAUACCUGAGGAAGUUUUGUUUCAUUAUAUUUGAUUUGAUUUUUGAGCAUGGAACUGGGCAUCCCGAAUACCAGUCACUUUCUCGUGAAUGAUAGUGAAUCAACACAUAUCAUGAGAAUAGCCCACCUAGUAUGAGAAAAUAUUGGAUACUCCCCACCGUUUCAUGAGCGGUACGGGCACACAAAAGAGAAAAAUUAUUUUCAAAAUUUAGAGAUGGCACAUACAAAUUUUCUUGGAACGGCAUGGAAAUACCGCAUAUAGGUAGGUAUGGUGGACUCAUGAGACAAAACUUGGUUUAUGGAUUUUGGAUGCACAAGUAGUAUUUAUACUUAGUACAAAUGAAGGCUAGCAAAUAGAUUCGGAAGCAAUCAAACCAAGAAAUGAAAAUUCACAUAAGUGAGCAUUGAGUCAUAACUAACACCAAAUAAUGCACCACAGUAGGAUGUAACUUCAUUGCAUAACUAUUGACUUUCGUGCAUGCAUAGGGAAUCACAAACCUUAAAACCAAUAUUCCUACUUAAAGCAUAAAUAUUCACUAACAUGACUCACAUAUUACUAUCAUCAUGUUUCAAAACUAUUACAAAGAAUCAAGUUUAAUUUGUUCCAUGAUCUUCAUGAAAGUUUUUAUUAUAUCCCUCUUGGAUAUCUAUUACUUUGAGACUAGUUUCAUAUAUUGCUAUUGCCCUUUCUACAUGCUCAAACCAAUUUAAAGGAAGUAGAAGAGCAUAAAUAUUUCAUCCCUCAAAAAGGUAUAAGUGAAGCAUGAAAGUAAAUGACAAAACUACUCCAAAACAUAUAAGUGAAGAUCAAUGAGUAGUCAAACAAUUAAGUAGCUAUGAGAGGAUUUUCUCUCUCUCGCUCUCUUAAUAAAGAUUUUCAGAUCUGAGUAUUUUCUUUAAACAUCAAGCAAAAGAAAAAUAGCACCCCAAGAAUAGGACGCAUCAUGUGAACGAAUAAAAAUUUAGGCUCAACAUAGUCUAACCGAUAGUUGAUGAAGAGAGGUGGGAUGCUAGCAUCCCCAAGCUUAGAUGCUUGAGAGUUCUUGAAAUAUUUACUUGGGGUUCCUUGGGCAUCCCCAAGCUUGAGCUUUUGUAUCUUUUUCAAUCCUCUCGUAUCCUGGUUUCACCUAUUCUCACAAACUUCAUUCACACAAAACUUGGAAAGAACUCGUAAGAAAGGUUAGUACACAUAAUAAUAAAUCAACUCUUUAUGUAUUGCCAAGACAAGGUGAAUAAUAAUUGCAAAAAUCAUCUAUUGUUUACUAUAAUUUCCACAAUUUAUAUAUAUCAAUAUAGGCUAUGGAAACUAUAGGAUAAGUAGAUAACAAAACUAUGACAACAAUCUGUCCAAACAGAACAGUCUGUAGAAAUUUAUGAAAACAAUGUACUUCUAUAACUUAAAAAAUUAUGAAAAUUUAGGAAAUGCUAUAAAAUUUAUAUGACAAAACCGUGCAAAAAUGUCAGAAACUUUUUUCACGUUCCAGUAAAAUAUGAAAAUUCAAACACUACAGCACCGGUUUUUGUUUUUACACAGCACCAAUCAAAGCUUGCAAUGCAAGCAUCCUAAUGCAAUUCUUGGAAUUUUUUUAUUGAAAAACAUGAUUAUAAAUAACACAUAACAGAGAAAAACAAAAUAAAAUGACGCUUCAAGCAAAACUCAUAUUAUGUGACGAAUAAAAAUAUAGCUCCAAGUAAGAUAUACCGAUAAUGUUGAAGACGGAAGAGGGGAUCCUUCCGGGGCAUCCCCAAGCUUAGGCGCUUGAGUCUUCCUUGGAUAUUACCUGGGGGUGCCUUGUGCAUCCCUAAUAUUAGGUUCUUGUCACUCCUUAUUCUCCUCAUAUCGGUGUCUCACCCAAAAGUUGAAAACUUCAAUCACACAAAACUUAACGGAACUUCGUGAGAUCGGUUAGUAUAAUAAAUAAUGAUCAUUCACUUAGGUACUGUCAAGAAAAUAUUAAUACUUUCUCCCACAUGAUACCUACUGUAUUCUACUAUUCCCAUAAUUUAUAUCACUGAAUAUAAGCUAUGGGAACACUAAAACAAGCAAACUAUGCAUGCAAAACAAAAUCUGUCAAAAAUAGAACAGUGUGUGAAGAUGUGUAGUGUAGCCAUACUUCCCUAUCUCUAAAAAUUCUGAACAAAUAGGAAAAUUAAGGAAAUUUGUAUAUCAAUCAUGUGUAAAAAAUUCAUAUCAAAAGCACGUUCCACUAAAUUUACAAAAGUCCUCGACUAAGAGCAAAUGUUUCUGUUUUUGCAUAGAAUCAAGUCAACUGUCAUCCACACUAUCCCAAAGGCUUUACUUGGCACUUUAUUGAAGUAAAAGGCAUAAAACUUGAUUAAUACAGUAGCUUAAUCAUGUGAACACCAAAAAAAGAAAGUAAAAGUGUUGGGUUUUAUCCCAACAAGCGCUUUUCUUUAAAGCCUUUUAGCUAGGCAUGGUGAUUUCAAUGAUGCUCACAUAGGAAUAAUAAUUAUAAUAUGCAAAAGAGCAUCAUGAAUAUCAUGACAAGCACAUUUAAGUCUAACCCACUUCCUGUGCAUUGGGAUUUUCUAAACAAACAAUUUAUGGGAGCAAGAAUCAACUAGCAUAGGAAGCCAAAACAAGCAUAACUUCAAAACUUUGAACACAUAGAGAGGAAACUUGAUAUUAUUGCAAUUCCUACAAGCAUAUGUUCCUCCCUGAUAAUAAUUUUCAGUAGCAUCAUGAAGGAAUUCCACAAUAUAACCAGUACAUAAAGCAUUAUUUUAAUGAUCUACAAGCAUAGAAAUUUUAAUACUCACCAAAUAAGCAAAUUUAUUCACAUCAGUAGUAGUGGGAGCAAACUCAACUAAAUAACUAUCAUGUGAAGCAUAAUCCAAUUGAGAAUUAAAAUUGUGAUGAGAAAUUUCAUGGUUAUCAUUAUUCUUUAUAGAAUAAAUGUCAUCACAAUAAUCAUCAUAAAUAGGAGGCAUGCUUUCAUCAUAAUAAAUUUUCUCAUCAAAACAUGGGGGACUAAACAUAUAAUCUUCAUCAAACAUAGCAUCCCCAAGCUUGUGGCUUUGCAUAUCAUUAGCAUCAUGAAUAUUCAACGAGUCAUACUAACAACAAUGUAAUCAUGCUCAUCAUACAAAGAUUUAGUACCAAACAUUUUAAUAACUUCUUCUUCUAACACUUGAGCACAAUUUUCCUUUCCAUCAUUUUCACGAAAGACGUUGAAAAGAUGAAGCAUAUGAGGCAACCUCAAUUCCAUUUUUUGUAGUUUUCUUUUAUAAAACCAAACUAGGGAAAACAAGAAACUAAAAGAUUUAAUUGCAAGAUAUAAAGAUAUACCUUCAAGCACUCACCUCCCCGGCAACAACGCCAGAAAAGAGCUUCGUUGACGGGAUGUGACUGCCGCUUACCUAACCUCCUUGGCAACGGUGCUAGAAAAGAGCUUGAUGUCUACUACAAAACCUUCUUCUUGUAGACUCGCGUUGGGCCUCCAAGCGCAGAAUUUUGUAGGACAAUAGCAAGUUUCCCUCAAGUGUAUGACCUAAGGUUUAUCAAUUUGUGGGAGGCGUAGGAUGAAGAUGGUCUUUCUCAAUCAACCCUGCGAUCAAAUAACAAAGAGUCUCUUGUGUCCCCAACACAUCCAAUACAAUAGUAAAUUGUAUAGGUGCACUAGUUCGGCAAAGAGAUGGUGAUACAAGUGUAAUAUGGAUGGUAGAUAUAGGUUUUUUUGUAAUCUGAAAAUAUAAAAAACAGCAUGGUAACAAAUAGUAAACAUCAAGCAAAACAUUGUAUAAAUGCUUGGGAACAAGACCUAGGGUUCAUAGUUUCACUAGUGCAAGUUCUCUCAACUAUACUAACAUAGUUGAAUCAUAUAUAAAUGCCUCACGUGCGACAAAGAGUUCACUCCAAAGUCACGAAUAGCGAAGAACAAACGAAGAAAUUAUUGUAGGGUACGAAACCAUCUCAAAGUUAUCUUUUCUGAUCAAUCUUAUGAGCUAUCCCUAUAAGUGUCACGAACAGACCUAGAGUUUGUACUAAAAUAACACCUUAAGAUACACAUCAACCAAAACCCUAAUGUCACCCAGAUACUCCAAUGUCACCACAAGUACCCAUGGGCAUGAUUACACGAUAUGCAUCACAUAAUUUUAGAUUCAUCAUGUUCAAUCCAACACAAAGAACUUCAACGAGUGCCCCAAAGUUUCUACCGGAAGCCAAGAGGAAAACAUAAGCCAACCCCUAUGCAUAGAUUCACAAGGUCACGGAACCCGCAACUUGAUCACCAAAACAUACAUCAAGUGGAUCAAUAGAACAUCACAUUGUCACCACAUAUAUCCCAUUGCAAGACAUACAUCAAGUGUUCUAAAAUCCUUAAAGACUCGAUCCGAUAAGAAAACUUCAAAGGGAAAACUCAAUUCAUCACAAGAAGAUAGAGAGGGGAAAACUCCAUAUGAUUCAUCUAUAUCAAUAAAGCUCGCGAUACAUCAAGAUCGUUCCAUCUCAAGAACACGAGAGAGAGAGAUUGAACACAUAGCUACUAAUACAUACCCUCCGCUCCGAAGAGGAUUACUCACACAUUAUGAUGGUGAGAAAGAGAGAUCUGUUGAUGGAGAGGUGCAGCCCCGAAGAGAUGGAGGAGAUGGCGGCCACAGCAUCGGCGACGGACGACAGCGGUGGCGACGAACGGCGGCCCCUUGCCCCUCCUUCUUCCUUGGUCUUGGUGCUGCAAUGGAGGAGCCUCUCCCUUUCUUGGCGGCUGCUAAGGGAGAGGCAAAUUCAUGGCUCUUGGUGGCUCUACCAAAAUUAGGGUUUUUCUCUCCUUAUAUGUGCCUUUGUGGUGCUCUAUGGCCCUCUGAUGGAUGGACCCUUGAUCCAAUGGCUCUCGGGAACCUCUAGAACCUUACUAGGGGCUCCUUACAGCCCUCAUGAGUCUCCAAAGUCGUGGUUUGGCUGAAUAUAUCAGAUAUGUUAAGAGUUGGACUCGAUCACCUUAACAAUUCUCUUGAUUCCAUAAUCAGAUAUUUUCCUUCAGUAAAAUGGGUCUCCAGAUCUCAUACGAACUCCAUUUUGGACGAAUUUGUAGUAAACAAUCAUUGCCAUAAAAUUACCAACACAUUCCUAGUUUUAGCUUUUUACAUUUGACGCCGUGUUCGGGGGUCAAACUGAUGAUCUCUAAAAACUGUUUGGGGACAAAUUUCAGGAGAGUUAGAGUCCUCCUCCAACAAGGCUUCUUUUGCCUUUUUUCGACAAUUUCUAAUUAAUUCUUAUAAAUCAAAGUGUGAAACAAGAAAUUGUGCAAUUCUGCAACCAUUAAUAGGUUAGUCCCAAAAAAUAAUAUAAAGUUGUAGUAAAAUGAUUGUAAAACAUUCAAGAAUGAUAAUAUAACAGCAUGGAAGAAGCAAAAAUUAUAGAUACGUUGGAGACGUAUCAGAUGCCAGCUCAAUGCUUCAUGCUAAUGUCCGAGUGAGUGCGAUUGUAAGUUCAUUUCUGAUUGAAUUCUGUCCAUCUGGACUCUACACCCACUGGAUGUUUUCUUUUGGCGUAUACUUGUUUGUUUCUGGUCCAGUGGGGGCACGCUGAGUGCAUCCACUCGGUGUAGUCCCCGAGACCGCUGUCGAAUUACGGUGACAUCGGCACGGGUCUUUUAUUGGUUUUUGAUAGUCGUUGACACUCGACAUGACAUAUCUAUGCGGGUGAUAAUAAAUCUAGUGGGGGCACGCUGAGUGCACCCACUCGGUGUAGUCCCCGAGGCCGUCAUCGAGUGCUUGCAUCGGUGGGGGUCUGAUUGAGAUAGUUUUAGACAUUUGCUCUUUUUUUUUGACUCGGACAGGACAGACCUUGUCGAGUGGUGUCGUAUCCAGUGGGGGCAGGCUGAGUGCACCCACUGGGUGUAGUCCCUGAGACUACUGUCGAUCGUUUACGAUGGGCAGUAGUCUUAAGAACUUGGACUCAUGGUCCUUUUUCGUACUUGUAGUACUUUUAUCACUCGGUCUGUCGAGUGAAUGUUUUUCCUUAGUGUCUCCACAGCUGAAAUUUUUUCGUAGGGCUGAAAAGGUCCUAACCAGCAAGAUUUAUCAUGUAGGUUUCAUGGACAUCAUUUUGAUCAACCAUGAUAUGAUGCUUUGCAGGGGUGUGGGGUGGGGCGGUGGGCCGCCAUCUAGUCGACUGAACUGCUCUUCUCCACUCGGGAGUGGAGAAAUAUUAGUGUUGACUGAACUAUUUCUUUGAUGAUUUCAGAAAACCCGUGAGUUUGGGAUGAAGUACGUCAACUUGGAAAAGGAGAAGAACCAUCUUCAACUGGAUUUGGAGGUGACCACAAAUGAUCUGAAUCUCUUGAAGAAGGCGCUCGAAGACAAAGGCAAAGCACUUGCUGAGGCUAAGGAGAAACCCGAGGCCGCAGAGAAGAAGCUCGCUGCAGCCAGCAAAUUGGAGGAGGAGAAUGCCAAACUAAAGCAGGAACGGACCGACUCGAACAAGAAGCUUGAAUAGAUGACCAAGAGGAGGAACGACGUGGAGAACUACUUGGGCGACUUCGCAAAGAAGAUGUUUGGCAUGCGUACUGGUAACUUCCUUUUGCUGAGUGAAUUUCCUCCAUUUCCACCAAAUGAUAGUAUGGCCAACUUUUCAUUUUCCCUUCGUGUAGACUUCUGCCAGGAUUUUGACAAGGAGAGUGAAGAGAUCGAGCCAAAUUUGGACCCCACCAAGUCACCCGUUGGGGACGCUAUGGCCAGGAACAUGUUUCGCCUUGAUGCUCGUCUCAAAAAUGUUCAAGAAUAUGUAGCCCGACUGAGUGCUGCACUGGAGAGGAUCGACAAGGAACUUUGGCCAAAAGAGACCCUCCAGACGGACCUUGAGUCAAUGAUGAGCCGCCUCAACCAGAUUCCCAGUCGAGUACAAGCAUGGAAGAAAUUUGUUGCACGCUGCGGAGCUGACGUGGCUCUUUCACUCGUUCGGGUGCAUUGCAAGGAGGCUAAGGAGGACAAACUGAAGGCGCUCCAGGUGGCCAACACAAAAAAGCUUCAGUUCGAGGACUUCAUGGAGAUAUUCAUCGACGCAGCCACCCACAUCGCUGAUGGGAUUGAUCUAGACACCUUCGUCUAGCCUGCGAGUCCCGACGAGCCUUGAAAAAACUUUGAUUGAAGUUCAAACUUUACUUGCCUCGGUAUGCCGAGUGAUGGUCUAACCAUUUUAAACUUCGUUCGGGUCUUAAACCCGAGUACUUUCAUUUGCAUAGACAACCUUAAUCCGUGAUGGGGAUCAUGAGUUUAUCUGCAUUUUGCUUUCCAAUCCUUUGCUUGACUAAGUUUGUUUGGUCAUUACUCGGAAGAAUUUUGAGCUUAGGCGAAACCUUGUUCGCGGCUAAGUCUCUGAGUAAGAGGAGUGCUCGUCAUUUGGGAAAGUUUUUUACUUAGGCAAGGACUGAUUCACACCAAAGUAUCCGAGUGAAUAGGUUGCUAUUCACUCGGUUGGAUUUUAACUUAGGCGAAAACUUGUUCGCAGCUAAGUUUCUGAGUUAGAGGGUGCUCACCACUCAGAGGGUUUUUAACUUAGGCGAAGACUUGUCCCUCGAGUGAGAGGAUCGCUCACCACUCGGAGUGUUUUUAACUUAGGCGAAUACUUGUUCGCAGCUAAGCCCCCGAGUGAGAGGACCGCUCACCACUCGGAGUGUUUUUAACUUAGGCGAAUACUUGUUCGCAGCUAAGCCCCCGAGUGAGAGGACCGCUCACCACUCGGAGUGUUUUUAACUUAGGCGAAGACUUGUUCGCAGCUAAGCCCCCGAGUGAGAGGAUCGCUCACCACUCGGAGUGUUUUUAACUUAAGCGAAGACUUGUUCGUAGCUAAGCCCCCGAGUGAGAUGAUCGCUCACCACACGGAGGGUUUUUAACUUAGGCGAAGACUUGUUCGCAGCUAAGCCCCCGAGUGAGAGGAUCGCUCACCACUUAGAGGGUUUUUAACUUAGGCGAAGACUUGUUCGCAGCUAAGCCCCCGAGUGAAACGAUCGCUCACCGCUCAGUGUUUUUAACUUAGGGGAAGACUUGUUCUUAUCUAAGCCCCCCAGUGAGAGGAUCUCUCACCACUUGGAGGGUUUUUAACUUAGGUGAAGACGUGUUCGCAGCUAAGCCCCCGAGUGAGAGGAUCGCUCACCAUUCAGAGUGUUUUUAACUUAGGGAAGACUUGUUCGCACCUAAGCCCCCAAGUGAGAGGAUCGCUCACCACUUGGAGGGUUUUUAACUUAGGCGAAUACUUGUUCGCAGCUAAGCCCCCGAGUGAGAGGACCGCUCACCACUCGGAGUGUUUUUAACUGAGGCAAAGACUUGUUCGCAGCUAAGCCCCCGAGUGAGAGGAUCGCUCACCACUCGGAGUGUUUUUAACUUAGGCGAAGACUUGUUCGCAGCUAAGCCCCCGAGUGAGAGGAUCACUCACUACUCAGAGUGUUUUUAACUUAGGUGAAGACUUGUUCGCAGCUAAGUCUCUGAGUGAGAGGGUCGCUCGUCACUCAGAGUGUGUUUUGAACUUAGGCGAAAUAUGGUUCGCAACUAAGUCUCCGAGUGAAUAGGUUGGAAUUCACUCGGCUGGGUUUUAACUUAGGCGAAAACUUGUACGCACCUAAGCCCCAGAGUGAGAGGGUCGCUCGCCACUCGGAGUGUUUUUUUUUAAUAUGAGAUUGCACGACCGGAAUCGAAUACAAACUCAAGGAGUCAUAACUUUGAUAAGCAACAUUGUCUAUAACACUCUUAUUACGUCAAACCACUCAAUUUUCAAGUGUAAAAAUGUCGAAGUAAAUCUGUGUUCCAAGCACGUGGUUUGUCAAUUCUCUUCUUGAGGUUGAAGAGGUGGUAGGCCCAUUGUUUAGCACUUUGGUAAUGACUAAAGGACCUUCCCAUGCGGGGGCGAGCUUGUGAGGCCGCUACUGAUCCACUCGGAGCACCAGAUCACCUUCGUGGAACAACCAACUCCUGACAUGCCUUGCAUGGAAACGACACAAAUCCUGCUGGUAUAUUGUCGACCGAAUCAAGGCUAGUUCGCGAUCUUCUUUUAUAAGAUCUACACCGUACUGUCGUGCCUGUUCGGCUUCAGCCUCAGAAUAAAGCUAUACUCGCGGAGAACUCUGAAGGAGAUCACUCGACAAAAUGGCUUCGGUUGCAUAUACCUAGAAGAAAGGAGUGCGUCCAGCCGACCGGUUGGGAGUCAUCCUCAAGCCCCACAGAACUGACGAUAAUUCAUUAACACAAGCUCCAGCUACAUGUUCCAGAUCUCGCAUCAGUCGAGGCUUCAACCCUUGAAGGAUAAGGCCAUUCGCUCGCCCAGCUUGACCAUUAGUCUGGGGGUGUGAUAACCCACAAGUAUAGGGGAUCAAUUGUAGCCUUUCUCGAUAAGUAAGAGUGUCGAACCCAAUGAGGAGCUAAAGGUAGGACAAAUAUUCCCUCAAGUUCUAUCGACCACCGAUACAACUCUACGCACACUUUACGUUCGCUUUACCUAGAACAAGUAUGAAACUAGAAGUACUUUGUAGGAGUGAAAGGAUAGGCUUGCAAGAAAGUAAAAAACACGUAAAUAAAACUAGGGGUUGGUUAGAUAAAGAAACAACUACGAGUGUCUAACGAGUGUGGAAAAGUGGUGGUAGGAUUUGAGGAAUUGUCCCUAAGCAAUUGACUACGUUACUAGAUAGAUAGCAAGUAUCAUGUGGGAGAGGCCUCUGCUAGCAUGUCAUCCCUUACUUGGAAUUAUAUGCACUUAUGAUUGUAACUAUUAGCAAGCGUCUGCAACUACUAACGUUCAUUAAGGUAAAACCCAACCAUAGCAAUAAGAUAUAUUGGUCCCCCUUCAAUCUCAUAUGCAUCAAUUUCUAUGCUAGGUUUGAAGCUUCUGUCACUCUAGCCUGCCAUACAUAGUCCUAUCAACAUACAACUAACCCUAUGGUGUGAUCCACGCGCGCAGUCAUACGUUGGGCACCAAAGGACAGCAACAUAAACACAAGCAAAUUAAACCAAUCAUAGCAAUUCAUCAAUCACCGAUAGGACAACGAUAAUCUACUCAAACAUCAUAGGAUAGCAACACAUCAUUGGAUAAUAAUAUAUAGCAUAAAGCACCAUGUUCAAGUAGAGGGUACAACGGGUUGCGGGAGAGUGAAUCGCUGAAUAUAGAUGGGGGGAGAUGAUGGAGAUGUUGGUGAAGAUGACGGAGGUGUUGGUGUAGAUCGCCGUCACACGAUGAUGUCCCGGGCGGUGUUCCGGCGCCGUCGGGAGAGAGUCCCCCUCCUUCUUCUUCUUCCUUGACCUCCUCCCUAGAUGGGAGAAGGGUUUCCCCUUUGGUCCAUUGUGGGGACCCCGACUAGCAAGUCGAGUUCGCCGUGCCCAGUGACCCCAAGGAUCAAUGUUCACUGAACACAGAUACAGAAUAAUAGAGUCUUACAUCCAAGUACCAAAUUAUUACAUCAAAUGACCAGAAGGUCGGGUUCAAUAGCAAGGCCUAAAGCCAAAUAAAACGGAUACAUCGAGUAGCGGAAACUCGUAAGGGCUAAGCGGUGCCCAUGCCAUCAAGCCUACACCGACAGGCAUUCUGACUCGGAAGCGUCCUAGAUCACAGGUCCGUCUCCGACGGCGUACUCAUCGCCAAACUCCGGUCCUUCCAUGUCUGGUCAAUAACAUAACCAGUGGCAAGCCAAAGAGUACUUUGAAUGUACUCGCAAACAGCCCAUGACAUAUAUAUGGUAAUGAAUAACAGUAACAGGUAUCCUUAGUGGAAUGCAAUGUGGUGGCAUGAUCAGGUAUAUGCAACAAGUUAAAGAAUUACUUCUGAAGAACAGGUUACAGAUAUUGACAUAUCUGUCAAGGGUUGAACACACCGGGUUCACCCUGUAUGCCAAGUCAUCGGACUUGUCAUAUCCUCUAGGUAUUAAUGAGGGCUAACCAUCCGGGUUUACCCUAUAUGUCAAGUCACCGAACUUGAUCAUAUUAUUGUGAUCAUCAUGAUUAUAACAACAUCUUUUUAACACCACACACACACACUUGGUUUAUGCGGAAACUCAGGACGUAGUUUAAGCAGCACCACCCAACUGUCCUUGACCGUGGACAUGGCUAUUCAAAUAGUUUACACUCUGCAGAGGUAGUACGCUGGACCCACGAGAAACGGAAUACUUCCGUGUCAUCCACGACUCGCGGUAUAUCACAUAUACCCGAGGUAAGUACCCGAUCAUCAUCUUUCCCUUGACGAUACUAGACAAAGAGAUCCACUCGAUUGGUACCCAGCCCACAUGUUGUACGUCUUACGAGCACCGACUCUGGACUGUAACAACCAUGCAGGGACCAACGGUGUGCCUGGAACUCAUAAUAAUGGCAUAGUCGUCCUACCUGGCACGACCCCAUCACGAGAGUGACACCGAUCACUCCCGCCACUAGUAAUGUGGCUCUUUGCUAGUACCGACCACAGUAAUCAACAAAGCCCCGUCCCAUAAAGGGGUAUCGUGGUCGUACUGGGUAAGGUUGGGACGGUCGACACAUCAUAAAUCUAAUCCAUUUCCGAAACCAUACUCACACCAAAAUCACCGGUGCAUCACUUCACCAAAAGUGAUCACCAACUCGUCAUCACCCUCGGGCAUUAGUGGCACCCGACGGGGUUUUCAUAAACUCUUUAUUUAACUCAUCAUCAUGCUCAUGUUAAAAUGCUCUAUUAUUACUUGUCAACAUGAUAAUAUCAUGGCCCUCACGGGUCAAGCUCAACGCAGUGAUUCUACUUUACUAGCCAACAUGACAGUAGCAUGAUCCUCGUAGAUGGUAGGAUCAGCUCAUCAUGCUCAUGCUCUGAGGAGCCAUGUGAAUAUCACUACUGUAAAUGCAAGUGCUUCGAAGAAGCCUUCGGUACCAUCACAUCAAUGAUGAACCGGCAUCGAGAUCACAUGCAACGGAAAAUACUUGCUAUUCUAGCAUGCAUCAUUUAUUUACUUAAGUCAUGGCAAAAGGGCAUGCUUGCCUUGGUCAGCUAGGUAUCCGGGGUCUUCGAGGUCUUCCGCUCCGGAUCCUCCGUCACUCGGUAACUCUACCGUCGAGAAAGGAAUAAAUAAAUACUAGCUCUCACUAAAACAGAUCACAAAGUGCUUUUAAAAAUGUUGCAAGGCUUGAAUAAAUUCAGGAUAUUAUUUUGAAAAAUGUUUCCUAUUGUUUUAUUAGCUAAUCAUAUUUAUUUAAAAGCAAACAGAAGCAAACAAGUUCUUUUUAAUAUCAUUUUAUUAUACCAAAAUAGUUUCUGUUAUUGAUAAAUGUCAACUAUUACAGAAUCAAAUACUACUCAUUUUUAGAAAAAUACUGGUGGAAGAAUUAUAUUUUUCUACUGGCUAAAUCUUUUUAUAAAAAUCAUUUAGUUUGAUGGAUUAAAACAAAAGAAAAAGGCCAGGGGAAACAGAUCCAGCCGGCCCAGCCAGCAGGCCUGGCCACCAGGCGCGCGCGGGCCAGGUUCAAACCUGACCUGCGGGCCCCUGGGGUCAGCGUCAGCGGCUGCGUGCGCUGGCUGCCCCAGGACACCGACAGGUGGGCUCCACCUGUCGGGUCCUUCUCCUACCUCCGGCCAGAGAGGUGGAGAUGGACGCCGGCGAGGCUGCCGUUGUCCUCAGGCCUAGCUAGGAACGGGAACGGGUUCCUCGUGCCUCCGCCUACCUGCUCGUGGUCGGGACGUCACCGGAGGUGGUCUGGGUCACCGGCGACGAGGUGCUCGUGGCGGAAUGGUUUCGGGUUCGUGUUGAAUUAGGGGCUAGGGGUAUGGAUUUGCUCGGGAGAGUUAGGGGAAACGUUCCUGGUGUCGAGGGGAGUGUAAUGAGAGGUCGGGCAGCGCAGGAGCCGACGUGUAGCCGGAGAUCGACCGGAGCUCCGAGGCGGAGGGGCCUCGGUCAAUCUCGAGCACCGGGGCUCUCUGAGCUCGAUUGGGCGGCUAGGGAGUGUCUACUGGUUGUGCUGAAGCUGCUUGGAGGGUGUUGGAGUGCCGGGGGGGUCUAUUUAUAGUCCAACGACGGUGACCCGACUCGGGCACGCCGGUGACUCACCGUGGCACGCGUGCAAGCACAGUGAGGUGCUGGCCGCGAAACCACGGGUUCGGGACGUGGUUUAGGGCCUCCUGGUGCAACGGCCGCAGAGGGAAAGCGAGUGGGGACGAGCUGCAGCGACCGUGCAUGCUCGGCCGCGUCGGGCGCGCACGGGCACGCGUCGCCUGAGCUCUUGCGCGAGGGGGAGAGGGUCCCUGGGGUAGCUUUGCACUGAAUGGUUGUCGGGGGAGUGCUUGGACAUAACUGGGGAGGCUGGGACCGGCCGGAGCGUCGGCCCCUUGCGGGUGGCUCUCUGCAGCGCGCCCAGAGCGCAGUUUUGGCAUGCCACGGCAUGCUGGCUCGCUCUGGGGCACUUGGGACGUGUCCUCCAUGUCCUGAGUGUUGCUGGGAGUGUCCCUAGCCAUUGUGGUUUAGUGGGAGCUCGGGCUGGUCAAGGGAGCAAGGAACACUGGUGUUGCCAGUACUGUACUGCAGCUCAAAUUGGAGUUCUUGUCACUUGUGCUUGGAAUUGGGGAGGGGCUGGUUGACUGGGUGUUCAGGGUGUUCUGGUGCUCUAACCCACCAAGUUUGGGGCCUUGACAUUGGGUAAAACAGUGGCUAGGAAGGUUUUUACCUUCCUGUCAGUAGAUGUUCGACAGUGACUUGGGGUGCUUCCACUCCACCACUGUAAAUGAAACUUAACAGGUUUGGUCUUGGGGUAAAAACAUGGGGUUCCACCAAAUCUGAGCUCCAUUGAACAAGUUUGGCUUUGCAAACUUGAAAAUGUCUCAAAGUGACCAGUACAUUCCUUUACAAAGGAAGUGUGGUCAAACAGAGUCUCACAAAUCCCAUUUUUGGUGUGGAGUCCUCAUUUGGGGUGUUAAACACCUCUGCAAAGUUUCAGCUCCAUUGGAGAAACUUUGCAAUGUAGAGUUGUUCCAACUCUACUCUGACAGAGAGGGUUUUGGGCUCUUUAAGUGCACUUCCCCACCUUGGAUCAAGGUGAGAUUUUAGGUGAGCACCUAAUAUGGUUUGGUAGGGCUCCUGUAAUUUUAUGGGAAUUUACUGAGAUACUUUCCUUUGGAAACAUCUCAAAAAGCUAAAACAAACAGAAAUGGUUUUCAGGGUUUUACUCAAUUAAUAUUAAUAUAAAAUAGGGUUGAAAAUCUUAUGUAUGGAGAAUAUAUGUCCUUCUGAGCUUCCAUGAAUUUACUCAGAAUUUUCUAAGGAAGGAAAGUAAUUUUCCUUGUGGAAAUAUCAUUACUGGCCUUAGAAAUAGACAUAGAUAUAAAAUAGGAAAAUAAUAUUUUAAAUCACUAAAUAAUGUUUUUAAUGAAUGAAAAUGAUAUUAGGAUCAGAUCACCAACUUUAGUUGGAAGUGCCACUUGGCUUCAUGAGCUAGUAGUGUAUCCCAACAUGAUGAAGGUGAUCUUGAUGUAAAGGAAAAAGGGUUUUUGAUGAGAGCAAAAUAAUAAGUUUUUCAUGGGUUUGAGUCAUCAAACAAGCAAGCAUACACUCAAACAAGGACUGACAUUGCACUCACAACAUUAUUUGAAAAAAAAUUAACAAGCUCUGAUUUUUACACAGAAAACUUGGGGUGAAAAACAGGGUGUGACAUCCAUGGUCUCCAUGGCGGCGGGGGNNNNNNNNNNNNNNNNNNNNNNNNNNNNNNNNNNNNNNNNNNNNNNNNNNNNNNNNNNNNNNNNNNNNNNNNNNNNNNNNNNNNNNNNNNNNNNNNNNNNGGGAUCAAUUGUAGCCUUUCUCGAUAAGUAAGAGUGUCGAACCCAAUGNNNNNNNNNNAUGAUCGCUCACCACACGGAGGGUUUUUAACUUAGGCGAAGACUUGUUCGCAGCUAAGCCCCCGAGUGAGAGGAUCGCUCACCACUUAGAGGGUUUUUAACUUAGGCGAAGACUUGUUCGCAGCUAAGCCCCCGAGUGAAACGAUCGCUCACCGCUCAGUGUUUUUAACUUAGGGGAAGACUUGUUCUUAUCUAAGCCCCCCAGUGAGAGGAUCUCUCACCACUUGGAGGGUUUUUAACUUAGGUGAAGACGUGUUCGCAGCUAAGCCCCCGAGUGAGAGGAUCGCUCACCAUUCAGAGUGUUUUUAACUUAGGGAAGACUUGUUCGCACCUAAGCCCCCAAGUGAGAGGAUCGCUCACCACUUGGAGGGUUUUUAACUUAGGCGAAUACUUGUUCGCAGCUAAGCCCCCGAGUGAGAGGAUCGCUCACCACUCAGAGUGUUUUUAACUUAGGCGAAGACUUGUUCGCAGCUAAGCCCCCGAGUGAGAGGAUCACUCACUACUCAGAGUGUUUUUAACUUAGGUGAAGACUUGUUCGCAGCUAAGUCUCUGAGUGAGAGGGUCGCUCGUCACUCAGAGUGUGUUUUGAACUUAGGCGAAAUAUGGUUCGCAACUAAGUCUCCGAGUGAAUAGGUUGGAAUUCACUCGGCUGGGUUUUAACUUAGGCGAAAACUUGUACGCACCUAAGCCCCAGAGUGAGAGGGUCGCUCGCCACUCGGAGUGUUUUUUUUUAAUAUGAGAUUGCACGACCGGAAUCGAAUACAAACUCAAGGAGUCAUAACUUUGAUAAGCAACAUUGUCUAUAACACUCUUAUUACGUCAAACCACUCAAUUUUCAAGUGUAAAAAUGUCGAAGUAAAUCUGUGUUCCAAGCACGUGGUUUGUCAAUUCUCUUCUUGAGGUUGAAGAGGUGGUAGGCCCAUUGUUUAGCACUUUGGUAAUGACUAAAGGACCUUCCCAUGCGGGGGCGAGCUUGUGAGGCCGCUACUGAUCCACUCGGAGCACCAGAUCACCUUCGUGGAACAACCAACUCCUGACAUGCCUUGCAUGGAAACGACACAAAUCCUGCUGGUAUAUUGUCGACCGAAUCAAGGCUAGUUCGCGAUCUUCUUUUAUAAGAUCUACACCGUACUGUCGUGCCUGUUCGGCUUCAGCCUCAGAAUAAAGCUAUACUCGCGGAGAACUCUGAAGGAGAUCACUCGACAAAAUGGCUUCGGUUGCAUAUACCUAGAAGAAAGGAGUGCGUCCAGCCGACCGGUUGGGAGUCAUCCUCAAGCCCCACAGAACUGACGAUAAUUCAUUAACACAAGCUCCAGCUACAUGUUCCAGAUCUCGCAUCAGUCGAGGCUUCAACCCUUGAAGGAUAAGGCCAUUCGCUCGCCCAGCUUGACCAUUAGUCUGGGGGUGUGAUAACCCACAAGUAUAGGGGAUCAAUUGUAGCCUUUCUCGAUAAGUAAGAGUGUCGAACCCAAUGAGGAGCUAAAGGUAGGACAAAUAUUCCCUCAAGUUCUAUCGACCACCGAUACAACUCUACGCACACUUUACGUUCGCUUUACCUAGAACAAGUAUGAAACUAGAAGUACUUUGUAGGAGUGAAAGGAUAGGCUUGCAAGAAAGGAAAGAACAUGUAAAUAAAACUAGGGGCUGGUUAGAUAAAGAAACAAGUAUGAGUGUCUAACGAGUGUGGAAAAGUGGUGGUAGGAGUUGCGGAAUUGUCCCUAAGCAAUUGACUACGUUACUAGAUCGAUAGCAAGUANNNNNNNNNNUAAAAAACACGUAAAUAAAACUAGGGGUUGGUUAGAUAAAGAAACAACUACGAGUGUCUAACGAGUGUGGAAAAGUGGUGGUAGGAUUUGAGGAAUUGUCCCUAAGCAAUUGACUACGUUACUAGAUAGAUAGCAAGUAUCAUGUGGGAGAGGCCUCUGCUAGCAUGUCAUCCCUUACUUGGAAUUAUAUGCACUUAUGAUUGUAACUAUUAGCAAGCGUCUGCAACUACUAACGUUCAUUAAGGUAAAACCCAACCAUAGCAAUAAGAUAUAUUGGUCCCCCUUCAAUCUCAUAUGCAUCAAUUUCUAUGCUAGGUUUGAAGCUUCUGUCACUCUAGCCUACCAAUACAUAGUCCUAUCAACAUACAACUAACCCUAUGGUGUGAUCCACGCGCGCGAUCAUAUGAUGGGCACCAAAGGACAGCAACAUAACCACAAGCAAAUUAAACCAAUCAUAGCAAUUCAUCAAUCACCGAUAGGANNNNNNNNNNNNNNNNNNNNNNNNNNNNNNNNNNNNNNNNNNNNNNNNNNNNNNNNNNNNNNNNNNNNNNNNNNNNNNNNNNNNNNNNNNNNNNNNNNNNAACUAUGCGUAAGGUAAACAAUCCUUGCAACUGUGAUCACAAGCACCGUUAUUUUCUCUUUGGUGGCAACAAGAACAUCCCCUAGUCUCAUGCUUCUGUCACUCAAGCUAGACAUUGAGGGGCAUGAACCCACAAUCAUGCAUAACGCUCCCUCUUGGAGUUACAAUCUACUACUUGGCCAAAGCAAUAAAUAGCAACGGAGAACAUGCAUGAAUCACUAAGGAACAUAAUAUAAAAGGAUAAUCAAAUAUAUAACUCAUAACAAUCUGAACAUAAUCUCAUAAUCCAUCGGAUCCCAACAAACCGAGCAUAGCAAAAGCAAGAGAAUUAUAUAGAUGCCUUGAUCAUGUAGGGCAGCUCACAAGGACUAACCAUUAAAGCACAAGAUUGGAGAGAAGACAUCACAUAGCUACUGGUCAUGGACUCAUGGUCCAAGGAGGACUACUCACGACACGUCCGGGAAGCGUCCAUGACGGUGGAGAAGCUCCCGGAGGUCAAUCCUCCCUCCGCCAGGGUGCCGGGAAGAGGUCUCCUGACGCUCCCGAUCUCGGAAGCGUUGCGGCGAUGGAACGAUGGUAAAUUCGUGAUUCCCGAAAGUCUGCAAGGGUUUCCUCUCAGGACUCUAAAUAUAGGCCAAAGGAGGGCACCGGAGCAGGUGGGACCCACCCAGGCGACCUCCUGGCACGGCCUAGGGCCUGACGGCGCCAACAGGCCGCCUGGGAGGCCCCUGCCCCCCCCCCUCUGGCCCAUCUUCGGCGAUCCAAAAGCUUCCNNNNNNNNNNNNNNNNNNNNNNNNNNNNNNNNNNNNNNNNNNNNNNNNNNNNNNNNNNNNNNNNNNNNNNNNNNNNNNNNNNNNNNNNNNNNNNNNNNNNACCGUUGGAAGGUCUUUUGUUGCAGUAGCAGAAGUAUUUCUGGCGCCGUUGCCGGGGAGAGAUCAAGUCAAGAUCUAUCCAAUUAGGUGUCACAAACUCAUCUCUUGCAUUUACCUUUUUUGCUAGUUGCCUCUCGUUUUCCUCUCCCCCACUUCACAUUUACCGUUUUCAUUUGCCUUGCUCCUUUGACUUUUUUGUUUGCCUUUUUCGUUUGCCUUUUCGUUCGCCCUUUUUCUCGCUUGCUUUGUGUUCUCUUGUGUGCCAUGUGCCUUCUUUUAGCUUGCAUCUUUGCUUGCUAAAAAUCCAUUGAUAUGGAUCCUCACCCACUUGCUAAUCUUUUUCAGAGAUCCACUUAUGUGGAACCAAUUGCUAGUGAAUUGAGUGCACUUGACUUUCUUUAUGGAGUUUUGCUUGAGAUGCGUGAAUCUAAAAAUUGUGAGGAAGAAAUUUAUGAAGUGAUUCACGAGGGCUCCUUGAAUGAAAAGCAUGAUUGCAAUGGUUUCACUAUAAAUCCUAUUAGUGACAAUCAUGCUACAAAAAUGCAAAACCCUAAGCUUGGGGAUGCUAGUCUUGCUAUGUCCUCUACUUGUUGCAAUAAUCAUGAAUGGGGUGAUGAUUUUUCUUAUGAUCUUGAAAAUAUGUUUAAGCCUCAUGAUGAAUAUGAUGUUUUCAAUAAGAUUGAAAGUGGGUUUGGAGAAGUCAUGACUUUAGUUGAUGAUAAUCCCACUAUUUUUGAAGAGCGUCAACUUUGCAUGCAUGUGGAUCAUGAAAAGAAUAUCCUAUGGGAUAGCUAUAUUGUUGAAUUUGAUUAUGAUCCCACAUGUAAUUGCUAUGAGAGAGGAAAAUAUUUUGGUAGAAACUUUCAUGUUACCAAUUUACCUCUCGUUUUGUUGAGAUUGCUAUUGUCUCUUUCUUCUUCCUUGCAUUUGGUAACUAUUGGUUGUCUUGCCAAUUUGUUUUCCUAUAAAAUGCCUAUGCAUAGGAAGUAUGUUAGACUUAGAUGUGAUUUUCACAUGCUUUAUGAUGCUCUCGUUGUGCUUCAACUAUUGUCUUUUGUGUGAGCAUCAUUGAUGCCUAGCUAAGGGCGUUAAACAAUAGCGCUUGUUGGGAGGCAACCCAACGAAUCUAUCCUUUUUCUUUCUGUUUUUUGUUUUCCACACUUUGAUAAUUCUGUUAUGAUUGUGUUUUUUGUGUUUCUUUUUGCGUUUGUGCCAAGUAAAACCGUUAUGAUUAGUCUUGGGGAUGAUCGUUUGGUCAUGCUGGAAANNNNNNNNNNNNNNNNNNNNNNNNNNNNNNNNNNNNNNNNNNNNNNNNNNNNNNNNNNNNNNNNNNNNNNNNNNNNNNNNNNNNNNNNNNNNNNNNNNNNCCAUAGAUAACGUCACGACUUUGCACGGUUCUGUCAAUUGCUCGACAGUAAUUCGUUCACCCACCGUCUACUUGCUUUCAUNNNNNNNNNNGAACUUAAUACACUAGAUGCAUGAAGGAUAGCGGUUGACGUGUGGAGGAAUAGUAGUAGAUGCAGAAAGUAUCGGUCUACUUGUUUUGGACGUGAUGCCUAUAGAUAUAAUCAUUGACAUAGAUAACGUCACGACUUUGCGCGGUUCAAUCAAUUGCUCGACAGUAAUUCGUUCACCCACCGUCUACUUGCUUUCAUGAGAGAAGCCACUAGUGAACACUACGGCCCCCGGGUCUAUUCACAACUAUCGUUUCCACUUUCACUUUUACUUUGCUUUGUUUCCUUUUUUGCUUUCGGUUCUCACUUUGCAAAUAAUCUAUAAGGGAUUGACAAUCCCUUCAUNNNNNNNNNNNNNNNNNNNNNNNNNNNNNNNNNNNNNNNNNNNNNNNNNNNNNNNNNNNNNNNNNNNNNNUUUUCCGCUUCGAGGGAACACCAACGCAAGGCUCCAAGGCCACGGGGGAAUCAUUUGCAUAUUUGCCAAGGAAGUCCCUAAAGGCGUAGCCGUAGCAGAAGNNNNNNNNNNNNNNNNNNNNNNNNNNNNNNNNNNNNNNNNNNNNNNNNNNNNNNNNNNNNNNNNNNNNNNNNNNNNNNNNNNNNNNNNNNNNNNNNNNNNGGUUCACUAAAAUAGCAACAACGAGGUGAACCUAUAUGAUGCUAACAACAAGACCAACUAAGACAAGUAAGAGAUAGACAACAACAUAAGCAUACACAAAGUAAAGGUUAGAGAUAACCACAAGUGGAACCAACGAAGACGAGGAUGUGUUACCGAAGUUCCUUCCCUUUGACAGGAAGUACGUCUCCGUUGGAGCGGUGUGGAGGCACAAUGCUCCCCAAUAAGCCACUAGGGCCACCGUAUUCUCCUCACGCCCUCACACGAUGCAAGGUACCGUGAUUCCACUAUAGGUGCCCUUGAAGGCGGCGACCGAACCUUUACAAACAAGGUUGGGGAAAACUCCACACAAAGCUUGGAGGCUCCCAACAAGACCACGAAGCUUCACCACAAUGGAAUGUGGCUCCGAGGUGACCUCAACCGUCUAGGGUGCUCAAACACCCAAGAGUAACAAGAUCCGCAAGGGAUUGGUGGGGAAUCAACUUUUCUCUUGGUGGAAGUGUAGAUCUAGGCCUUCUCAACCAAUCCCUAAAGAAUCCACAAGUUUGAUUGGCUAGGGAGAGAGAUCGGGCACUUUUGAGCUUAGGGAGCAACAAUGGAGCUUGGGAGGGUAAAAGGUAGGGUUCUACAGCAAGAAGAACCCCUUAUAUAGUGGGGGGGGGGAAUCCAACCGUUUUCCCACUCACAGCCCGAGCCUAGCGGUACUACCGCUGGCUGCAGCGGUACUACCGCUAGCACUCCAGCGGUACUACCGCUGGCUGCAACAGUACUACCGUUGGCACUCCAACGGUACUACCGCUGGGCCCAUGGUAGUGCAGAAGCACUACCGGGCCAACCACCGCAAAGAAAGUCUUCGCAAAAAGGUCCGACGAAGUACAGCCUCUAGGAACGCGGUACUAAGCUACUGGAGCGGUACUACCGCUGACCAGGGGCGGUACUACCGCCAGCAUAGCGGUACUACCGCCAGCACCAGCGGUACUACCGCUAGGGCGAGCGGUACUACCACCAGUUCCAGUGGUACCACCGCUAGGCCCAGCGGUACUACCGCUAGGCACAGCGGUACUACCGCUGAGAGACCUUUUGCUUAGAUGAGAUAAAAACAGAGGCGGGAGCCACUCCAAAGUUGCACGUAAAGGGAAAUGAGAUAAAGUGUGUGCGUGCAAAAUUGAUUCCACCCAAACCUUUCCACUACGGGUCCCCUCUUAAUAGUACGACGUUCCUAUGACUCAAAGAAAGAGAAUCGUGGAGUACACCNNNNNNNNNNNNNNNNNNNNNNNNNNNNNNNNNNNNNNNNNNNNNNNNNNNNNNNNNNNNNNNNNNNNNNNNNNNNNNNNNNNNNNNNNNNNNNNNNNNNGGCAGCCCGACCACAUACCUCCACGGUUUUUCCUCUAGAUCGCGUUUCUGCGGAGCUCGGGCGAAGCCCUGCCGAGAUCAAAUCACCACCACCCUCCGGAGCGCCGUCACGCUGCCGGAGAACUCAUCUACUUCUCCGUCUCUCUUGCUGGAUCAAGAAGGCCGAGAUCAUCGUCGAGCUGUACGUGUGCUGAACGCGGAGGUNNNNNNNNNNNNNNNNNNNNNNNNNNNNNNNNNNNNNNNNNNNNNNNNNNNNNNNNNNNNNNNNNNNNNNNNNNNNNNNNNNNNNNNNNNNNNNNNNNNNNNNNNNNNNNNNNNNNNNNNNGUUCGGCACUAGAUCGCAGGACGGUUUGUGGGACGGUUCGCGGGGCGGAUCGAGGGACGUGAGGACGUUCCACUACAUCAACCGCGUUCACUAACGCUUCUGCUGUGCGAUCUACAAGGGUACGUAGAUCAAAAAUCCCCUCUCGUAGAUGGACAUCACCAUGAUAGGUCUUCGUGCGCGUAGGAAAUUUUUUGUUUCCCAUGCGACGUUCCCAACAGUGGCAUCAUGAGCUAGGUUCAUGCGUAGAUGUCUUCUCGAGUAGAACACAAAAGUUUUUGUUGGCGGUGAUGUGCGUUUUGCUGCCCUCCUUAGUCUUUUCUUGAUUCCGCGGUAUUGUCAGAUUGAGGCGGCUUGGACCGACAUUACUCGUACGCUUACGAGAGACUGGUUUCAUCGUUACGAGUAACUCCCUUGCUCAAAGAUGACUGGCAAGUGUCGGUUUCUCCAACUUUAGUUGAAUCGGAUUUGACCAAGGAGGUCCUUGGAUGAGGUUAAAUAGCAAUUCAUAUAUCUCCGUUGUGGUGUUUGCGUAAGUAAGAGGCGAUCCUACUAGAUACCAUGGUCACCACGUAAAACAUGCAACAACAAUUAGAGGGAGUCUAACUUGUUUUUGCAGGGUAUGCUUGUGAUGUGAUAUGGCCAACGAUGUGAUGUGAUAUANNNNNNNNNNNNNNNNNNNNNNNNNNNNNNNNNNNNNNNNNNNNNNNNNNNNNNNNNNNNNNNNNNNNNNNNNNNNNNNNNNNNNNNNNNNNNNNNNNNNNNNNNNNNNNNNNNNNNNNNNNNNNNNNNNNNNNNNNNNNNNNNNNNNNNNNNNNNNNNNNNNNNNNNNNNNNNNNNNNNNNNNNNNNNNNNNNNNNNNNNNNNNNNNNNNNNNNNNNNNNNNNNNNNNNNNNNNNNNNNNNNNNNNNNNNNNNNNNNNNNNNNNNNNNNNNNNNNNNNNNNNNNNNNNNNNNNNNNNNNNNNNNNNNNNNNNNNNNNNNNNNNNNNNNNNNNNNNNNNNNNNNNNNNNNNNNNNNNNNNNNNNNNNNNNNNNNNNNNNNNNNNNNNNNNNNNNNNNNNNNNNNNNNNNNNNNNNNNNNNNNNNNNNNNNNNNNNNNNNNNNNNNNNNNNNNNNNNNNNNNNNNNNNNNNNNNNNNNNNNNNNNNNNNNNNNNNNNNNNNNNNNNNNNNNNNNNNNNNNNNNAAAUUUCAAGACGAAACUGUGUUCUCCCCGACUGUGCACCGUUGCGACAGUUCUUCGUUUCGAGACACCACGUGAUGAUCGGGUGUGAUAGACUCAACGUUCACAUACAACGGGUGCAAAAUAGUUGCACACGCGGAACACUCGGGUUAAGCUUGACGAGCCUAGCAUGUGCAGACAUGGCCUCGGAACACAUGAGACCGAAAGGUCGAGCAUGAAUCAUAUAGUUGAUAUGAUUAGCAUAGAGAUGCUUACCACUGAAACUAUUCUCGACUCACGUGAUGAUCGGACUUGAGAUAGUGGAUUUGGAUCAUGUACCACUCAAAUGACUAGAGAGAUGUACCUUUUGAGUGGGAGUUCUUAAGUAAUAUGAUUAAUUGAACUAAUUGUCAUGAACAUAGUCUAAUGAUCUUUGCGAAUUACGAUGUAGCUUGCGCUAUAGCUCUAUUGUUUUUAUAUGUUCCUAGAGAAAAUUUAGUUGAAAGUUGAUAGUAGCAAACUUUGUAGAGGAUUGUCCUCGUUGCUGCGCAGAAGGCUUAUGUCCUUAAUGCACCACUCGGUGUGCUGCACCUCGAGCGUCGUAUGUGGAUGCUGUGAACAUCCGACAUACACGUUUUUGAUGACUACACGAUAGUUCAGUGCAAAAUACUUAAUGGCUUAGAAGCAAGGCGCCGAAGACGUUUUGAAACGUCACGGAACAUAAGUAAUGUUCUAAAGAGAUGAAAUUGCGAUUUCAUGCUUGUGCCCUUGUUAAGAGGUACGAGACCUCCGACAAGAUUCUUUGUCCACAAAGUAAAGGAGAAAAGAUCAAUCGUUGACCGUGUGCUCAGAUUGUCUGAGUACGACAAUCGCUUGAAUCAAGUGGGAGUUAAUCUUCCAGAUGAGAUAGUGAUGGUUCUCCAAAGUCACUGCCACCAAGCUGUGAGAGCUUCGUGAUGAACUAUAACAUAUCAAGGAUAGAUACAAUGAUCCUUGAGCGAUUCGCGAUGUUUGACACUGGGAAAGUAGAAAUCAAGAAGGAGCAUCAAUAGUUGAUGGUUAGUAAAACCACUAAGUUUCAAGAAAGGCAAGGGCUAGAAGGGAUACUUCGUGAAACGACAAAACAGUUGUUGCACUAAUGAAGGGACCCAAGAUUAAACCCAAACCUGAGACUAAGUGCUUCUGUAAUGAGGGGAACAAUCACUGAGGUGGAGCAACUCUAGAUACUUGGUAGAUAAGAAGGCUGGCAAAAGUCGAAAGAAGUAUAUUUGAUAUACAUGAUGUUGAUGUGUACUUUACUAGUACUCCUAGUAGCACGAGGGUAUUGGAUACCGGUUCGGUUGCUAAGUGAUUAGUAACACGAAAUGAAAGCUACGGCAUAAACGGAGACUAGCUAAAGGCGAGGUGACGAUAUGUGUUGGAAGUGUUUCCAAGGUUGAUAUGAUCAAACGUCGCACACUCCAUCUACCAUCGGGAUUUGUGUUAAACCUAAAUAAUUGUUAUUUGGUACUUGCGUUAAGCAUGAACAUGACUGGAUCGUGUUUAUUGCAAUACGAUUAUUCAUUUAAAGAAAAUAAUGGUUACUCUGUUUGCUUGAGUAAAUCACCUUCAAUGGUUUAUUGAAUCUCGAUCGUAGUGUUACACAUGUUCAUAAUAUUGGUGCCAAAAGAUACGAGGUAAUGAUGAUAGUACCACUUACUUGUGGCACCGCCGCUUGAGUCAUGGUGUAAAUUGCAUGAAGAGGCUCCAUGCUGAUGGAUCUUUAUACUCACUUGAUUUUGAAUCACUAGUGACAUGCAAAUCAUACCACAUGAGCAAGGCCUUGUUUUCAUUGAGAUGAAACAAGAUAGUAACUUGUUGGAAGUGAUACAUUUUGAUGUAUGCAGUCCAAUGGGUGCUGAGGCACGCCGUGGAUAUCAUUAUGUUCUUACUUCAAUGACGAUUUGAGCAGAUACAAGAGUAUUUACUUAAUGAAUCACAAGUCUGAAAUAUUGAAAGGUUCAAGUCUGUUUCAGGAGUGAAGUUCGUUGUAACAAGUGGAUAAACUGUCUACGAUAUGAUCAUAGAAAUGAAUAUCUGAGUUACGAGUUUUGGUACGCAGUUAAGACAAUGUGGAAAUUGUUUCGCAGUUCAUGCCACCUGGAACAUCAUAGUGUGAUGAUGUGUCUGAACGUCAUAGCCACGCACUAUUUGGUAUGGUGCAUGCUGUGAUGUCUCUUAUCAAAUUACCGCUAUCGUUUAUGGGUUAUGCAUUAGAGACAACCGCAUUCACUGUAAAAUAGGGCACCGCAUAUUUCCGUUGAGAUGACACAGUAUAGACUGAGGUUUAGAGAAAUCUAAACUGUCGUUUCUUGAAAGUUUGGGGCUUCGACACUUGUGUGAAAAAGUUUCAGUCGAAUAAGCUCAAACCCAAAGCGGAUAAAUGCAUCUUCAUAGGAUAUCCAAAAUAGUUGGGUACAUCUCCUAUCUCAGAUCCGAAAGCAAAGUGUUUGUUUCUAAAACGGAUCCUUUCUCGAGGAAAGGUUUCUCUCGAAAGAAUUGAGUGGGAGGGUGGUAGAACUUGAUGAGGUUAUUGAACCAUCACUUCAACCAGUGUGUAGCAGGGCGCAGGAAGUUGUUCCUGUGGCGCCUAUACCAAUUGAAGUGAAAGCUGAUGAUGGUGAUCAUCGAGCAUCGGAUCAAGUUACUACAAGCCUCGUAGGUUGACAAGGUCGCGUACUACUGCAGAGUGGUACAGUAACCGUGUCUUGGAGGUCAUGUUGUUGAGCAACAGUGAACCCGCGAGUUAUGGAGAAAGCAAUGGUGGGCCCGGAUUCCGACAAAUGGCUGGAAGUCAUGAAAUCCGAGAGAGGAUCCAUGUAUGAAAACAAAGUGUAGACUUUGGAAGAAUUACUUGAUGGUCAUAGGACUUUUGAGUAAAGAUGGAUCUUUAAAAUGAAGACAGACAAUGAUGGUGAUAAGUCACUAUUAAGAAAAGCUCGACUUGUCGCAAAGAUGUUUCCGACAAGGUCAAACGGUUGACUAUGAUGAGACUUUCUCACUCGUAGCGAUGCUAAAAGUCUGUUAGAAUUAUGUUAGUAGUUGUUGCAUUAUUUAUGAAAUAUUGCACAUAGGAUGUCAAAACAUUGUUUCCUCGACGGUUUCCUUGAGCAAACAUUGUAUGUGAUACAACCAAAAGGUUUUGUCGAUCCUAAAGAUACUAACAAGUAUGCAAGCUCCAACGAUCCUUCAAUGGACUGGUGCAACCAUCUCGGAGUUGGAAUAUACACUUUGAUGAGAUGAUCAAAGAUUUUCGGUUUGUACAAGGUUUAUGAGAAACUUGUAUUUCCAAAGAAGUGAGUGGGAGCACUAUAAAAUUUCUGAUAAGUAUAUGUGGUUGACAUAUUGUGGAUCAGAAGUAAUAUAGAAUUUCUGUAAAGCAUACAAGGUUGUUUGAAAAGAGUUUUCAAAGGAGUACCUGGAUUGCGCUACUUGAACGUUAAGCAUCAAAGAUCUAUGGAGAUAGAUCAAAAGCGCUUAAUGGAAGUUUCAACAAGAUCCAUGCCUUGACAAGUUUUUGAAGGAGUUCAAAAUAGAUCAGCAAAGAAGGAUUUCUUGGUUGCGUUGUGAGGUGUGAAUUUGAGUAAGACUCAAAACCCGACCCCGGCAGAAUAAAGAGAAUAGACGAAGGUCGUCUUCUAUGCCUUGGCCGUAGAAUCUGAAGUAUGCCAUGCUGGGUACUGCGCCUGAUGUGUGCCUUGACUCGAAGUCUGUUGAGAGGUACAGAGAGUGAUCCAUGAUUGAAUCACUAGCAACGGUCAAAAUUUAUCCUUAGUAACUGAUGGACUAAGGAAUUUUUCUUGAUUAUGGAGGUGGUUAAAGAGUUCGUCGUAAAGGGUUACGUCGAUGCAAGCUUUGACACUAAUCCGAAUAACUAUGAGUAGUGAAACGGAUUCGUAUAGUAGAGUAGAUAUUUGGAGUAUUUCCGAAUAGCACAUAGUAGCAGCAUCUAUAAGAUGACAUAAAGAUUUGUAAAGAACACACGGGUCUGAAAGUUUCAGAACCGUUGACUAAAACUGCUCUCACGAGCAAGACGUGAUCAGACCCCAUGACUAUAUGGGUGUUGGAUUCGUUGGANNNNNNNNNNNNNNNNNNNNNNNNNNNNNNNNNNNNNNNNNNNNNNNNNNNNNNNNNNNNNNNNNNNNNNNNNNNNNNNNNNNNNNNNNNNNNNNNNNNNNNNNNNNNNNNNNNNNNNNNNNNNNNNNNNNNNNNNNNNNNNNNNNNNNNNNNNNNNNNNNNNNNNNNNNNNNNNNNNNNNNNNNNNNNNNNNNNNNNNNNNNNNNNNNNNNNNNNNNNNNNNNNNNNNNNNNNNNNNNNNNNNNNNNNNNNNNNNNNNNNNNNNNNNNNNNNNNNNNNAUUGAUUGGAAACACACUGCAUGUGUGGAUACAUAGACAAAACACUGUCCCUAGUAAACCUCUAGUUGACUAGCUCGUUGAUCCGAGAUGGUCAAGGUUUCCUGACCAUAGGAAAGUGUUGUCACUUGANNNNNNNNNNNNNNNNNNNNNNNNNNNNNNNNNNNNNNNNNNNNNNNNNNNNNNNNNNNNNNNNNNNNNNNNNNNNNNNNNNNNNNNNNNNNNNNNNNNNNNNNNNNNNNNNNNNNNNNNNNNNNNNNNNNNNNNNNNNNNNNNNNNNNNNNNNNNNNNNNNNNNNNNNNNNNNNNNNNNNNNNNNNNNNNNNNNNNNNNNNNNNNNNNNNNNNNNNNNNNNNNNNNNNNNNNNNNNNNNNNNNNNNNNNNNNNNNNNNNNNNNNNNNNNNNNNNNNNNNNNNNNNNNNNNNNNNNNNNNNNNNNNNNNNNNNNNNNNNNNNNNNNNNNNNNNNNNNNNNNNNNNNNNNNNNNNNNNNNNNNNNNNNNNNNNNNNNNNNNNNNNUUGUCACUCCGUGUGAUGGAGAGGUAUCUCGGGGCCCACUCGGUAAUACAACAUCACACACAAGCCUUGCAAGAAAUGUGACUUAGUGUAAGUUGCGGGUUCUUGUAUUACGGAACGAGUAAAGAGACUUGCCGGUAAACGAGAUUGAAAUAGGUAUGCGGAUACUGAUGAUCGAAUCUCGGGCAAGUAACAUACCGAAGGACAAAGGGAAUGGCAUACGGGAUUAUAUGAAUCCUUGGCACUGAGGUUCAAAUGAUAAGAUCUUCGUAGAAUAUGUGGGAUCCAAUAUGGGCAUCUAGGUCCCGCUAUUGGAUAUUGAUCGAGGAGUCACUCGGGUCAUGUCUGCAUAGUUCUCGAACCCACAGGGUCUGCACACUUAAGGUUCGACGUUGUUUUAUGCGUAUUUGAGUUAUAUGGUUGGUCACCGAAUGUUGUUCGGAGUCCCGGAUGAGAUCACGGAUGUCCCGAGGGUUUCCGGAAUGGUCCGGAAACGAAGAUUGAUAUAUAAGAUGACCUCAUUUGAUNNNNNNNNNNNNNNNNNNNNNNNNNNNNNNNNNNNNNNNNNNNNNNNNNNNNNNNNNNNNNNNNNNNNNNNNNNNNNNNNNNNNNNNNNNNNNNNNNNNNNNNNNNNNNNNNNNNNNNNNNNNNNNNNNNNNNNNNNNNNNNNNNNNNNNNNNNNNNNNNNNNNNNNNNNNNNNNNNNNNNNNNNNNNNNNNNNNNNNNNNNNNNNNNNNNNNNNNNNNNNNNNNNNNNNNNNNNNNNNNNNNNNNNNNNNNNNNNNNNNNNNNNNNNNNNNNNNNNNNNNNNNNNNNNNNNNNNNNNNNNNNNNNNNNNNNNNNNNNNNNNNNNNNNNNNNNNNNNNNNNNNCGGAUAGAUCUCCAUGAAGAUCAUGGAGAACUUUGUAUUGAAGAUCCAAGAGAGAGAAGAAGCCAUCUAGUUACUAGCUAUGGACCCGUAGGUCUAUGGUGAACUACUCACGCAUCAUCGGAGAGGUCAUGGUGUUGAUGAAGAAGCCCUCCGUGUCCGAAUCCCCCCUUCGGCAGGGCACCAGAACGUGCCCCAGAUGGGAUCUUGCGGAGACAGAAGCUUGCGGCGGCGGAAAAGUGAUUACGAUGCUCCCUUGAUUUUUUUGGUAAUAUUUGGGAAUUUAUAGGCGCAAGAUCUAGGUCAGGGGACCUCCAGGGGGCCAAAAGCCUGCAUGGCCCGCCCCCUGGCCGCGGGGUGGGGGCUUGUGGGGCCCCUGGGGCUCUUCUGGCUUGGCUCCCAAGUCCCCCGAUCUUCUUCCGUUCCAGAAAAAAUCUUUUCGGGGAUUUUCUUCCUUUUGGACUCCGUUUCAAAAUCUCCUCUGAAAGGGGUCAAAAACAUGGAAAAAACAGGAAAUGGCACUUGGCACUGGAUUAAUAAGUUAGUCCCAAAAAAUAAAUAAAAGGCAUGCAAAACAUCCAAAGUUUGACAAGAUAAUAGCAUGAAACCAUCAAAAAUUAUAGAUAUGUUGGAGACGUAUCAGUGAGGUAUGAAUAAGUGGUGAGGCUGCAACAAGCGACUAAGCAUUUACUUAAGGUGGCUAACUUACGAGUACAAGAAUAAGAGGGGGAUGAUCUACGCACAUCGGACGUGAACUAAUAACGAUCAAAUUAAUUAUCCUGAACACCUACUUACGUCAGACAUAAACCGACCGUGUCCUCAAUCGGAGAAGGAGCUCACGAAAGAGACAGACACGGUUACGCACAGAGUUGGCUUAUUUUAAUUAAGCUUACUUCAAGUUAUAUAGAACCGGAUGUUAAGAAAGAUUCCACGUUGCCACAUUACUUGCAUGUCGAUGAGUAGGGCAACCGGCAGGAGCCAUAGGGUUGUCUUUAAUUAUUUGUGCCUUUUUGCUUUCCUUGAUCGCUAUGAGUUAGUAAUAGUCGUAUAAGCAUAUUUGGCGCAACAACUUCAAUGGCGACACGAUGAUGGAGAUCAUGGUGUCAUGACGGUGACGUUGGAGAACAUGCGAGUGCUUUGAAGAUGGAGAUCAAAAGCACAAGAUGUGAUGGCCAUAUCAUGUCACUAUUAUGAUUUGCAUGUGAUGUUAAUCCUUUUAUGCAUCUUAUUUUUCUUAGGACGACGUUAGUAUUAUAAGAUGACCCCUCACUAGAAUUUCAAGAUAAAAUAGUGUUCUCCCCAAGUUUGCACAGUUGCGAAGGUUUGUCAUUUCAAGGCACCACGUGAUGAUCGGAUGCGAUAGACUCUAUGUCUGCAUACAAAGAAAAGGGUCUAAUUAACUCCUCAUUAUUACCAAUGUUGGAAAUACGCCCUAGAGGCAAUAAUAAAGUGGUUAUUAUUAUAUUUCCUUGUUCAUGAUAAUCGUUUAUUAUCCAUGCUAUAAUUGGAUUGAUUGGAAACAAAAAUACAUAUGUGGGUACAUAGACAAGAAAGUGUCCCUAGUAUGCCUCUACUAGACUACCUCAUUGAUCAAAUAUGGCUAAGGUUUCCUAGCCAUAGACAUGAGUUAUCAUUUGAUGUGAUGGACAAGACCCAAACCUAAAGCACAUCGUUUGAUCGGAUCUAGUUUACUACAAUUGCUUUCUGCAUGUAAAUAUAUAUGUUCCUAUGACCAUGAGAUGAUGCAACCCACUGACACCGGAGGAAUGCCUUGUGUGUAUAAAAUGUCACGACGUAACUGGGUGAUUAUAAAGGUGCUCUACAUGUAUCUCCAAGGGUGUCUAUUGAGUUGGCAUGGAUAAAGACUGGGAUUUGUCACUCCCUCUAACGGAGAGGUAUCUCGAGGCCCACGGUAAUACAUCAUCACAGUAAGCUUGCAAGAAAUGUGACUAAGUAGUGAGUCAUGGGAUCUUGUAUUAUGGAACGAGUAAAGAAACUUGCCGGUAAUGAUAUUGAACUAGGUAUGGAGAUACCGAUGAUCAAAUCUCGGGCUAGUAACAUACCGAUGGACAAACGGAACUCCAUACGAGAUUAACUAAAUCCUUGACAUCGUGGUUCAACUGAUAAAGAUCCUCGUAGAUUAUGUGGAAGAAAUAUGGGCAUCUAGGUCCCGCUAUUGGUUAUUGACCGUAGAGGUGUCUCGGUCAUGUUUGCAUAGUUCUCGAACCCGCAGGGUCUGCACACUUACCGUUUGUUGACGAUAUAGAUAUACUUGAGUUAUUCUGUUGGUGACCAAACGUUAUUUGGAGUCCCGGGUGAGAUCUCAGACAUCACGAGGAGAUAUAGAAUGAUCUGUAGGUUAAGAUUCAUAUAUAGGAAAGUGGAAUUUGGGUUCCAGAAAAGUUUUGGUUUUUUCUGGUAUUGUACCGGGAUUGCCGAAAAGGUUCCAGGGGUCCACCGGGAGGGGCCCACCCACAGAGGGGGGCCACAUGGGCCUAAGAGGUGGCUCACCAGGCCCUGGUGGGCUGGGCAGCCGACCCCUAAAGUACUCAUGCGCCCAAGUGGUAGGUGGGGAGGUGCCUUGAGGAGGAGGGACUCCUCCCCUUGGGUGCCCACCUCCCUUGUUGGAGGUGGACUUCUCCCUUCUUGCCCGGACAGCCCUCCCUUAAAGGAGGGGCAAGGCUGCACCCUACCUACCCCUUCCUCUUAUAAAUAGAGAGGUAGAGGGAUGCAACUAACACACCAAGCCUUGGCGGCGCCCUCCUCUCUCUCGCUAGAUCGUUUUCUCCUCUGUUGCGUCGCGAUAACGCUUGGCGAAGCCCUGUUGAGAUUGCACCGCCACCGCCGCCACCACGUCACCGUGCUACCGGAGUACUCAACCUCUACUUCACCAUCUCUCGCUGGAUCGAGGAGGUGAGCGUGUUAUCGAUUUGUACAUGUGCUGAACGCGGAGGUGUCAUCCGUUCGCACUUGAUUGGGACGUUCGUGAUCGGAUCACGGGACGAAUCAUGCUUGGAUCGCGAACACGUUCGACUAAUCAACCGCGUUUCACAAUGCUUCCGCUUAGCUAUCUACAAGGGUAUGUAGAUGCACUCCCCCUCUCAUAGAUGUUAGUCUCCAUAGAUUGAUCUUGAUGAGCGUAGGAGAAUUUUUGUUUCCCAUGCGACGUUCCCCAACAGUGGCAUCAUGAGCUAGGUCUAUGCGUAGAUAACAUGCAUGAGUAGAACACAAAACAGUUUGUCAGCAUUGAUAAUAUGAUUGCUUACUUCCUUAGUCUUAUUUUAUUCGGUGGUAUUUUGGGAUGAAGCGGCAAAGCAGUAUCAANNNNNNNNNNNNNNNNNNNNNNNNNNNNNNNNNNNNNNNNNNNNNNNNNNNNNNNNNNNNNNNNNNNNNNNNNNNNNNNNNNNNNNNNNNNNNNNNNNNNNNNNNNNNNNNNNNNNNNNNNNNNNNNNNNNNNNNNNNNNNNNNNNNNNNNNNNNNNNNNNNNNNNNNNNNNNNNNNNNNNNNNNNNNNNNNNNNNNNNNNNNNNNNNNNNNNNNNNNNNNNNNNNNNNNNNNNNNNNNNNNNNNNNNNNNNNNNNNNNNNNNNNNNNNNNNNNNNNGUAUCAAGCAUAGCAUUAUUAGGCAUAGUAUCAAGCAUAGCAUCAUCAGGCAUAGUAUCAAGCAUAGCAUCAUCAUAAGCAUCAUGGGCAGCAGAAGUAGCAUCAUCAAGCACACGCGACAUAUCAAGAUUUCUAGCAGGAGGCGAAGUCGCAAACUUACUCAAAACUGAAGGUGAAUCAAGUGCAGAGCUAGAUGGCAGUUCCUUACCUCUCCUUGUAGUGGAAGGCAUGAAUUUAGUUCUUGGAUCUUUCGGAUUCCUCAUAGUGAUCAACAGAUGUCAAUCCCAAGUGACUCAGAGAAUAUAGUUGUGCCUCCCCGGCAACGGCGCCAGAAAAAGCCUUGAUGUCCCACAAGCGUAUGGGAUUGCAGUAGUUUUUGAGGGUAGAGUAUUCAACCCAAAUUUAUUGAUUCGCUCACAAGGGGAAGCUAAAGAAUAUUCUCCAGUAUUAGCAGCUGAGUUGUCAAUUCAACCACACCUGAAAGAUUAGUGUAUGCAAGCAAAGUAUCAGUAGCAAGGUAGUAUGAUAGCAACGGCACCAGAAAAAGCCUUGACAAUUCCCAGCAACGGCGCUAGAAAAGGCCCUGUUGACGGGAUGUUAGCGCCAACAAAGUCUUGCAACAAGUAACAACAGAGUAGCAAGGAACAGUAGUAGCAACAGCAACAAAGUAACAAGUAACAACAGUAGUGACAGCAGCAAGUGGCCCAAUCCCUCUUGUAGCAAGGGACAAGCCUAGGCAAAGUAACGUAGCGAGGACCAGUAGUAAGAGACUCGUAGGUAGUGGAUCGGUGAUGGAUGAGUGUGACGGAUGUGAUUCAUCAUGUAACAUCUAUAACACGGAGAGAUAUGUGGCUAGCUCCCGUUCAUCAAUCUAAUGUAGGCAUGUAUUCCGUAUGUAGUCAUACGUGCUUAGGGAAACGAACUUGCAUGACAUCUAUUGUCCAUCCCUCCCAUGGCAGCGGGGUCCGAAUGGAAACUAUGGGAUAUUAAGGUUCUCCUUCUAAUAAAGAACCGGACCAACGCAUUAACACGCAGUGAAUACAUGAACUCCUCAUACUAUGGUCAUCUCCGGGAGUGGUUCCGGCUAUUGUCACUCCGGGGUUGCCGGGUCAUAACACAUAGUAGGUGACUACAACUUGCAAGAUAGCAUCUAAAACACACAUAUAUUGGCGACAACAUUAUAGGUUCAGAUCUGAAAUCAUGGCACUCGGGCCCUAGUGACAAGCAUUAAGCAUAGCCAAGUAGUAGCAACAUCAAUCUAGAACAUAGUGGAUACUAGGGACCAAUUCCCGUCAAAAACUAACUCGAUUACAUGAUAGAUCUCAUCCCACUCAUCACCGUCCAACAAGCCUACGAUGAGAUUACUCACGAACGAUGAAGAGCAUCAUGGAAUUGUCGAUGGAGAAAGGUUGAUGAUGAUGAUGGCGAUGAUUUCCCCUCUCUGGAGCCCGAAAUGGACUCCAGAUCUGCCCUCCAGAUGAAGAACAGGAUGUGGCAGCGCCUCCGUAUCGCAAAACACGAUGAAACCGUCUCUCUGUUUUUUCAGGCGAAACGGAAGAUAUAGAACUGAGAUUGGGGGCGGUGGUGCCACGUGGGCCCCACAAGCCCUCAUGGCCCGGCCAUAGGGGUGACCGCGGACCAGGGGCUUGUGGCCCACUGGCACGCCCCCUCACGUGGAACUUUGCGCAGGUAUUUUUCUUUUAUUCCAGAAAAAUCUCCGUAAAUUUUCAGGACAUUCCGAGAACUUUUAUUUCUGCACAAAAACAACACCAUGGCAAUUCUGCUGAAAACAGCAUCAGUCCGGGUUAGUUCCAUUCAAAUCAUGCAAAUUAGAGUCCAAAACAAGGGCAAAAGAGUUCAGAAAAGUAGAUACGACGGAGACGUAUCAAGUCCCCCAAGCUUAAAGCAUUGCUUUUCGUCAAGCAACUCAGUUGACAAACUGAGAGAUACAAAAGAAAAACUUUGACGAACUCUGUUUGAUCUUGUUGUUGCAACUUUGUCUAACUCAUAACCAGAAUUUCAGCAACAUCACAAGCAAACCACAUAAGCAAAUGACAUCUAAAUCUCAUGGUAAACUCAUAUCAAUGGCAUAAUCAACUAGCGAGCAAAUAAUAAUAAGCCUCAAAUGUCAACACUUCAUUCAAAACAACAUGAAGCAGUACGAAUAGAUGGUAUCUCGCUAGCUCUUUCUGAGACCGCAAAAUAUAAAUGCAGAGCACCUUCAAAGACCAAGGACUGACUAAACAUUGUAAUUCAUGGCAAUGAAGAUCCAGUCAUAGUCAUACUCAACAUAGUUAAAAGCAAAGCAUAAAAAUGACAGAGGUGCUCUCUAAUUGGUGCUUUUGUAAGAGGAGGAUGACUCAACAGGAACAUAAAUAGAUAGGCCCUUUGCAGAGGGAAGCAGUGAUUUGUAGAGGUGCCAGAGCUCAAGCUUUGAAAACAGAGAUAAUAAUUUUGGGUGGCAUGCUUUCAUUGUCAGGCAAUGAGUAGGAGUUCUCAACAUCUUCCACGCUACACAUGCUAUAGGCGGUUCCCAAACAGAAAAGUAAAGUUUAGACUCCCCCACCACCAAUCAAUCACACUCCACAGCUAGCCAAAUCCUCGGGUACCAUCCAUACCAACAUCAAUCCUGUGAGAGUUUUGUUUGCAAUUAUCUUUUCGAUUUGAGCAUGGAACUGGGAAUUCCAAUUACCGGACCCUUUCUCAUGAAUGAUAGUGAAUAAACACAUAUCGAGGAUAACACGCCAAGCAUGGAAGAUACUGAUAGCCCCCUGUCACCACAUGAGCGGUUCGGGCAUGCAAAACAGAUUAUUUCUUGAAGGUUUAGAGAGUGGCACAUGCAAAUUUACUUGGAACGGCAGGUAGAUACCGCAUAUAGGUAGGUAUGGUGGACUCAUAUGGCACAACUUUGGGUUUAUGGAAGUGGAUGCACAAGCAGUAUUCCCGCUUAGUACAAGUGAAGGCUAGCAAAAGACUGGGAAGCGACCAACUAGAGAGCGACAACAGUCAUCAAAAUGCAUUGAGAUUAACUAACAUUGAGUGCAAGCAUGAGUAGGACAUAAAUCACCAUGAACAUGAAUAUCACAGAGGCUAUGUUGAUUUUGUUUCAACUACAUACAUGAACAUGCGCCAAUUCAAGCCACUUGAAACAUUCAAAGGAGGAUACCAUCCUAUCAUACUACAUCAUAGUCAUCUCAACAUUCAUGUUGGCAACCAAGACAAACCAUUAUAAGCUCCUAGCUAAGUAAGCAUGGCAUCAACAACUAUGAUCUCUAAGUUGUCAUUGCAAACAUGUUUCUCUCACAACAAAGAUGAACUAGGAACUAUGAGCUAGUCAUAUUUACAAAAACAAAAUAGAUCGAGUUCAUACCAGCUUUUCCAUGCUUAGUCACUUCAUCGUAUAUCGUCAUUAUUAACUUUCACUUGCACGACCGAAUGAUGUGAACAAUAAUAAGAGUGCUCGUGCAUUGGACUAAAGCUGGAAUCUGCAGGCAAACACAAAGGAGAAGACAAAGUAAUAUGGCUCUAUGAAAGCUAAACAGGUAUGCAUGCAAGAGCCACUAAACAUUGUAAACAUGGUCUUCUACCUUGACCCGAAGAAAAAGAAAACUAUAUACAUGGGAAAGCUCUCAACAAGCAAAAGAAGAAGAGAAAAUAUUUUUAGUUUUUCUCAAACUAGACAGACACAUGAAAAGAAAACGAGAAAAAGAAAAUAAACUAGCAUGGAUGAUACAGUGGCAAAGUGUGAACACCGACGAACGAAGUGAAAGCAUAAGCAAGAAUGUAAAGUAGGUGAGAACACGUACUCCCCCAAGCUUAGGCUUUUGGCCUAACUUGGUCUACUCCCAAGGAUGGUCCUGGCGAAACCCAAAAUCAUACUGAGGGUUAUACGGGAGCGCUACAGCCACUGCCUGAAUAGCUGCCUCACGGAGACGAGCAGCCUUUGCCUCCCUCUCAUACUCCUCUGCCUCUCCUCUGGUUAUGUAAUAUCUCUGUUUUACCUGAAAGUCAAAGAGAGCAGGAGCAUGAAGGGUAAUAUGGAAAACAUGCUGCCGAUUUAAUAUCAGUCGGGAUAGCAGGGAUUCAUCAUCCCUCUCAAGGAACUAGUAGCGUCUCAUAGCAACGCGGUCAAGGAAAGCUAUAUGGAGCGGGGGAUCUCCUGAGCAGAUGGGUACUCCAAGAAAAUUUGCUAUGCGAGUGGCAUAGAUGCCGCCAAAGAAAUACCCAUCAAUAGCAUUCUUAUUCAGCCUCCUUGCUAUAAUAGCUCCCAUGUUGAAGCUUUUGUCACCCGUCACUGCGCUCUUAAGGAUACUAAGGUAAGGUCGGGUGCGCACAGGUGACAAUGCUCGAUCUUGCCAUUAAUGCAUCUGCCUAUGAAGAGGGCAAAAUAAUGCAAGGCAGGAAAAUGAAUACUCCCCAUGGUAGCUUGUGUAAUGUCUCUAGUUUCUCCAACCGUAAUACCAGAGCAAAAAUCUCUAACCGAAGAUUUAGGAGGAUCAUUGAGGCUACCCCAAGUGGGUAUUUUGCAAAUUCUACUGAAAUCCUCUAAGUCCAUGGUAUACGAUUUAUCGUAGAUAUCAAAUAGUACCGAUGGCUCACGGCCAGCUAAAAAUUUGAAUCUACGAACAAAAGAGGCAGUGAGAGCAACAUACUGUUCACAUUUAUCAGAGAUGAAUUCUUCGAGUGUGACGUUGUGAAUAAGUGCAUCAAACUCAUCUUUGAAGCCUGCCUCAAUCAUAAAUUCAUCAGAAGGCCAUUCACACGGUUGUACCUGCGCGUCCCUAGGUUGGUAAGCAUCAUGCUCCCGAAUUUCCAGACGAGGACCUCUCUUGCUUGAGGAACCACCAUGAAAUUUUCUCCUGAAGAUCUUCCUUUUCUGAAAUUUUCAGUGACCCAAAGGGAAGGUGAACAAGGUUCAACUAAACUUGUAGCAACUACUCCAACAAGUGCCUAGAGACCAUAUUACGCAUCAAAACUACUUGGGACCAGCUAGAAUCAGCAUGCAAAGCUCAAGAACAUGGUCACCAAGGCAGCAAAAAUACGCGGAGUAUAACGCACUAGAGCAAAAACUAAUUGGACCAAUGGAGGAGUCACUUACCAAGGAGUAAUUUCCCCAAAACGGUUCGGAGAACGGUGAUUUGAGCAAAGAGAUCGAAAAUCCCAACAAGAGGAGCAAGUACACAGGUUUGAGAUGCGAAACGAUUUUUCUGGAGGUAGGAGAACAGGAUGGGAGCAAGAAUGAGUGGAGGGGGUGCCUGUGGGCCCCACAAGCAUGGGUGGCCCGGCCAGGGGGGGUGCCCGCGCCCCUAGGGCUUGUGGCUCACUGGUGUGGCCCCCAGACAGACUCUUUGUCCCAGAAUUUUUCAAAUAUUCCAGAAAAAAUCAUACUUGAUUUUCACAGCGUUCGGAGAACUUUGAUUUUCGGGGUACUUUUCUACCGGACGCUAAAACAGAAAACAGGGAAAACUAAACUAAAUCUAUCAUUUUUCUUCUAAGCAACCUAAAGUAAAAGCUUGGAACAGAGGUUUGCGACUCCUCGAUUCAUCCAUCUCAUGGUCAUCGAAAGAAAUCCGUCAAUGGGGUUGAUCAAAUCCCCUCGACAGAACUUUCUCGAAUCGCAAAAGAAUAUGGAGAAUUUUCGAAUAGUCACUAGGUCACCUCAAUGGGGAUGUGAAUCUACCCAACAAGCAAAUCAUACUUCAUCUUGACACAAGGAAUAAGGCAUUCAAAGCUCCGAAUAAGAAUCGAUGAAGUUUUUUCGAUAGCAUCGAUGCAAUGUACUCGAUAUUGUUUCUUCAGAAAGUGCACAGUAUGCUCAUUACCGUUGACAUGGAAAGUGACAUUGCCUUUGUUGCAAUCUAUAACAGCCCCUGCACUGUUUAACAAGGGUCUUCCGAGGAUGAUAGCCAUGGCAUCGUCCUCUGGAAUAUCCAAGAUAACAAAGUCUGUUAAGAUAGUGGUGUUAGCAACCACAACAGGCACGUCCUUGCAAAUGCUGAUAGGGAAAGCAGUUGAUUUGUCGGCCAUUUGCAGAGAGAUUUCAGUGGGUGCCAACUUAUCCAGUUCAAGUCUACGAUAAAUAGAGAGAGGCAUAACACUAACACCGGCUCCAAGGUCGCAUAAAGCAGUUCUAAUGUAGUUGCCUUUAAUGGAGCAAGGUAUAGUGGGCACACCGGGAUCACCUAGUUUCUUCGGAGUUCCACCCUUGAAAGUGUAAUUGGCAAGCAUGGCGGAGAUCUCAAGAUUAGGUAUCCUCCUCUUAUUAGUCACAAUAUCUUUCAUGUACUUAGCAUAUGGAGACAUCUUGAGCAUAUCCGUCAAACGCAUUUGCAGAAAGACAGGUCUGAUCAUCUCAACGAAUCGCUCAAAAUCCUCAUCAUCCUUUUUCUUGGAUGGUUUGGGAGGAAAGGGCAUAGAUUUCUGAACCCAUGGCUCCCUUUCUUUACCAUGCUUCCUAGCAGCAAAGUCAUUCUUAUCAUAUCUUCUAGUCUUAGGCUGUGGGUUAUCAAGAUCAACACUAGGUUCAAUCUCCACAUCCUUUUCAUUGCUAGGUUGAGCAUCUUCAUGAACAUCCCUAUUGAUAUUAUCAUUAGGCUCAUGUUCAUCACCAGAUUGUGUUUUAGCAUCAGAGAUAGAGGCAUCGUUUGGACUCUCAGGUGUAGCAGCAACAGGGUUGCUAGCAUGCAGGUUCCUAUCAUCUUUCUUCUUCUUUCUAGGAUGACUAGGUACAUCAGUGCUAACUCCUUGAGAAUAUUGUUCAAUUCUCUUCGGAUGACCCUCAGGAUACAGAGGUUCCUGGGUCAUUCUACCGCCUCUAGUGACGACUCUGACGGAAUUAUCAUUCAACUCAUUGAGCAAGUCAUUUUGAGCUUGAAGUACUUGUUCUACCUGAGUAGUAACCAUAGAAGCAUGUUUACUCACAAGUUUAAGAUCAUUGACAUUUCUGUCCACACAAGCACUUAAAUGACUAAGCAUACGAGCAUUCUAUUCCAAUUGUCUGCUAACAUAAUCAUUGAAACUCUGUUGUUUGGCGAUAAAGUUAUCAAAUUCAUCCAUGCAUAAGCUAGCAGGUUUAUCAAAAGGAAUAUCACUCUCAUCAAACCUACACAGAGAAUUUACUUCUACUACCUGUAUCGGGUUAUCGAGACCAUGGAUCUCUUCGAUAGGUGGUAGAUUUCACAUCUUCAGAUUUAAUGCCUUUCUCUCGCAUAGAUUUCUUGGCUUCUUGCAUAUCUUCACGACCGAGGAAUAGAAUACCUCUCUUCUUUGGAGUUGGCUUAGGAGGUGGUUCGGGAAUAGUCCAGGCAUUCUCAUUGCACAAGAUGUUGUUCAAUAGAAUCUCAGCUUGUUCUACGGUUCGUUCCCUAAAAACACUACCAGCACAACUAUCUAGGUGGUCUUUGGAAGCAUCGGUAAGUCUAUUAUAGAAGAUAUCAAGUAUUUCAUUCUUCUCAAGAGGGUGAUCAAGCUAAACAUUCAAUAGCUGGAUAAGCCUCCCCAAGCUUGUGGGAGACUCUCUUCUUCAGCUUGAGCAAAGUUGUAUAUUUCCUGCAAGGCAGCUUGCUUCUUAUGGGCAGGGAAAUAUUUUUCAAAGAAGUAGUAGACCAUAUCCUGGGGACUACGCACACAACCAGGAGCAAGAGAAGUGAACCAGGUCUUAGCAUCAUCCUUUAGCGAGAAAGGAAACAACUUGAGCAUAUAGUAGUGGUGAAUCUUUUCCUCACUGGUGAAUAGGGUGGCUAUAUCGUGCAGUUUGGUAAGAUGGGCUACAACCGUUUCAGACUCGUAACCGUGAAAGGGAUCAGAUUCAACCAGAGUGAUUAACUCAGGCUCGACAGAGAAUUCAUAAUCCUUAUCUGUCACAAAGAUAGGUGAAGUGGCAAACUUCGGGUCGUAUUUCAUCCUAGCGUUCAGAGAUUUUUCUUUCCACUUGCGUAGAAGUUUCUCAACAUCAUAGCUAUCCUUACACGCAAGAAAAUCCUCAGCUAUCUCUCCCUCCAUAACAUAGCGUGUAUCAGGCAUAACAGGCAUAUUAGGCAUAGUAGCAGGUUCUACUUCAAUAGUAUCAGCAGUCUCAGAAGUAUCAUCACGUCUAGCAACAAUUCUAGCAAGUUGUGCAUCAAGGGCACCAAGUGGCAAAGCAGUAUCAAGCAUAGCAUCAUCAGGCAUAGUAUCAAGCAUAGCAUCAUCAGGCAUAGUAUCAAGCAUAGCAUCAUUAGGCAUAGUAUCAAGCAUAGCAUCAUCAGGCAUAGUAUCAAGCAUAGCAUCAUCAUAAGCAUCAUGGGCAGCAGAAGUAGCAUCAUCAAGCACAGGUCACAUAUCAAGAUUUCUAGCAGGAGGCGAAGUCGCAAACUUACUCAAAACUGAAGGUGAAUAAAGUGCAGAGCUAGAUGGUAGUUCCUUACCUCUCCUUGUAGUGAAAGGCAGGAUUUUAGUUCUUGGAUAUUUCGGAUUCCUCAUAGUGAUCAGCAGACAUCAAUCCCAAGUGACUCAGAGAAUAUAGUUGUGCCUCCCCGGCAACGGCGCCAGAAAAAGCCUUGAUGUCCCACAAGCAUAUGGGAUCGCAGCAGUUUUCGAGGGUAGAGUAUUCAACCCAAAUUUAUUGAUUCGCUCACAAGGGGAAGCUAAAGAAUAUUCUCAAGUAUUACCAGCUGAGUUAUCAAUUCAACCACACCUGAAAGAUUAGUGUCUGCAAGCAAAGUAUCAGUAGCAAGGUAGUAUGAUAGCAACGGCACCAGAAAAAGCCUUGACAAUUCCCAGCAAUGGCGCUAGAAAAGGCCCUGUUGACGGGAUGUUAGCGCCAACAAAGUCUUGCAACAAGUAACAACAGAGUAGCAAGGAACAGUAGUAGCAGCAGCAGCAAAGUAACAAGUAACAUCAGAGUAGCAAGGAACAGUAGUAGCAGCAACAACAAAGUAACAAGUAACAACAGUAGUGAUAGCAGCAAAGUGGCCCAAUCCCUCUUGUAGCAAGGGACAAGCCUAGGCAAAGUAACGUAGCAAGGACCAGUAGUAAGAGACUCGUAGGCAGUGGAUCGGUGAUGGAUGAGUGUGACGGAUGUGAUUCAUCAUGUAACAGCUAUAACACGGAGAGAUAUGUGGCUAGCUCACGUUCAUCAAUCUAAUGUAGGCAUGUAUUCCGUAUGUAGUCAUACAUGCUUAGGGAAAAGAACUUGCAUGACAUCUAUUAUCCAUCCCUCCCUUGACAGCGGGGUCCUAAUGGAAACUACGAGAUAUUAAGGUUCUCCUUUUAAUAAAGAACCGGACCAACGCAUUAACACGCGGUGAAUACAUUAACUCCUCAUACUAUGGUCAUCUCCGAGAGUGGUUCCGGCUAUUGUCACUCCGGGGUUGCCGGGUCAUAACACAUAGUAGGUGACUACAACUUGCAAGAUAGGAUCUAAAACACACAUAUAUUGGCGACAACAUAAUAGGUUCAGAUCUGAAAUCAUGGCACUCGGGCCCUAGUGACAAGCAUUAAGCAUAGCCAAGUAGUAGCAACAUCAAUCUAGAACAUAGUGGAUACUAGGGAUCAAUCCCCGUCAAAAACUAACUCGAUUACAUGAUAGAUCUCAUCCCACUCAUCACCGUCCAGCAAGCCUACAAUGAGAUUACUCACGAAUUAUGAAGAGCAUCAUGGAAUUGUCGAUGGAGAAAGGUUGAUGAUGACGAUGGCGACGAUUUCCCCUCUCCGGAGCCCAAAACGGACUCCAGAUCUGUCCUCCAGAUGAAGAACAGGAUGUGGCGGCGCCUCCGUAUCGCAAAACGCGAUGAAACUUUCUCUUUGAUUUUUUUCCAGGCAAAACGGAAGAUAUAGAACUGAGAUUGGGGGCUGUGGUGCCACGUGGGCCCCACAAACCCUCAUGGCCCGGCCAUAGGGGGUGGUUGCGGCCCAGGGGAUCACAUCACACACUACAUGUAUGGAGCACACUACACGUAUGGAUCACAUCUAACUUGGGAGGAGAAGAAUGUUCUCCUCUACUUUCUUGUUGUUGGUGUUCUGGCUUCUAGGGAUACCUUCUCGUACCAUUUGGGAAUUAGCCAAAAUUAUACAUUUUACAUGCCACUAGUGCAUAGGUUGAGUCCGGAUGACAUUCGUCGAAAUGUCUUGGUAAGAGUUUCCUAAUUAAGUACGCUCUACUAUUGCAUAAAUGGUGUUGAUUACAUUACUAACUAGGUUAUUAUUAUGUUCUUCAACAGCAACUGCCACAUGAUGUAGUGCCUCCGUUGAUGGACCCAAAAGGUCAAAUGAAAAUUAGAAGCCCGCUGAGGGCUGAGUUCUAUGCUCCAUACUCGAUUAACUUCAAGUCAAGAUAAAAUAGGCUUCAAAUUAAAGCAUGGAGAGAAAUAAAGAAGGUUCACAAGCCAGAAGCUGGAGACCGUUGGAUCUCUGUGAUUCAUCAUGGAGCCAUAGGUGUUAUUCUGUUUUAUGACAUUAUAUCUAAGAGCGAGGACUAGGUCUUAUGAGAGACAAGUUAUUCUAGUUUAUAUUAUUACUUGACAUGAUGGAUUGAUUAGGAUGCAUGCAUGUAUAUGAUGACUAUAUAUAUAUUAUGAUGUUUCUCUGUUUUAUUUUAUGUGUAUCAUAUGAUAACUUGGUAUAUGAUUAAGUUGAUGAUGAGUUGUUAGAUGAUCGAUUAGAAUACUAUUGCCAUUCGACGGAAAUGAUAUGAAAUGAUAUAGUGUAAAAAAGAUGCAUAUAUGUGCAUGUAACUCGUGUCUACAUUUUGUAAAUAUGUUAGACAAAGCACGACGGAUGAGAUGGUGUAAUAUAUUCGUGAUAAUGUGCAAUAUAUAUGUAACAAAUAAAUGGAAAAAUAAGGGGCAGCAAAAUAGUUCAUCCAAUUUAGUGCAAAGCCCUAAACCCAAAAAUUGCUCAAAAAAACAGUGAUGAAAUAGCCCCGGUUCGUAAUACGAACCGGAACUAAUACCCCUNACCCUCGCUCCCAGCCCGGCCACGUGGAAGGCCAUUAGCCCCGGUUCGGGGCCGAACCGGGGCUAGCAUUAGUCCCGGUUCGAGAACCGGAACUAAUGGCCCAACCAAACCGGGACUAAAUGCCCUUUUUUUACUAGUGUAUCUUCUUUUUUUGGUACAACCGACAAAAAAUUUGCUGCAUCCGGCGAGAUUUUUUUGUUUGCCAACACCGGCCACGACAUAUUUUUAUCGGAACCGUGAUGUUUUUUUACUGGAACAGUUUUAGUUUUUUGCUACAACCAGCGAAUAUUGUUUUUGUUCCUGAUUUUCUUUUUUUGCUGAAUAUAAUGGUGGUGGAAGCCUCCGUCGACGGCGAGCCGAGACGGCGGGGGUGCUGCAGGUCUGCAGCCACGGCGCCCAUAUGCAGGAACCACUACAAAAUUUUGCAUGCGCGCGUCCCAUUUUUCACAGAAAAAUAUCCGUAUAUCACAGCUUCCUACCAGCGGCUUUGCAGUGGGCAAACAAUGGAAUAUUCCAUAUUGUCGAAAAAGCAAAACCAAUGGAAUAGUCCAAGUAAGCAUGCUCCUCCUGGAACCAUGCGUACAUACGCGAGCCACUCACGGCGACACGGCCUCACGGCUUCCCCUUCUGGAUAUGGGCGUAGAUUAACCAUGUGUUGACUGGACUAGCUAUAUAUGAAAAUCCAAAUGACAGACUCGACGAGUUGCUUCAUGCAUGUCUUGUUCGUGGAAUUCUUUGCCAGUGCAAUAAAAUUCCUUGCCAUGGUGCUAGACUUUCCAGGCAAACUGCAGAAAUUGCUCGUACAAAACCACUAUAAAACCCCCUCUAAACUGAAGCUAUACGUACAAAAGCAUAGCCAGCUAGCUACGGCCUACACAUACGGAGGCACAAAGAAAUCAUUUACACACCAAACCCAGAAUGGAGACGCCCAAGCUGGCCAUUUUGCUCGCCCUAGCCAUGGCAGCCGCCAUGGUUAAUCUUUCCCAAGCGCAAAACUCGCCUCAGGACUACCUUUCACCCCACAACGCCGCCCGCGCUGCCGUCGGCGUGGGCGCAGUGAGCUGGAGCACGAAGCUGCAGGCGUACGCCCAGAGCUACGCCAACCAGAGGAUCGGCGACUGCAAGCUCCAGCACUCCGGCGGGCCCUACGGGGAGAACAUCUUCUGGGGGUCGGCCGGCGCGGACUGGAAGGCGGCGGACGCGGUGAAGCUGUGGGUGGACGAGAAGAAGGACUACGACUACGGGUCCAACACCUGUGCAGGGGGGAAGGUGUGCGGGCACUACACGCAGGUGGUGUGGCGCGCGUCGACCAGCAUCGGCUGCGCUCGCGUCGUCUGCAACAACAACGGCGGCGUCUUCAUCACCUGCAACUACGAGCCCGCCGGGAAUGUUGUUGGACAGAAACCAUACUAAACUGUGAUUGCUUUUCGCAGUACAUAUACAUAGUCCAGUAGUCCCUCGUUCCUCACGUGCAUGGGAUUCAUGCACGCUCGUAUCUAUAAUUAGCUAGAGGGGCUGGGCGAGUAAAUAAAAGGAAUGCUGUAAUAAGCUAUGUAUUCUCCUCUCCAUCAUGGACAGUAAUAAAUAAUGAGCUUUUUUACUGUACCCUGAAAUUCAUCUGAACCUUUCAUUACAGUUAAUCUAAUCUUAAAGAUGAUUGUGAUGAUAUAUUGAAUGGUACUCCAGCACAAGUAAAUUGGAGGGAUAUACCCCCUAAAAAUCCAAGGAGAGUACCAUGUGUUUAGCUAAGCGUAUCUAAGGUUACCUUCAUAUUCAUUUACAAAAAAGGUUACCUUCAUAUUAAAAAUGAAUUAUUUCUAAUGUGCUUUGGUUAUUUUGUAGCCCAGAAUAUUUUGAUACUCUGUCCCAACAAGGAAAAUCUAGUCCCACUUUUUUUUAGGAAAAUCUCAAAAAACCUAUCUCUCAUCAAUCCGGGACUCUGCUUAGAACUCGAUCGAUCAUGAUAUUGUCGUUUGGUGAUGGGCUAUUGAUUAGAGAUAAGGGAACAUACCGCAAUAUCAAAUAUAAAAGGACCAACUGCCCUCUUAGAUGAUGUUAGGCACCGGAUCUGGAUCUAGUAUUUCUCUUCAUAGUUUCAUCUCAAGUACAUAAUGGUGUUACAGAGAGAAGGGAGAAGAACAGAAAAUAAAGCCGCCAUUGACGUGCCUUUGCCUGAUCCUCAUGGAUGCCCAGCGAGUCGCUGAGAGAGCUUAAGUAGCAUUCCACCAUUCCGGGCCCACGAACAUGCGGGUGGGCUGCUUGAUCCUAGGUGGACUUGCGAUGACGUGCUUGUGUCCCUGAUUGGUGGAAGGGGGUUUCUCUUCUGCCAUGUAAUCCGCUCGCCCCGAAUUGGCGAGGUUGUUGUUCGCUGGGACUGAGACUGGGUCGCUGACAUCCCCUACUCCUUGAGAGCAUGCUUGACCCCAAGCUGCUACAGUCGGAUACCUGCCCUUCAGAGCAAGAGAAUCUUCCCAAGAGGCAUCGAGCAGUUCAGAAUCAGACCAGCGCACCAAGUAUUGCUCGCGACGACUGACAGGGGUUUGCCGCCAGCAUUUGUCCAAGAGCUCCACUCGAGAUAGUUCAGCCGAACGAGGAACUGGUAGUGUAGAAGAUGUAGUCGUACCUGGUGCGAGUGCUUGGCAUAGCUGAGAAACAUGGAAGACAUGACGAAUGCGCACUCCUGUGGUAACGCGAGCUCAUAGGCCACAUGGUUUAUCUUGUGUAGUAUUUGGAACGGACUAAAGUAUCUGAACACAAGCUUGUGGUUGGCUCGACGGUGCACUGAAGAGUGCACGUAAGGUUGCAGCUUGACAAAAAUGGCAUCGCCCACUUGGAAUUCUCUGGCAGAACGUUUCUUGUCGGCUUGAAUUUUCAUAACGUGACGUGCUCGGUGCAGAUGUUGUUUGUGCACUUGUUGCAUAGUCUUGCGCUCCUCUAGCCAAUCUUUUAGUGGUGGAACCUUGCAUACAGAUGCAGCUUCAAUUCCCCAAUGCCUUGGCUCAUGUAUGUACAGAGCCUGAAACUGUGACAUGUCGAAUUCCGAAUUGUAGCUGGCAUUGUACCAAAACUCGACAAGUGACAAAAACUGGCUCUAGUGGUUGGGACAGGCAUGGAUGAAGCAACGCGAGUAAAUUUCAAAGCACUGGUUCACCCUUUCAGACUGUCCAUCCGUUUGUGGGUGAUACACAAUGUUCAUCUUCAGUUCCGACCCUAUGCAAGCAAAUAGCUCCAGCUAGAACCUGCUCGUGAACACUGGGUCCCUGUCUGAGAUGAUGGCUUGGGGCAGCCCAUGCAGCUUGUACAUAUUAUCCAGAUAAGAUCGAGCCAUUCUAGCUGCUGUGAAAGGAUGUUGGAGGGGUAGAAAAUGCGCAUAACGCGUGAACUUGUCCACCACCACGAGAAUGCAGAUGCAGCUUCAAUUCCCCAACUGCGAAACAAUUCCACAUCGUCUUAAGUGAGCACCAAACUCGUAACUCAUAUAUUCACCUCCUCGCUCAUAUUGUAGGAACUUUAUCUUCUUGUUACGAUGAUUUUCAACUUCACUCUGAAAUUGCUUGAACAAACCUUUCACACUUGUGCUUCAUCAAGUAGAUAUACCCAUACGUACUCAAAUUGUCAGUGAAAAUGAGAAAAUAAUGAUAUCCACCGCGCGUCUCUAUGCUCAUUGGUCCGCACACAUCAGUAUGUAUGAUCUCCAACAAGUCAUUUGCACGCUCCAUUAUUUCGGAGAACGGAGUCUUAGUCAUCUUGCCCAUAAGACAUGGUUCGCAUGUGUCAAGUGAUUCAAAAUCAAGUGACUCCAAAAGUCCAUCAGCAUGGAGUUUCUUCAUGCGCUUUACACCAAUAUGACCUAAGCGGCAGUGCCACAAGAAAGUGGGGCUAUCAUUAUUAACUCUACAUCUUUUGGUCUCAAUGUUAUGUACAUGAGUGUCAUCACAAUCGAGAUUCAAUAUGAACAAACCCCUCACAUUGGAUGCAUGACCAUAAAAGAUAUUACUCAUAUAAAUAGAACAACCAUUAUUCUCUGACUUAAAUGAGUAAUUGUCUCGCAAUAAACAAGAUCCAGAUAUAAUAUGCAUGCUCAACGCAGGCACUAAAUAAUAAUUAUUUAAGUUCAUCACUAAUCCCGAUGGUAACUGAAGUGAGAGCGUGCCGACGGCUAUUGCAUCAACCUUGAAACCAUUUCCCACGCGCAUCGUCACUUCAUCCUUCGCCAUCCUUCGUUUAUUCCGCACUUCCUGUUUCGAGUUGCAAAUGUGAGCAACAGAACAGGUAUCAAAUACCUAGGCACUACUACGAGAACUGGUGAGGUACACAUCAAUAACAUGUAUAUGAAAUAUACCUUGUUUGGCGUUGGCCGCCUUCUUAUAGGUCAGAUACUUGGGGCAGUUUCGCUUCGAGUGACCAGUUCCCUUGCAAUAAUAACACUCAGUUUCCGGCUUAGGUCCAGCCUUGGCUUUCUUCGUCAGAGGGAAACAGAUUUGCCACUCUUCUUGGAGUUACCCUUCUUUCCUUUGCCCUUUUUCUUGAAACUGGUGGUCUUAUUGACCAUCAACACUUGAUGCUCUUUCUGGAUUUCUGACUGUGCGACUUUCAGCAUCGCAAACAGCUCGGCGAGUGACUUAUUCAUCCCUUGAAUGUUAUAGUUCAACACAAAGCUCUCAUAGCUAGGUGUCAGUCAUUGAAGAACUCUUUCAGUGAUAGCCUCUUGCGGGAGUUCAAUCCCUAACUCAGCUAGACGGUUAGACUACCCACACAUUCUGAGUAUGUGUUCACUGACAGACCCGUUCUCCUCCAUAUUGCAAGCAUAGAACUUAUCGGAGGUCUCAUACCUCUCGAUCCGGGAAUUCUUCUCAAAAAUAAACUUCAACCCUUGGAACAUCUCAUAUGCUCCAUGAUGUUCAAAACGUCUUUGAAGUCCCGGUUCUAAGCCAUACAAAAUUGCACAUUGAACCAAUGGGUAGUCAUCCUUACGCGACUGCCAAGCGUUCAAAACAUCUUGGGUCGCCGUAGCGGGUGGUGCAUCACCUAGCGCAACAUCAAGGACAUAUUGAUCUUGGCCAGCCAUGAGGAUAAGCCUCAGAUUACGAGCCCAGUCAACAAAGUUGCUUCCAUCAUCUUUCAGCUUAGCUUUCUCUAGGAACGGUAUUAAAAUUCAGGGUUGCUACUCCGCGGGCCAUUGAUCUACAACAUAAAAUUUUGCAAAGAUUACUUAGACUAUGUUCAAGACAAUUGAAUUUAGCUAAUCAUAUUACUAAUAAACUCCCACUCAAAUAGACAUCCAUCUAGUCAUUCGAGUGUUGCAUGAUCCAAAUCCACCAACUCAAGUCCGAUCAUCACGUGAGUUGAGAUUAGUUUCAAUGGUGAACAUCUCCGUGUUGAUCAGAUCAACUAUAUGAUUCAUGCUCGACCUUUCGGUCUCUUGUGUUCCGAGGCCAUGUCUGUACAUGCUAGGCUCAUCAAGUUUAACCCGAGUGUUCCGGUGUGCAACUGUUUUGCACCCGUUGUAUGUCUAUGUUGAGUCUAUCACACCCGAUCAUCACGUGGUGUCUCGAAACGACGAACUGUCGCAACGGUGCACAGUCGGGGAGAACAGAAUUUUAUCUUGAAAUUUUAGUGAGGAAUCACCUUAUAAUGCUACCGUCGUCCUAAGCAAAAUAAGGUGCAUAAAAGGAUUAACAUCACAUGCAAAUCAAAAGUGACAUGAUAUGGCCAUGAACUUGUGCUUCUUGAUCUCCAUUACCAAAGCACCGGCAUGAUCUCCAUCGUCACUGGCACCGUACCAUGAUCUCCAUCAUCAUGAUCUCCAUCAUCGUCCUGCCAUCGAGGCUGUCGCGCUAUCUAUGAUGUUACUACCAAAGCUACUGCCUAGCGAUAUAUCAAGAGCAUCUGCAAGCGCAAAAUAAAUUUAAAGACAACCCUAUGGCUCAUGUUGGUUGUCGUAGCAUCGACGUGCAAGUCGAUAUUUAACUAUUACAACAUGAUCAUCUCAUACAUCCAAUAUAUCCUAUCAUGUCAUUCGCCAUAUCACAUCACAAGCAUACCCUGCAAAAGCAAGUUAGACGUCCUCUAAUUUGUCGUUGCAUGUUUUACGUGGCUGCUAUGGGUAUCUAGUAUGGUCGCAUCUUACUUACGCAUAGCCACAACAGUGAUAUGCAAAUUGCUAUUUAACCUUCUCCAAGGACCGCCUCGGUCAAAUAUGAUUCAACUAAAGUUGAAGGAACAGACAUCCACCGGUCAUCUUUAUGUUGGAAUUAUGCCCUAGAGGCAAUAAUAAAUAUAGUUAUUGUUAUAAUUCCUGUAUCAAGAUAAUCGUUUAUUAUCCAUGCUAUAAUUGUAUUGAAUGAAGACUCAUUUACAUGUGUGGAUACAUAAACAAAACACCGUCCCAAGCAAGCCUCUAGUUGGCUAGCCAGUUGAUCGAAGAUAGUCAGUGUCUUCUGAUUAUGAACAAGGUGUUGUUGCUUGAUAACUGGAUCACGUCAUUAGGAGAAUCACGUGAUGGACUAGACCCAAACUAAUAGACGUAGCAUGUUGAUCGUGUCAUUUUGUUGCUACUGUUUUCUGCGUGUCAAGUAUUUAUUCCUAUGACCAUGAGAUCAUAUAACUCACUGACACCGGAGGAAUGCUUUAUGUGUAUCAAACGUCGCAACGUAACUGGGUGACUAUAAAGAUGCUCUACAGGUAUCUCCGAAGGUGUUAGUUGAGUUAGUAUGGAUCAAGACUGGGAUUUGUCNNNNNNNNNNNNNNNNNNNNNNNNNNNNNNNNNNNNNNNNNNNNNNNNNNNNNNNNNNNNNNNNNNNNNNNNNNNNNNNNNNNNNNNNNNNNNNNNNNNNNNNNNNNNNNNNNNNNNNNNNNNNNNNNNNNNNNNNNNNNNNNNNNNNNNNNNNNNNNNNNNNNNNNNNNNNNNNNNNNNNNNNNNACAAGCCUUGCAAGCAAUGUAACUUAGUGUAAGUUGCAGGAUCUUGUAUUAUGGAACGAGUAAAGAGACUUGCCGGUAAACGAGAUUGAAAUAGGUAUGCGGAUACUGACGAUCGAAUCUCGGGCAAGUAACAUACCGAAGGACAAAGGGAAUGACAUACGGGAUUAUAUGAAUCCUUGACACUGAGGUUCAAACGAUAAGAUCUUCGUAGAAUAUGUAGGAUCCAAUAUGGGCAUCCAGGUCCCAUUAUUGGAUAUUGACCGAGGAGUCUCUCGGGUCAUGUCUAAAUAGUUCUCGAACCCGNNNNNNNNNNNNNNNNNNNNNNNNNNNNNNNNNNNNNNNNNNNNNNNNNNNNNNNNNNNNNNNNNNNNNNNNNNNNNNNNNNNNNNNNNNNNNNNNNNNNNNNNNNNNNNNNNNNNNNNNNNNNNNNNNNNNNNNNNNNNNNNNNNNNNNNNNNNNNNNNNNNNNNNNNNNNNNNNNNNNNNNNNNNNNNNNNNNNNNNNNNNNNNNNNNNNNNNNNNNNNNNNNNNNNNNNNNNNNNNNNNNNNNNNNNNNNNNNNNNNNNNNNNNNNNNNNNNNNNNNNNNNNNNNNNNNNNNNNNNNNNNNNNNNNNNNNNNNNNNNNNNNNNNNNNNNNNNNNNNNNNNNNNNNNNNNNNNNNNNNNNNNNNNNNGAAGCCCAUAGGCCUUUGGGGAGACACACCAGCCCUUAGUGGGCUGGUGGGACAGCCCACAAGUGCCCUAUGCGCCAAGGAGAAGAAAAUCAAGAGAGAAAGAAAAAAAAAGGAGGAGGUGGGAAGGAAGGGGGACUCCCUCCCACCAAACCUAGUCCAACUCAGUUUGGGGGGGGAGAGUCCUCCCCCUUGGACUCGGCCGACCCCCUUGGGGCUCCUUGAGCCCCAAGGCAAGGUCCCCUCCCUCCCACCUAUAUAUACGGAGGUUUUAGGGCUGANNNNNNNNNNNNNNNNNNNNNNNNNNNNNNNNNNNNNNNNNNNNNNNNNNNNNNNNNNNNNNNNNNNNNNNNNNNNNNNNNNNNNNNNNNNNNNNNNNNNNNNNNNNNNNNNNNNNNNNNNNNNNNNNNNNNNNNNNNNNNNNNNNNNNNNNNNNNNNNNNNNNNNNNNNNNNNNNNNNNNNNNNNNNNNNUCGGGCGGAGCCCUGCUGAGACAAGGUCAUCACCAACCUCCGGAGCGCCGUCACGCUGCCGGAGAACUCUUCUACCUCUCCGUCUCUCUUGCUGGAUCAAGAAGGCCGAGAUCAUCGUCGAGCUGUACGUGUGCUGAACGCGGAGGUGCCGUUCGUUUGGUACUAGAUCGUGGGACUGAUCGCGGGAUUGUUCGCGGGGCGGAUCGAGGGACGUGAGGACGUUCCACUACAUCAACCGCGUUCUCUAACGCUUCUGCUGUACGGUCUACAAGGGUACGUAGAUCACUCAUCCCCUCUCGUAGAUGGACAUCACCAUGAUAGGUCUUUGUGCGCGUAGGAAAAUUUUUGUUUCCCAUGCGACGUUCCCCAACACUUUAUGCAACAAGUUGCAUGUCAGUCGAUGAAACCGGUCUCUCGUAAGCGUACGAGUAAAGUUGGUCUGGGCCGCUUCAAUCCCACAAUGAUGCUGAAUCAGGAAAAGACUAAGCAGGAAAGAAAAUUGAACAUCAACGCCCACAAACUCUUUUGUGUUCUACUCGAGAUAUCAUCUACGCUUGAACCUAGCUCAUGAUGCCACUCUUGGAGAACGUUGCAUGGGAANNNNNNNNNNNNNNNNNNNNNNNNNNNNNNNNNNNNNNNNNNNNNNNNNNNNNNNNNNNNNNNNNNNNNNNNNNNNNNNNNNNNNNNNNNNNNNNNNNNNNNNNNNNNNNNNNNNNNNNNNNNNNNNNNNNNNNNNNNNNNNNNNNNNNNNNNNNNNNNNNNNNNNNNUCAUCUACGAGAGGGAGAUCGGAUCCACAUACCCUUGUAGAUCACUAAGCGGGAAGCGUUAAGAAACGUGGUUGAUGUAGUGGAAUAUCUUCGUGAUCCAAAUCGCCGCCGUCCCACGAUCCGUCCCGAUCUAGCGCCGAACGGACGGCACCUCCGCGUUCAGCAAACGUACAGCUCGACGAUGAUCUCGGCCUUCUUGAUCUAGAGAGAGGGGCCGGUGAGGUAGAUGAGUUCUCCGGCAGUGCGACGGCGUGACGGUGAUGGUGGUGGAGCUAGUCCAGCAGGGCUUCGUCUAAGCACAGCUGAAACUAGACUAGAGGAGAAACGGAUCUACAGAUAGGGCAUCACGUGGCUAAUUGUUGUGUCAAACACCCUCAAAAAUCUCUAGUAUAUAUAGGAGGAGAGGAGAGGAGGCAGCCUUGGCCCCUACUCCAAGGAGAAGGGGUCGGUUGAACCAAAGGAAGAGUCCACCUUCCCUUGUGGGAAGGUGGACUACUUUGGGAGGACUCCUCCUUCCCUUCCUUUUAAAAGUACUUUACCUUUUAUCUCUUCUCCUAGCCGCAUGGGCCUUUGAGAGAGGCUUAGGCAAGCCCACUAGGGGCUAGUACACCUCUUCUCACAGCCCACGAGGCUCUUGGGUCGUCACACCCCUUCCGGUGGUUCCCCGGCACCCUCCCGAUACUCCCGGUACACUACCGAUGAGCCCGAAACUUUUCCGGUGACCAAAACAGGACUACCUAUAUAUCAAUCUUUACCUCCGGACCAUUCCAGAGCUCCUCGUGACGUCCAGGAUCUCAUACGGGACUCCGAAGAACCUUCGGUCACCAACACCUAUAACUCAACUAUACCAAAAUGUCAUCGAACCUUAAGUGUGCAGACCCUACGGGUCCGAGAACUAUGAAGACAUGACCGAGACACUUUCCGGUCAAUAUCCAAUAGCGGGACCUGAACGUCCAUAUUGGAUCCUACAUAUUCUACGAAGAUCUUAUCGGUUGAACCUUUAUGUCAAGGAUUCACACAAUCCCGUAUAUCAUUCCCUUUGUCCUUCGGUAUGUUACUUGCCCGAGAUUCGAUCAUCCAUAUUGAUACGUCUCCAACGUAUCUAUAAUUUUUUAUGGUUCCAUGUUAUUAUCUUGUCAACUUUGGAUGUUUUGUAUGCAUUUUAUAUCUUUUUUGGGACUAACCUAUUAACUCAGUGCCAGUUCCUGUUUUUUUCCCUGUUUUGACCUUUUUCAGAGGAGAAUAUUAAACGGAGUCCAAACGGAAUAAAACCUCCGAAAAGAUUUUUUCCGGAACAGAAGAUACGCAGGGAACUUGAGAACCAAGGCAAAGGGCUCCGGGGGAGGCCACAAGCCCCCUAGCCGCGGCCUGGGGGCCGCACUUAGCAGGCUUGUGGCCCCCCCGUGGCUCCUUUUCCCUACCUCUUUCACAUAUAAAUUCCCUAAAAAUCUGAAAUCACGGGAGAGAGCCAUGAAAAUACUUUUCCGCCACCGCAAGCUUCUGUCUCCGCAAGAUCCCAUCUGGGGCACGUUCUGGUGCCCUGCCGGAGGGGUGAAUCGGACAUGGAGGGCUACUUCAUCAACACCAUUGCCUCUCCGAUGAUGCGUGAGUAGUUCACCACAGACCUUUGGGUCCAUAGCUACUAGCUAGAUGGCUUCUUCUCUCUCUUGGAUCUUCAAUACAAAGUUCUUCAUGAUCUUCAUGGAGAUCGAUAUGAUGUAAUCUUCUUUUNGCAACUCCUACAACAACACUCAUGGAAAUUACAAUAAAUUACCCUCUGAUCUAGAUAGUAAUAUCAAAGAGUUCAUCAACUCUCAAAAGAUUUUCAAUGCGUCCAUAGAGGAAAAGCUACUCAAAAUUGACGAUUUGGCUAAGAGCGUUGUUAGAAUUUCUAGUGAUGUUGAUGCUUUGAAAGUUAGAUGUGCUCCUCCCAAAAUCAACAUGGAUGAAACUUUUAAAGCUAUGUGUGUUUCCAUGAUUGAGAGCCAAGAAAGAAUCGUCCAAAUUCGUGCUAGACAUGAAUGGCUUAAAAAGGCGUGUUCUCGUGAUAAGAAUCACGAAGAUCUUAAAGUGCUUGGUGUGACUCCACUGAAUCUUUGUUUUCUUGUGUCAAAUAUAAUGAUUAUGGGGCUGGAUAUGAAUCCACUUUGGUUGAAAAGUGCCCCAAUGAUUGGGAGUUCAUCUAUCUUGAUGCUAAAAGCAUUGAAAGUGGAGUAGAAGACGUUAAAACUUUGAGUAGUAAUGAAAUUACUAUUGUGGAUUUCAAGGAAUUCAAUUAUGAUAGUUGCUCCUUGAUUUAACGCAUUUCUUUGAUGCAAUCCAUGUUAAACUCUCCACACGCUUAUAGCCAAAACAAAGCCUUUACCGAUCAUAUCGUUGAAGCUAUGAUAAAAUCUCUUGAAGAGAAACUUGAAUUGGAAGUAUUCCCUAGAAAGCUUCAUGAUGAGUGGGAACCUACUAUCAAAAUCAAAAUCAAAAACUACCAAUGCAAUGCUUUGUGUGAUUUGGGUGCUAGUGUUUCUGCGAUUCCAAAGUCUUUAUGUGAUGCUCUGGGUUUUAAUGAGAUUGAAGAAUGUUCUCUUAAUUUGCAUCUUGCUAAUUCUACUGUCAAGAAACCUAUGGGAAGGAUCAAUGAUGUUCUUAUUAUUGCAAAUAGGAACUAUGUACCCGUGGAUUUCAUUGUGCUUGACAUUGAUUCCAAUCCUACAUGCCCUAUUAUUCUUGGUAGACCUUUCCUAAGGACUAACGGUGCUAUCAUCGAUAUGAAGGAAGGGAAUAUUAGAUUUUAAUUUCCUUUAAGGAAGGGCAUGGAACACUUUCCUAGAAAUAAAAUAAGAUUGCCUUAUGAAUCCAUGAAGAGGGCCACUUAUGGUUUGAGCACCAAAGACGACGAUACGUGAUUUUAUCGCUUUUCUGCCUAGCUAAGGGCAUUAAACAAUAGCCCUUGUUGGGAGGCAACCCAAUGAAUUUAUCUUUUUAUUUCUGUUUUGUUGCAUCCACACCUUCACAAUUCUGUUGUGAUUGUGUUUUUUGUGUCUAUUUUUGUGUUUGAGCCAAGAAAAACCUUUAUGACUAUGGUAAUGGUUGUUUGAUCCUGCUAGAAAAAGACAGAAAAUUUUCGCUCACGAGAUGAUUUUUCAUUUUUAUUCAGAAAGAUAUUUUGAGUUGAUUCUUUUUGCUGCUGGUUGAUAUGCUUUUUCCCCAGGCCAUCGUAAUAUUUCAGAUUGUUUGAGGUACCAGAAGUAUAAGAAGUAUACAUAUUGCUACAGACUGGUCUGUUGUUGACAGAUUCUGUUUUUGUUGAGUUGGUUGCUUGUUUUGAUGAAACUAUGGUGUAUCGGGGGGGUACUAGCCAUGGAAAAGUGAGAAUACAGUAUCCCAGCACCAAUAUAGAUAGAAUUCAAGUUUGCUACAGUACCAAAAGAAGUGGUAGUUUGUUUUCUUGUGCUAAUGUUAUCACGAGUUUCUGUUUAAGUUUUGUGUUAUGAAGUUUUCAAGUUUUGGGUGAUGUUCUCAUGGACAAAGAGAUAAAGAGUGGAAAGAGCUCAAGCUUGGGGAUGCCCAAGGCAUCCCAAGCCAAUUCAAGGACACCAAAAAGCCUAAGCUUGGGGAUGCCCCGGGAAGGCAUCCCCUCUUUCGUCUUCAAUCCAUCGGUAACAUUACUUGGAGCUAUAUUUUUGUUCACCACAUGAUAUGUGUUUUGCUUGGAGCAUCUUGUAUCUUAGGAGUCUUUUCCUUUUGUUGUGGCACAAUCAUCCUUGCUGUACACCUUUUUGAGAGAGAGAGACAUGCACUCAUCGUGAUUUUGCUAGAAUGCUCAUAGUGCUUCACUUAUAUNNNNNNNNNNNNNNNNNNNNNNNNNNNNNNNNNNNNNNNNNNNNNGUCACAAUCAUCCUUGUUGCACACCUUUUUGAGAGAGAGAGACAUGCACUCAUCGUGAUUUUGCUAGAAUGCUCAUAGUGCUUCACUUAUAUCUUUUGAGCUAGAUACUUUUGCUCUUAGUGCUUCACUUAUAUAUUUUGAGCUAGAUACUUUUGCUCUUUGUGCUUCACUUAUAUCUUUUUGAGCUAGAUACUUUUGCUCUAGUGCUUCACUUAGAUCUUUAGAGCACGGCGGUGCGUGAUUUGGUAGUUGGCUUAUGCUAUGAAAGUAGUCCCAAAUGUGAUAGGUACCCAAAGAGGAUGCAAAACCUCCAUCUUCAUGUGCAUUGAGUAGAAAGAGAAGUUUUGAUUCCUCUCAUUUAGUUUUGAGAUGUGGAUAUGGUAAUAUUAAGAGCUAUGUUAGUAGGGUGUUGUGAAUCUAGAAAUACUUGUGUUGAAGUUAGUGAUUCCCGUAGCAUGCACAUAUGGUGAACCGCUAUGUUAGGAAGUCGGAGCAUAAUUGAUCUAUUGAUUGUCACCCUUUCUGUUGAGGUAGGGAUCGUGCGAUGGUUAACACCUACCAACCCUUCCCCUCGGAGUAUGCGUUUAGCACUUUUUUUCGAUUACUAAUUAAAACUUUCGCAACAAGUAUGUGAGUUCUUCAUGACUAAUGUGAGUCCAUGGUAUAGAUGCACUUUCACCUUCCACCAUUGCUAGCCUCUCUAGUACCGCGCAAUUCUCGCCGGUGCACAAACCCACCAUGUUCCUUCCUCAAAACAACCACCAUACCUACCUGCUAUGGCACUUUCAUAGCCAUUCCGAGAUAUAUUGCCAUGCAACUCCCACCGUUCCGUCUCAUGACUUGUGCCGUCACUCUCAUAUUGCCAUUGCAUGAUCGUAAGAUAGCUAGCGAGAUGUUUCAACGUCAUACGGCAUGCUAGAUCGUUGCACAUCCCGGUACACUGCCGGAGGCAUUUCCUAUGGAGUCAUCAUUGUGAGUUUUGAGCUGUGAGUAAAUAAAAGUGUGAUGAUCAUCAUUAUUAGAGCAUUGUCCCAUGUGAGGAAAUAAAAAAAAGGAGGCCAAAGAGCCCAAAAAAAAGAGGCCUAAGAGCCCAAAUGAAAAAAAGAGAAAAGAGAGAAAAAGAGAGAAGGGACAAUGCUACUAUCUUUUUCCACACUUGUGCUUCAUAAUAGCACCAUGUUCUUCAUGAUUGAGAGCUUCUUGCUUUGUCACUACCAUAUGCUAGUGGUAAUCUUCAUUAUAUAACUUGGCUUGUAUAUUCCAAUGAUGGGCUUCCUCAAAAUUUCCCUAGGUCUUCGUGAGCAAGCAAGUUGGAUGCACACCCACUAGUUUUCCUUUUGAGCUUUCACAUACUUAUAGCUCUAGUGCAUAUCUUGUAUGGCAAUCCCUACUGAUUCACAUUGAUAUCUAUUAAUGGGCAUCUCCAUAGCCUUUUGAUACGCCGAGUCAAUGUGACCAUCUCCUCCUUUUUGUCUCACAACCACCACCACACUCUAUUCCACCUAUAGUGCUAUAUCCAUGGCUCACGCUCAUGUAUUGCGUGAUAGUUAUAAAAAGUUUGAGAAAGUAAGAGUGUGAAAACAAUUACUUGGCCAAUUCCGGGGUUGUGCAUGAUUUACAUUAGUUGUGUGAGGAUGUUGGAGCAUAGCCAGACUAUAUGAUUUUGUAGGGAUAACUUUCCUUGGCCUUGUUAUUUUGAAAGUUCAUGAUUACUUUGCUAGUUUGCUUGAAGUAUUAUUGUUUUCAUGUAAAUAGAAAACUAUUGUUUUGAAUCUUAUGGAUGUGAACAUUCAUGUCGCGUGAAAUAAGUUGCAAAGGACAACUAUGCUAGGUAGCAUUCCACAUCAGAAAUUCAUUCUUUAUCACUUCCCUACUCGAGGACGAGCAGGAGUUAAGCUUGGGGAUGCUUGAUACAUCUCCAACGUAUCUAUAAUUUUUGUUGGUUUCAUGCUAUUAUCUUGUCAAACUUUGGAUGUUUUGCAUGCCUUUGACAUAUUUUCUGGGACUAACUUAUUAACUCAGUGCCAAGUUCCAGUUCCUGUUUUUUCCAUGUUUUUGACCCCUUUCAGAGGAGAUUUUGAAACAGAGUCCAAACGGAAGAAAAUCCCCGAAAAGAUUUUUUUCCGUAACGGAAGAAGAUCGGGAAGCUUGAGAGCCAAGGUAGGGGGGCCUCACGGGCCCCACAAGCUCCCACCCCGCGGCCAGGGGGGUAGGCCGCGGCCCAUAGGCUUAUGGGCCCCCUGAGCGCCCUCUGCCCUAGGGGUUGCGCCUAUAUAUUCCCUAAAAAUCCCAAAAAAAAUCAGGAGAUCAUCGAAAGUACUUUUCCGCCGCCGCAAGCUUUUGUCUCCGCAAGGUCCCAUCUGGGCACGUUCUAGUGCCCUGCCGGAGGGGGGAUUCGUACACAGAGGGCUUCUUCAUCAACACCAUGACCUCUCCGAUGAUGCGUGAGUAGUUCACCANNNNNNNNNNNNNNNNNNNNNNNNNNNNNNNNNNNNNNNNNNNNNNNNNNNNNNNNNNNNNNNNNNNNNNNNNNNNNNNNNNNNNNNNNNNNNNNNNNNNNNNNNNNNNNNNNNNNNNNNNNNNNNNNNNNNNNNNNNNNNNNNNNNNNNNNNNNNNNNNNNNNNNNNNNNNNNNNNNNNNNNNNNNNNNNNNNNNNNNNNNNNNNNNNNNNNNNNNNNNNNNNNNNNNNNNNNNNNNNNNGUUUGUCGAGAUCCGAUGAAUUGUGGAUUUAUGAUCAGAUUAUCUAUGAAUCUUAUUUGAGUUUCUUCUGAUCUCUCUUAUGCAUGAUUUCAUAUCCUUGUAAUUCUCUUCGAGUUGUGGGUUUUGUGUGGCCAACUAGAUCUAUGAUUCUUGCAAUUGGAGAAGUGCCUGGUUUUGGGUUCAUACCGUGCGGUGACCACACCCGGUGACAGAAGGGGUAGCGAGGCACGCAUCAUGUUGUUGCCAUCAAGGGUAAAAAGAUGGGGAUUUCAUCAUUUGUUUGAGAUUAUCCCUCUACAUCAUGUCAUCUUGCUUAAAGCGUUACUUUGUUCGUCAUGAACUCAAUACACUAGAUGCAUGCUGGAUAGUGGUCAAUGUGUGGAGUAAUAGUAGUAGAUGCAGAAAGUAUUGGUCUACUUGUCUCGGACGUGAUGCCUAUAUGUAUGAUCAUUGCCUUAGAUAUCGUCAUGACUUUGCGCGGUUCUAUCAAUUGCUCGACAGUAAUUUGUUGACCCACCGUGAUAUUUGCUAUUUUGAGAGAAGCCUCUAGUGAACACUAUGGCCCCCGGGUCUACUCCACACCAUAUUUUCAGCCUUACACUUUUUACUUCGUUGCACUUUCCGCCUUCAAAUCUCACUUUGCAAACAAUCUUGAAGGGAUUGACAACCCCUUUGAAGUGUUGGGUGCAAGCUUGUUUGUGUUUGCGCAGGUACUCUGGACUUGAUGAGACCCUCCUUCUUGAUUGAUACCAUGGUUCUCAAACUGAGGGAAAUACUUACUCCUCCUAUGCUGCAUCACCCUUUUCUCUUCAAGGGAAAAACCGACGCAAACCAGAGAAGUAACAAGAAGAAUUUCUAGCGCUAGGGAAGGACUUUUGUUGCCGUAGCAAUUUCUCAUAUGCAUGAUUUCAUAUCCUUGUAAUUCUCUUCAAGUUGUGGGUUUCGUUUGGCCAACUUGAUCUACAAUUCUUGCAAUGGGAGAAGUGCUUGGUUUUCGGUCAUACAGUGCGGUGACCUCACCCAGUGACAGAAGGGGUAGCGAGGCACGCAUCGUGUUGUUGCCAUCAAGGGUAAAAAGAUGGGGUUUAUAUCUAUUACAUGAAUUUAUCCCUCUACAUCAUGUCAUCUUCCUUAAGGCGUUACUCUGUUUGUUAUGAACUCAAUACACUAUAUGCAUGUUCGAUAGCGGUCGAUGUGUGGAGUAAUAGUAGUAGAUGCAGAAAGUAUCGGUCUACUUGUCCCGGACGUGAUGCCUGUAUGUAUGAUCAUUGCCUUAGAUAUCGUCAUGACUUUGCGCGGUUCUAUCAAUUGCUCNUAGCGUUGGGUGCAAGUUUGCUGUUUUUGCGCAGGUACUUUGGAGACUUGCCUUGAUACUCCUACUGGAUUGAUACCUUGGUUCUCAAACUGAGGGAAAUACUUACUUCUACUCUGCUGCAUCACCAUUUCCUCUUCAAGGGAAAAACCAACGCAAGCUCAAGAGGUAGAAAGAAGAAUUUAUGGCGCCGUUGCCGGGGAGGAUCAAGUCAAGAAUAGUCUCCCGUCAACGUGCCAAUUUCUGGCGCCGUUGUCGGGGAGUAUCAAGUCAAGAAUAGUCUUCCUCCAACAUGUCAAUUUCUGGCACCGGGGAUUAUUCUAAGUGAAGCUUAUCCAAGUAACUAUCGCAAACUCAUCUCUUGCAUUUACUUUUUUUGCCUCUCGUUUUCCUCUCCCCCAUUUCUGAAAAACAAAAAUUUACAAAAAAAAUUACCUUUUUCGUUCGCCCUUUUCUUAGCUUGCUUUUUGUUUGCUUGUGUGGGAUAGUCUACCUAUCCUUAUGGCUAGACCUAUCGCUUUGAACGAUACUCCCGAGAGCGAAGUUCUUAAUUUCAAAAAAAUGAGGGAGAAAACUUAAAGGAUGCUUCGUAUAGGAUUUUCAAUGCUCAGAAUAGAUCUACUCAUAAGCAAUCUACUACUGUCCUACUUUGCAGCUUUUAUGUGGGUAUUUCCCCUUGGAAUAGGUAUGUUCUUGACACCAUCGUAGGUGGAAAUUUCUUGGGUAGCCGUACCGUUGAUUCUUACGGUGCUUUAAUAAAUUUAGUUGGCUCACCCCCACUCAUGGUUAAUGGAACUACCUUAACUUUGGAACAUGUGAUGCGUAGGUUGGAUAUCAUUGAAAAUAAAGUUGCUACGAUUGAACUCAUUGAAAAUUUGGAUAAAAAGAUCCACAAUCAAGUCACUCAGUAUGGAUCCAAGGUGCGAAUGACUUUGAAAAAUUUAAAGGAGAGGGAACCCACAGUUAACAAAAAACUAGGUCAUGAUUCCGCUAGAAUUGGCAAACUAGAGGAUGUUAUAACCAACUUGGGUUCCGCUUUUGCCGCUGUGCAGAACACUCCAAAUUUCGCCCACAAUAAGGCCACCAAGUCUGUUUUUGUUCCUAAAAACAAUGGUGAACCAUCUAGUAAGAUAGAUGAAGAUCUUAAGAUGAUGAGUGUUCACCCUACUUAUGGUUUGAGUACCAAAGACGACGAUACGUGAUUCUAUCGCCUUAUGCCUAGCUAAGGGCGUUAAACAAUAGCGCUUGUUGGGAGGCAAACCAAUGAAUUUAUCUUUGCUUUUUGCUUUCUGUUUUGUUGUGUCCACACCAUCAUAAUUCUGUUAUGAUUGUGUUUGUGUUUCUUUUUGUGUUUGAGCCAAGUAAAACCUUUAUGAUUAGUUUUGGUGAUGGUUGUUUGAUCUUGCUGACAAGACAGAAACUUUGCGCUCAUGAAGUUAUUUUUCAUUCCUAUCCAGAAAGAGAUUUUGAGUUGAUUCUUUUUGCUUCUGGUUGAUAUGCCAAUUGCCCAAAUUGUCAUAAUUUUUCAGAAUUUUUGAGAGAACAGAAGUAUACGAAGUAUACAGAUUGCUACAGACUGGUCUGUUUUUGACAGAUUAUGUUUUUGUUGUGUUGAUUGCUUAUUUUGAUGAAACUAUGGAUAGUAUCGGGGGGUACUAGCCAUGGAAAAGUGAGAAUACAGUAAUGUAACACCAAUAUAAAUAGAAAUCAAGUUUGCUACAGUACCUAAAGAUUUGGUAGUUUGUUUUCUUGUGCUAAUGAUAUCACGAGUUUGUGUUUAAGUUUUGUGUUGUGAAGUUUUCAAGUUUUGGAUGAUGUUCUCAUGGACAAUGGGAUAAAGAGUGGAAAGAGCUCAAGCUUGGGGAUGCCCAAGGCAUCCCAAGCCAAAUUCAAGGACACCAAAAAGCCUAAGCUUGGGGAUGCCCCGGGAAGGCAUCCCCUCAUUCGUCUUCAAUCCAUCAGUAACGUUACUUGGAGCUAUAUUUUUAUUCACCACAUGAUAUGUGUUUUUCUUGGAGCGUCUUGUAUCUUAGGAGUCUUUUCUUUUUGUUGUGUCACAAUCAUCCUUGCUGCACACCUUUUUGAUAGAGACAUGCACUCAUCGUGAAUUUGCUAGAAUACUCAUUGAGCUUCACUUAUAUCUUUUGAGUUAGGAAUUUUAGCUCGCGUGUGCUUCACUUAUAUCUUUUGAGAUAGAUAACUUUUCUCUAGUGCUUCACUUAGAUCUUUUUAGAGCACAGCGGUGUCAUAUUUUGGAUAAAUAAUAACUCUCAAUCUUCACUUAUAUAUUUUUGAGAGUGCUCUCUCUGAGUAACUUGGUAGUUGGCGUGUGCCAUGAAAGAAUCCUAAAGAUGAUAGGCAUCCAAAGAGGAUAUAAUAAAACUUCCACAUUCAUGUGCAUUGAUUAGUAAAGAGAAGUUUGAUUCCUCUCAAUUAGUUUUGAGACAUGGAUAUGGUAAUAUUAGAGUUAUAUUAGUAGGGUGUUGUGAAUCUAGAAAUACUUGUGUUGAAGUUUGUGAUUGUCGUAACAUGCACGUAUGGUGAACCGCUAUGUUAGGAAGUCGGAGCAUAAUUGAUUUAUUGAUUGUCAUCCUUUGUGUGGAGGUCGGUAUCGCGCGAUGGUUAACACCUACCAACCCUUNNNNNNNNNNNNNNNNNNNNNNNNNNNNNNNNNNNNNNNNNNNNNNNNNNNNNNNNNNNNNNNNNNNNNNNNNNNNNNNNNNNNNNNNNNNNNNNNNNNNNNNNNNNNNNNACACCUACCAACCCUUCCCCUAGUAGUAUGCGUUUAGCACUUUGUUUUGAUUACUAAUAAAACUUUUGCAAUAAGUAUAUGAGUUCUUCAUGACUAAUGUGAGUCCAUGGUAUAGAUGCACUUUCACCUUCCACUGUUGCUAGCCUCUCUAGUGCCGUGCAACUUUCGCCGGUGCACAAAACCACCAUAUACCUUCCUCAAAACAGCCACCAUACCUAACUAUCAUGGCCUUUUCAUAGCGAUUCCGAGAUAUAUUGCCAUGCAACUCCCACCGUUCCGUCUCAUGACUUGUGCCAUCACUUUCAUAUUGCCAUUGCAUGAUCGUAAGAUAGCUAGCAAGAUGUUUCAACGUCAUACGCUAAGCUAGAUCGUUGCACAUCCGGUACACUACCGGAGGCAUUUCCUAUAGAGUCAUCAUUGCUCUAAGUAUUGAGUUGUGAGUAAAUAGAAGUGUAAUGAUCAUCAUUAUUAGAGCAUCGUCCCAUGUGAGGAAAUAAAAAAAAAUAGGCCAAAUAUGCCCACCAAAAAAAUAUAUGAAAAGAGGCCAAAGAGCACAAACAAAAAAAGAGAGAAAAAGAGAGAAGGGACAAUGCUACUAUCUUUUUCCACACUUGUGCUUCAUAAUAGCACCAUGUUCUUCAUGAUUGAGAGUCUCUUGUUUUUUCACCACCAUAUACUAGUGGGAAUCUUCAUUAUAUAACUUGGCUUGUAUAUUCCAAUGAUGGACUUCCUCAAAAUUGCCCUAGGUCUUCGUGAGCAAGCAAGUUGGAUGCACACCCACUAGUUCUCCUUUUGAGCUUUCACACACUUAUAGCUCUAAGUGCAUCCGUUGCAUGGUAAUCCCUACUCAUUCACAUUGAUAUCUAUUGAUGGGCAUCUCCAUAGCCCAUUGAUACGCCGAGUCAAUGUGACCAUCUCCUCCUUUUUGCCUCACAACCUCCAUCACACUCUAUUCCACCUAUAGUGCUAUAUCCAUGGCUCACGCUCAUACAUUGCGUGAGAGUGGAAAAAGGAUUGAGAAAGUAAGAGUGCGAAAACAAUUACUUGGGCAAUACCGGGGUUGUGCAUGAUUUAAAUUCGUUGUGUGGGGAUGAUGGAGCAUAGCUAGACUAUAUGAUUUUGUAGGGAUAACUUUCUUUGGCCUUGUUAUUUCAAAAGUUCAUGAUUACCUUGCUAGUUUGCUUGAAGUAUUACUGUUUUCAUGUCAAUAGCAAACUAUUGUUUUGAAUCUUACGGAUCUGAACAUUCAUGUCACAUGAAAGAAGUUGCAAAGGACAAAUAUGUUAGGUAGCAUUCCACAUCAAAAAUUUAGUCUUUAUCACUUCCCUACUCGAGGACGAGCAGGAGUUAAGCUUGGGGAUGCUUGAUACGUCUCCAACGUAUCUAUAAUUUUUGAUGGUUCCAUGCUAUUAUCUUGUCAACUUUGGAUGUUUUGUAUGCAUUUUAUAUCUUUUUGGGGACUAACCUAUUAACUCAGUACCAAGUGCCAGUUCCUGUUUUUUUUCAUGUUUUCGACCUUUUUCAGAGGAGAAUAUUAAACGGAGUCCAAACGGAGUAAAACCUCCGGAAAGAUUUUUCCGAAACAGGAGAUACGCAGGGAACUUGAGAACCAAGGCAAAGGGAUCCGGGGGAGGACACAAGCCCCCUAGCCGCGGCCUGGGGGCGCGCCUAGCAGGCUUUUGGGCCCCCCGUGGCUCCUUUGCCCUACCUCUUCCGCCUAUAAUUUCCCUCAAAACCUGAAACCACGGGAGAGAGCCAUGAAAAUACUUUUCCGCCGCCGCAAGCUUCUGUCUUCGCAAGAUCCCAUCUGGGGCACAUUCUGGUGCCCUGCCGGAGGGGGGAUUCGGACAUGGAGGGCUUCUUCAUCAACACGAUUGCCUCUCUGAUGAUGCGUGAGUAGUUCACCACAGAACUUCGGGUCCAUAGCUAGUAGCUAGAUGGCUUCUUCUCUCUCUUGGAUCUUCAAUACAAAGUUCUCCAUGAUCUUCAUGGAGAUCUAUCCGAUGUAAUCUUCUUUUGCGGUGUGUUUCUCGAGAUCCGAUGAAUUGUGGAUUUAUGAUAUGAUUAGCUAUGAAUCUUAUUUGAGUUUCCUCUAAUCUCUCAUAUGCAUGAUUUCAUAUCCUUGUAAUUCUUUUCGAGUUGUGGGUUUCGUUUGGCCAACUUGAUCUACAAUUCUUGCAAUGGGAGAAGUGCUUGGUUUUGGGUUCAUACCAUGCGGUGACCUCACCCAGUGACAGAAGGGGUAGCGAGGCACGCAUCGUGUUGUUGCCAUCAAGGGUAAAAAGAUGGGGUUUAUAUCUAUUGCAUGAAUUUGUCCCUCUACAUCAUGUCAUCUUGCUUAAGGCGUUACUCUGUUUGUUAUGAACUCAAUACACUAGAUGCAUGUUGGAUAGCGGUCGAUGUGUAGAGUAAUAGUAGUAGAUGCAGAAAGUAUCGGUCUACUUGUCUAGGACGUGAUGCCUAUAUGUAUGAUCAUUGCCUUAGAUAUCGUCAUGACUUUGCGCUGUUCUAUCAAUUGCUCGACAGUAAUUCGUUCACCCACCGUAAUAUUUGCUAUCAUGAGAGAAGCCUAUAGUGAACACUAUGGCCCCCGGGUCUACUUCACAUCAUAUUUUCAGCCCUACACUUUUACUUUGUUGCACUUUCCACCUUCAGAUCUCACCUUGCAAUCAAUCGUGAAGGGAUUGACAACCCCUUUGUAGCGUUGGGUGCAAGUUUGCUGUUUUUGCGCAGGUACUUUGGAGACUUGCCUUGAUACUCCUACUGGAUUGAUACCUUGAUUCUCAAACUGAGGGAAAUACUUACUACUACUGUGUUGCAUCACCCUUUCCUCUUCAAGGGAAAAACCAACGCAAGCUCAAGAGGUAGCACGUAUCGACAUACCUAUUUCAAUCUUGUUACCGACAAGUCUCUUUACUCAUUCCGUAAUACAAGAUCCCGUGGCUAACCCUUUAGUCACAUUGCUUACAAGGCUUUUUGUGAUGUUGUGUUACCGAGUGGGCCUCGGGAUACCUCUCCGUCACACGGAGUGACAAAUCCCAGUCUUGAUCCAUGCUAACUCAACGGAUACCUCCAGAGAUACAUGUAGAGCACCUUUAUAGUCACCUAGUAACGUUGCGAUGUUUGAUACAUACAACGCAUUCCUCCGAUGUCAGUGAGUUACAUGAUCUUAUGGUCAUAGGAAUGUAUACUUGACAUGCAGAAAAAAUAGCAACAAAAUAACACAAUCAUAUGCUAGGUUUAUUGUUUGGGUCUUGUCCAUAACAUCAUUCUCCUAAUGAUGUGAUCCAGUCAUCAGGUGACAACACUUGUCUAUGGCUAGGAAACUUUAACCAUCUUUGAUCAACGAGCUAGUCAACUACAGGCUAACUAAGGACAUUGUUUUGUCUAUAUAUCCACACAUGCAUUUAUUUUUCCAUUCAAUACAAUUAUAGCAUGGAUAAUAAACGAUUUUCUUGAAAUAGGAAAUAUAAUAAUAACUAUUUAUUAUUGCCUCUAGGGCAUAUUUCCAACAUGGACCUCCCGUGAGGAAAAGUUGGGUUCCCAAAAGCUGAUUGGAAAAUCUUCACGUGAAUGUCCUCAUGACACCACCAGUGAUGAACUAGAACCCCACAUCAAAUUCCUCAGGUGGACCAAAGUCUUCACGAGGAUCAAAUUCCUCAAAUGGUCAAAAUUAUUCUUGUACUCACACUAAUGCUUGUGAUAUGCAGGGAAACUACAAUGGACAUGAAUAUGAGCACUAUUCCUCAAAUCAUUAUGUUCAUAAGUCCUCAAAGAAUUUCUCUGCCUAUUCAUUUGAGUACUCUAACCCCCUUACUGUGAAAAGAAGUGCAUUAGCUUCAAUGCCUCCAUUUUCAUAUGGUGCUCGCAGGAUGAUGAAUUCUUUGCCACCCCUUCAGAUGUGGGUGGUGAACAAAUCGAACUAAUCACUUUUGCACGUCAGGUCUCCAGAUGAAAGUCAUCGUGUGAAGAAUUUUCUGGAGACCUCAGGAAAUUGCUUGAUUGGAUGUAAGCUAAAAUGUGAUGAAAUGAUCUAACAUUUCACUCGUCAUCAAAUUUACUGUUUGUGAUGAAAUUCAAGUCUGAUGAAAUUGAUAUCGUAUUAUUCAAAUCUGAAGCAUAUGAGAUGGUAAGUUGUACUAAUUCAUCUGUAGGAUGGUAAACCCAAGAACACAGAGUGGGUUCUUGAUAGUGGAUGUACAAAUCACAUGACUGAUGAUAAAAGCACAGCGGUACCACUGAAGCAAAUCACUUACGCUGAUAAAGGUAAAAGCAAGGUAUUGGGACUUGGUAAAGUGGCUAUCUCCAAGGACCGACACAUGGACAAAGUUAUGAUUGACGAAUCCCUUGGGUUUAACCUCAUGUCAGUCUCAAUGCUUUGUGAUCUUGAUAUGAUUGUCAUCUUUGGAAAAUAUACAUGUGUAGUCAUCAUGGAACCUGACAAAUCCAAAGUCUUCGAAGGCUUUAGGAGAGGAGACUUUUAUAUUGUUGAUUUUUCUACACGUCCUCAAUGUUAGGGCAUAUUUUAUGCCUAAGUAAUUUUGGUGAUUGAUGAUAGUACCGCAAAGGACUAAUCGUGUGUGUUAAGAUUUCAGAUAACACAUGUCAACGACACAAGACGACUCGUCCCCUCUUUCCAUGGAACAGAAGCACNCAUAUGUUGCUUACCCAAACUUGUUAAGAUUAAUUAAAAAGUGGUCGUUGCCUACUCACACCCCCCCCUCUAGUCAACCAUAUCGAUCCUUUCAAUUGGUAUCAGAGCCACAUCUCUUUAUUAAGGGUUUAACCACCUGAAGAGUAUGAAAGAUGAUGAGGGAGUUCCCCGUGCACAAACCGAGGGCAUGGACUUGACUUCGAUCACAAGGGACGACUUGAAUAUGGCUAUGGCCGCACUCAAGACGUCCAUGAUGAACGAGGUCAAGACCAUGCUUAACGAGUUAAUUGAGGGAAUUAAAAACUCUCCCGAACCGGCAUUGGUGGUUAAACCCACCACCACGGAUUCGGAGGCCAAUUCCGUUAGGGAAACGGCUAAAGGUAUGCAACCUCCCCCUCCUCUCGAAAAUGAUGGGAAUGGGACGUAUGCAUCUGUCCCACCACCCUUAGUCUAUGGAGGACCGGUUCCUACACCGCGUCUUAAUCCUGCUGGUCCUCCUCCUAAGCUUGUAAAAGGUGAUUUUGCUAACUGGGUAUUUUCUAUUAAGUCUCAUUUGAAUCACAGCUCAACAAAUUUGUGGAGAAUCAUCGAGCAAGGCUAUUAUCCCCAUGAUCCAAGCAACCUCACUCCAAGAGAAGAAGCGGACAAUCAAUAUAAUCACUCUGCUUUGUUUAUUCUCUAGUCCGUAGUGCCACCUGAAGAUCUUCCUCACUUCCAUCCCUUCACUUUUGCCAAGGACUGUUGGGAGCACAUUAUGGUGUUGUACAAGGGAAGCUCAAGCAUUCAAUAGUCCAACUAUGAAGUCGUACUUGAUAAGGCCGAUGAGUUUGUGAUGAAGGAAGACGAGGACCCUCGUGAUCUCUAUCGGAGGGUGACUGCUAUUGCUGUGGCACUCAAGGACCAUGGGAGCAAGGAUGUGGAUGAUACAUGGGUCAAGCGCAAGUUUCUCAAAGCCAUCAUGCCUUUCAAUAAAGCCAUGUCAUUUGUCAUUCGUCAGCGACCAGACUUCCACUCCUUGUCUUCCAGUGAGGUGUUGGAUGAAUUCAUUGCAAUGUCAAUCAUGAACGAGACAGCUGACAAUGCACUUGCUCGUGUUCGCUCAAAGACAGCUUCACCCAACCUUGCGUUAAAGGCAAAAGCAACUUUUGAAGAAGAAGAAGAGGAUGAGGAAGAGGAGAGCUGCCUUGAAGACAUGAAGUAUGCUUAUCAUGAGCACAUGGCUCUUGCGUCAAGGCAAUUCUGGGGUAGCAAGAGGAACUCAAGACCCACCUUCACCAAGAACAACUCAAGUGGGUUCAAACCCAAGCAACGAGUGAGGACAUGCUAUAACUGUGGUAACGUGAGUCACUUCAUGGCCGAAUGUCCCUAUGAGAAAAGGGAAGACAACGGGGGCAAGCUCAUUCGCAAAGACAGAACUAAGUCAUUCCCAAUCAAGAACAACUUUGUGAAGAAACCCCACCCAAAGGGCAUGGUGGCCCUUGAAGAGUACCCUUCCGAUGAUGAUGAUGAUAAUGAUAUGGUGGCAACGGCAACUGUUGCUAUUGCCACCCUCUCUCCCAAGAAGGUGUCUCUCUUCAACGCCCCCAACGAGAACCACAUCGCCAAGUGCCUCAUGGCAAAAGGUAUCAAUCAGGUAACCCCCAUCAUUAAUACCAACAUCGCUACUGCUCCUUCAUUGUUAAAUUGUGUUGAUCAUAGUGCUGUUGGGGAACUUAAUGAGCAUGAUCUUGACAAGUUUCUGUGCACUAUUAAGGGAGAAUCCAAGAAGCAUUUUGUUGCUCUCCUGGAACAACUGGGUGAGGCCAAUGACCUCAUCGAGACUCAUGAGGAGACCAUCUCCGAGCUUCAGGGACAUAGUCGUGACUAUGCCGAUGAAAUUGUUGAAUUAUCUAUUGCACUAGAAAAAGAGUGCACUCUUCGUUUGGCUCUUGAGGAGUCAUACAACGAUGACUGCGCUAAAAUGCAAAAGAAACUAGAUCAUGAUACUGUUCUUACUCGUAUGCUUAAGUCUGAAAAGUAUGCUCUUGGGGUUGGCCAUGAUAGACUCAAAGUGGAGUUUGACACAAUUGACAAGGCUCACAAGGUCUUGAAAGGUGUUCAUUUCUCUCUGAAAGAGUCUCAUGAUCAACUCCAAGCAAAGCUUACCAAGGAGAUCUCUACUUGUCCUCCCUUUGUGUUAAUUGAUAAUGCUUGUACAACUAAUCCUUGUUGUGAGCAUGUACAUCUUGUGGAGGAAAAUGCCAAGUUAAAGGAGAAACUUGAGAAGGGCCUUGUGGCAUACAUACAAGGUGAGAAGAGCCUGAAUGACCUCUUGAGCAAUCAAAAGGGUGUUGUAGGAAAGGAGGUACUUGGACUUACCUCCAAGUCAAAAGGAAAAAGGAGGAACAAAAACAAACGAUCCUCUACCCUCAUGGACAUCUUUGUCAAAGAGGGCGAAGGGACUCAGGAGGUGAACAGGAACAAGGUGGACGAUGGUAAUGUCAAGAAGGGCAAAACCAUUCCUACUAACACAGCCGGCAAACUCAAUCCUUCCUAUGUCUUAUGUUGUGCUGGUGAUGGGCAUGUUUAUGCCAGAUUUGUUGGUUCUUACCAUGAGUCCAUUGAAUGGGCUAUCUGGGUUCCUAAGACCCUUGUCUCUAACAUUAAAGGACCCAUUAAAAAAUGGGUACCUAAAACCAAGCCUUGAUCUAUUGCAGGAGUUUUCUUCCGGUGGGGUGUCAUGGUUGCUCGAUAGUGGAGCAACAAAUCAUAUGACCGGAAGCAAGGACUUAGUGGUGGAUGUGCAUCCUUCUGCAUCUAUGCCCACCCGUGUCCAAUACGCCGAUGCAUCCUCGUCAAAGGUAUUGGGAUUUGGUAAGGUGGUCAUCUCUCAAGAGUUAUAUAUUGAGAAGGUCAUGCUUUUGAUUCUCUUGCCUACAAUUUACUUUCGGUUCGUCAACUUGCAAUUAUGGGGUUUUCCACUUUCUUUAAUCUUGAUACUGUGGUCCUCCUCUGGAGCAAGACUCUUAAAGUAGCCUAUGUUGGAUAUGUCGAAAAUGGUCUUUAUGUGGUGAACUUCUCAAAGCGACCCACUAAGACUGCGACAUGUUUAAUGGCUAAAGUUGAUGUGGGCUGGCUUUGGCAUCGCCGACUAGCUCAUGUCAAUAUGAGGUCUUUGCAAAGUCUUCUCAAAGGGGACCAUAUUCGUGGACUAACAAAUGUGAGUUUUGCUAGAGAUCGUGCUUGCAGUGCCUGCAUUGAAGGAAAGAUUCAUGAAAUUGCACAUCGUCCAAUGACUCUCAUUUACACUAAGACGCCAUUGGAGCUCCUCCAUAUGGAUCUUUUCGGUCCUCCAUCAUUUGAUAGUCUUGGAGUCAGAAAGUACUGCUUGGUGAUUGUUGAUGACUACUCAAGAUACACCUGGGUAUAUUUCUUCAAAAGGAAGAGUGAGACUCAACAAACUGUCAUCAACUUUGCUAAUGAAGCUCAACAUCAACAUGAAGCAAAGAUCUUGAUGAUUAGAAGUGACAACGGCACCGAGUUCAAGAACUACACCUUGGAUGAGUUUCUAGGUGAUGAGGGAAUAAAGCAUCAAUAUUCAACACCAUAUACCCCUCAACAAAAUGGCAUGGCAGAAAGGAAGAACCAGACUUUGAUGGAUGCUGCAAGAACAAUGAUGGCGGAAUUCAAAUCUCCAUAUAACUUUUGGGCUCAGGCCAUCAACACAGCAUGUCAUGCGUCCAGUCGACUCUAUAUCCGCAAAGGCUUGAACAAGACUCCAUAUGAGAUUCUCACUAGAAACAAACCCAAUCUCAAGUACUUCCGGGUAUUCGGUUGUACUCAAGAAAGGUGCACGUUUAGCUAAAUUUGAUCCUAGAGCACAAGAGGGCAUCUUUGUUGGUUAUGCUACAAACUCUCAUGCUUACCGUGUCCUCAACAAGUCCACCGGACUCAUUGAGGAGACGUGUAACGUGGAGUUUGAUGAAAAUAAUGGCACCCAAGUGGAGCAAAGUGGUCUUUGUGAUGUAGGUGAUGAAAUUCCUCCCCAAGCCAUAAGAAGAAUGGGGAUUGGUCAAAUACUCCCCAUUGAGGAACCCCUUGUGGCCGAAGCAUAAGGACAAUGCUCUACUCAAGUGGAGCCAUCACCCCCACAAGCCCCACAUGCUUCCGAUGAACAAAGAGAAGACUCACAACAAGUUGAACAAGCUCAAGGUCAAGAUCAAUUGCCCAACAAUGGUGAUGUGUCCCAUGAUAUUCAAGCACUUACCCAAGGUUCCGAACCUGCUCAAGAUCAAGAUCAAGUGCAACCACAAGAUCCAGACCAAAUAGAAGCACAAGAUCAAGAUCAAGAGAAACCACAAGUACAAGGACAAACAAGUGAACCUGCUCAAGUCAAAAAUCAAGAUGAUCAGGAUACUGUCUCGCAAUUCCCUUCUGCAGCACCAACAGCCGGUGCCAAGGGAAGUUCAAGACCAAGGGCAAGCAAAGUAAAAAAGUCGAUGCUCCCCAGUUAUCCAAUGAAGAACUCUUGGAGCGUCGAGCAGCCAAGAUUGCGAACAAGCUGAAAGUCAAGUCACAUCUUAUGAAGAAUGUACUUGACAGUUUAAAAAAGGGAGUAUCCACCCGUCAACAGAUUUUGAAUUAGUGUGAGCAUCACGCGUUUGUUUCGUAUUGUGAACCUCAACAGGUACAGGAAGCGCUUGAUGAUGAGGAUUGUCUUAUGGCCAUGCAUGAAGAACUUAACAACUUCGAGCGUAAUCAAGUCUGGGAUUUAGUACCAAGACCAAAGGAGGAUCAUAAUGUCAUCGGGACCAAAUGGAUUUUCAAAAACAAGCAAGAUGCCAAUGGGAUUGUGAUUCGAAACAAGGCAAGAUUGGUGGCUCAAGGCUACUCCCAAGUCGAGGGUAUCGACUACGGUGAAACCUUUGCCCCUGUUGCUCGUCUAGAAUCUAUUUGCAUGCUGCAUGCAUUUGCUUCUCAUCAUAACUUCAAAUUACAGCAAAUGGAUAUGAAAAGUGCCUUUCUUAAUGGUCCUUUAAAUGAAUUGGUCUAUGUCAAACAACCCCCGGGAUUCGAACAUCCCAAGCUCCCAAAUCAUGUGUACAAACUUAAUAAGGCACUCUAUGUCCUUAAACAAGCCCCACGUGCGUGGUAUGAGUAUCUUACUGAGUUAUUACACGAUCGUGGGUUUGAAAUUGGGAAGAUAGAUCCCACUCUUUUUACUAAGAGGGUUAAAGGGGAUUUGUUCAUAUGCCAACUAUAUGUUGAUGAUAUCAUUUUUGGUUCUCCUAACAUUUCCUUCAAUGAAGAAUUUGCUGCACUAAUGACCAAGAAAUUUGAGAUGUCCAUGAUGGGAGAGUUGAAGUUCUUCCUAAGAUUCGAGAUUAAAUAGGGUCUAGAAGGGACCUUCAUCAAACAAGCCAAGUACACUCAAGACAUGCUCAAACGGUUCGAGCUUGAAGAUGUCAAGCCGGUCAAGUUCCCCAUUCCAACAAGAUGCAAACUUGAUAGUGAUCCCAAUGGUAAAGCAGUGGAUCAAAAGGUAUAUCGCACCAUGAUUGGAUCCCUCCUUUACCUUUGUGCAUCUAGACCAGAUAUUAUGUUGAGUGUAGGGAUAUGUGCACGGUUUCAAUCCGCACCAAAAGAAAGUCAUUAUAUGGCUGUUAAGCGAAUCUUUCGAUAUUUGGCUCAUACCCCAAACUUUGGUCUAUGGUAUCCCAAAGGAGCAAACUUCAACCUAGUGGGCUAUUCUGACUCAGAUUGGGCAGGAGAUUGUGUGGACAGGAAAUCAACUUCUGGAGGACGCCAAUUCCUUGGUCGCUCACUGGUAAGUUAGUCUUCAAAGAAGCAGAAUUGUGUCUCGCUAUCAUCCACCGAAGCUGAGUAUGUGGCAGCUGCAAGUUGUUGUGCACAAUUGCUAUGGAUGAGGCAAACUUUAAAGGAUUACGGUGUCACUUGUGACAAAGUGCCGCUUCUAUGUGACAAUCAAAGUGCUAUCAAGAUUUCCCUCAACCCAGUGCAACAUAGCAAGACCAAGCAUAUUGGCAUUCGCCAUCACUUCAUUCGUGAACAUAUCAAGCUUGGUGAUAUUGAGGUUCACUUCAUCCACACCGAAGAGCAACUUGCAGAUAUUUUCACUAAGCCCCUAGAUGAAUCAAGGUUCCGGGAGUUAAGGCAUGAGCUAAAUAUCAUUGAUUCAAGUAAUGCGGAUUGAAGCUAGGCACUUUGCUCCUCACUAGGCAUUCGAUCGUGUUCUAGAUGUAGGCAUGGACAUAGGGGGGAGUGUUGUUCUCUCAAUAAACUUUUCCUCCCCCCAUUAUGCAUAAAUUGAUCAAGUCUUUCACUUUAGCCAGUACCAAAUGGCACUUGUGCUUCAAAGACGAGAAUUUGUCAUGAACCCAAGGAUAAAUCUUUGUGGUGUCAUACCUUUGUCUCAAACAUAGGUGGCCUCGGCCACCGCCCCCACCUUUCUCUCAUAUGGAAGAAAGGAUACAACAUGACGAGUCAGUAUAUAUUGCUGGUGCUAUCUUCUUAUUCACUGGCUUGUCGUUUGCCCACGUCUUUCUCAUGCAAUCAUAUGUCUCGUUGUGCCAUUUGGAGCGGUACUACCGCUAGGGGUAGCGGUACUACCGCCAGGACCCCAGCGGUACUACCGCCAGGGGUAGUGGUACUACCGCCAGAACCCGAGCGGUACUACCGCUCGGGAUAGCGGUACUACCGCCAGGACCCGAGCCUACCACGACCUGACUAGGGCUUUUAGGGCUGUCUCAAGGGGGAGCGGUACUACCACCAGGGGGAGCGGUAGUACCGCCAGGACCCCAGCGGUACUACCGCUACAAGCAGCGGUACUACCGCCAGGACCCCAGCGGUACUACCGCUGGCCCGUACCACUUGGACUAUAUAAAGGAGGGGGAACCCGUUUUUCCUGCCCUCUUUCUUCUUCCUCGUGGCUCUCCCUUCCCCAACCCCGAACUCCCCCUAUUUGGAUCUCUAUCUGUGGAGCCCCUUCUCUCCGUUGAGUUGGAGGGUUUGCUCCACUCCUCCUUCCUCCACCAAGUGCCAUGGACUCCGGUAAAGCUCCUCCCUUUAUUCUCUUGAUUGGUAUUUUGUUGUUCUAGGGGUAGGAGCAUUGGUGAUUUGGAUCCAUGACUAUGGUUUUGUGCUUCGUUUUUGGAUGGAACGAAGGAGAUAUUCUAGGGGAGUGUAGGUCCUAUGAUUCAUUGCGUUUAUAUUGACAUGUUCAAGGUUCUUCAUGGUUCAGAUCAAGCACUUUUUCUCUUAUUUUGGAUUAGAUCUAAAACUUGGAUCCUCUUGACUAGGCAUGUCUUUAUCUAGAUGAUUCGUGAGAUCCUCAUGUGUUUAGGGCUAUGGUGGUUUUUGUAGCGAUUCUAUGCAGUACCCAUGGCCCUCGUAAAUCCAAUCUAGCCGUUCCUAUGGGUCUUUUUCUAUUUCAGAUCUGAAAGUCAACCCCCUAGCGGUACUACCGCCCGGCUGGCGGUACUACCGCUAGGACCCCAGCGGUACUACCGCUAGGGGUAGAGGUACUACCGCUAGGACCCCAGCGGUACUACCGCCAGGUGUAGCGGUACUACCGCCACGAGGAUAUAUUUUCUUCUUUUCCAUUUUCUUGGCAAUGUGAGUUUACUUUUAUGCCUCUUUUUGUUCAUUGCCUUGACUCCUCCUGUCGCUCUUUUUCGGUGUGUGUCUUGUGUGUCACAGGUGGUGCUCGCCGCUCGAAUCCCCCACGGGACACCCAGCCGAAGCAGUAUCGCACUCCAGAUGCUCUAGAGGGCUACGCCACUUCCGGUCUGAAUCCCAAAAAGAAGUCUUUCAAGAAGACAGCUCACAAGACCAAGGGGAUCAACGUUCGCAAUAUGCCCCCUAAGGAUUUUCUGCGGUUCCGCACCCGCAGUCACUAUCUAGAAGAGAAGGCUCAGAUCAAGAAUGUCGAGCAUGUUUGGUCACGGGAUCACUGCAUGAUGUAUCGCGACAUCAUCAAGCACUUCAAGAAGAUGUUUGUUCCAGUUCAGUGGAUUGACUUGGCUCACCUUCAGCGGAACCCGGAUUACUUUGGUGAGGCUCUCUCUUUGAUUGACAAGCUUGGCAUUAAGGAGAUCAUCACCUUCAAAUGCGACUUUGAUCCAGAUGUUGUGGCCCAAUUCUAUGUCACUGUUCACUUCUCACCUGAUGAAGAGCGCACCAUGACUUGGAUGACUGGUACUCAGAAGAUGGCAGGUUCCUGGUCAGAAUUCAUGAAGUUUCUCAAGGUCGACUUUCAGGGAGCUGACAAUCCUCUUGGGUUGCGUCCUCAUGCUCCAUCUUCAUCUAUUGCCACCCCCAAGGACAGGCUGCAACAACUUUAUGUGAAGAAAGGUGUGCUCCCCAAGCAUCUGGAUAUCAUGCAUCGGAUCUUCCGCAACACUCUCUUUCCUCGCAUUGGCAACUUUGACGAGGUGCAUGGUUAUCUAGCUGAGAUGCUUCUUCUUUGUGAGGAGGCUAGGACUAAGGAAUCUGUCCCUCUCGAUAUUUCUGACGUGAUGUUCAAUGAGCUCUGGAAUUGCAUCAUGAACUGCAAGGUUCCCAUCUAUGGGCCCUACUUGUUUGCCUAUAUUCGCCAGAGGUGGCACGACGUCUAUUUGAUUGAGGAGUUCCACCUUCAGGCUGAUUACUUUGUGCACGAUCAUAUGAGGCUCCGCAUCAAAGACAAAUGGGCCAACCCAUCCACUUCGUAUCAGCACAUGGACACUGACACAGAGACUACUGCUGACAGAGGCCCCGCUUCUCAGUCCCACUCUUCUGCUAUGCCAUCUUGGGCAGUGAAACUGAAGGAUAAAAUGAAGACUCUCUUCUGUAUGCAGGCCAAGGGACAGUAUCAGACUCAUGUGGCCCAGAAGGAGAACCGUCAGAGGCACAAGCAUGUCCUGAGGACACUUGAUGUUGAUAUCUCCAGCGGCUCAGAGGACAACAUCACUCCAGAGUCUGAUUGGAUGCGGGCUCAAGGUUAUCAGUGGUCUGAUGCAUAGGAGGAGGCGUCUGAGGAGGACAAUGAGGAGGAGCAGGACGAUCCGGAUGCCACGGACGAGUCUGGGGCUGAUGAGGGUUAGGAGUGACCACCUGUGUCAUUAGGUGUGCCCCUCUUUGGUGUCUUGUGCCAAAGGGGGAGAGAGUCUAGGAGCUGGAUUUGAGAUUUGAGCUUUUCUUAUCUUAUCGUGUUUGCUUUGAACUUGGUUUGCUCUUAUUUGCUAUCUUUGCUUUGUGUGAUGUGAGACUUGAACUAGUGUGAGAUUUAUUUCUACCAUAUGUUGUGAGUCAUAUGCUCCUUAAUUUUCUAUACCACUAUCUUUAUGUUCACAUGCUAUUCACUCUGCAGAUCCGGUAUUGUCAUCAAUCCGCCAAAAAGGGGGAGAUUGUUAGGGCAUAUUUUAUGCCUAAGUAAUUUUGGUGAUUGAUGACAGUACCGUAAAGGACUAAUCAUGUGUGUUAAGAUUUCAGAUAACACAUGUCAACGGCACAUGGAACAGAAGCACNCAUAUGUUGCUUACCCUAACUUCUUAAGAUUAAUUAAAAAGUGGUCGUUGCCUAUUCACCCCCUCCCUCUAGUCAACCAUAUCGAUCCUUUCACUCAACCAGCCACGUGUUUACUAGCAAAAACCUCAGAAGGCUGGCUAUGGCAUCAACAACUUGGUCAUGCAGGCAUGAGGAAUUUGCACACACUAGCGAAGAAGAAGCACGUCAUUGGCAUCAAAACUGUCAAAUUCCUCAAGGACCAUCUCUACGGUGCUUGUGAGUCUGGAAAAAUGACCAAAUCCAAACACCCCUCGAAGACUAUCAUGACUACGUCCGUUUGAAUUGCUUCACAUGGAUCUCUUUGGACCUACUCAUUAUGCUACUCUAACCAAUGCAGCAUCUUUAUAUGUCUUUGUCAUCGUUGAUGGCUAUUAUCGUUAUACUUGGGUACACAUCAUUGCUUACAAAAAUGAAAUGCAUGAAGUUCAAACGAUUUUCCUCAAGGGCCUCAACAAACUUCGACGUCACGAUCAAACACAUCACGAGUGAUGAUGGGACAUAAUUCAAAAAUACUGGUCUUGAUGAUUACCUUGAUGAACUUGGUAUUACUCACGAAUUGUCUGCUCCUUAUACUCCUCAACAGAAUGGCGUCGUUGAACGCAAGAACAUGACUCUGGUUGAAAUGGCACGAACUAUGCUUGAAGAAUAUCAGACUCCUCGUUGCUUCUGGCCUGAAGCAAUCAACACUGCUUGCCACAUCAUCAACAUGGUAUAUCUUCACAAAUUCCACAAGAAAACAUCAUACGAACUCCUCACUGACAAGAAACCCAAUGUAAGUUAUUUCAGAGUCUUCGGUGCAAGAUGUUGGAUUAGAGAUCCUCACCAUACCUCAAAGUUUGCACCUAAAGCACAUGAGGGUUUUAUGCUUGGUUAUGGAAAUGUUUCGCACACCUAUAGAGUCUUCAACACCUAUCGCAACAAGGUUGUUGAAACUGUAGAUGUGUGGUUUGAUGAACCUAAUGGCUCGGAAAGAGAGCAAUUGCCUCCCGUGCCAGAUAAAUUGACUCCUGAGGAAGCUAUUAAGUACAAGGCUACUGAAGAUAUCAUUCAUACCGAGGAACAACCCCUUGUUGAAGAAAUUGUCCCCAACACUGAGGAAAUUCAAGAAGGUGCACCUCAGGAAAAUGUUACAGAUCAAAUUCCUCAGCCUAACCAAAGUCUUCAACCAACUCAUCCAAGGAUUGCAAAUGAAGUGGAAAUUUACAAAAUCAUCGAUGACAUCAAUGCGCCAGGUCCUCUCACUCGCUCAAAAUCUUCACAUUUCGUUAACUUUUGUGGGCAUUCCUCUUUUGUAUCUAUCACAGAACCCUCAAAAGUUGUUGAAGCCUUCAUGGAACCUGAGUGGAUUCAAGCCAUGCAAGAUGAACUUCAGUUCAAGCUAAAUCACGUAUGGGAACUCGUUAAAAGACGAGAUCCUCGCAAGCACAAUAUCAUAGACACUAAGUGGAUCUACCAAAACAAGCAAGAUGAGGAUGGUCAGGUUGUGAGAAACAAGGCGGCUUGUAGCCCAAGGCUACACACACGUUGAAGGAAUUGACUUUGAUGAAACUUUUGCACCUUUUGCUAGACUUGAAGCUAUUCGAAUAUUGCUUGCUUAUGCUAACCAUCACAAUAUUACUCUAUAUCAAAUGGAUAUGGAAAGUGCAUUCCUCAAUGGUAAGCUUGAGGAAGAAGUAUAUGUUGCUCAGACCCCAAGUUUUGAAGACCCUAAGCAUCCACACAAAGUCUUCAGACUAAAAAAGGCAUUAUAUGGCCUCAAGCAAGCCCCUCGGGCGUGGUAUGAUACACUGAAGGAAAUCCUCAUGAAGAAAGGCUUCAAACCCGUUCACUUUAUCCUACCCUUUUCACAAAAUCCUAUGACAAUGAACUAUUCAUGUGCCAAAUAUAUGUCGACGACAUUAUUUUUGGUUGUACUGACAAACGUUACAGUGAUGAAUUUGCCUACAUGAUGGGUGAAGAAUAUCAAAUGUCCAUGAUGGGGGAGCUGAAAUUCUUCUUAGGUCUGCAAAUUCGUCAACAACGCAAUGGCAUCUUCAUAUCUCAAGAGAAAUACCUCAAGGAUGUCCUGAGGAAAUUCGGCAUGCAUGAAUGCAAAGGCAUCAAGAUUCCUAUGCCUACCAACGGCCAACCUCUCAAGUGACGAAAAUGGUAUAGAUUUCGGUGAGCAGGUAUAUAGUUGUAUAAUUGUCUCUUUAUUGUACCUAUGUGCAUUUAGUCCAGACAUUAAGCUUAGUGUUUGCAUGUGUGCAUGUUUUCAAGCAAAACCGAAGGAAUCACACCAUAAGGGUGUGAAACAUAUUCUUCAAUAUCUAGCUCACACACCAACACUAAGAUUAUCGUACCUCAAGGGCUAAAAUCUUCAUGUUGUUGGAUAUUCUGAUUCUGAUUAUGCUGGUGACCGUGUGGAUCACAAGUCAACGUCAGGCACAUGUCAUUUCCUCGGACGAUCCUUAGUCUGCUGGUCCUCAAAGAAGCAGAACUGUGUAUCACUCUCCACUACUGAAGUUGAAUGCGUUGAUGCUGGAUCUUGCUGUGCUCAACUGUUAUGGAUGAAUCAAACCCCGAGAGAUUAAGGCAUCAACAUGAAGAAUGUGCCUCUCUACUGUGACAAUGGGAGUGCAAUCCAGAUCGCCUACAACCCAGUACAACGCUCGAAGACCAAGCACAUCUAGAUUCGUCGUCAUUUUCUUCGUGAUCAUGUACUCAAGGGCAAUAUCAUCAUCGAUCAUGUGAAGACUGAUGACCAGCUAGCAGAUAUCUUCACAAAGCCCUUGGAUGAGAAAAGGUUUUGCAAGUUGCGGUGUGAGCUAAAUAUCCUAGAAUCUUAAAAUGUUCUGUAAACAUGCACACAUCCUAACACUUAUGAAAUUGAUGACUUUGAUGCGCAACACAGGAAGUAACGUUUUUCUUCAACCAAUGAAAAAUGACACUCUAAGUGUGAAGACAUUACUGAAGAAUUUGAUUCUCAGGACCCUACGACAAUUGUACACGGCACCUAAAAUCAUCAUUCUUAUACGGUGGGUAACGCCACCACCAAACUUUGAAAUUCUUCAUAGUUGAAAUUCUUCAAAUCUGAGGUUUUUCAAAAAUUUCUCAAAAUUUUCAAAGUCUUCAAACUUUUUCAAAUUCUUCAAAAUUUUCUGUGAUGAUCUUCAUUGACUAUAUAUUAUAUAACGAGCUUUCAAUGUCCUCAUAGGCAUUCACGUAUUGCUAAGUCUUCAAUUUGGUAUUUCUUCUAAGUGAAAGUGAAUCGGACCCGUCUUCCCUCUAUGCUAAGCUCAACCAAGUCUAUUCUCAAAUCUUCGCAUGCGUUCUAUUUGACACUUGUUCAAAGUCCUCUCUAAGUCCUUGUCAGCUCAUGACUUUGCAACAAAAUCCUCAAAAUUCAAAAAAAAAAUCGUUACCAUUGUAACUGCACCCACUACUCACGAUAGGAUAACCACUAUCUCCACCGCUUCGUUCGUGGGUAGCGCGUGUCAUGUUGAGACGAAAGGGCAGGGAUAGUUUCAUCCGAAGAAUUCGCUUAGGACCGUUUUCACUUGAGCUAUAAAUAGCCCCUUACCCCCUCCAGUCAAAAACUCUUCUCUCCCUCUCAUCUUCUCCGCCCAAGCUAAAAACCUAGCGCCGCCGCUAGCAAUUCUCGUCGCCGGUGAGGAACAGCUUCAGUACCUCGACCUCGCCGUCGCCGGACUCAUGCCGACUGCGGAUCAUCUCCCUCCGUCGCUGCCGUAGCUAUCUUCCGUCACCAUGUUAGGGCACUCAAGAUCCGAACCAAAGAGCUUCUGCUUUUACUUCCCUAGUUCAUCGUGUUCUUCAUUCAGGGUAAUUGAAAUCCUAUUUUACUACCCUUGUUGAUUCAUUUAUUUUCUUUAGAUUCGUGAAAUCAGUUGUUCCUCACAAUAUAUUUCAGCUGUGCACAACCAUGUCUAGAACACUUGAUGAAUUUCACUAAGUCCCUAAAUUCUUCACGAGAUUCCUCAAUUGUAUAAAUUUUCGAAUCUGCACAACUUUGGAACCCAAGAUCAGAAGACAUUAGUCAAAUUCCUCAACUUAAGUCAUUUUUCAAUUUCCCCAAAUCUGAGAACGCAUAUGACCUCUCCAAACUCUCCGCACCUAUACUUUGUUCACAGGUACAAAAUGACAGCUAACGAAUCACUAGGUUCUCAUCAACUUAACUCAUUUGUAGCAUUUGUUGAAGAAACAUUAUCUCUGUCCUAGGAUUCCUCAAGAAUACAAAUUCAUCAGCAAAAACCUUAGCUGAAGAAAAUGGAGGAAGACAGAAACAAAAGGGUGGCAAGAAGCUAGAGCAGAACAUUGCUUUUGAAAUCCCAGAGGAAAUAUAUGCUGAUUACUGCACGCUAGAUGAAGAAAUUCAUGGGAAAGAAACCACUGCAAAAGGCAAGAUCAGGCUUCAAAAGAUUGAGCGCAGAUGGGCAAAAGAGUGGAAAUAAUAUAGGUAUGUCACUCCAAAGUAUGCCAAGAAGUUUGCCCUAAAACCUCCCCGCAAAAGAUUGCCUCAGGGAGACCAACAAACUGCACAUUCCUCUAGUGUAGCUACAAUUGAAGACUAUCCUGAUGAAAAAGACAAGUAUUUGUCCAAGCUACAGAAAAAGGAAGACAUUGAUGUAACAAAGUUUAAUGAGGAUUAUGUCGCUGUAGGUGCUGCUGCCACCUCCUUUGUUGCCGAGGCUUCUACUAUAGAACAACCUCCGAAGAAGGCUGCUACUGCAACAAAUGACCUUCCAACGGCGCCAGAAAUAAGCGUGUUGACGGGAGACUAUUCUUGUCUUGAUACUCCUCAGCAACGGCGCGAGGAAUCCUUCUGCUACGGCUACGCCUUUAGGGACUUCCUUGGCAAAUAUGCAAAUGAUUCCCCCGUGGCCUUGGAGCCUUGCGUUGGUGUUCCCUCGAAGCGGAAAAGGUGAUGUAGCACAGCGGCGGUAAGUAUUUCCCUCAGUUUUGAGAACCAAGGUAUCGAUCCAGUGGAAGGAUUGCGUCAAGUCACAAGUACCUGCACAAACACAAAGAGCUUGCACCCAACGCCAUGAAGGGAUUGUCAAUCCCUUAUAGAUUAUUUGCAAAGUGAGAACCGAAAGCAAAAAAGGAAACAAAGCAAAGUAAAAGUGAAAGUGGAAACGAUAGUUGUGAAUAGACCCGGGGGCCGUAGUGUUCACUAGUGGCUUCUCUCAUGAAAGCAAGUAGACGGUGGGUGAACGAAUUACUGUCGAGCAAUUGAUUGAACCGCGCAAAGUCGUGACGUUAUCUAUGUCAAUGAUUAUAUCUAUAGGCAUCACGUCCAAAACAAGUAGACCGAUACUUUCUGCAUCUACUACUAUUACUCCACACGUCGACCGCUAUCCAUCAUGCAUCUAGUGUAUUAAGUUCAUGAGAACAGAGUAACGCCUUAAGCAAGAUGACAUGAUGUAGAUGGACAAUCUCAUAUCUACGAUAAACGCCCAUCUUGUUACCCUUGAUGGCAACAACACGAUGCGUGCCUUGCUGCCCCUUCUGUCACUCGAACUGGCACUUGGCACUGAAUUAAUAAGUUAGUCCCAAAAAAGAUAUGAAAGGUAUAUAAAACAUCCAAAGUUGACAAGAUAACAGCUUGAAACCAUCAAAAAUUAUAGAUACGUUUGAGACGUAUCAAGCAUCCCCAAGCUUAACUCUUGCUCGUCCUCGAGUAGGGAAGUGAUAAAGAAUGAAUUUUUGAUGCUGUCAUGCUACCUAGCAUAGAUGUCCUUUGUAACUCCUCUUAUGUGACGUAAAUGUUCAGAUCCAUUAGAUUCAAGACAAUAGUUUGCUAUUGACGUGGAGACAAUAAUAAUUCAAGCAAACUAGCAAAGUAAUCAUGAACUUUCAAAAUAACUAGGCCAAAAGAAAGUUAUCCCUACAAAAUCAUAUAGUCUGGCUAUGCUCUAUCAUCCUUGCACAACGAAUUUAAAUCAUGCACAACCUCGGUAUUCGCCAAGUAAUUGUUUUCACAUUUUUACUUUCUCAAACUUUUUCUACUCUCACGCAAUACAUGAGCGUGAGCCAUGGUUUUAGCACUAUAAGUGGAAUGUAGUGUGGUGGAGGUUGCAAGACAAACAAGGAGAAGAUGGUCACAUUGACUAAGCAUAUCAAUAAGCUAUGGAGAUCCUCAUCAAUAGAUAUCAACGUGAAUGAGUAGGGAUUGCCAUACAAUUGAUGCACUAGAGCUAAGAGUAUGUGAAAGCUCUUAAAGAAAACUAGUGGGUGUGCAUCCAACUUGCUAGCUCACGAAGACCUAAGGCAAUUUUGAGGAAGCCUAUCAUUGGAAUAUACAAACCAAGUUAUAUAAUGAAAAUUUCCCACUAGCUAUAUGGUGGUGACAAAACGAGAGACUCUCAAUCAUGAAGAUCAUGGUGCUUAAUAAGCACAAGUGUGGAAGGAUAGUAGCAUUGUCCCUUCUCUCAUUUUUUUGGUGGGCUCUUUGGCCUCUCUUUUUUUGGUGGGCAUCUUUGGCCUCUUUUUGUAUAUGGCCUUCGCUGGCCUCUUUUAUUUCCUCACAUGGGACAAUGCUCCAUCAAUGAUGAUCAUCACACUUUCAACUCAAAACUUAGAGCAAUGAUGACUCUGUAUGGAAUGCCUUCGGUAGUGUAUCGUGACAAUGAUCUAGCAUGGCAUAGACAUCAAUGGAAACAUCAUGCUAGCUAUCUUAUGAUCAUGCAAUGGCAAUGUAGAAGUGGUGGCACAUAUCAUGGUGGUAGUUGCAUGGUAAUAUAUCUCGUAAUUUCUUUGAAAAAACCAUAGUAGGUAGGUAUGGUGGCUGUUUUGAGGGAGGCUAAUGGUGGGUUUUGUGCACCGGCGGAAGUUGCACAGCACUAAAGAAGAAAAUGAUGGUGGAAGGUGAAAGUGCAUCUAAACCAUGGACUCAACAUUAGUCAUGAAGAACUCAUAUACUUGUUGCCAAAGUUUUAGUAGUACUCGAAACAAAGCAUUCAACGCAUACUCCUAGGGGAAGGGUUGUUAGGUAUAAACCAUCGCGCGAUCCCGACCGUUACACAAAGGAUGACAAUCAAUAGACUAAUCAUGCUCAGGCUUCAUCACAUAGCGGUUCACCAUACGUGCAUGCUACGGGAAUCACUAACUUCAACACAAGUAUUUCUAGAUCCACAACACCUUACUAGCAUAACUUCAAUAUUACCACAACCACAACUCAAAACUAAUUGAGAUGAAUCAAACUUCUCUAACUACUCAAUGCACAUGAAGGUGGAAGUUUUCAUAUCCCUUUGGAUAACUACCCCUUUUGAGAAUAAUUUCAUAGCAUAGAUCAACUACCAAGCCACGCACCGCCGUGCUCUAAAAGAUAUAAGUGAAGCACAUAGAGCAAAAUCAACUAGCUCAAAAGAUAUAAGUGAACCACAUGUGAGCUGAAUUGUCUAACCAAAGGAUAUAAGUGAAGCUCGACAAAAUCACGGUGAGUGCAUGUCUCUCUCUCUAGGUGUGCAGAAAGGAAGAUUUUGACACAACAAAAAUAAAAGACUCCUAUGAUACAAUACGCUCCAAGAAAAACACAUAACAUGUGGUGAAUAAAAAUAUAGCCCCAAGUAACAUUAUCGAUGGAUUGAAGACGAAAGAGGGGAUGCCUUCCCGGGGCAUCCCCAAGAUUAGGCUUUUAUGGCAUCCUUGAAUCAACUUGGGGUGCCUUGGGCAUCCCCAAGCUUGAGCUCUUGCCACUCCUUAUAUCUUUGUCCAUAAGAACUUCACCCAAAACUUGAAAACUUCACAACACAAAACUUAAACAGAAACUCGUGAUAUCAUUAGUAUAAGAAAGCAAACCACCACUUCCUUAGGUACUGUAGCAAACUUAAAUUCUACUUAUGUUGAUGUUGGGUUACUGUAUUUUUAAUCUUCCAUGGCUAGUACCCCCCGAUACUAUCCAUAGUUUCAUCAAAAUAAGCAACCAACUCGACAAAAACAGAAUCUGUUAACAGCAGACCAGUCUGUAGCAAUCUGUAUACUUUGUAUUCUUCUGGUACUUCCAAAAUUCUGAACAAUAACGACAGUCUGAAGAAUUUGCGUAGCAAUCAGCAGAAAAAAGAAUCAACUCAAAAGCUCUUACGAAAAAAAACGAACAGAAAGUUUCUGUCUNUUGCACCCAACGCUAUGAAGGGAUUGUCAAUCCCUUAUAGAUUAUUUGCAAAGUGAGAACUGAAAGCAAAAAGGAAACAAAGCAAAGUAAAAGUGAAAGUGGAAACGAUAGUUGUGAAUAGACACGGGGGCCGUAGUGUUCACUAGUGGCUUCUCUCAUGAAAGCAAGUAGACGGUGGGUGAACGAAUUACUGUCGAGCAAUUGAUUGAACCGCGCAAAGUCGUGACGUUAUCUAUGUCAAUGAUUAUAUCUAUAGGCAUCACGUCCAAAACAAGUAGACCGAUACUUUCUGCAUCUACUACUAUUCCUCCACACGUCAACCGCUAUCCUUCAUGCAUCUAGUGUAUUAAGUUCAUGAGAACAGAGUAACGCCUUAAGCAAGAUGACAUGAUGUAGAUGGACUAUCUCACAUCUACGAUAAAAGCCCAUCUUGUUACCCUUGAUGGCAACAACACGAUGUGUGCCUUGCUGCCCCUUCUGUCAUUGGAAAAGGUCACCACACGGUAUGAACCCAAAACCAAGCACUUCUCCCAUUUCAAGAAUCAUAUAUCUAGUUGGCCAAGCAAAACCCAAGACUCGGAGAGACUUACAAGGAUAUCAAAUCAUGCAUAUAAGAAAUCAACAAAGACUCAAAUAUAAUUCAUAGAUAAUUUGAUCACAAAUCCACAACUCAUCGGAUCUCGAAAAACACACCGCCAAAGAGGAUUACAUCGGAUAGAUCUCCAUGAAGAUCAUGGAUAACUUUGUAUUGAAGAUCCAAGAGAGAGAAGAAGCCAUCUAGCUACUAACUACGGACCCGUAGGUUUGAAGUGAACUACUCACGAGUCAUUGGAGAGGUGAUGAUGUUGAUGUAGAAGCCCUCCAACUCCAAAGUCCCCUCCGACAGGGCACCGGGAAGGGUCUCUAGAUGAGAUCUCGCGGAAACGGAAGCUUGCGGUGGCGGAAAAGUGUUUUCAUGGAUGCCCUGAUUUUUUCUGGGAUUUUAGGGAAUAUAUAGGCGAAAGAGCUAGGGCAGAGGAGCUCCACAGGGGCCACAAGCCUGGUAGCCACCGGCCCCCCUGGUGGCGGCUACAGGGCUUCUGGGCCCCCUGUGGCUCUCCUGCCUUGGCCCUCAAGUCCCCCGAUCUUCUGUUCUGGAAAAUUUUAUUUCGGGGAUUUUAUUCCGUUUGGACUCCGUUCCAAAAUCAGAUCCGGAAAGAGUCAAAAACACACAAAAAACAGGAACUGGCACUUAGCACUUAAUUAAUAAGUUAGUCCCGAAAAAGAUAUAAAAGGUAUAUAAAAAAUCCAAAGUUGACAAGAUAACAACAUGAAACCAUCAAAAAUUAUAGAUACGUUUGAGACGUAUCAAAGGCCCUGAUGAAGAAAUCACGUGCAAAGUCAAAACCAUCAACAUCAUUAUCUAAAGAGCAAAUUCCUCACAAAGAAUCAACAAUGGAUGAAAAGUCCACAACUGCAGCACAGUCUUCACUUCCUCCAUAGCCACAGCUCACGCAACAUCAAACAUGAAAUCUAAAUUCCUCAGUACCAUCAGCCUCUCGCUCAGCUCUCAAAUCAUCACCUUGCAUAAUGAAGACAAAGAUGACUGCUGGAAGAGGAACAAGGCCGAGCCCAAGCAAUGUUGUCAAUGUCCCUUGUGCAUCAGAGGGAAGUCGGGAAUAUGAUGAUGAAACUCUUCAAGCCAUCACCAGGAACAAACAAGAAACGGUUGCACAAGCUACUGGCAACACCAUUCCCCUCGCACUGGAUCCGAAAGUGGUGCUGAACUUCAUCGAUCUUUGGUAUGAGGAUCCAAACACACCCAUUGAUGAUUUGAAACUUCCACCUGGACUCAGCCACAUGGUUAUUUCAUUCAUCAAUGAAGCAAAGUGGAAGGACCAGCAAACCAAGCAAGCACGGGCUGCAAAGAUUAAAAAGGAGAAGUACUUGAAACAAAACAUCCUUAACCUGACGCCUGAGAAACUUGUCUCUACUCAAGCCAAAUUGAAAACCCUCGCUGACAAAUACACUAGUCUUCAUGCAGACUGAAAGGGUGUCAAAGUGAGGUUUGUGAAGGCCGCAAUUGAAGCAAUUGAUGUAUACAACGGUAGGGUUGCAACCCCAAAGCAACCAACAAAUCCUCAGGCCAGCUACACUAUACAACUGGCUGAUUCUGCUGAAGAUGAAGAACGAGCUGCUGAUGAAACUACUCAGAAUGUUCCAGCUGAAGAAUUUGCCACGCCUGAAACUGCUCAUGUAAUGCCUGAUGAAAAUGCUCCUUCAUCAAUGUCUUCAAAAGUGAAGAAAAUGACUCUUCCGUAUGCAUCAGACACGAAGAAAACAAAAGCUGCUGAGAAGAAGGCCAAGAAGAGAAAGGCAUCAACACCUUCAAAGUCUUCAGAGGCAAAAUGCGUGACGACUAUGCCUACUACAUCAUCAGCUCCAGUUGAUGCAACUCCCCUCAGUGUUGCACCAUCAUACAUGAUUGUACCAUUUGGUGAAGAGCAUAUCAUUCCAGAACAGGAUGAGGAAAUGCAUGACAAUCGCUCUGCUGCAUCCACACCAAUAGAUGAGGAAAUUCAAGUUAAUCAAAUUCCUCACGUCUCAACACCUCCUCCUCAAAACCCAGAAAUGACUGUUGAAGAAAAGGAGGCCGAUGAUGACAUUGGCAGCAGCACACCUGUUAUCCAUGAUGAUUUUUGGGAAAAAGAUCAUCCAAACUCGCCAAUAGCUUCAAAAAUUCCUCGAACUAUUGUAUCUCCUUAAGCAACAAAAAUUCUAACUGGCUCUCAAGAAAAGAGCUCACGUGGGAAAUCAGUGCUAGACAAAGAAUCAGCCACAUCAGCUGAUGAAACUGAGAAGGAAACUGUUGUACCAGAAACUGCAUGUGCUCCUCCGGCACAACAAAUUCCUCAAACUGAAGAACAAGCCUCUGAUGAAAAUGCCUCUGCAUAGGAUAAAGAUACAACUGAUGAACCACAUGUUGCAAAUCCUGGCACUGUAAUUGUGGUGGCCAAAAAUCCUCAAGGUGAUGAAAUUCAACAUCAAAAUCUUCAACCAAAGCCUCAUCAGCCCUACUCGAAGAGGCCAAAGUUUCUGAAAGCAGACUUCUAUGAUGAACAUCAUUUCUUCACGGGAGAAAAUCCAUACGAUAAGCCUCGUAUCACGCACAGGAAGUUCUGGACCAAAACUCAACUCAAUUACUAUGCUACUGUGCUUUGUAGGAAACGGAAGAUAUUUCAUCACACGCACAUUCCUCAUUGUGAUAUGGAAGAAAUUCCUUGCUUCAUCCCCGUUCUGAGUGUUCUUCACGACAUAGGACUACUGCCAUUCUGCACAGAUAUUGGUGACUGGAAUACAAAUAUCAUUCUUCAGUUCUAUGCCACACUGCAUAUCUGAGGUGGCCCCAAAAACAUCAACUUUUGGGUCUUGGACUGGAUGACUCAGCACACUCACUUAACAGCUCCAGCCACAGAAUUUCUUCGAGCUCUACCAAUCUCAAUUCCUUUAGAUGAAGCAAUUAACAUAUACGAUGAAAGAGAGUUACAAAAUCAGCUAAUGGAGGCCCUCACGAAGCCUUUAGCUCAGGGCCAACCUCCAAGGACUAGAUUCCCGGUGAAGGAAUUGAAGUAUGUGCCUAGAACUGUCUACAGAAUAUUGGCCUAUUCCUUCGCACCUAUCAAAGGGCAUGAUAAGGAAGAAGAUGUUGUUGGAAUCAUGAAGAACAUCCUGUUCAAUGUCAUUCAUGGAAUCAAAAUGAACCUUCACAACUUCUUCCUGAGGACUUUGGCCAACAAUGCCUUGUCGCCAUUUGAGCUAAAGAUUUAUGCGCCUUGGAUCAUGAGAUUCAUCAAAACCAGAUCCUCCAUCAACUAUCAAGGUGACUAUUUGAAUCACCUCAGCUAUCUGCCUCCUCUCAAAGUCAUCAAGAAAUAUUUUGAACCAGUUGAGGGCAAAGGCAAGUCAGUGAUUGAUGAAGGAAAUCGGCCACUGGAUGGUCAAUUUCGGAAGGAUGCAUCCUACUCCUCAUAUGAUGACACUUCCACACAAGAAUCUGAUGGCAGAGCAAAACCUCCAAGUCCAACUACCCCACGGGUGAUGACUAACAGAGAGCUUCUCCUCAGUCUUCAUUAGAAAGUUGAUCAAAACCAUAAGUGGGUGAAAUGUCAGUUUGGCUCUAUUGUGAAAACCCUCAAUGCUACUGGAAAUGCAGUGAAGAAAAAUCACUGUUAUAUUCAUGAAGUAUUUGAUUGCACCUAGGCCAUACUGUCCCAUCUCAAGACUCCCGAGGAACUCAAAGAACUGGAAUUCACUCAAGACUUUGAUUGGUCGUGGCCACCAAAGAAGAAAUGCAAGAAGAUCCCAGUUCCUGACCUGGUGGACAGCUCUUAUUCUUCAUUCCGCACUGCUGAUUCAGAUGAAGAACAUGCUGAUACUGCAAUCGGCCCAACUAUGAAGACUAGCAUGAAGAGCACGGGCGCCUCUCCUCCAACACAGAAGUGAAAUUCUUCAUGGGCGUUAGUCAUCAGUUUCGUCCCUUUUCGUCACUUGAUGGCAAAGGGGGAGAAAUCUGAGAGUUAGUCUUCAAACGGGUUAAAUUUAUUGGCUUAUAAACUUUAUUAAGUUAGAAACUCUUGGUUCUUCUAAAGUGUUUGUUGUAAUGAGUUGUAACUUAAGCCCGUUGGUGUUCUAACACUUUUGAACAUUUUUCCUCGCAUGCUUAUUCCUCAAGUUAAUUAAUGCAUGCAUGCUGACAUUCGUGAGACACCAUUUUUUCAUCAUGCAUUUCAAAUUCCUCAUACUAUAUGUCAAAUGCAUGCAUGAAUUAAAAGAUACACGGGAGAUCUCCAUGAUAUAUAUCAUCAAUGUGCAUUUGCUGUUCAACGAAAAUUCCUCAAAACAUGCACAUCUUCACGGGGAAUUUCUCUAUAUCUUGCCUUCAAAUUCCUCAAACUCAGUAAUUCCAUUUCAUAUUAUUGUCCCCGUUGAAAACUUAACCUAUUUGUCAUCAACCACAAAAAAGGGGGAGAUUGUAAUUGCAUCUAGUGCCCCUUAGUGAUUUUGGUGGUUUGAGGACUUAUAGGUCAAGAGACUAAUAUGUUUGUAAGUGUACACACGAUGUGAAAGUCACUAAGGAGUUUGGGUUAUUCGAUGAAUAUCGACCCCUAAAAUGUAUGUCUUCGGGUGAAGACUUUGGUCAUUCCUUGAAGACUUUGAUCGCGAAGAAAAUGCGAAGAAAUGGUUAUUCCUCACGAAGAUAUUGAAAAUGAGGAAUUCGGUGUGUCCCAAAGAAAAUACUUUGAAGACUUUGAAGCUUGAAGAUUUACUCCUUUUGUUUCAUUUUCUUUAUGCUUGAGUCAUAGGAACCCCAUACUGUUAAAGAGGGCGAGGUAAAACUAUGGAACGAAUUUCCUCAUGAUGCUCAACCCAAACCUACACCUACCAAAUCCUCAAAGUGAGGAACAUGAAAAACAUGAGGACUUUCAUAGUUGAAAGUUCCAACCGUUGUCGCGCUAUGCACCACCUGUCCCAAGUCUUAUCCACCCAACGGUCAUAUCAUUAAGAGCAUUUAGGUCAAAUUAUGUCAGGAUGCUCCGAGGCUAUAAAUAGACACCCCCACAACCACUAGCUGGUUGGAUGCUUCGAGAGAAACUGACACUAGUAAUUUAGUGCAACCCAAAUUCCUCAAAGUCUUUGAGAGAAAAUCAUCAAGUGAGGAAAUACCCCAAACAUCCAAACCCAAACCAAAACCCAAGUCAUUGAGCAUCACUAAAGAAGUUAUUCCUGUGUGGAACCAACGCUUGUUACCUUUGAGGACUGUGCAUCCUCCAUACGGCUAGGCGUCAUGGUCUACAACAUCCAACAGUAAAUUGUGGAUCGCCAGGUGACCGAGAUUGUGAGGGUUUGAAAGUUUGCCCUGAAGACUUACCACCAGUGUUGGGUGAGGAUUGUGUGUCCUUAGCUCAAGGAGAAUACGGUAGGGACUGUGUGCCCCGGGACUGUGUGUCCUCUGGUUUCAAUACCAAGCCGCUCCAAACCAGACGUACAACUGUCACAUCAAUUGGAACUAGGUCAUCAACAAUUGUAUUCAUUGAGCUACUAUUUCUAUUUCCUCAACUCCUUUCAUUUCCUCAAUUGCAUGUUGAAGACUUUCAUCUAUACUGUUUGAAGAAUUUGACUGAAGACUUUCUCUGAAUUCCUCACCUCAAAUUGUUCACCUGAGUUAUUCUUCACCUGCCUAUCCUGAACUCUAGACCUGUGUAAACCGAUUCUCUUAAAUCAUGCUCAGUACUUUGUUGUAGACAUUUUUGCACUUCUGACUUAGUACUAUUUCUGCUGCACUCAGUUCAUAACUGAGGAUUUUCCUCACUAGGAUUUUCCUCAGUGAUGAAAUUGUAAAAUUGCCUAUUCACCCCCCCCUCUAGUCGAUAUAACGCACUUUCAAGAGUGUUUUGGAUCCUAUCUUGUAAGUCGUAGUCACCUAUUACGUGUCAUGAUCCACAUCCCCCAAGUUGACAGAAAUUGGGAUUCUUUUCAGUGAUUGUCAUAGUUUGAGGAGUUCAUGUAUUCACCAUGUGUUAGUGCUUUGUUCUAGUUCUCUAUUAAAAGGAGGCCUUAAUAUCCCUUAGUUUCCAAUAGGACCCCACUGCCACGGGGGGGUAGGACAAAAGAUGUCAUGCAAGUUCUUAUCGCAAGCACGUAUGACUAUAUACGAAAUACAUGCCUGCAUUAUAUUGAUGAACUGGAGCUAGUUCUAUGUCGCCCUAGUGUGUAACUAUUACAUGGUCAAUGUAAUCUAAAUCAUUAUCCAUCACCGAUCCACGUGCCUAUGCUUUUCAUAUACUGAAUCUUGCUAAGUUACUACAGCUGCGGCUACUGUCACACUUGCUACUAAAUUGAUAUUGUUACUUUUGCUACUAAAACUGCUAGUGUCACUACUACUAUUUGCCGUGCUACUAAAUCCUUAUUCCAGAGAGAUACCACAAGUGCGGUUGAAUUUACAACUCAUCUGUCAAGGACAGUAAAUACUCUUGUGUCAAACCAAUAAAUUAGGGUAAAAUAUUACCUGUGAAGACUGUCGCGAUCCCCUACACUUGUGGGUUAUCAGGCAACACCCUGUUCAGUGAUGACAUGUUCCAAGUACGCAAUCUGCCCAAAAGCACAUUUAGAUUGUUUAACUUGCCAAUGGUCCCUUCUGAGUAGUUGCAGCACUUGACGGAUGUGCUCCACAUGUUGUUCAAAUGUUUUAUUGUAAACCAAUAUGCCAUCGAAGAAGAGAAUGACACACUCCCGCAGCAGUGGUCGCAGAGUGCAAGUAAUUGCUCCAAUGAAAGUUGGGGUGCAGUAGCGAGGACGAACGACAUGACCAAGAAUUCACAGGUGACCUAUGUGGGUUGUGAAGGCUGUUUUGUACUCUUCCUCUUGUGCCAUUCUUAUCUGAUGAUAGCCAGCACGCGGAUCCAUUUUGGAGAACCAUUUUGCUCCCACCAAUUCAUCGAGAAGCACAUCUAUAAUUGGAACUGGAUACUUACUGACGAUUUUCAUUGCAUUCAGCGUCUAGCAGCUCCUUAACUUGUCGCUCAAUCUCAUUUUUGAGCUCAGGUUUGUGUCGGUAAGGACGUUGGUUGACAGGUUGUGCUCCUUCCAUGAGCGGAAUUAUGUGAUCACAAGCACGUGUGGGAAGCAGCCCUUUUGGUUCUUCAAAGACAUCUGUGUAUUGCUCCAGAACCCUGAGAAUCUCUACGGGAAUAGCUUCUUCUUGUAAACCUUCUUCAUUUAUUGCAUUGAGGUGGACUACAAAAGCUACGGACCCUUGCUUGCAUGCAUUCAAUAGUUCUUGAGAUGAUAUAGCAGAACACCGUUGAUGGUUGCUACGAGCAGCUUGUAGUUCAAUCAAUCCCCCUUCAGAUAUAACUUUCAUAUGUUCUGGCUCCCAGUCAAUAUGCAUAGGGAUGUGCUUCCUGAGCUAGUCCAUCCCUAGGAUAGCAUCGUAUGCUCCAAGGAAAAGAAGCUUGAAAUCUGUGAUAAACUCAUGCCCCUGAGACGUCCAUUGGCACUGUAGUAUGAAGCUGUCACAAUUCAACACAGCACCGUCGACCACUUUAACUCUGCAUGUCCUUGGCAGUUUGCAAACUCCCUUCAAUUUAGCUAUGAGGCAAUGGUCAACGAACAAGGAAGAACUACCUGAGUCAACCAGCAAAGACAUUUCCUCCCCUUAAAUCCACGCAUGCAGCUGCAGCACUCCCGGUCCAGCCGACCCAUCAAUCGCUUGCUUGGAGAUGGUACACAGAUUGUCUUCGUCCAACUCGUUUGAUUCAGGUUUGCUGGCACUGUGCACCUCCUCUGCUGCGAAGAGCUCCCAUAGUUCCUCGACCACAUGCAUCUGCACUAUCGUUGGACAUGUGUGAUAUUUGCCCCAGCAUUCACCACACUUAAAACACAGUCCCCGAGCGCGUCUGAAAGAGCGUAAUGCUGCAAUUUUACUGCUCUCUGCUCCCACUCGCGCUGCAUCUGUGCCCUUGCACUCCUGUGCUUUGGUUGUAGACGCUGAUAGUUUUGCAGUUCCCAACAGCAAAGUUGGAGUGUUGGCCCUCAUCACGCGCGGCAUUGGUGCACGGUUGGGUACAACGCGCAAGGUGUUCUCCCCAUCUGCAUCUUCCUCCUGGAGUAGUGAAAGGGAACAUGUCGUGUCAAGGUCGGACGGCCUCUGAAUGAGAACCACAUCAUGAAUAUCCGCUCGCAGUCCCUCGAUGAAUCGUGUAAGAAAGAAAUACUGGCGUGUCAGUUCCGAGUAAGAGAUCAUAUCAUUCAUCAAAGUCACAAAAUGUUUAAUGAAAUCGGCAACAGAUUCAGUCUGACGAAUAGCAUAAAAUUGACGAAUGAGCAAUUGGUGUUUGUCACGCCCAAAUCAAGUGCAAAGCACAGCCGUGAAUGAUUCCCACGCAAGACCAGAGAUCUUGCGAUGACGGACUGUAGCCAAAUGGCAGUCAGACCCAAAAAAUUCAAGACCGCCAUGGGUACCCAGUAUGAUUCAUGAAUGACAAACUCUGAAAAUACUGCUCUGCCAGAGUUUUCCAGAGCUGUGGAUUCUCACCAGCGAAGCUGGGAAAUGAGAUCGGGGGUGGAACUUACCCCAUCAUGGCGAGCACUUGUGAUGGAAGUGGAGAGGAAUUCGAGGGAGGGAACAAGGUCGUACCCGUGACCGGGGAAGCCGUCGGUGACUCCAUGGUCAGCGUCGGAGGUCCCCCGGGAUGUAGUGACGCGUCGUGGCUUGGUUGCUCUUGGAUCUUGCGCGCGACGAGGGGAGAGGUCGCAGGCGGCAGAGAUUCACUGGUAGGCGUGACCGAGGUGGACGUGGCUUGAAGGUUCUCGAAGGAGAGCUCCAACUGCGUGAAUUGCGCCUCCAACUCUGGCUUCGAGGAGACGAGGGCGUCGAUCCAUGUGGAUUGCGUCGCCAUGGCCUCGAGGAUGGCCUUGUUGUUUACCUCCUUCCUGGCAGCGCGGGCAACCGCGUCGUCGUUCAUCUUGUCGAGGUGCGCCUUCAGCACCGGAUCCAGGGUGGCGAAGAAGGCGUCGCCCGUGUGCUCCUUGCUGCGGGUUUCCAGUGCGGAGACGGAAUACGGUGCAGACGGCGAGGCGUAGGGUGGUAGGUGGCUAGCUAAUACCAUGAUGUUAGGCAUCGAAUCUAGAUCUAGUAUUUCUCUUCACAGUUUCAUCUCAAGUACAUAAUGGUGUUACAGAGAGAAGGAAGAAGGACAGAAAAGAAAGCCACCAUUGCCGUGCCUUUGCCUGAUCCUCAUGGAUGCCUAGCGAGUCGCAUGAGAGAGCCUAAGUAGCGUUCCACCAUUUCGGGCCCACGAACCUGCGGUUGAGCUGCUUGAUCCUAGGUGGCCUUGCGAUGGCGUGCUUGUGUCCCUGAUUGGUGGAAGGGGAUUUCUCUUCUGCCAUGUCAUUCGCUCGCCCCGACUUGGCGAGGUUGUUGUGCGCUGGGACUGAGACUGGGUCGUUGAUAGAUGAAUCGUCAGAUUUUAUUUGUAAUUCCGCUCAUCUUUGAGAAUUACUAGGUGCCAUAAAAUUGCUCCCAAUGAAAUAUUGAAGUUCACGCAAGAAAAGUUGCGCAUGGUGCACCUCCAGUUCAUCAUCGAUAGAGUGCGUUCGCGCCUGGCAGGAUGGAAGGGCAAGCUCCUCAAUUUGGUCGCCCGUGGGGUGCUCGUGCGAGCAGUUCUCACUGCUCUGCCCACCUUUGCUCUGACAGACCUCAAGGUGCCCAAGAAAAUUCUAAAAGAGGUGGACAAGGCGUGACGAUAGUUCCUCUGGGCUCAGGACGAAGAUCUGACUGGUGCUGAAUGCAAAAUGGCUUGGAGCACAGUGUGCUUGCCAGUCGCCAAAGGAGGGCUCGGGGUCCUGGACCUUCAUCGUUUCAGCGCUGCUCUACGUUUACGCUGGUUGUGUCUUGCGUGGCAGCAGCCGCGGCGGUCCUGGACGGACUUCCCUACGUCCUACGACCAACGAGACCCGGAGCUGUUCGCAAGGGCAAGCAAUGACUGUGAAGAUUGACUACGGCAUAUUGACAAGUUUCCGGUGAAGUACGUGGUAGGGGCAGAGUGAAUUGCAAAAAACCAUCACAUUUGGUCCAUCGAUUGCAGAAAACCACCAGGUGGCUAAUCUUUUGCAAAAAACAUUGUGUAUUCUGUAAACUUUUGCAAUAUGUACUGAUCGGGCGAUUUCCUGUUUUUGACCAUUUUGUCGACAACUGGGGCCCUUUUUCACCCCACCUGGCCUAACGGCUGGGCAACGACGCCGUCAGGUGGAAUCCCUUUGCCCCCCUCGCUUCAGACAGACCGACCGACCAGGCCACGCCACUCCACACUCCUCUCCCUUGGGAUCCCUUAAUGGUGAAACCUCGCGGCGCAGCGGCUGCGCUUCCGUUGGAGAUGCUCCAGGCUAUGCUGAUGGAGAUCCACCGGAGUUUUAUGGGAGCUCAAAUCCUUCUUAGCCGCUGCCUCCCCCCGAAUCUUCGGAGUACGCAGGGGCUAGGGAAUUCACCCCGACUGUGAAGGCAAAUCCAACGGGCAGCCAGGGUAAGACAGUGUGGUGUAAGACAUCCAUCCACUCUCACUCAUUUCUCUUUUCCCUGAUUUGGUUUCUAGUGUUAGGGUGCUAGGGUUAGGAAUUAAUUGUUCAAGAGUUGUAAGUAUUGGGUUGAACUGAAUGUUUAACACUAUUUUUAACUAAAUGUAGGUUGGAUGGUGAAGAAUUGAAAGUGAGGUACCAUUUCUUGGACAAAGAUAAUUUGGAAAGAAUGGUUUUCUUAUCGAACAUAACCUAUUGGAAUGUGAUUGCACUAAUAGAGAUAGCAGGCUGUAGUUCAAGAUAUUUUAUGUAUUAUGUUAGAGAUCCACGAGUUGGGGUGUCAGGAAUGGAAGAAUUAACUAAUGUUGACAAGGUGGGAGAAAUAUUGGAUGACAUAAUUAGUAAAGGAAAUAAUAUGGUUAACAUUACAGUUACGAGAAGUGAUGCACCAACAGUAGGUGACCUUAACAUUGGUCAUCUUUAUGAAGAGCAAGUCCCUUUGUCUGAAUUUGGUGUACCACUUUUCUAUGAGGUAGAUACUAGAGGAGUUCUUUUCCCUAGUCCUAUGAAGCCCCAACCACAUCCAGCCCAGGUCAUGAACACCGAGGAGAGUUCAUGUUUGUUGAAGAGUUGACUAGCGGUGAUAGUGAGAAUGAAAUUUUAGUAGACGAUGACAUAAUAGCUAGGCUGGAGGCAAUGAAGAGGCAUAGAGCCGACCCUCUCAAUCACUAUGAAGGAGACGCUUAUAUAGAAGAGUAUGAACCAGAUGAGGAGGAGGGGGAGGAUGAAGCAGGAGAGAAGGAGUCAGGACAGAGGAGCAAGCAGAGGAGGGCAGGAGAGGUGGAAGCAUUGUAGGAGGAAGUAAUGCAGGAGGAAGCAGCAUCACAAGAGGAAGUCAGGGGAAGGGGCCAACAACCAGAUCACAUGGAUGUCUGGAUCAAACCAUAGAGAAAUAUUGGAUACAUUUAUCUGAUGGGGAGAGCAACCUUGGUGACUUAUGUCAGGAUGAUAAUGAUGGUGCUCAACUUCCAACAUUUAGGCUUAGUAAGAUACCCAAAUAGACAUGGGCUAGACAUGCCAUGGACAAAAAUUGUAAAACCUACUUAGAAUGUUUAGAAAAAACAGUUUAGAGUCUUUCUUCACAAGACGCAAGGAAGCAUUUGUGCACCUUUACAGAGCUUUGCGAUAUGACUCACAUAAAAUAUGUUUAUCAUGAUGAAGUUAAAGUAUGUUAAUUCCUUUUCUCUUUGAGAGGAAAAGAUGAGAAUGCUUGAUAGCUUUUAUUAAAGUAGACAUUACAUCUUGGAAUAGUUGUUGCAAUAUGUUCAUGACUAAAUAUUUUCCACAUGUGAAAACAAUGCAAUUGUUUAACAUUACAAGUAUUAAACAUGAAGACCAUGAGCCGCUAGCGCUUGCGUGGAAUCGUACAAAAGAAGUUGUUAGGAAAUGCCCUAACCAUGGCAUGAAACAAUGGUUAAUUCUAUAUUUGUUUUAAAGUGGUUUAAAUCAUUUAUAUAAAACAUCAUUAACACUACUACAGGGGAACUAUUAUAGGACAACCACUUGGUGAAGCAAAGAAGCUCGUAUAAGAUAUGCAAGAAAAUUAUACUCACUCACACGUUGAAAACUUCACAUCUAGGUAAAUUCUAUUAAUGAGGAAAGUAAUGAAUAGAUUUCAACAAAAAUUGGUGAGCUCCAAAGAAUGAUAAAGGUAAAGAAGAAAUUUCUAUGAACUCUAAUAUGGAAGUUGACAUCAAUUUCAUUCCUUGCAAGAGUUAUAAUCCUGGGCGGAAGAAUAUAAUAUUUUUUUCAAAUUAUUGGAGACCACUCAUACGUCUCAAACGUAUCUAUAAUUUUUGAUGGUUUCACGCUGUUGUCUUGCCUUCUUUGUAUGUUUUAUGUACCUUUUUAUAUCUUUUUGGGACUAACUUAUUAAUUCAGUGCCAAGUGCCAGUCCCUGUUUUUUCCGUAUUUUUGACUCUUUUCAGAUCUGAUUUUGGAACGGAGUCCAAAUGGAAGAAAAACCCCGAAAUGAUUUUUUUCCCGAAUGGAAGAAGUCCAGGGGGCUUUUGGGCCAAGCCAGGUGGGCUCCACGGAGCCCACAAACCCCCACUCCGCCACCAAGGGGGAGGCGGCAGUGGGCAGGCUUGUGGCCUCCCUGGCCGCCCCCUGACCUAGGUCUUUGGCCUAUAAAUUCCCAAAUAUUCCGCAAAAAAUCAAGGGAGCCUCGAAAAUACUUUUCCGGCGCCGCAAGCUUCCGUUUCCGCGAGAUCUCAUCUUGAGACCCUUCCCGGCGCCCUACCGGAGGGGACUUUGGAGUUGGAGCGCUUCUUCAUCAUCAUCAUCGCCCCUCCAAUGACUCGUGAGUAGUUCACUUCAGACCUACGGGUCUGUAGUUAGUAGCUAGAUGGCUUCUUCUNNNNNNNNNNNNNNNNNNNNNNNNNNNNNNNNNNNNNNNNNNNNNNNNNNNNNNNNNNNCGAUGUAAUCUUCUUUGGCGGUGUGUUUGUCGAGAUCCGAUGAAUUAUGGACUUGUGAUCAGAUUAUCUAUGAUAUAUAUUUGAGUCUUUGCUGAUUUCUUAUAUGCAUGAUUUGAUAUCCUUGUAAGUCUCUCUGAGUCUUGGGUUUUGUUUGGCCNNNNNNNNNNNNNNNNNNNNNNNNNNNNNNNNNNNNNNNNNNNNNNNNNNNNNNNNNNNNNNNNNNNNNNNNNNNNNNNNNNNNNNNNNNNNNNNNNNNNNNNNNNNNNNNNNNNNNNNNNNNNNNNNNNNNNNNNNNNNNNNNNNNNNNNNNNNNNNNNNNNNNNNNNNNNNNNNNNNNNNNNNNNNNNNNNNNNNNNNNNNNNNAGGGGCAGCAAGGCACACAUCAAGCAGUUGCCAUCAAGGAUAAAAAGAUGGGGGUUUUAUCAUUGGUUUGAGAUUAUCCCUCUACAUCAUGUCAUCUUGCUUAAGGCGUUACUCUGUUCUUAUGGACUUAAUACACUAGGUGCAUGCUCGAUAGCGAUCGACGUGUGGAGUAAUAGUAGUAGAUGCAGAAAGUGUUGGUCUACUUGUUUUGGACGUGAUGCAUAUAGAAAUAAUCAUUGCAUAGAUAUCGUCACGACUCUGCACAGUUCUAUCAAUUGCUCGACAGUAAUUUGUUCACCCACCGUCUACUUGCUUUCAUGAGAGAAGCCACCAGUAAACACUACGGCCCCCGGGUCUAUUCACAUCCAUCGUUUACAUCUCCGCUUUUACUUUGCUUUGUUACUUCGUUGCUUUCAGUUCUCACUUGGCAAACAAUCUAUAAGAGAUUGACAACCCCUUCAUAGCGUUGGGUGCAAGCUUUUGUGUUUGUGCAGGAUCUUGAGAUACUCUUCUGCCGGAUUGAUACCUUGGUUCUCAAACUGAGGGAAAUAAUUACCGUCGCUGUGGUACAUCACCCUUUCCGCUUCGAGGGAACACCAACGCAAGGCUCCAAGGCCAUGGGGGAAAUCCUUUGCGUACUUGCCUAGGAAGUCCCUUAAGGCGUAGUCAUAGCUGAAGGAUUCCUGGUGCCGUCGACACAACUAUUUCUGGCGUCAUUGCAAGGGAUACACAACAAACAUCAGAAGUAUUUCUGGCACCGUUGCCAGGGAGGAGGAUCGUCAAGAAUAUUCUCCCGACAACGUGCCCAUUUCUGGCGCCGUUGCCGGGGAGGAGAAAUAAAGAUCUAUCCAAGUAGGUCUCACAAACUCUUCUCUUGCAUUUACUUUUGUUGCCAGUUGCCUCUCGUUUUCCUCUCCCCCAAUUCACAUUUGCCGUUUUCAUUUGCCUUUCUCCUUUGCCGUUUUCCUUUGCCUUUGCCGGUUUUCUUGCUCGCUCGUGUGCCAUGUGCCAUCAAUAUGCUUGCAUCUUCGCUUGCUGAAAAUCUAGUGAUAUGGAUCCUCAUCCACUUGCUAGUCUCUUUAAGAGACCCACUCGUGUGGAACAAAUUGCUAGUGAGUUGAGGGCAAUUGACUAUUUCUUUGGAGUUUUGCGUAAGAUGCGUGAAUCUGAAAAUUGUGAGGAAGAAAUUCAUGAAGUGAUUCACGAGGGCUCCUUGGAUGAAAAGCAUGAUUGCAAUGAUUUCACUAUAAAUCCUAUUAGUGACAAUCAUGCUAAAAAUAUGCAAAACCCUAAGCUUGGGGAUGCUAGUUUUGCUUUGUCCACUACUUGUUGCAAUAAUCAUGAUUGGGGUGAUGAUCUUUCUUAUGAUCUUGAAAAUUUGUUCAAACCUCAUGAUGAAUAUGAUAUUUGCAACAAUACUGAAAGUGGGAUUGGAGAAGUCAUGACUUUAUUUGAUGAUAAUCCCACUAUUUUUUAAGAGCGUCAACUUUGCAUGCAUGUGGAUCAUGAAAAGAAUAUCCUAUGGGAUAGCUUUAUUGUUGAAUUUGAAUAUGAUCCCACAUGUAAUUGUUAUGAGAGAGGAAAAUAUUUUGGUAGAAACUUUCAUGUUACCAAAUUACCUCUCGUUAUGUUGAGAUUGCUAUUGUCUCUUUCUUCUUCCUUGCAUAUGGCAACUAUUAGUUGUCUUGACAAUUUGUUUUCCUACAAAAUGCCUAUGCAUAGGAAGUAUUUUAGACUUAGAUGUGAUUUUCACAUGCUUUAGGAUGCUCUCCUUGUGCUUCAAUUCUUGUCUUUUGUGUGAGCAUCAUUGAAUGCCUAGCUAAGGGCGUUAAACAAAAGCGCUUGUUGGGAGGCAACCCAACGAAUCUAUCCUUUUUCUUUUUGUUUUGUGUUUUCCAAACUUUCAUAAUUCUAUUAUGAUUGUGUUUUUUGUGUUUCUUUUUGCGUUUGUGCCAAGCAAAACCGUUAUGAUUAGUCUUGGGGAUGAUCGUUUGGUCACGCUGGAAAAGACAGAAACUUUCUGCUCACGAAAAGAAUUUUAUUAUUUUUUCUGUAAGAGCUUUUGAGUUGAUUCUUUUUUCUGCUGAUUGCGACGCAAAUUCUUCAGACUUUAGUAAAGUUUCAGAAUUUCUAAAGUACGAGAGGUAUACGAAACAUACAGAUUGCUACAGACUGGUCUGCUGUUAACAGAUUCUGUUUUUGUUGUGUUGGUUGCUUAUUUUGAUGAAACUAUGGAUAGUAUCGGGGGGUAUUAGCCAUGGAAUAUUUAAAGUACAGUAACCCAACAUCAGCACAAGUAGAAUUUAAGUUUUCUACAGUACCUAAGGUAGUGGUGGUUUGCUUUCUUGUACUAAUGUUAUCACGAGUUUCUGUUUAAGUUUCGUGUUGUGAAGUUUUCAAGUUUUGGGUGAAGUUCUUAUGGACAAAAAGAUAAAGAGUGGCAAGAGCUCAAGCUUGGGGAUGCCCAAGGCACCCCAAUAGAUUCAAGGAUGCCGUAAAAGUCUAAGCAUGGGGAUGUCCCGGGAAGGCAUCCCCUCUCUCGUCUUCAAUCCAUCGGUAACGUUACUUGGGGCUAUAUUUUUAUUCACCACAUGUUAUGUGUUUUUGCUUGGAGCGUCUUGUAUCGUAGGAGUCUUCUAUUUUUUUUUGUGUCACAAUCAUCCUUGCUGCACACCUAGAGAGAGAGACAUGCACUCACCAUGAUUUUGUCGAGCUUCACUUAUAUCUUUUGGUAGACAAUUCAGCUCACAUGUGCUUCACUUAUAUCUUUUGAGCUAGAUACUUUUGCUCUAUGUGCUUCACUUAUAUCUUUUAGAGCACAUUGGUGCGUGGCUUGGUAGUGGAUCUAUGCUUUGAAAGUAGUCUCAAAAGGGGUAGUUAUCCAAAGGGAUACGAAAACUUCCACCUUCAUGUGCAUUGAAUAGUUAGAGAAGUUUGAUUCAUCUCAAUUAGUUUUGAGUUGUGGUUAUGGUAAUAUUGAAAGUCAUGCUAGUAAGGUGUUGUGGAUCUAGAAAUACUUGUGUUGUGGAUCUAGAAAUGCUAGUAAGUCAUGCUAUUUAGCGCGUAGGGCGAUGUAGCGCGUACACCCUCCAACCUUCGAUCCUCUAUUGGGCCGACCCAUCAACGGAUUUCUACCCCUCUGGUUUAGAACCUUACCUAAACAUAAUUUUCUUUUUUUCUUUAUGUAUCUUUUUUUCUCUUUUCUUCUUCAAUUUGCAAACAUGUUCCAAAUUCGUGUUUGUUAGGGAAAUCCUGGACAGUUUUUGUAAUACGUAAAUAUUUUUUUUAAAAUUACUAACAUUUUUAAAUUUGUGACCAUUUUUUACAAAUUUGUGACCAUUUUUUGAAAUUGUGUACCUUACACUUUUCGUUAUUUGAUUUCAGAAAAUGUGCAUCAAUGUAAAAAAAUGUUCAUCGAAUUCAAAUUUUCUUCAUCGUAUCUAAAAAUGCUCAUUGAAUUAAAAAAUGUUUAUCUUUCUUCAUUGAUUUUCAGAAAAUGAUCAUCAAAAUUCAAAAAAUAUUCUUUCUUUUGAAAUCGCGAGCAUUUUGUGAAUUCAAGAGCUGUUUUUGAAUUCGGUGAACAUUUUUUGAAUCCGUGAGCCUUUAUCAUUUCCGAACAUUUUUUUCAUAUCAUGAACAAGUUUCUGAAUUCACGAACAUUUCAAAAAUUGUAACUUGUUUUUUGAAAUCCCGAAUUAGUUUUAUAAUGGAAAACAGUUAAAACAGAAAAAAGCAAAAAAAAAAAAAAGAUGCUUCCCGCUUUGCUGCCCCCACACAUGGGCCGGUCCACGAGGGCGUCGGGGGUAAACUAAACAAGAGGUCCCUGAAUAAAGCUCUUCAGUUCCCAGAAAAAAGGGUAAACUAAAAGCAGAGCUCGGACCGACACGUUCUUGCCACACGAAGACAGCUCCGAACCAUUUUCCACCUGCAUGGACUAACCCCACAGACCAGCUCGUCCCCAACCCAUUACUGCGGUGCAGACAACACCCUUCCACCUUUCUCCGGUCCACUGGACCAGGAGCGCGGAGGAGCGCACAGGACAUCCACCAUUCACCGAGGAUGAGGGGAGGCGGAGGAAAUGGGUCGAGUCGCUCUCGCGAAAGGGACCCCCGCUCUGCCCCUCCUCCGCGUGGCGAAAUUCUCUCCUAUAGUCUACGACCGUGCGCUGCAGCUGCCGCCCCGCCGUGCCUCAGCGUCGCCGCCGACGCCUCAAUCCCCGCCGUACCUCGCCGUCCCCGUCCUCCCUCGCCGGGACGUCGCGUCCCCGCCGUGUCCACCCCGUCCCAGGCGAUUGGGUUUUGAGGUAUGGGCUUGUUUCGCCUAGCGAUUUGUUAAAUCACACCGAGCUCCACGAUUUUUGGGUGUGCCGGUGCGCCCACGCGGCACGCCAUCUUGAUCCGCUCCUGUUGUUGGAGAGGAGUGAUAUUGAGCAGAAUCGUAGAUGUUCUCUGAUAGGAUUAUAUCAGCCUCGGAAUAAAGAGUCAGGCUCUUAUUAAUUGUGCACAAAAAAACUUAUUGCUCAAUACUUCCGUACUAUCCUAUUCAGCAAGCUGUACAAAAAAUGGCUGGGGGGAACAAAAUUUGACUUAAGAUGCAGAUUGAAAUCCAUCAGGCACUUUGACUUUUAGGGAGCGUUCAUGUGUUGCGCUGAUGCCCAUGGUCUGUUAAACAUCAUGAUAUUCCUGUCUAAUGGAAUAAACAGGAUAGUAUUCUUGAACAAAUGCUAUAAGCAGACUCAUUGUAUGCCUCAUAUGCUUCACCUUUACUGCUUUAUUUCUCACAGGUGACCUCCACUGCUCAUUCUUUUACCUACUUAAUGCAUGUGUAAGCCUACAAUUCUUUGUGUAUAUGUUGAAAUGCGUGUAUGACAGGUUCUUCGUUUUCAAUUUUGUAGCCUAGGCACUGGGAUCUUCUUUGAAGUAAUUGAAGCUAUCCUAAUUGACAAACUAAAUUCAGUGGAUUAUACUGAGAAUCGAUAUUCUGCUCAGCUGUAUUUUCACCGAAACACAACCAUUUUGUAGUCCCUUGUCAAAAAAUAUGGGGAUUGAGAUAUGGUUACCCAUGAUGAGUAUGCGCUUGCUCCUGUGUGAUUAGAGCUAAUCCGGAAAUCUAUAAAUCCAAGCUAUUGAUGGAGCAUGCUAACUGCGAUGCGCACGAGCAUGUUAUAAAUGUAGCACAUGGGGAAACCGCAUCAACAUCAACCAGUCAUCAAGAUCUGCACAGUGAUACGGAUGAACCACAUCAGGAAGAUCGGCCUUCAACAAGCACGAGGACGCCAUCGCCACAAUCUUCAGCAUCAACAUCACCAACUGCUUACAGCUCCAGAAAUUUAUCAUUUCCUAGAAGAGAUAGUUUCUAUGGUCGUGGAACAAGUCUUUGGAAUUCUGGUUUAUGGAUCUCGUUUGAAUUUGUCAUGUAUGUAGCACAGAUUACAGCUGCUAUUGUCAUCCUCAUCUUGUCAAGACAUGAACUUCCCCAUGCCCCUUUAGUUGCAUGGAUAAUUGGUUAUACAGUUGGCUGCACUGCAAGUCUUCCUCUUGUAUAUUGGCGCUAUGUCCAUCGAAACAGACCUUCGGAGGAAGAACCUGAACAGCCACCUACAACUUAUCCUACUUUGACUUCAUCUUCAUCAGAAGGACGCAAUCAGCGUACCAGUGGUUCUGUCUUGCAUCUUGGGUGCAUCACAAUUGCUUGUCCAAGGUGAUUUUUAACUCCGUGCUAAUCUUGAUUUUGAGUUCCCUAAGCUUCUACAUGUUGAGGAAUCCUUCUAUGCAGUCACACUCCUACGCAUUUUAAAUCUUAUGGUCUUAUAUGUGUUUUCCAGAAAUCUGGAACGGUGAAAGGAAGAAGUUAAUGGUUAAGCUGAAUGAAAUUGCAACCUUUAGAGCAUCACACAAUUAGCUUCGUUGUGAAUAAUCUUACACUUGUUUGUGUAAAAUUCUGUAGUAGGUAUAUAAAACUGUAUAGUAUGAAAACAAAUCUGAGAUAAGAGUUGAGUAAAAAUUAUAACAGCUUAAGCAAAACCUUUAAAAUAAGCAAAUGCAGUUAUCAGUUUGUAUAGAUAAGAUAAUAUAUGUGCAGUUUUAUUUUACAGUAUAGCAUUGUGAAAUGAUUUCAAGGUCUUCUUUUCAGAACUUCUCCCUUUCUAUGCUUAACUCUCAAUGAUAUGUUCUUUUUUCGGUUUGCCAGUUUAAGCCUGUCAGCCCUAAGAACUCAGCAAUAGAAACACCUUUUGAUGGCUUUCCAAGAUUUGUGAAUUUGGAAAGGAGAACUUUAUAGGUUUUUUAGUCUGCGUGGCAAAUAGUUGUAGGACUGUUCACUUUUGUGAGCAAAAUCUUGUUGAUAUCUUUACUUGAUAUGGACCAAUGUAAUUACUAUGUAUGCCACUCGAAUGACGAGUCCAGUGUCAAUCUUAGUGUGCCACAUCACUUCAAAGUUAAAUAAUAUAGCGGCACAGCAGAUUAUUAUGCGUUCACAUCUUUUACUCCCUCCGUUUGACAAUAUAAGACGUUUUGACAGGCUGUUUUAGCUUGCAAAAUUUUAUAUUAUGGGACAGAGGGAGUAGCAUAUAACUACCACAUAAAGCCUCGCCAAAAAAAACUAGAAAUAUACUUAUAUACAGGAAAUGUUCUACAACUUAGUUAUCAUGUAUCCUCAUUUUCUUUUUCAUUUGCUCAUUUCCUGUGGAAGUAAGACAGAAAUUUGUUCCAUGGACUAGCGGAAGUCCCUAAGUCAUAGCAUAAUAUUACCAUGCUUUCUUCACAUGUCUGACUAGACUGGUUUGAUGAUGGUCCCUUAAGUAUGCAGCUAUGCGGAUCAUAAGUUUAUAACAUAUCCUCUUUAAAUAGAGUGAAACUGGUGCUAUUUUACUCUAGUCUAAAGUAUUCUUAUCUGAUUAGUAACUUGUAGAACUUGGUGAUGUAGGGUCUUAUAGUACUUGGUUGUAUGUUAAAUUUGAAGUGAAUGAAUGCUGUUAUUUGAUGUGAUUAUGUCUUAUAGGCCUAGCAUACUGGCUUAUCAUUCCAAGACAGCCGUAGACUGUUUCUUUGCUAUAUGGUUUGUUGUUGGCAAUGUGUGGAUUUUUGGUGGGCGUGGCACUUCAUCAGAUGCUCAGGACGCUCCAAAUAUGUAUAGGUAAUUGUACUGCUUUGUGUUUAUUCCAUUAUAUUUGUUGAACUCCCAACUGACCUUGCUGUGCCUUUAUAGGCUAUGUUUAGCGUUCCUUGCACUUAGUUGUGUUGGGUAUGCCAUUCCAUUCAUCAUGUGUGCAGCGAUAUGCUGCUGCUUUCCAUGCUUAAUUUCCGUUUUGCGCCUUCAAGAGGAUUUGGGUCAAAGCAGAGGAGCUACUCAAGAGCUAAUCGAUGCAUUGCCAACCUACAAAUUUAAACCAAAACGAAGCAAAAACUGGGUUCUUGAUCAUGCUUCGAGCUCAGAGAAUCUUAGCGAGGGCGGCAUCCUGGGCCCAGGAACUAAAAAGGAAAGGAUUGUUUCGGCUGAAGAUGCUGUGAGUAUUCCGCAUCCUUUUCCUGUGUCAUGAUAUUCAACAAAUACUGCAAGGAUUUGCUAUUGACCUUCAUAUGCUCCAUGAUUUAGUAAGAUAGCUUCAUUCAAUACAAGUGCAUUGUAAGCACUCAAUGUUAUGCUGCAACGUUUAUUGUUUUUUACCUUCAGAUUUUUUUUUUUUUUUGAGAAAACGCAAAAGCCUUGCGUUUCUUUGCAUUGAAAAGGGAGAUAGUACAGCCUCCGAAGAGGAAGUUACAGCACGGUUACAUGUAGGUCUAGUGGACAUCCCAGGUUGGGGGCAAAGCUACCCUAAGCCCUUUGUCCCCAGCCCGAGCCCAGCACCUAAUCUCAUCUUGAAUCCUAUCUAAGAGCUCGCUCAGCGACGGAGGUAUGUGAUCGAACACACACGCGUUCCUAUGCUUCCAUAUCAUCCAGGGGACCAGCAGCGCGACAGAACGCAGUGUCUUGCGGAGCGGUGCGGGGGUGGCGUUUCGCGCCCUACUCCACCAGUCCUGGAUGGAAGCGUCGUGCAUCGGCAGAGGGGCCGGGAGGUGCAGCCAGGACAACGUCUCAUGCCAUGCCUGCCGCGCGAAGGAGCAGGAGAUCAGCAGGUGCCGGAUAGUCUCGGGCUCCUGGUCGCAUAGGAGGCAGCGAGUGUGGUGAGGGAGCCCUCGGCGCGCAAGCCUGGCUGCGGUCCAACAGCGGUCCAGAUCCGCAAGCCAGUGGAAGAACUUGACUUUCGGGGGAGCCCAACCUUUCCAAAUGAGCUGCCAAGAGUGGCAUAUUAAUGAUCCAUGGAAGGUUGCCCUGUAGCAAGACCUCGCCGAGUAGAUGCCGUUGGCCGUCCACUUCCAGAUGAGCUUGUCCGGCUCCGAGGACAGAUUGAUCCGAGCGACGAGCUGCCAUGUCCUCAAGUAUUGGCCUAUCUCCUGCAGGCCCACCACACCUCUGAUGUCACGGGCCCAGGCAUUGCCGGCGAUGCCUUCCGCCACCGUCCUCACUUCUCUUCUGUUCUUGGGGAUGCAUAGGUAUAGGAGUGGCGCAAGCUCGCGAAUUGACUGCCCAUGCAGCCAUCGGUCCUCCCAGAACAGUGCGGUGAGGCCAUCACCUACUAGCAUGAGGGUGGAUGCAUGGAAUAGGCCGCGCUCCUCAGGGGAGAACUCUAAGUCAAGGCCUUGCCAUGCACGGUCGGCAUCCGUCCUCGAUAGCCAGAGCCAGCGGAGCCUGAGCGCUAGCCCCGUGCGCUCCAGGUCUCGAAUGCCCAACCCACCGUAGGCGAGCGGCCGGCAGACAGUGCGCCAGUUGACGUGACAGUGCCCUCCCUUUGCAGCCUCACGACCCGCCCAGAGGAAGCCGCGCUGAAUCUUCUCAAGCUGUUUCAGGGUCUUCUUCGGGGGCGAGAGAGCCAGCAUCUGGUGAAUCGGAAUCGCGCUGAGAACAGAUUUGACCAAUGCCAGCCGUCUUGCCUUGUUCAUGAGCCAUGCCUUCCAGGACGGGAGGCGGCCUGCGACGGCGUCUACCAGUGGCUGCAUCUGUGCCGCUGAGGGCCGGCGAGAAGAGAGCGGGAUGCCCAGGUACAUGAUGGGCAGCGCCGCGGGCUGGCAGCCCAGCGCCUCCAGCAGGGCGUCGGCGUCCUCACCCCCAUGCAGGGUCGUGGCCGAGCUUUUGCCGUAGUUCACCCGCAGGCCAGAUGCGGUCUCGAAGAUGCCCAAGAUGCUCUUCACGGCAAUAACCUCCUCCAUCUCGGCGUGGCAAAACAUCAUCACGUCGUCGGCAUAUAGAGAAAUUGCCGGAAUGUUGCGACGGGGGUGCAGGCGCCUGAGGAUGCCGGUGUGGAGCGCCCUGUGCAUGAGGCGGGCCAGCGCAUCGGCCGCCAGGACAAAGAGCAGCGGCGAUGUGGAGUCGCCCUGGCGCAGCCCGCGCCUGUGCCAGAUCGGUGGGCCGGGUACUCCAUUGAGCAUAACUAGCGUGCUGGCCGAAGAGAGCAGGAUGGACAGCCAUUCCCUGAUCCUGUCACCGAAGCCAUAUUGGCGCAGGACCUCGAAGAGGAACGGCCAGGAUAUGGAGUCGAAAGCCCGUGUGAGGUCGAGCUUGAGCAUGAUGCACGGCGCGCCCAGGUGCUGGAGCAUCUGCAGAGACUGCCUGACGAGCACGAAGUUGUCGUGGAGCGUGCGACCGGCGAUGAAGGCGUUCUGGUUGCGGCUCACCAAGCUAUCGAGCUUGGGGGCGAUGCGCAACGACAGAACCUUGGCGAAUAUCUUGGCGACUAUGUGGAUCAGGCAAAUGGGCCGAUAGUCUCCCAGCUUGUGUGCAUCCGCUCGCUUGGGCAGCAGGGUGAGCAGGGCUUGGUUGAGCUUACCAAACCCUCUUCCUUGGAGCGCAUACAGCUGCUCGAAGGCGUCCAGGAUGUCUUGCCUGAUGAUGCACCAGCAAGCGCGCAGGAAUUCGGCGGUAAACCCGUCCGGCCCCGGUGCCUUGUGGGGCGGCAUGCGGCACACCGCAGCCCAGAUCUCCUCGGAAGUGAAAGGCUCGUCCAGGUUGCCCAGCUGGCCGGGCGUGAUGAGCUGCGCCAGGUCAAGCGUGUGCUCUCGGUCCACCGCAGUGCCCAGGAGUCCGUCAAAGUGCUCAAAUGCGGCCUGGGCCAUCUCCUCGUGAUCAGUCCGAACCUGUCCAUCAACUAGGAGGCUAUGCACGCGGUUCUUCUGGCGGCGGUAGGUGCACUGCCGGUGGAAGAAGCUCGUGUUAGCAUCGCCCUCCGCGAGGGAGGUAAUACGGGCGCGCUGCCGCGCGAUGGUGCGCUCCAGGGAGGCAAGCCCGAGGUAUGACUGCUUGAGCUGCCUGCGCAACCAAUCCUCUGAUGGGGUGAGCGGGCGAGUCUCCAUCGCGAGGUCGAAGCGGGCAAUCAGCUCGCGGGAGAUGGCCAGCUUGUCCCGGAUACUGCCCGUGGAGCGGGCGCUCCAGCUCGUAAGGGCGAGGGCAGUGGCCUGCAGGCGCCGGACCAGCCGCUGGAAGGGGUCGGGGUCAUGUACCGAGCUCCAGGCUGUGGCGACGGUGUCGUGGAAUCCGUCGAGGCGUAGCCAGAAAUUCAGAAUAUUUAUAAUAGAUGGUAUUUUUUUCUUGAUAUUUGCGCACUACUUCACCAGACAAUUCAUUGAAAUAUAUUUUUUAUUCUCAAUGUAUAGCACAGAUUGAUCUACAAGUGCUUUUGAGAUAUAUUCUUGGUUUGCAAGGAACAUUUUACUAGUUGUCUUGCUAGCAUGUGAACCUCUUCCAUGCGUUGGUAUCUCUUUAUUCAGCAGCAUAUCCCCUCAUUGGUUAUUAUUCUAUACUCCACGUGUCUAGGUUAAUAGUACCUCCGUCCCAAAAUAAGUGUCGCAGAUUUAGUACUAAAUUAGUACAAUUUUUGUACUAGAUCAACGACACUUAUUUUGAGACGGAGGGAGUAUUUGUUAGCGUGUUCACUCUUUGCAAUUUGGCCAAUAUUAAAUCAUGACCUAGCUUUCCAAAUACUCUACCAUAUUUCCAAUGUUCACCAUCUGGGCUACAUUUGCUCUCUUUCUCAGCAUGAUUCACAAGUUAUCUCCUUAUUUAACAGCAUGUCAGCAUGUCCCUUCUUAGAGCAUCAGCAAGGUUUGGAACAUCCUGCAUAUAAUAAGCUGGGCCCCACCACUCUGUCUGAUCUAGCAAGUAGUAGUGGACUGUAUGGUGCUGGUUCUAGUUAACCAACCUUGGACUCCAGAAAUUCUGCAUUCAUUUCUCCACUCCCCAUGCUCGCGGACUGCCGUUUUGGCUACCACCAGUGACACGUGGGGCCCAAAAAGUGAUUCCUUUACCCUAGAACCGGUACUUGAGCUGGUAGCCGUGCCUAGCUUGGAAUUAUUUUGGACAUCCUUACAGUGUUUGGGACCGGUACUAUGCGAUUCUUUUGGACCUCCUCUUGUCACAAUACUGUGGAUGCUGUUAGAUUAUUCCAAGCUACAUUAUGUACUGCACAUGGCUAGGUUAAUAUUUGCUAGUGUGUUCACUAUUUGUAUUUUGCCACUAUUAGUUUAUAUUUUGGCCAAGUUCUCCGGAUAUUGAAAGUUGAGCCCAGCUCACCUACACCUGGUUGGGAAAAAAAUAAUCAAUUUUCUUUGCAAACCAUUUAAAAAAACUUAUUGUUUGGCAGGUCACAUAUGUGUGUGUUCUAUCUACCUACACAUUCUCAUCAACAAUCGACAUUCGUGGUGCUCUGUGCCUAAAAAAAACCAGUGCUCUUAUAUGCUUCAAAAAUGGCAUUUUUUUUAGCCACCGAUAUUUUUGUUUUGCACAGAGCACAUGUUACUUAUUUGUCAUGAAAAUUUGCUCGUGGUUCAAAUACACACACAUGCUUGCUGGACAAAAAAUUCAUAACUUUUUGAAGUGUUUUGCUAAAUUGUUUUCUUCAAAAGAAAGUCUAGCCAGGCGUAGGUGAGUCCGGGAGCCUAGUUACUGCCCCCCAAGUUCUCCAAAUACUUUACCAUAUCAGUUUUUAAUACACUCAUAUGGGGCACAUUUGCUCUUUCUCAGCAUGAUUUACAAGUUAUAACUGUCAAAGUUUCUAAUAUUGGUGCAGGUGUGCUGCAUCUGCCUUACUAAGUACGGAGAUGACGAUGAGCUUCGCGAGCUUCCUUGCAACCAUUUGUUUCAUGUGCAAUGUGUCGAUAAAUGGCUCAAGAUAAAUGCAGUAUGCCCACUCUGCAAGACAGAGAUUGGAGGCGUGGUUCGAUCAUUCUUUGGAUUGCCCUUUGGCCGCCGCCGUGUUGAUAGGAUGGCAGGAAGAGGUGUAGCUAGCUCAAGAUUUAGUGUAUAGAACACGUCCUUUUGCUCCGAUAUAUGCUUGCUAUGUUGUUUGUUGUAUGCCUAGUGUUGCUCAUGGGAUUCAGUGUGCUGAUUCUCAAGGAAAGAGGUAAACUGCUUUCUGUCGGACUGUUAGGCUUGUUUCACCAAACGGAGGACAGCAAGUGGAGACCGGAUGCUUGUAAUGGCAUGUUUGUGGUACAGUGGAGGUGAUGUUAUAUUCGGAUUUAUCAUUUGACGUCAAGCUUGUAAAUAAAGAGAUGAAGUUCACUUCUGAGCGUAGGGAAGGAUGAUAUAUUUCGUCGAAGGAAGAAUGAUAUAACUUAGAGGGCAUUCUGUUUUGUGCUAUCAUUGUGCUUGGUAUUUGUUUUACAGCCAGUACUGUGAGUUUCUCUUUGUUGGCACCAUGCACCAAAUGCGCAGGACGAGUCUCAUGUUUUUGUUGCCUUGGAGAUGCUAUAUUUGCUAUAAUGUCUUCUUUCCUGCAAACCUAUUGUUGCUGCUAUAUUUCAGAAUUCGCUGGAGUCAAGUUAACAUAAGAACAUGUACAUUUGCAGCAGGAAAAAUGAUGUUUUUGUUCAUGUAUGACCAGAAGUUGAAUAGUCGAAAACCUAUGUGAAAGCAGGCUGAAAAGUAUACUGGAGGAAGAGGUUGGUAUGGAAUCAGCAUGCCCUUGGUUCAAUGAAAUUUGUAGGAUUCCAGUUGACACGGAAUUCGAAUCCAUUUAGUUCAAAGGAAUGAAUUCUCCAAAAAUUAUGUGCAUUGUUUUCCUACAUGGGCUUCUUUGGUUCAAAGAAAUUUUAAAGCAACUUUGUUGAUUUCAAUCCAUAAAAUUUCUAGCAAGUUAUGGUCUCAUAUCUCAAUAGGAAGUUGAUGUGCCUUUCCUGGUUCAUGUAUGAUUCAAAAUGUCAGGAUAUCUAUUCCUAUAUUUUUUUCAUGUUCCUAUGUUCUUCAGACCCUGCGGAGCGAAGAAGGUUCUACUAUUCCAUAAGAUUGAUUGGAAAAUUUCCAUAUAUCUUGACAAGCAUGACAUGCACUCAAUGUCUACGAAAAGUUCUUACGGUUUUUCCUUCGAUGCAACCAAACAACUUCCGGUACUGGUGUUUUCAAUCUCAGAAUUCCAAGUGUCAUGAUACCAUAUUGUCAUGUUUUUCAUAUUACGAUGUUUUUAAAAUCCUAGAGGCCGUCAGUUUCUGGUACCAUUCUCACAUUAUUUUAUCAGCCUCCUUUUUUUUAAUAACUCUAGAUGAUGUAAGGUAAGCAUGUUCAGGAGGCAGAAGCUGCAAUUUUUUAGAUAGUCAAAGCCAUAAUUCAGCAAGCACAAAGGAGGUGACGACUUAUAGCUGCCCCUCCCAUGUAUGUGUGGAUGUACUGGGUGGCAUGUUGCAUAUGGCCGGCAGCUGCAAAUAUGCUCACAAUAAUUCAAGGCCGGAAAGUCUGCAGUCCACACCGCUAGAGAACAACCCCCUAUUCCAGCUGCUGUCAUUGCGGUUAGCUCGUUGUCCUGAUGACUGAUUAGUUUAAGAAACACGAGCGAUGUUAUGCAGGGAAAUUCUUUGUCUGAUGCGAAGACGUCCAUGUCAUGGAGAAGUUUCAUGGAAUGUUGCCAUCCUGCUGCUGGCCUAGCUUUGGGAAUCCCUCGUGUGGGGUGGGUGGCAGCUCGCCAGGCCAGGACAGAAUAUUUCCCUCUCGUGAUCUCGUCUAUUUCCAAAGAUGCCAGGGCUGUGUACUCUGGCAGACUGGUGGCCACAAUGUGGCAUGCGACACCAGCGGCGUUUCCCUUGUGACUGACUACUUCAUUUAAUUUUUACUUCAUCCGUUCCUAAGUACUCCCUCCGUUCCUAAAUAUAAAUCUUUUUAGACAUUUCAUUAGUAGACUACAUACGGAUGUAUAUAGACAUAUUUUAAAAUAUAGAUUCAUUCAUUUUGCUCCGUAUGCAGACUCCUAGUGAAAUCUUUUAAAAGACUUAUAUUUAGGAACGGAGGGAGUAUAAGACUUUAUAGAAAUUUUAUUAUAAAAUAGAUACGAAGUAAAAUAAAUGAACCUAUACUUUAAAAUAAGUCUAUGUAUAUCUGUAUGUACUUCCUCUGUACCUAAAUAAUUGUAGUUGGGGAGAUUAGUUCUCCUCAUCUAUAGUUAUUUCGAUAUAGGAGAAGUAGUCUAUAUUUAAAAAAUGUCUUAUAUUUAGAAACAGAUGGAGUAUUAUGUUGUAUGGUUUGUUUUCGGUGUUUGUGGUCAAAACGAGGCUAUUAUACUGAAACUAGGGCUUCCUCUUGGUUUCCUCUGGGUAAUUCUACCUAUAGUUUUUUGAAAAAUAAAUAUUAAGUUGUUGGAGUAUAGAAUAUGGUAGGCUAGUACUGAUGGGGCUGGGGUAGGCCCACGGACCUGCAUUCUAAGGUCCAUCUAAGGCCUCACAUGGACAUCAAUGUCCUCAAAGCUACCAGUACAGUCACGGUCUCAUUCGGGCAAACAUGUUCUCACUCGGUUUGCACAAGGUCAUUCGGUUUAUCUUCUAUCAGUCGGACGUGCCCCGACACUCGGACUACAACGAGGCAUGGACGACGAAGAGACUGCAACGGCCAUAGACUUAAACUACCACAUGAAGUGCAGUGAAGACAAACGUUACUAGUAAUGCUGGAGUUAGAGCUGCUUUACUAGUAACUUUCAUAGUUAUUACCAUGAACUCAUCCUUGUAAUGGCGCUUGGCCGGUCGUGGCACACUCUAUAUAAGACGCACCCGAGCUCCUGGACAAGGGUUGAGCAUUCUGUAAUCGCACACCCCUCAUAAGGAAACACUAGCCUCCGGGCUCGAGACGUAGGGUCGUUACCACUCUAGAGUGGGGCAAGAACUCGUACAUCCGAGUGCAACCACUGCGCUGUAGCUAGGCUUAGCCCCUCGUUCGUACCCCUCGUACUAUUGUGAGGAUCAUUCCCACGACAGUUGGCGCCUACCGUGGGGCAGCGCGUUUAGCAAAAUCCUAUGUAGUUGGAAUUUCCAUCCUUUCCAUCAUCAUGAUGACACUCCGCGGUGAGAUCCUCUUCGGUUCCCUCAGCUUCGUCAUCGACGACUCGGCAUGGCUGCAGAACUCGCGCUCGACACUGAUACGUCCCAAAAGUAUCUAUAAUUUAUGCUUGUUCCAUGAUCUUUUGGGUGACAUUGGUAUAUGUUUUGCUACACAUUUAUAUCAUUCCACACAUAUUUGGACUAACCUACUAACUCAGUGCACCCAGUGACAGUUUCUGUCUCCUGAUGUCUAUUUUGCAGAAAAAAUUAUAACAAAUCAGUGAAACGGUAGCUUCCGGAUCACCGAAGAUGGGCGAGAGGGGGGCCAGGGGCCUCCCAGGCGGCCUGCUGGCGCGACCAGGCCCUAGGCCGCGCCAGGAGGUCGCCUGGGUAGGUCCCACCUCCUCCGGUGCCCUCCUUUGGCCUAUAUUUAGAGUCCCGAGAGGAAACCCUUGCAGACUUUCGGGAAUCGCGAAUUUCUCCAUCGUUCCGCCGCCGCAGCGCUUCUCAGAUCGGGAGCGUCAGGAGACCUCUUCCCGGCACCCUGACGGAGGGAGGACUGACCUCCGGGAGCUUCUCCACCGCCAUGGACGCUUCCCGGACGUGCCGUGAGUAGUCCUCCUUGGACCAUGAGUCUAUGACCAGUAGCUAUGUGAUGUCUUCUCUCCAAUCUUGUGCUUCAAUGGUUAGUCCUUGUGAGCUGCCCUACAUGAUCAAGGCAUCUAUGUAAUUUCUUGCUUUUGCUAUGCUCGGUUUGUUGGGAUCCGAAGGAUUAUGAGAUUAUGUUCAGAUUGUUAUGAGUUAUAUAUUUGAUUAUCCUUUUAUAUUAUGUUCCUUAGUGAUUCAUGCAUGUUCUCCNCGUUAAUGCAGUUGUCUGUUGCUUUGAGUUUACACUUUGGGUGGGGCUCGCAAUUUAAUACCGGCGAGAUGUUCUGAAUAGAUAUCUCAAGGUGUAUGAUUAGUAAGUAGAUACUGAUGAAUAAACGGUCUACUUGUCUUGGCGUACUGCCCAUUACUAUUGAACCUCUAACUAUCAAGUAGCAUAAUUAGCAUUGCGGUGCGAUCAUAAUUCUGUCAAUUUCCCAACUGUGAUUUGUUUACCCAAGCAUAGUUGUUUAUCUCUUUUGGGAGAGAGACAUCACUAGUGAACAUCAUGCGACUCUGGUCCAUAUCAUCAUCAUUGUAUACACCUCCAUCAUUUAUCAAUUUCAUUUGCUUUUCCGUUGCAAUCACUAGUACCUUCCCGCUUGUGUUUUGAUCCUUUGCAAACUACAAGGCCGGAGAGAUUGACAACCUCUCUGUACUCGUUGGGAGCAAAGUUAUUUGUUGUGUGUGCAGGUCCACGUCUUCUGCUAGCGCCAGGGUGGAAGACACCUACUUGUUGAGCCUAGGAGUCCUCUUGGUUCGAUAAACCUUACAAUCUCCGUGUAAGAGAAAUCUGUUGUUGACUACAUCUCCACCUUCCACUUGGGGUAACCAACGAGGGGCGAGAAGUAUAUCCAUCAACUCGUCAUCAAGCAAAUUUAUGGCGCCGUUGCUGGGGAUUCCAGUCUUCAAGAUAGGGGAGUUGCACGCUAUCCUUUACCUUUGCUUUUUAGUCUUGUUAGUUUUCUUUUUAGUCUUUGCUUUAGAGUCUUAUACCAAAAACCACAAAAAAAUAGUUGCUUUGUUCUUGCUUGUUGCUGCUUCUAUAGGUUCCACUGAGAAUACUAAGUUGUGUGGCUCCACUAGUUAGGCUUAUGGAAAACUGCACUCUUAGUUCGUUGCUUGGGGAAGGCCGCUUUACCACACCCGUGGUAAUGAAGUCUCCUCCACCUACUGAAUGUAUCCCAUUCAAAAUACCACUUGGGAUAAUUGAAAUAAUUAGGAAUGAUUGUUAUGCAGGAGAUGGAACAGUCAAUCCUAGUAUUGAUUUGUUGAAACUUACAGAACUUUAUGAUUUGUUUAAGAUUUCAGGUUUGACAAGAGAUGGAGUCAUGAGGAAAUUAUUUGCCUUGUCACUAAAAGGAAAAUCAUUGGAAUGGUAUAGGCUACUAGAUGAUUCUCACCUACGGGAUUGGGAAGAGAUUCAAUCUCUCUUUUACUCCAAGUUUUAUCCUCUUCAUGAAGUCCAUGUGGAUCAUGGUAACAAUGCUUUAUGUGAUACUUAUAUUGUUGAGUUUAUUCAUGAUCUCACUGAAAAUUAUUAUGAGAAGGGAACAUAUGCUUAUAGAUGUUUCAGUAAUAUCAAGUUCCCUCUCUUUAUGUUGAAGGUUUUGAAGUUGCACUUGUUUUGCCUUCCUAUGCUUAUUGCUUUGUGCUUCAAUGAAUUAUUCUAUUGCAAUAUUCCUAUGCAUAGGAAGCAUGUCAUACUUAAAUGUGUUAGGUAUUUUCUUCUUGAUGCUCUCUUUUGUUCUACAAUUCUUAUUCCUAAGAGAGCAUCAUUAAAAUCUUAAGCCUAUCUUUAUGGCUAUAAAGAAAGAGCUCUAGGUAGACAACCCUAGUUAUCUUUACUUUGAGUUUUUACUUUUAGUUUUAGUGGUCUUGAUACUUGUUACUACUAUAGCAACAUCAUUGUAUCUUUAUUUUAAAGCUUUGUGCCAAGUUAUAGCCUCCGAUUGCAAGAAAGUUCAAAAAUUGUGACAUGCUGUCCAGAAACAGAUUAUGUUUGCUUGACGGAAAAAUUUGCCAAACAUCACCAGAUCAUCUUUUUGAUCUGAAUGUUUUUGUCAGCAUGCUAUAUAUAAUUGCCUUUCUGGCAUCUGUUCUGAGUUUUUUGAUUUGAGUUGCAGAAGUGCCCCGAAUAAAUUAUUUACUACGUGAUGUUCUGUUUUUCACAGAUUCUGCCAUGUUUUGCGUUUUCAUUGUUUUGCGAAUCCUAAGCUUGCUUUUUAUUUGCAAAAACCUUUUGGCAUUCAUAAGAAGCAGUAGAUUUUCAUGAAAAUCUUUAUUUCCAGAAGGUAAUCAAUUAUUUUAUUAAGGGAACUAACUACUCUAAUCAGCUUAUGAUGAGUUUCGUAUGAAGGGAGUUUUCAAGUAUGCGAUGUGAGAUGAUGAAAUAAGAUACAGGAGUGUCAAGCGCUCAAGCUUGGGGAUGCCCCCAUGCACCCCCAUAAAUAUUCAAAGGAUACUCAAGCGUCUAAGCUUGGGGAUGCCCCCGUGCACCCCUUUCUCUAUCAACAAUCAUCAGUUCGUUCAUCUCCAUGCUAUAUUUUUAUCACUUCAUAUGGUAUGUGCUAUGCUUGGAGCGUCUCGCUCUUCACUUUUUAGUUUGUUUUAGUUUUUCUUGUUGUUCAUAACAAGUCGGAACCUAGAUUACCUUGUUUGGUAGAGAGACACGCUCCAUUCCACUCUAGAACACAACAUAGGUUUUCAUGCUUAUCUUUUUCGUGUGUUCGUCAUCUUUUCAUAGCUACUGUCAUGCUUAGCUCUUAGUUUUCAUGCUUAUCUUUUUAAGAGAUAUUAUUUAGGUUGCUUCUAGAACUCUCUUGAGUUAUCAUGCUUAUCUUGUUUAGAGAGUUGGCUCGUUGCUGUGAGUUGUGUGUCUUGCAUGAGUAGGUAAUUGAGGCUGCUAUUUAAGUAUAGUAGUAACUUGCAAUAGUUUUGAGGUAUUGAUUUGAGUAAUGUUUGGACUAUUGGUGCCAAGAGCUUGAGGCUAUUAGUGAUAGGUAUCGUAUUUUUGGAAAUUCGUGUGUUUUUCAAAAACUAAAAUUAGUUGAGAACUCUAGCUACUAAAUUGAUCGCUAACCUCUGGAGGGGUUUGAAUAUAUAGAGUACCCUCACGUUGCCAUGGUCGAGGAUGCGCAAGGAUAACCAAACCCCCAAACACUCCUCCUCGGGGUACUUGUCUCUUUGUGAAUUUCCUAACAAGAUAGAGAGUUACCGAUAAUAAGUGUAUGAUUUCUUGGACUAAUGUGAGUAUUCGAUUGUUGGCACUUCCACCAUCCAUAUUUUGCUACCCUCUUCAGUACCGUGCAUUGCCCUUUCUCACAUUGAGAGUUGGUGCAAACUCCGCCGGUGCAUCCAAACCCAUGACAUGGUACGCUCUGUCAUACAUAAGCCUCAUUAUAUCUUUCCUCAAAACAGCCACCAUACCUACCUACUAAGGCAUUUUCAUAGCCUUCCCGAGAUACAUUGCCAUGCAACAUCCACCAUCUCAUGACUUGAUCUUCAUGUCAUACAUGCUUUUGCUUGAUCGUAGAGCCGCAUGCUAAUUGGGCCUUGCCCUUAUUACUGCUACAUGACGCACUAGUAUCAUUGCAAAUCCUGCCACACUGGCAGAGGCAUACAUUUGCAUAGAUCAUGAUAGUUUUCACUUGCCUUUAUAUUGAGUACUUCUUAUAAAGUGUGAUGAUUUUUCUUUUAUUCAUGUAAAAUAUAGAGUGUUGCCCUUAAGUGAGGAAAAGAUCUCAAAGAGGACAAAACAAAAGAUCCCAAAGUGAACAAAUGAGAGAUAAAAAGAAAGAGCCAAAGAGGCCACAAAAAAAUAGAAAAAGGAGAAAAAGAGAAAGAAAAAAAGAGAAGGGGGCACCACUAUUAUUCCUUUUGAAAGAUCCACACUCGUACUCCAUUGUUAUAUUUGUACUACAUAGAGAUUAUCAUUCAUGCAUAACUAUGUGGGGACCCUUACACUAUAGAACUUGGUUUUCUUAUUCCAAUGAUGAGCCUCCUCAAAUGAGCAAACAAGUUGGAUGCACCCCCACUAGUUCCAUUGGAGAGCUUACCUUAGCUCGUAUGUGCAUCCGUUACAUGUCAAUCCCUACUCCUCACAUCAUAUCUAUCAUUUGGCUUUCUCUCGCCUAUGGUUGUCCUAAUUGAUGUGAGCCUAUCACACCUUUUUGUCUUCCUUCCCCAUCAUUAUUCUAUUUGCCAUCCUAAGUGCCAACAUAUCUUGCUUACGCUCAUCCAUUGCAUGAGUGCUCAAAAUCGAAAGGGAGAGGAUCAUUUUGAUUUGUGCCUCACUAGUGGUCUCGGGAUGAGUCAAAAUAAGAUUUCGAAGGAGACCAAGUGUGAAAUUUUAGUAGAUUGAGUUCUCAAUUAAAAAUAUAUUUUAUGAUAUAAACCCAUCUCCCAUUUCUUGCAUGCAAACACCAUUUGGAGACAUUCGAGUCACGGACAGCGAGAGCUCUUGCACCUUUAUGUUCUUACUUUGCUGAACUCAAUAGAUAUAGACUCUUGCUUGUUAUUGUCUUGACUUGAAUUGCAUAUCUCACUUGCUUUACUUUGAAGUUCUUAUAUGUGUGUUAGCAUGUCACCACAGAAAUUAUUGUGUUAUCAUUUAUCUACUCGAGGAUGAGCAGAAAUUAGGCUUGGGGAUGUUGAUACGUCCCAAACGUAUCUAGAAUUUCUGCUUGUUCCAUGAUCUUUUGGGUGACAUUGUUAUAUGUUUUUCUACACUUUUAUAUCAUUUUACACAUAUUUGGACUAACUUACUAAGUCAGUGCACCCAAUGCCAGUUUCUGUCUGCUCAUGUCUAUUUUGCAGGGGCUUUUACCCAAUUUUCCGAAGCCCGAAAAAUUCCAGAAAAUAUAUAUAAAAAAUCAGCGAAACNCGUUAAUGCAGUUGUCCGUUGCUUUGAGUUUACACUUUGGGUGGGGCUCGCAACUUAAUACCGGCUAGAUGUUCUGAAUAGAUAUCUCAAGGUGUAUGAUUAGUAAGUAGAUGCUGAUGAAUAAACAGUCUACUUGUCUUGGCGUACUGCCCAUUACUAUUGAACCUCUAACUAUCAAGUAGCAUAAUUAGCAUUUCGGUGCGAUCAUAAUUCUGUCAAUUUCCCAACUGUGAUUUGUUUACCCAAGCAUAGUUGUGCAGGUCCACGUCUUCUGCUAGCGCCAGGGUGGAAGACACCUACUUCUUGAGCCUAGGAGUCCUCUUGGUUCGAAAAAUGUUACAGUCUCCGUGUAAGGGAAAUCUGUUGCUGACUACAUCUCCACCUUUCACUUGGGGUAACCAACAAGGGGCGAGAAGUAUAUCCAUCAACUCGUCAUCAGAUACCGAUGCCCUACCCGCACGAGGUGCGUUGCAAACCGUUGGUGGUGGUGCAUGGGGUCCUGAUCCGACAACCGUUGGUACCGUAUCAUUCGGUGCCCCAGGUCCUGCUGCGGUUCAUCGCAAGUGCUCCAAGCGCUCACGUCUGCAGCGGUGGAUCAAGCAUGCGGUGGCCCUUCAGGCCACAUCAGGGCAGGUGGCUAUGCUCGAUUCACACGAGCCCCCCCGUCAGUUUCUUCCCUUUAUCGAGCAACGAUUUGUUCGAUGAUUCCGACCGCGAAAGCUGUGGCGGUGCCACAGAGAUCUUGAUGGCCGACACGGCCAGGGGGAGGAGCCCCUGGUUUUUUCGUGGAGAACUCUCACUCACACGAUGGCGGCGAGCGUCAUCACGGCGACGACAGCCAUCACGUUCCUCAACAUCUCACCGAGCAACGGGAGGAACUUUGGCGGAGGAGCGAUCAGGCUCUUCAUACUCCCAUCACCAGGAACACCCCGAAGGAAAUAUCACUUGAUAAAGCGCUUCAGGCCACUCUGGUCGAGCACGAGCGACUCAAGCGGCUUCAGCGCUCACUCGACACCCGAGCCACAAGGGAUCACCCCAAUUCCAAUCGCAACCACCGGCAGUUGUUUUUGAACGAUCGCCAGCGUAACAUCAAGGUUAUGUGAACACCUUUGCAGAACCUGGCCGCGGCCACUCAAAUCGUUGAUUCCAUUCUACUGAGUGAUUCAGCGACCGGGGAAGGCAUUCGGCAGAUCCCGACUCUGCUGAGUUCCUAACUCUGCUGAAGACCGCCUUGCAGUAGAACUGCACGGUAUCACAAUCAUGAUAUCACAUCCACAGCAGGUCUGUCCAAGUGGACUCGGUGCAGUCGGCACACAACCCUCAUGCAUCUGGAAGACGCCAAANNNNNNNNNNNNNNNNNNNNNNNNNNNNNNNNNNNNNNNNNNNNNNNNNNNNNNNNNNNNNNNNNNNNNNNNNNNNNNNNNNNNNNNNNNNNNNNNNNNNUUUCUUUCUCUUUGAUUUCUUAUCCUUUGGCGCAUAGGGCCUUCUUGGGCUGUCCCACCAGCCCACUAAGGGCUGGUGCGCCACCCCCAAGGCCUAUGGGCUUCCCCGGGGUGGGUCCCCCCCCGGUGAACACCCGGAACCCAUUCGUCAUUCCCGGUACAUUCCCGGUAACUCCGAAAACCUUCCGGUAAUCAAAUGAGGUCAUCCUAUAUAUCAAUCUUCGUUUCCGGACCAUUCCGGAAACCCUCGUGACGUGUGUGAUCUCAUACGGGACUCCGAACAACAUUCGAUGACCAACCAUAUAACUCAAAUACGCAUAAAACAACGUCGAACCUUAAGUGUGCAGACCGUGCGGGUUCAAGAACUAUGCAGACAUGACCCGAGUGACUCCUCGGUCAAUAUCCAAUAGCGGGACCUGGAUGCCCAUAUUGGAUCCCACAUAUUCUACGAAGAUCUUAUCGUUUUAACCUCAGUGCUAAGGAUUCAUAUAAUCUCGUAUGUCAUUCCCUUUGUCCUUCGGUAUGUUACUUGCCCGAGAUUCGAUCGUCAGUAUCCGCAUACCUAUUUCAAUCUCGUUUACCGGCAAGUCUCUUUACUCGUUCCGUAAUACAAGAUCCCGCAACUUACACUAAGUCACAUUGCUUGCAAGGCUUGUGUGUGAUGUUGUAUUACCGAGUGGGCCCCGAGAUACCUCUCCGUCACACGGAGUGACAAAUCCCAGUCUCGAUCAAUACUAACUCAACGAACACCUUCGGAGAUACCUGUAGAUCAUCUUUAUUGUCACCCAGUUACGUUGCGACGUUUGAUACACAGAAAGCAUUCCUCCGGUGUUAGUGAGUUAUAUGAUCNNNNNNNNNNNNNNNNNNNNNNNNNNNNNNNNNNNNNNNNNNNNNNNNNNNNNNNNNNNNNNNNNNNNNNNNNNNNNNNNNNNNNNNNNNNNNNNNNNNNNNNNNNNNNNNNNNNNNNNNNNNNNNNNNNNNNNNNNNNNNNNNNNNNNNNNNNNNNNNNNNNNNNNNNNNNNNNNNNNNNNNNNNNNNNNNNNNNNNNNNNNNNNNNNNNNNNNNNNNNNNNNNNNNNNNNNNNNNNGUGAUCCCGUUAUCAACUGACAACACUUGCCUAUGGUCAGGAAACCUUGACCAUCUCUGAUCAACGAGCUAGUCAACUAGAGGCUUACUAGGGACAGUGUUUUGUCUAUGUAUCCACACAUGCACUGUGUNNNNNNNNNNNNNNNNNNNNNNNNNNNNNNNNNNNNNNNNNNNNNNNNNNNNNNNNNNNNNNNNNNNNNNNNNNNNNNNNNNNGGCAUAUUUCCAACAGAAAAGUGCCCGAGUGAUUCGAAGUCCAUCUAUCUUGAUGCUAAAAGCAUUAAAAGUGGGGUAGAAGACGUUAAAACUUUGAUUAGUAAUGAAAUUACUACCAUGGAUUUCAAGGAAUUCAAUUAUGAUAGUUGCUCCUUGAUUGAAUGCAUUUCUUUGAUGCAAUCCAUGUUGAACUCUCCACACGCUUAUAGCCAAAACAAAGCCUUUACCGAUCAUAUCGUCGAAGCUAUGAUGAAAGCUCUUGAAGAGAAACUGGAAUUGGAAGUCUCUAUUCCUAGAAAGCUUCAUGAUGAGUGGGAACCUACCAUCAAAAUUAGAAUCAAAAACUAUGAGUGCAAUGCUUUGUGUGAUUUGGGUGCUAGUGUUUCUACGAUUCCAAAGUCUUUAUGUGAUGUUCUAGAUUUUAAUGAGAUUGAAGAGUGUUCUCUUAAUUUGCAUCUUGCUGAUUCUACUGUCAAGAAACCCAUGGGAAGGAUUGAUAAUGUUCUUAUUAUUGCAAAUAGGAACUAUGUACCCGUGGAUUUCAUUGUGGUUGACAUUGAUUGCAAUCCUACAUGCCCUAUUAUUCUUGGUAGACCUUUCCUAAGGACUAUUGGUAGUAUCAGCGAUAUGAAGGAAGGGAAUAUUAGAUUUCAAUUUCCUUUAAGGAAGGGUAUGGAACACUUUCCUAGAAAUAAAAUAAGAUUGCCUUAUGAAUCCAUGAUGAGGGCCACUUAUGGUUUGAGCACCAAAGACGACGAUACGUGAUUCUAUCGCUUCUAUGCCUAGCUAAGGGCGUUAAACAAUAGCGCUUGUUGGGAGGCAACCCAAUGAAUUUAUCUUUUUUCUUUCUGUUUUGUUGCGUCCACACUUUCAUAAUUCUGUUGUGAUUGUGUUUUUGUGUUUCUUUUUGUGUUUGAGCCAAGCAAAGCCUUUAUGAUUAGUCUUGGUAAUGGUUGUUUGAUCCUGCUGGAAAAAGACAGAAACUUUUCGCUCACGAGAUGAUUUUUCAUUUUUAUUAAGAAAGAUCUUUUGAGUUGAUUAUUUUUGCUUCUGAUUGAUAUUCUUUUUCCCCAGACGUCGUAAGUUUUCAGAUUUUUUGAGGUACCAGAAGUAUACGAAGAAUACAGAUUGCUACAGACUGGUCUGUUUUUGACAGAUUCUGUUUUUGUUGGGUUGGUUGCUUGUUUUGAUGAAACCAUGGUUAGUAUUGGUGGGUACUAGCCAUGGAAAGUGAGAAUACAGUAUCCCAUCAUCAAUAUAUAUAGAAUUCAAGUUUGCUGCAGUACCAAAAGAAGUGGUAGUUUGUUUUCUUGUACUAAUGUUAUCACAAGUUUCUGUUUAAGUUUUGUGUUGUGAAGUUUUCAAGUUUUGGGUCAUGUUCUCAUGGACAAAGAGAUAAGGUGUGGAAAGAGCUCAAGCUUGGGGAUGCCCAAGGCACCCCAAGCCAAAUUCAAGGACACCAAAAAGCCUAAGCUUGAGGAUGCCCGGGAAGGCAUCCCCUCUUUCGUCUUUAAUCCAUCGGUAACAUUACUUGGAGCUAUAUUUUUAUUCACCACAUGAUAUGUGUUUUUCUUGGAGCGUCUUGUAUCUUAGGAGUCUUUUCUUUUUGUUGUGUCACAAUCAUCCUUGNNNNNNNNNNNNNNNNNNNNNNNNNNNNNNNNNNNNNNNNNNNNNNNNNNNNNNNNNNNNNNNNNNNNNNNNNNNNNNNNNNNNNNNNNNNNNNNNNNNNGAAUAAUCAUCCAAAGACUCAAGCCAUGAGCGAGACAAUUUCUAAUCAUUAAUUUCAUUCUCUCCCAAGAUUGUGCAACAUGUUCAUUAUCAAGUUGCUUGAAAUUCAUGAUAUCAUUACGGAGAGAGAUGAUCUUAGCCGGCAGAAAAUACUUGGAUAUAUAAGCAUCUUUGCACUUAUCUCAAGAAUCGAUACUAUUUUGGGGCAAAUAAGAAAACCAAGUUUUUGCACGAUCUCGCAAGAGAAAGGAAAAAGCUUCAAUUUAAUCACGUCAUUAUCCACAUAUUUCUUCUUUUGCAUAUCGCAAAGCUCAAUGAAGGUAUUGAGAUGGGAUGCGGCAUCUUCACUAGGAAGGCAGAGAAUUGCUCUUUCAUAACAAGAUUCAGCAAGGCGACAUUGAUUUCGUAUGACUCCGCACUAGUGGCGGGAGCAAUCGGAGUACUAAAAAAAUCAUUAUUAUUAGUAUACGAGAAGUCACAAAGUUUGGUGUUUUCAUUCAUGGUGACUUCGGCAAGCAGGCAAGCACACAAGCAAACAAAGAGCAAGCGAGGAAAAAGGGCGAACAAAAAGGCGAACGAAAAAGGCAAACAAAAAAGGCAAAUUGGUGAAGUGGGGGAGAGGAAAACGAGAGGCAACUGGCAAACAAAGUAAAUGCAAGAGAUGAGUUUGUGACACCUACUUGGAUGAGUUCUUUACUUGAUCUUCCUCCCUGGCAACGGCGCCAGAAAUUCUUCUGCUACGGCAACAAAAGUCCUUCCCUGGCGCUAGGAAUUCUUCUUGUUACUUCUCUGGUUUGCGUCGGUUUUUCCCUUGAAGAGGAAAGGGUGAUGUAGCACAGGAGCAGUAANNNNNNNNNNNNNNNNNNNNNNNNNNNNNNNNNNNNNNNNNNNNNNNNNNNNNNNNNNNNNNNNNNNNNNNNNNNNNNNNNNNNNNNNNNNNNNNNNNNNNNNNNNNNNNNNNNNNNNNNNNNNNNNNNNNNNNNNNNNNNNNNNNNNNNNNNNNNNNNNNNNNNNNNNNNNNNNNNNNNNNNNNNNNNNNNNNNNNNNNNNNNNNNNNNNNNNNNNNNNNNNNNNNNNNNNNNNNNNNNNNNNNNNNNNNNNNNNNNNNNNNNNNNNNNNNNNNNNNNNNNNNNNNNNNNNNNNNNNNNNNNNNNNNNNNNNNNNNNNNNNNNNNNNNNNNNNNNNNNNNNNNNNNNNNNNNNNNNNNNNNNNNNNNNNNNNNNNNNNNNNNNNNNNNNNNNNNNNNNNNNNNNNNNNNNNNNNNNNNNNNNNNNNNNNNNNNNNNNNNNNNNNNNNNNNNNNNNNNNNNNNNNNNNNNNNNNNNNNNNNNNNNNNNNNNNNNNNNNNNNNNAGUAGACCGAUACUUUUUGCAUCUACUACUAUUACUCCACACAUCGACCGCUAUCUAGCAUGCAUCUAGUGUAUUGAGUUCAUGACGAAUAGAGUAACGCCUUAAGAAAGAUGACAUGAUGUAGAGGGAUAAUCUCAAACCAAUGAUGAAAACCCCAUCUUUUUAACCUUGAUGGCAACAACAUGACGCGUGCCUCGCUACCCCUUCUGUCACCGGGUGAGGUCACCGCACGGUAUGAACCCAAAACCAAGCACUUCUCCCAUUGCAAGAAUCAUAGAUCUAGUUGGCCACACGAAACCCACAACUCGAANNNNNNNNNNNNNNNNNNNNNNNNNNNNNNNNNNNNNNNNNNNNNNNNNNNNNNNNNNNNNNNNNNNNNNNNNNNNNNNNNNNNNNNNNNNNNNNNNNNNCAUGGAACAGAAGCACGGUGUACUCCACGAUUCUCUUUCUUUGAGUCAUAGGAACGUCGUACUAUUAAGAGGGGACCCGUAGUGGAAAGGUUUGGGUGGAAUCAAUUUUGCACGCACACACUUUAUCUCAUUUCCCUUUACGUGCAACUUUGGAGUGGCUCCUGCCUCUGUUUUUAUCUCAUCUAAGCAAAAGGUCUCUCAGCGGUAGUACCGCUGUGCCUAGCGGUAGUACCGCUGGGCCUAGCGGUGGUACCACUGGAACUGGUGGUAGUACCGCUCGCCCUAGCGGUAGUACCGCUGGUGCUGGCGGUAGUACCGCUAUGCUGGCGGUAGUACCGCCCCUGGUCAGCGGUAGUACCGCUCCAGUAGCUUAGUACCGCGUUCCUAGAGGCUGUACUUCGUCGGACCUUUUUGCGAAGACUUUCUUUGCGGUGGUUGGCCCGGUAGUGCUUCUGCACUACCAUGGGCCCAGCGGUAGUACCGUUGGAGUGCCAACGGUAGUACUGUUGCAGCCAGCGGUAGUACCGCUGGAGUGCUAGCGGUAGUACCGCUGCAGCCAGCGGUAGUACCGCUAGGCUCGGGCUGUGAGUGGGAAAACGGUUGGAUUCCCCCCCCCCACUAUAUAAGGGGUUCUUCUUGCUGUAGAACCCUACCUUUUACCCUACCAAGCUCCAUUGUUGCUCCCUAAGCUCAAAAGUGCCCGAUCUCUCUCCCUAGCCAAUCAAACUUGUUGAUUCUUUAGGGAUUGGUUGAGAAGGCCUAGAUCUACACUUCCACCAAGAGAAAAGUUGAUUCCCCCACCAAUCCCUUGCGGAUCUUGUUACUCUUGGGUGUUUGAGAACCCUAGACGGUUGAGGUCACCUCGGAGCCACAUUCCAUUGUGGUGAAGCUUAGUGGUCUUGUUGGGAGCCUCCAAGCUUUGUGUGAAGUUUGCCCCAACCUUGUUUGUAAAGGUUCGGUUGCCGCCUUCAAGGGCACCUAUAGUGGAAUCACGGUACCUUGCAUCGUGUGAGGGCGUGAGGAGAAUACGGUGGCCCUAGUGGCUUAUUGGGGAGCAUUGUGCCUCCACACCGCUCCAACGGAGACGUACUUCCUGUCAAAGGGAAGGAACUUCGGUAACACAUCAUCGUCUUCAUUGGUUCCACUUGUGGUUAUCUCUAACCUUUACUUCGUGUAUGCUUAUGUUGUUGUCUAUCUCUUACUUGUCUUAGUUGGUCUUGUUGUUAGCAUCAUAUAGGUUCACCUCGUUGUUGCUAUUUUAGUGAACCCAUAUGUUGCUUACCCNNNNNNNNNNNNNNNNNNNNNNNNNNNNNNNNNNNNNNNNNNNNNNNNNNNNNNNNNNNNNNNNNNNNNNNNNNNNNNNNNNNNNNNNNNNNNNNNNNNNGGCAGCCCGACCACAUACCUCCACGGUUUUUCCUCUAGAUCGCGUUUCUGCGGAGCUCGGGCGGAGCCCUGCCGAGAUCAGAUCACCACCAACCUCCAGAGCGCCGUCACGCUGCCGGAGAACUCAUCUACGUCUCCGUCUCUCUUGCUGGAUCAAGAAGGCCGAGAUCAUCGUCGAGCUGUACGUGUGCUGAACGCGGAGGUGCCGUCCGUUCGGCACUAGAUCGUGGGACGGAUUGUGAGACGGUUCGUGGGACGGUUCGCGGGGUGGAUCGAGGGAUGUGAGGACGUUCCACUACAUCAACCGUGUUCACUAACGCUUCUGCUGUGCGAUCUACAAGGGUACGUAGAUCAAAAAUCCCCUCUCGUAGAUGGACAUCACCAUGAUAGGUCUUCGUGUGCGUAGGAAAUUUUUUGUUUCCCAUGCGACGUUCCCAACAUAUUCAACCAAAGUGGAUUCAUAUCCAGCACCAUAAUCAUUAGGUUUGACACAAGAAAACAAAGAUUCAAUGGGAGUCACACCAAGCACUUUAAGAUCUUCGUGAUUCUCAUCACGAGAACACGCCUUUUUCAGCCAUUCAUGUCUAGCACGAAUUUGGGCGGUUCUUUCUUGGCUCUCAAUCAUGGAAACACGCAUAUCUUUCAAAGUUUAAUCCAUGUUGAUUUUGGGAGGAGUAAAUCUAACUUUCAAAGCAUCAACAUCACAAGAAAUCCUAUCAACGCUCUUAGCCAAAUCGUCAAUUUUGAGUAGUUUUUCCUCUAUGGACGCAUUGAAAAUCUUUUGAGAGUUGAUGAACUCUUUGAUAUUACUCUAUAGAUCAUAGGGUAAUCUAUUGUAAUUUCCAUGAGUAUUGUUGUAGGAGUUGCNNNNNNNNNNNNNNNNNNNNNNNNNNNNNNNNNNNNNNNNNNNNNNNNNNNNNNNNNNNNNNNNNNNNNNNNNNNNNNNNNNNNNNNNNNNNNNNNNNNNGAAUAAUCAUCCAAAGGCUCAAGCCAUGAGCGGGACAAUUUCUAAUCAUUAAUUUCAUUCUCUCCCAAGCUUGUGCAACAUGUUCAUGAUCAUGUUUCUUGAAAUUCAUGAUAUCAUUACGGAGAGAGAUGAUCUUAGCCGGCGGAAAAUACUUGGAUAUAUAAGCAUCUUUGCACUUAUCCCAAGAAUCGAUACUAUUUUUGGGCAAAGAAGAAAACCAAGUUUUUGCGCGAUCUCGCAACGAGAAAGGAAAAAAAGCUUCAAUUUAAUCACGUCGUUAUCCACAUAUUUUUUCUUUUGCAUAUCGCAAAGCUCAAUGAAGGUAUUGAUAUGGGAUGCGGCAUAUUCACUAGGAAGGCUAGAGAAUUGCUCUUUCAUAACAAGAUUCAGCAAAGCGACAUUGAUUUCGUAUGACUCCGCACUAGUGGUGGGCGCAAUCGGAGUACUAAUAAAAUCAUUAUUAUUAGUAUUCGAGAAGUCACAAAGUUUUGUGUUUUUGUUCAUGGUGACUUCAGCAAGCAAGCAAGCACACAAGCAAACAAAAAGCGGGCGAGAAAAAAGGGCGAACGAAAAGGCGAGCGAAAAAGGCAAACAAAAAAGGCAAAUUGGUGAAGUGGGGGAGAGGAAAACGAGAGGCAACUGGCAAACAGAAUAAAUGCAAGAGAUGAGUUUGCGACACUUACUUGGAUGAGUUCUUGAUUUGAUCUUCCUCCCAGGCAACGGCGCCAGAAAUCCUUCUGCUACUUCUCAAACAAUAGCGCCAGAAAUUGACACGUUGACGGAGAUUGGGCUUGCGUUGGUUUUUCCCUUGAAGAGGAAAGGGUGAUGCAACACAGGAGCAGUAAGUNNNNNNNNNNNNNNNNNNNNNNNNNNNNNNNNNNNNNNNNNNNNNNNNNNNNNNNNNNNNNNNNNNNNNNNNNNNNNNNNNNNNNNNNNNNNNNNNNNNNAGGAUCACAAUGAUGAUGACUCCAUAGGAAAUGCCUCCGGCAGUGUACCGGGAUGUCCAACGAUCUAGUAUGAUCACGCAAUGGCAAUAUGAGAGUGAUGGCACAAGUCAUAAGACGGAACGGUGGGAGUUGCAUGACAAUAUAUCUCGGAAUGGCUAUGAAAAUGCCAUAGUAGGUAGGUAUGGUGGCUGUUUUGAGGAAGGAAUUUGGUGGGUUUGUGCACCGUCGAGAAUUGCGUGGCGCUAGAGAGGCUAGCAAUGGUGGAAGGUGAAAGUGAAUCUAUACCAUGGACUCAACAUUAGUCAUAAAGAACUCACAUACUUGUUGCAAAAGUUUUUAUUAGUAAUCGAAACAAAGUGCUAAACGCAUACUCCGAGGGGAAGGGUUGGUAGGUGUAAACCAUCACGCGAUCCCGACCUCAACACAAAGGAUGACAAUAAAUAGAUCAAUUAUCCUCCGACUUCCUAACAUAGCGGUUCACCAUACGUGCAUGCUACGGGAAUCACUAACUUCAACACAAGUAUUUCUAGAUUCACAACACCCUACUAACAUAGCUUUUAAUAUUCCCGAAUCCAUGUCUCAAAACUAAUUGAGAGGAAUCGAAACUUUUCUUUCUACUCAAUGCACAUGAAGAUGGAGGGUUUUUGCAUCCUCUUUGGGUACCUAGCACAUGGGACUACUUUCAUAGCAUAAGCCAACUACCAAAUCACGCACCGUCGUGCUCUAAAGAUAUAAGUGAAGCACAAGAGCAAACGUAUCUAGCUCAAAAAGAUAGAAGUGAAGCACUAGAGCAAAAGUAUCCACCUCAAAAUAUAUAAGUGAAGCACNNNNNNNNNNNNNNNNNNNNNNNNNNNNNNNNNNNNNNNNNNNNNNNNNNNNNNNNNNNNNNNNNNNNNNNNNNNNNNNNNNNNNNNNNNNNNNNNNNNNAAAUAGCGGGACCUGGAUGCCCAUAUUGGAUCCUACAUAUUCUAUGAAGAUCUUGUCGUUUGAACCUCAGUGCCAAGGAUUCAUAUAAUCCUGUAUGUCAUUCCCUUUGUCCUUCGGUAGGUUACUUGCCCGAGAUUCGAUCGUCAGUAUCAUCAUACCUAUUUCAAUCUCGUUUACCGGCAAGUCUCUUUACUCGUUCCUUAAUACAAGAUCCCGCAACUUACACUAAGUCACAAUGCUUGCAAGGCUUGUGUGUGAUGUUGUAUUACCGAGUGGGCCCCGAGAUACCUCUCCGUCACACGGAGUGACAAAUCUCAGUCUUGAUCCAUGCCAACCCAACAGACACCUUUGGAGAUACCUGUAGAGCACCUUUAUAGUCACCCAGUUACGUUGCGGCGUUUGAUACACACAAGGUAUUCCUCCGGUGUCCGGGAGUUGCAUGAUCUCAUGGUCAUAGGAACAGAUACAUUGACAUGCAGAAAACACUAGCAAUAAACUGACAUGAUCAUACACUAUAUUUAUAGUUUGGGUCUUGUCCAUCACAUCAUUCUCCUAAUGAUGUCAUCCUGUUAUCAAGUGACAACACUUGUCUAUGGUUAGGAAACCUUAACCAUCUUUGAUCAACGAGCUAGUCAACUAGAGGCUUACUAGGGACAAUGUUUUGUCUAUGUAUCCACACAUGUAUUUGUGUUUCCAAUCAAUACAAUUCUAGCAUGGAUAAUAAACGAUUAUCAUGANNNNNNNNNNUAAAGAAAUAUAAUAAUAACUAAUUUAUUAUUGCCUCUAGGUCAUAUUUCCAACAAGACGUGUGACCGUGGAUGGCGUGAUCGCACGCACAAGAGGCAUGGUCGUCGUCGUGCUCCUCGUUGUGCUAGGGUGGAGCAACUCGCCACUCCUCAUCGAGUUGGCUUGGAGAGGCGAGUUGCUGAACCGCGCGCCAACUUGGGUGACAACUGGCUCUAUCGGGCUAGGCAAGGGGGGUGGAGGAGCGAGCUAACUCGCUCGUGCUCAUAAUAGGCGGGCUCGGCGGGCCACCUACCCGGCUUGUAUGCCGGAGAACUGCUCUUCGGAAGCCAUCGGAACAGUGUAGAAAAUGGUGAAGUGGGAGAUGGGGAGCAACGGAUAGGUGUUGUUCUUGCCUGGCGUCUGGCCUCGUUUAAAUAUAGGGCGAACGGGAGGAGCUCGGGAAAUGUUGCAUUUAAUAUAGGCCCGCUCAUGAACAUAUGCAUGGCCGGAGUAGGUUUAUUGGCUUCCAGGCGGGGUUAGUGGAGGCAUUUGAAUGCAACGAGGAGGCGUGUUCAUCCGGGCGUGUAGUGGGUGCUAUCCUCGGCCACUCGGCCGCUUCAAUAGCGGAGGCAGUGAGAGGUUGUCUCUGCCCUGAGCCGCCUUCAAUGUGGAGCGGCGCGCUCUACAAUGGCAUGAAUGCGGACGGCUGGUGUCAGGUGGGAAGCGCGCGUGGGAGGGGGUGGGCUUUGGGUGGGCCGAAGCGGCCACGAUCAUGCGAACUAGCAAUCCAGACUCUCGCAAACUUCGCCAUGUUUAUCUUUGAUUUGCGGGAGAAAUCACGUCCGGACCGAUACAAGACCACGUUGGAUGGCGGUCCGGAUCGUUGCGGGAGAUUUGCGGGUGUGCCUUGGAGAUUUCCUAAGUACAUCAACGAGAUGAUCCAUAAGUUUGGUAUGGAAUGUACUAGAGGUAUUGGGACUCCAAUGGCUACAAGUAGAUAUCUUGGUCUAAGUGAAGAUGAUGCACACGUUGAUCAAAUGUGGAAUGGCAUUUCCCUCCCUAUGUGACUUUGGUGUAGAUGACAAUGCAACUUGUGGUCUAAUUGCGUUCUUAAGCAAUACAGUUAUAUUCAAAAAUGGCACAAGACGGUUAGGUGCCCCUCUAAAAGGAAAAGAGCAAAUAUGGUCUUUCAGCAUUUGCAUUUCCUUUGAGUCACAGGAAAACCAUACUAUUAAGAGGGGUUCCCAUUCAGAAGGUAUGAAUGGAAUCAAUCAGAGACACAAAACCAAAUUGCACCCACUUAGCCUUCCCAACAUUUGAGGAGUUUCUCCAUCCUUUUCUGGUGCUCUUCAACUUUCUUACCUGACAGUACCGGGUUUGGCAAUGAUAGUAUCGCUCCUUCAUAGGAGUAGUACUGUUGUUGCCUGCCUUCAGACCAGUCAUACCGCAUUCUUGACCGAUAGUACCACUCCCCUAUUGGAGCGGAAUUACCGGACGCAGUGUUGGUUUAGUACCGCAGGGGUCAUUCUCCUUUGUUUUAGGCCUUGAUACUAGGGUGGCACUACUACAACAAUACUAGUUAUUUUCUAUCCUCUGUGGUAGUACAGCUUGGGCACUUGUAGUCCAACCCGUAUGGGACUGGGGUAGUAUUUCUCACUGAAAUUCUGGGGUGAUAGCUAGAUUCGAGGGGGCAUAUAAAAAGGGGGUAUUCUUCCCAAGGUGGCCUACCUUUUGCCUCCAUCUCCUUCAUUAUUGCAUAGAAAAUAAAUCUCAUAUAUCUCUCUCCCUAGCCACCCAAACUCCUUGAUCUUAUAGAAUUUGGGAGAGAAGACCUAGAUUUACCAUUCCAUGGAAGAAAAUUUGAUUCCCCUUGUUUCCCUAGUGGAUCUUCUUACUCUUGGGUGUUUAGGCACCAUGGGUGGAAGAGAUCACCUCAAAGCUCAAUCAAUAUCGUGUAAGGCUUCACGGUGGUGAUGGGAGCCUUCAAUUAAGUUGUGGAGACUGCCCUGACGGGGUCUUGGAUUAGGGGGUGCUCGGCAUGUCGGUUAUCGGUCCUUUGGGAUGGGUCAAGGGCCCCUUUGAGUUCAUCGCUUGGUAGGCCUUGUUUGUCUAGUACAAGAAGAUUAAGAAGGAAUGGCCCGAGAGUUGGUGCGUACUCCAAGACAUAAAGAUAGACCCUGACAUGUUUGCCCCUAUAUGGAGCCGACUUAUGUGUAACCCUAGGCGUGUGUUCUGAAGCGAUCUCAUUCAAAGCCCUUUUCCGACGCCCUGUAGGAGGAGGAAAUCAUCACCUCGGGCCAUAUUCACCAUCCCGCGGUUUCCAUGACAAGGAGAAAGUAGUUCACCCUCGAGGCUGAGGGUAUGUACGCGUAGCUAUGUGUUUGAUCUCUCUCUCUCUCUCACACACACACACACCCUCUCCCUCUCCCUCUCCAUCUCUCUCUCUCCCUCUCUCCCUCUCUCUCCCUCCCCUCUCCCUCUACCUCUCACUCUCUCUCCCUCUCACUCUCUCUCCCUCCCCCUCCCCCUCUUCCAUGGUGUUAUGCAACGUGAUUCAUCGCUGGAUGUAGCCUCACAGAAUCUCAUUGUUCUUCUAGACGCAGUACUGCAGCUUUGUGAGGCCACCCGGGCGCUUGUAGGUGCCUUCAAACGCUUUGACGAACACUCGGGCAAGGUCCCCCCAGCUGUGAUGCUACUAGAGGGAAGUUGAUUGAGCCACGCCCUCGCCGCCCCCUCCAACAUGAGGGACAGGUACUUCAUCACGAUGAAGUCAUCGCCCCGCCUAUCUGGACGGCCGCUCGGUAAUCUUCGAGCCAAGUUUCUGGCUUGGACUCACCGUUGAACUUACCCAUCCCCGUAGCCAAUCGGUAGUUGGAGGGAAUCUCCGCUUCACGGAUAUGUCUACCGAAGCACUCAAGGACAGGUACCCCCCGGCCUGCCCGCGAUUGGUUAACCAUGUUUUGCGUGAUUAUAGACCCCGCGUUGAACUGGGAGAUCGGUAGCCGUCGUCCCUAUAACCCCUGUGUCGAUUGGGGCUUAGCCUACGGUCGUGGGGUCCGUGUCCGAGUGAAUCACUCCUCAGAGGAGGUGUUCUGAUAUGAACCCGAUAAUCGUGCCUCUGAUCCCCGUACGGGCCUCUCGGAGGAGGAGGAGAUCNNNNNNNNNNNNNNNNNNNNNNNNNNNNNNNNNNNNNNNNNNNNNNNNNNNNNNNNNNNNNNNNNNNNNNNNNNNNNNNNNNNNNNNNNNNNNNNNNNNNGUUGCUAUUUAUUGCUUUGGCCAAGUAGUAGAUUGUAACUCCAAAAGGGAGUGUUAUGCAUGAUUGUGGGUUCAUACCCCUCGAUGUCUAUCUUGAGUGAUAGAAACAUGAGACUAGGGGAUGUGCUUGUUGCCACCAAAGAGAAAACAACGGUGCUUGUGAACAUGGUUGCAAGGAUUGUUUACCUUACACAUAGUUCGUUAAUGCAGUUGUCUGUUGCUUUGAGUUUACACUUUGGGUGGGGCUCGCAAUUUAAUACCGGCGAGAUGUUCUGAAUAGAUAUCUCAAGGUGUAUGAUUAGUAAGUAGAUACUGAUGAAUAAACGGUCUACUUGUCUUGGCGUACUGCCCAUUACUAUUGAACCUCUAACUAUNNNNNNNNNNGAGGGAGCGUUAUGCAUGAUUGUGGGUUCAUGCCCCUCAAUGUCUAGCUUGAGUGACAGAAGCAUGAGACUAGGGGAUGUUCUUGUUGCCACCAAAGAGAAAAUAACGGUGCUUGUGAUCACAGUUGCAAGGAUUGUUUACCUUACGCAUAGUUNNNNNNNNNNNNNNNNNNNNNNNNNNNNNNNNNNNNNNNNNNNNNNNNNNNNNNNNNNNNNNNNNNNNNNNNNNNNNNNNNNNNNNNNNNNNNNNNNNNNCCUCUAGCUCGCGUUUCUGCGGAGCUCGGGAAGAGCCUUGCUGAGAUUAGAUCACCACCAACCUCCGGAGCACCGUCACGCUGCCGGAGAACUCAUCUACCUCUCCGUCUCUCUUGCUGGAUCAAGAAGGCCGUGAUCAUCGUCGAGCUGUACGUGUGCUGAACGCGGAGGUGCCGUCCAUUCAGCACUAGAUCGGAGCGGAUCGUGGGACGGAUCGCAGGACGGUUCGUGGGACGGUUCGCGGGGCGGAUCGAGGGACGUGAGAACAUUCCACUACAUCAACCGCGUUUCUUAACGCUUCUGCUGUGCGAUCUACAAGGCUACGUAGAUCGGAAAUCCCCUCUCGUAGAUGGACAUCACCAUGAUAGGUCUUCGUGCGCGUAGGAAAGUUUUUGUUUCCCAUGCGACGUUCCCCAACACCUUAUUCCUUGGUCUUGGUGCUGCAAUGGAGGAGCCUCUCCCAUUCUUGGCGGCUGCCUAGGGAGAGGCAAAUUCGUGGCUCCUGGUGGCUCUAUCAAAAUUAGGGGUUUUCUCUCCUUAUAUGUGCCUAUGUGGUGCUCUAUGACCCUCCGAUGGAUGGACCCUUGAUCCAAUGGCUCUAGGGAACCUCUACAACCUAGGGGCUCCUCACAACCCUCAUGAGUCUUCAAAGUCGUGGCUUGGCCGAAUAUAUCAGAUAUAUUAAGACUUGGACUUAAUCACCUCAACAAUUCUUGUGAUCCCGUAAUCAGAUAUUUUCCUUUAGUAAAACAGGUCUCCAGAUCGCAUAUGAACACCGUUUUGGACGAAUUGUUAGUCCACAAUUGUUGCCAUAAAAUUCCCCACACUUUCCUAUUUUUACCUUUUCCAUGUGAUGCAGUGUUCGGGGGUCAAACUGACGAUCACUAAAAACUGUUUGUGAACAGAUUUCAGGAGAAUCAGAGUCCUCCUCCAACAAGUCUCCUUUUGCAUUUUUGACAAUUUCUAAUUAAUUCCUAGAAAUCAAAGUGUGAAACAACAACUUGUGCAAUUUUGCAACCAUUAAUAGGUUAGUCUAAAAAAUAAUAUAAACUUGUAGUAAAAUGAUUGUAAAACACCCAAGAAUGAUAAAUAUAACAGCAUGGAACAAGCAAAAAAUAUAGAUACGUUGGAGACGUAUCAACAUCCCCAAACUUAAUUCCUGCUCGUCCUCGAGUAGGUAAAUGACAAAAACAGAAUUUUUGAUGUGGAAUGAUGCGUAACAUGUUCAUCAAAUUUUUUUCUUCUUUUUAUAGCAUGUACAUUUGGACUUGUAAGUGAUUCAAAGCAACAGUCUAGUUUUAACAUAAUGACUUCAAUACUAAAGCAUGUCAACAAGCAACCAUGUCUUUCAAAAUAGCAACACUAAACAAAGUUAUCCCUAGCCCAUCAUGCUCAAUCAUUGAUAUAUUCAUGAAACACACUCAAAUAUUAGCUAUGCCCAAUGCUCAAGUACGAUCAUAGUGUUCCCUAGUUGGUGCUUAUAAGAGAAGAUGGAGACUCAAAGCACAAUUAAAAAUUGCAUAAAGUAAAUAGAUAGGCCCUUCACAGAGGAAAUUAGGGAUUUGUAGAGGUGCUAGAGCUCAACGUUUAAAUUUAGAGAGAAAAACUAUUUUGAGUAGCAUGCUUUUCCUGUCAACGAAAACGACAAAGUAGCUCACAAUACUUUUCAUUCUAGAUACAUUAUAGGCGGCUCCCAAACAGAAUGGUAAAGUUUUUUACUCCCCCUCAACCAAUCAAUCACACUCCAUGGCAAGCCGAAUCCACGGUUACCGUCCAUACAAACAACAUACCUGAGGAAGUUUUGUUUCAUUAUAUUUGAUUUGAUUUUUGAGCAUGGAACUGGGCAUCCCGAAUACCAGUCACUUUCUCGUGAAUGAUAGUGAAUCAACACAUAUCAUGAGAAUAGCCCACCUAGUAUGAGAAAAUAUUGGAUACUCCCCACCGUUUCAUGAGCGGUACGGGCACACAAAAGAGAAAAAUUAUUUUCAAAAUUUAGAGAUGGCACAUACAAAUUUUCUUGGAACGGCAUGGAAAUACCGCAUAUAGGUAGGUAUGGUGGACUCAUGAGACAAAACUUGGUUUAUGGAUUUUGGAUGCACAAGUAGUAUUUAUACUUAGUACAAAUGAAGGCUAGCAAAUAGAUUCGGAAGCAAUCAAACCAAGAAAUGAAAAUUCACAUAAGUGAGCAUUGAGUCAUAACUAACACCAAAUAAUGCACCACAGUAGGAUGUAACUUCAUUGCAUAACUAUUGACUUUCGUGCAUGCAUAGGGAAUCACAAACCUUAAAACCAAUAUUCCUACUUAAAGCAUAAAUAUUCACUAACAUGACUCACAUAUUACUAUCAUCAUGUUUCAAAACUAUUACAAAGAAUCAAGUUUAAUUUGUUCCAUGAUCUUCAUGAAAGUUUUUAUUAUAUCCCUCUUGGAUAUCUAUUACUUUGAGACUAGUUUCAUAUAUUGCUAUUGCCCUUUCUACAUGCUCAAACCAAUUUAAAGGAAGUAGAAGAGCAUAAAUAUUUCAUCCCUCAAAAAGGUAUAAGUGAAGCAUGAAAGUAAAUGACAAAACUACUCCAAAACAUAUAAGUGAAGAUCAAUGAGUAGUCAAACAAUUAAGUAGCUAUGAGAGGAUUUUCUCUCUCUCGCUCUCUUAAUAAAGAUUUUCAGAUCUGAGUAUUUUCUUUAAACAUCAAGCAAAAGAAAAAUAGCACCCCAAGAAUAGGACGCAUCAUGUGAACGAAUAAAAAUUUAGGCUCAACAUAGUCUAACCGAUAGUUGAUGAAGAGAGGUGGGAUGCUAGCAUCCCCAAGCUUAGAUGCUUGAGAGUUCUUGAAAUAUUUACUUGGGGUUCCUUGGGCAUCCCCAAGCUUGAGCUUUUGUAUCUUUUUCAAUCCUCUCGUAUCCUGGUUUCACCUAUUCUCACAAACUUCAUUCACACAAAACUUGGAAAGAACUCGUAAGAAAGGUUAGUACACAUAAUAAUAAAUCAACUCUUUAUGUAUUGCCAAGACAAGGUGAAUAAUAAUUGCAAAAAUCAUCUAUUGUUUACUAUAAUUUCCACAAUUUAUAUAUAUCAAUAUAGGCUAUGGAAACUAUAGGAUAAGUAGAUAACAAAACUAUGACAACAAUCUGUCCAAACAGAACAGUCUGUAGAAAUUUAUGAAAACAAUGUACUUCUAUAACUUAAAAAAUUAUGAAAAUUUAGGAAAUGCUAUAAAAUUUAUAUGACAAAACCGUGCAAAAAUGUCAGAAACUUUUUUCACGUUCCAGUAAAAUAUGAAAAUUCAAACACUACAGCACCGGUUUUUGUUUUUACACAGCACCAAUCAAAGCUUGCAAUGCAAGCAUCCUAAUGCAAUUCUUGGAAUUUUUUUAUUGAAAAACAUGAUUAUAAAUAACACAUAACAGAGAAAAACAAAAUAAAAUGACGCUUCAAGCAAAACUCAUAUUAUGUGACGAAUAAAAAUAUAGCUCCAAGUAAGAUAUACCGAUAAUGUUGAAGACGGAAGAGGGGAUCCUUCCGGGGCAUCCCCAAGCUUAGGCGCUUGAGUCUUCCUUGGAUAUUACCUGGGGGUGCCUUGUGCAUCCCUAAUAUUAGGUUCUUGUCACUCCUUAUUCUCCUCAUAUCGGUGUCUCACCCAAAAGUUGAAAACUUCAAUCACACAAAACUUAACGGAACUUCGUGAGAUCGGUUAGUAUAAUAAAUAAUGAUCAUUCACUUAGGUACUGUCAAGAAAAUAUUAAUACUUUCUCCCACAUGAUACCUACUGUAUUCUACUAUUCCCAUAAUUUAUAUCACUGAAUAUAAGCUAUGGGAACACUAAAACAAGCAAACUAUGCAUGCAAAACAAAAUCUGUCAAAAAUAGAACAGUGUGUGAAGAUGUGUAGUGUAGCCAUACUUCCCUAUCUCUAAAAAUUCUGAACAAAUAGGAAAAUUAAGGAAAUUUGUAUAUCAAUCAUGUGUAAAAAAUUCAUAUCAAAAGCACGUUCCACUAAAUUUACAAAAGUCCUCGACUAAGAGCAAAUGUUUCUGUUUUUGCAUAGAAUCAAGUCAACUGUCAUCCACACUAUCCCAAAGGCUUUACUUGGCACUUUAUUGAAGUAAAAGGCAUAAAACUUGAUUAAUACAGUAGCUUAAUCAUGUGAACACCAAAAAAAGAAAGUAAAAGUGUUGGGUUUUAUCCCAACAAGCGCUUUUCUUUAAAGCCUUUUAGCUAGGCAUGGUGAUUUCAAUGAUGCUCACAUAGGAAUAAUAAUUAUAAUAUGCAAAAGAGCAUCAUGAAUAUCAUGACAAGCACAUUUAAGUCUAACCCACUUCCUGUGCAUUGGGAUUUUCUAAACAAACAAUUUAUGGGAGCAAGAAUCAACUAGCAUAGGAAGCCAAAACAAGCAUAACUUCAAAACUUUGAACACAUAGAGAGGAAACUUGAUAUUAUUGCAAUUCCUACAAGCAUAUGUUCCUCCCUGAUAAUAAUUUUCAGUAGCAUCAUGAAGGAAUUCCACAAUAUAACCAGUACAUAAAGCAUUAUUUUAAUGAUCUACAAGCAUAGAAAUUUUAAUACUCACCAAAUAAGCAAAUUUAUUCACAUCAGUAGUAGUGGGAGCAAACUCAACUAAAUAACUAUCAUGUGAAGCAUAAUCCAAUUGAGAAUUAAAAUUGUGAUGAGAAAUUUCAUGGUUAUCAUUAUUCUUUAUAGAAUAAAUGUCAUCACAAUAAUCAUCAUAAAUAGGAGGCAUGCUUUCAUCAUAAUAAAUUUUCUCAUCAAAACAUGGGGGACUAAACAUAUAAUCUUCAUCAAACAUAGCAUCCCCAAGCUUGUGGCUUUGCAUAUCAUUAGCAUCAUGAAUAUUCAACGAGUCAUACUAACAACAAUGUAAUCAUGCUCAUCAUACAAAGAUUUAGUACCAAACAUUUUAAUAACUUCUUCUUCUAACACUUGAGCACAAUUUUCCUUUCCAUCAUUUUCACGAAAGACGUUGAAAAGAUGAAGCAUAUGAGGCAACCUCAAUUCCAUUUUUUGUAGUUUUCUUUUAUAAAACCAAACUAGGGAAAACAAGAAACUAAAAGAUUUAAUUGCAAGAUAUAAAGAUAUACCUUCAAGCACUCACCUCCCCGGCAACAACGCCAGAAAAGAGCUUCGUUGACGGGAUGUGACUGCCGCUUACCUAACCUCCUUGGCAACGGUGCUAGAAAAGAGCUUGAUGUCUACUACAAAACCUUCUUCUUGUAGACUCGCGUUGGGCCUCCAAGCGCAGAAUUUUGUAGGACAAUAGCAAGUUUCCCUCAAGUGUAUGACCUAAGGUUUAUCAAUUUGUGGGAGGCGUAGGAUGAAGAUGGUCUUUCUCAAUCAACCCUGCGAUCAAAUAACAAAGAGUCUCUUGUGUCCCCAACACAUCCAAUACAAUAGUAAAUUGUAUAGGUGCACUAGUUCGGCAAAGAGAUGGUGAUACAAGUGUAAUAUGGAUGGUAGAUAUAGGUUUUUUUGUAAUCUGAAAAUAUAAAAAACAGCAUGGUAACAAAUAGUAAACAUCAAGCAAAACAUUGUAUAAAUGCUUGGGAACAAGACCUAGGGUUCAUAGUUUCACUAGUGCAAGUUCUCUCAACUAUACUAACAUAGUUGAAUCAUAUAUAAAUGCCUCACGUGCGACAAAGAGUUCACUCCAAAGUCACGAAUAGCGAAGAACAAACGAAGAAAUUAUUGUAGGGUACGAAACCAUCUCAAAGUUAUCUUUUCUGAUCAAUCUUAUGAGCUAUCCCUAUAAGUGUCACGAACAGACCUAGAGUUUGUACUAAAAUAACACCUUAAGAUACACAUCAACCAAAACCCUAAUGUCACCCAGAUACUCCAAUGUCACCACAAGUACCCAUGGGCAUGAUUACACGAUAUGCAUCACAUAAUUUUAGAUUCAUCAUGUUCAAUCCAACACAAAGAACUUCAACGAGUGCCCCAAAGUUUCUACCGGAAGCCAAGAGGAAAACAUAAGCCAACCCCUAUGCAUAGAUUCACAAGGUCACGGAACCCGCAACUUGAUCACCAAAACAUACAUCAAGUGGAUCAAUAGAACAUCACAUUGUCACCACAUAUAUCCCAUUGCAAGACAUACAUCAAGUGUUCUAAAAUCCUUAAAGACUCGAUCCGAUAAGAAAACUUCAAAGGGAAAACUCAAUUCAUCACAAGAAGAUAGAGAGGGGAAAACUCCAUAUGAUUCAUCUAUAUCAAUAAAGCUCGCGAUACAUCAAGAUCGUUCCAUCUCAAGAACACGAGAGAGAGAGAUUGAACACAUAGCUACUAAUACAUACCCUCCGCUCCGAAGAGGAUUACUCACACAUUAUGAUGGUGAGAAAGAGAGAUCUGUUGAUGGAGAGGUGCAGCCCCGAAGAGAUGGAGGAGAUGGCGGCCACAGCAUCGGCGACGGACGACAGCGGUGGCGACGAACGGCGGCCCCUUGCCCCUCCUUCUUCCUUGGUCUUGGUGCUGCAAUGGAGGAGCCUCUCCCUUUCUUGGCGGCUGCUAAGGGAGAGGCAAAUUCAUGGCUCUUGGUGGCUCUACCAAAAUUAGGGUUUUUCUCUCCUUAUAUGUGCCUUUGUGGUGCUCUAUGGCCCUCUGAUGGAUGGACCCUUGAUCCAAUGGCUCUCGGGAACCUCUAGAACCUUACUAGGGGCUCCUUACAGCCCUCAUGAGUCUCCAAAGUCGUGGUUUGGCUGAAUAUAUCAGAUAUGUUAAGAGUUGGACUCGAUCACCUUAACAAUUCUCUUGAUUCCAUAAUCAGAUAUUUUCCUUCAGUAAAAUGGGUCUCCAGAUCUCAUACGAACUCCAUUUUGGACGAAUUUGUAGUAAACAAUCAUUGCCAUAAAAUUACCAACACAUUCCUAGUUUUAGCUUUUUACAUUUGACGCCGUGUUCGGGGGUCAAACUGAUGAUCUCUAAAAACUGUUUGGGGACAAAUUUCAGGAGAGUUAGAGUCCUCCUCCAACAAGGCUUCUUUUGCCUUUUUUCGACAAUUUCUAAUUAAUUCUUAUAAAUCAAAGUGUGAAACAAGAAAUUGUGCAAUUCUGCAACCAUUAAUAGGUUAGUCCCAAAAAAUAAUAUAAAGUUGUAGUAAAAUGAUUGUAAAACAUUCAAGAAUGAUAAUAUAACAGCAUGGAAGAAGCAAAAAUUAUAGAUACGUUGGAGACGUAUCAGAUGCCAGCUCAAUGCUUCAUGCUAAUGUCCGAGUGAGUGCGAUUGUAAGUUCAUUUCUGAUUGAAUUCUGUCCAUCUGGACUCUACACCCACUGGAUGUUUUCUUUUGGCGUAUACUUGUUUGUUUCUGGUCCAGUGGGGGCACGCUGAGUGCAUCCACUCGGUGUAGUCCCCGAGACCGCUGUCGAAUUACGGUGACAUCGGCACGGGUCUUUUAUUGGUUUUUGAUAGUCGUUGACACUCGACAUGACAUAUCUAUGCGGGUGAUAAUAAAUCUAGUGGGGGCACGCUGAGUGCACCCACUCGGUGUAGUCCCCGAGGCCGUCAUCGAGUGCUUGCAUCGGUGGGGGUCUGAUUGAGAUAGUUUUAGACAUUUGCUCUUUUUUUUUGACUCGGACAGGACAGACCUUGUCGAGUGGUGUCGUAUCCAGUGGGGGCAGGCUGAGUGCACCCACUGGGUGUAGUCCCUGAGACUACUGUCGAUCGUUUACGAUGGGCAGUAGUCUUAAGAACUUGGACUCAUGGUCCUUUUUCGUACUUGUAGUACUUUUAUCACUCGGUCUGUCGAGUGAAUGUUUUUCCUUAGUGUCUCCACAGCUGAAAUUUUUUCGUAGGGCUGAAAAGGUCCUAACCAGCAAGAUUUAUCAUGUAGGUUUCAUGGACAUCAUUUUGAUCAACCAUGAUAUGAUGCUUUGCAGGGGUGUGGGGUGGGGCGGUGGGCCGCCAUCUAGUCGACUGAACUGCUCUUCUCCACUCGGGAGUGGAGAAAUAUUAGUGUUGACUGAACUAUUUCUUUGAUGAUUUCAGAAAACCCGUGAGUUUGGGAUGAAGUACGUCAACUUGGAAAAGGAGAAGAACCAUCUUCAACUGGAUUUGGAGGUGACCACAAAUGAUCUGAAUCUCUUGAAGAAGGCGCUCGAAGACAAAGGCAAAGCACUUGCUGAGGCUAAGGAGAAACCCGAGGCCGCAGAGAAGAAGCUCGCUGCAGCCAGCAAAUUGGAGGAGGAGAAUGCCAAACUAAAGCAGGAACGGACCGACUCGAACAAGAAGCUUGAAUAGAUGACCAAGAGGAGGAACGACGUGGAGAACUACUUGGGCGACUUCGCAAAGAAGAUGUUUGGCAUGCGUACUGGUAACUUCCUUUUGCUGAGUGAAUUUCCUCCAUUUCCACCAAAUGAUAGUAUGGCCAACUUUUCAUUUUCCCUUCGUGUAGACUUCUGCCAGGAUUUUGACAAGGAGAGUGAAGAGAUCGAGCCAAAUUUGGACCCCACCAAGUCACCCGUUGGGGACGCUAUGGCCAGGAACAUGUUUCGCCUUGAUGCUCGUCUCAAAAAUGUUCAAGAAUAUGUAGCCCGACUGAGUGCUGCACUGGAGAGGAUCGACAAGGAACUUUGGCCAAAAGAGACCCUCCAGACGGACCUUGAGUCAAUGAUGAGCCGCCUCAACCAGAUUCCCAGUCGAGUACAAGCAUGGAAGAAAUUUGUUGCACGCUGCGGAGCUGACGUGGCUCUUUCACUCGUUCGGGUGCAUUGCAAGGAGGCUAAGGAGGACAAACUGAAGGCGCUCCAGGUGGCCAACACAAAAAAGCUUCAGUUCGAGGACUUCAUGGAGAUAUUCAUCGACGCAGCCACCCACAUCGCUGAUGGGAUUGAUCUAGACACCUUCGUCUAGCCUGCGAGUCCCGACGAGCCUUGAAAAAACUUUGAUUGAAGUUCAAACUUUACUUGCCUCGGUAUGCCGAGUGAUGGUCUAACCAUUUUAAACUUCGUUCGGGUCUUAAACCCGAGUACUUUCAUUUGCAUAGACAACCUUAAUCCGUGAUGGGGAUCAUGAGUUUAUCUGCAUUUUGCUUUCCAAUCCUUUGCUUGACUAAGUUUGUUUGGUCAUUACUCGGAAGAAUUUUGAGCUUAGGCGAAACCUUGUUCGCGGCUAAGUCUCUGAGUAAGAGGAGUGCUCGUCAUUUGGGAAAGUUUUUUACUUAGGCAAGGACUGAUUCACACCAAAGUAUCCGAGUGAAUAGGUUGCUAUUCACUCGGUUGGAUUUUAACUUAGGCGAAAACUUGUUCGCAGCUAAGUUUCUGAGUUAGAGGGUGCUCACCACUCAGAGGGUUUUUAACUUAGGCGAAGACUUGUCCCUCGAGUGAGAGGAUCGCUCACCACUCGGAGUGUUUUUAACUUAGGCGAAUACUUGUUCGCAGCUAAGCCCCCGAGUGAGAGGACCGCUCACCACUCGGAGUGUUUUUAACUGAGGCAAAGACUUGUUCGCAGCUAAGCCCCCGAGUGAGAGGAUCGCUCACCACUCGGAGGGUUUUCAACUUAGCGAAGACUUGUUCGCAGCUAAGCCCUCGAGUGAGAGGAUCGCUCACCACUCAGAGUGUUUUUCACUUAGGCGAAGACUUGUUCGCAGCUAAGCCCCCGAGUGAGAGGAUCGCUCACCACUUAGAGGGUUUUUAACUUAGGCGAAGACUUGUUCGCAGCUAAGCCCCCGAGUGAGAGGAUCGCUCACCACUCGGAGUGUUUUUAACUUAAGCGAAGACUUGUUCGUAGCUAAGCCCCCGAGUGAGAUGAUCGCUCACCACACGGAGGGUUUUUAACUUAGGCGAAGACUUGUUCGCAGCUAAGCCCCCGAGUGAAACGAUCGCUCACCGCUCAGUGUUUUUAACUUAGGGGAAGACUUGUUCUUAUCUAAGCCCCCCAGUGAGAGGAUCUCUCACCACUUGGAGGGUUUUUAACUUAGGUGAAGACGUGUUCGCAGCUAAGCCCCCGAGUGAGAGGAUCGCUCACCAUUCAGAGUGUUUUUAACUUAGGGAAGACUUGUUCGCACCUAAGCCCCCAAGUGAGAGGAUCGCUCACCACUUGGAGGGUUUUUAACUUAGGCGAAUACUUGUUCGCAGCUAAGCCCCCGAGUGAGNNNNNNNNNNUCGCUCACCACUCAGAGUGUUUUUAACUUAGGCGAAGACUUGUUCGCAGCUAAGCCCCCGAGUGAGAGGAUCACUCACUACUCAGAGUGUUUUUAACUUAGGUGAAGACUUGUUCGCAGCUAAGUCUCUGAGUGAGAGGGUCGCUCGUCACUCAGAGUGUGUUUUGAACUUAGGCGAAAUAUGGUUCGCAACUAAGUCUCCGAGUGAAUAGGUUGGAAUUCACUCGGCUGGGUUUUAACUUAGGCGAAAACUUGUACGCACCUAAGCCCCAGAGUGAGAGGGUCGCUCGCCACUCGGAGUGUUUUUUUUUAAUAUGAGAUUGCACGACCGGAAUCGAAUACAAACUCAAGGAGUCAUAACUUUGAUAAGCAACAUUGUCUAUAACACUCUUAUUACGUCAAACCACUCAAUUUUCAAGUGUAAAAAUGUCGAAGUAAAUCUGUGUUCCAAGCACGUGGUUUGUCAAUUCUCUUCUUGAGGUUGAAGAGGUGGUAGGCCCAUUGUUUAGCACUUUGGUAAUGACUAAAGGACCUUCCCAUGCGGGGGCGAGCUUGUGAGGCCGCUACUGAUCCACUCGGAGCACCAGAUCACCUUCGUGGAACAACCAACUCCUGACAUGCCUUGCAUGGAAACGACACAAAUCCUGCUGGUAUAUUGUCGACCGAAUCAAGGCUAGUUCGCGAUCUUCUUUUAUAAGAUCUACACCGUACUGUCGUGCCUGUUCGGCUUCAGCCUCAGAAUAAAGCUAUACUCGCGGAGAACUCUGAAGGAGAUCACUCGACAAAAUGGCUUCGGUUGCAUAUACCUAGAAGAAAGGAGUGCGUCCAGCCGACCGGUUGGGAGUCAUCCUCAAGCCCCACAGAACUGACGAUAAUUCAUUAACACAAGCUCCAGCUACAUGUUCCAGAUCUCGCAUCAGUCGAGGCUUCAACCCUUGAAGGAUAAGGCCAUUCGCUCGCCCAGCUUGACCAUUAGUCUGGGGGUGUGAUAACCCACAAGUAUAGGGGAUCAAUUGUAGCCUUUCUCGAUAAGUAAGAGUGUCGAACCCAAUGNNNNNNNNNNAUUUCAACAAAUGGAUUUGAUCCCAUAAAAGUUUCCCUUUUUGAGUCAAGCGAUAAUCCCUAAAGUAUUCACGUUGAUCCAACGUGUAUCCCAUUAUAUAAUUGAAUGGGGCUUUCUCAGGAUUAUUAAAGAAGUGCAUAAUAUUUUCCACAUAACGAGCCUCGAGGGUUUUAGGAGAUUCCCCAUCUCCAUGAGUAGCAAGUACUCCUAAUUUUUUUUGUAUUUCGUGUUCCAUAUCCAUAACUAAAGAUAGAGAACAACCCAGAACAACAAAUAAAUCUACUUAGUGAUAAAGCAAACAAGCACACACGAGGAUAUUCACCCCACGCUAUUGCUCCCCGACAACGGCGCCAGAAAAAGGUCUNNNNNNNNNNNNNNNNNNNNNNNNNNNNNNNNNNNNNNNNNNNNNNNNNNNNNNNNNNNNNNNNNNNNNNNNNNNNNNNNNNNNNNNNNNNNNNNNNNNNGUAGCAUAGAGCACCAUGUUCAAGUAGAGGGUAUAGCGGGUUGCGGGAGAGUGAACCGCUGAAUAUAGAUGGGGGAAGAUGAUGGAGAUGUUGGUGAAGAUGACGGAGGUGUUGGUGUAGAUCAUCGUCACACGAUGAUGUCCCGGGCGGCGUUCCGGCGCCGCCGGGAGAGAGGGGGAGAGAGCCCCCCUCCUUCUUAUUCUUACUUGACCUCCUCCCUAGAUGGGAGAAUGGUUUCCCCUCUGUUCCAUGGUCUGUAUGGUGGCGGAGGGGCGAGAGCCCCUCCGAGAUUGGAUCUCUCUCUUUGUGUCCUUCUGUUUCUGCGCUCCCAGAUUCUACGUUUCACCGUUUCUUAAAUUUCCGGAGAUCCGUAACUCCGAUUGGCCUGAAAUUUUAACACAAUUUUCUUCCGGAUAUUAUCUUUCUUUAGGCGGAAGAAGGGCUCCAACCGCCUUAAGGAAUGGCCACAAGCCUGCCUGCCGCGGGCCCACCCCCUGGUCGCGGCGACAGGGCUUGUGGGCACUCCGUGCAUCGCCUCGCAUUGAUUCUUCUUCCCAAAAAUCAUAAAUAUUCCAACAAAAAUCCCCGUAAGUUUUUAUUAAGUUUGGACUUCGUUUGGUAUGGAUAUUAUGCGAAACAAAAAACAUGCAACAAACAGGAACUGGCACUGGGAACUGGAUCAAUAUGUUAGUCCAAAAAAUAGUAUAAAAAGUUGCCAAAAGUAUAUAAAAGUUGUAGAAUAUUGGCAUGAAACAAUCAAAAAAUUAUAGGUUCGACGGAGACGUAUCAGGGUGCGCGACGAACGCGUAAUCCUCCCGAGUGCCUUGGGCAGAGCAAAAGUAUCUAAAUUCUUCCGAGUCAAAGUUGGAACCAUUGUCUGUGAUAAUACUAUGGGGAACUCCAUACCGGAAUGUUAUUUCCUUUAUGAACUUGAUAUAGUGCGUGAAUCCAGUUUUUUUAUGGGUUUAGCUUCAAUCCGCUUGGUGAACUUCUCGACUGCUACAAGCAAAUGUGUGAAUCCACUCUGGCCCGUUCGGAGACGACCGACAAUAUCCAAACCCCAUACAGCGAACGACCAGACGAGUGGAAUAGUCUUCAGGGCAGAUGCAAGCUUAUGUGACAAGUUCGAGGAAAACUGGCAUCCUUCACAGUGAUCCACGAUUUCCUUAGCCAUUUCAAUAGCGCGCUGCGAGAAAAAACCAGCUCGGUAUACUUUCGCAACAAUCGUCCGAGAGGACGCAUGAUGACCAUAGGUUCCCGAGUGAAUUUCCUACAAAAUCAACCGACCUUCCUGAGGAGAGAUGCAUGAUACGUCUCCAACGUAUCUAUAAUUUUUUAUUGUUCAAUGCUAUUAUAUUAUCUGUUUUGGAUGUUUUAUAUGCAUUAAUAUGUUGUUUUAUAUUAUUUUUGGUACAAACCUAUUAAUCUAGAGCCUAGUGCCACUUGUUGUUUUUUCCAUGAUUUUGUGUAUUGCAGAUAAGGAAUAUUAAACGGAGUCGAAACAGAAUAAAAUCUCCGGAAUGAUUCUUCUUGGACCAGAAGAAACCUAGAAGACUUGGAGUAGGGGCAGGUCACCUGCCGGGAGGCCACAAGCCUACAAGGCGCGCCCUAGGGGGGGCUGGCUCAUGUGUCCCAUCCAGGUCUUCUAACCCUAUUCUUCGGCCUAUAAAUUCCCAAAUAUUCCCCCAUCACUAAAGAGAGCCAUGAAAAAUACUUUUCCGCCACCAAGAGCCUCUGUUCCCGUGAGAUCCAAUCUGGGAGCCUUUCCGGUAAUUUGCCGGAGAUGGAAUUGAUCAUGGAGGGCAUCUAUAUCAACUCCAUUGCCCCUCCGAUGAUGCGUGAGUAGUUCACCACAGACCUAUGGGUCCAUAGCUAGUAGCUAGAUGGCUUCUUCUCUCUCUUUGAUCUUCAAUACCAUGUUCUUCAUGAUCUUCAUGGAGAUCUAUCCGAUGCAAUACUCUUUUGCAGUGUGUUUGUCGAGAUCCGAUGAAUUGUGAGUUUAUGUUCAGAUUAUCUAUGAAUAUUAUUUGAAUCUCUUCUGAAUGAUUAUAUGCAUGAUUUCAUAUCUUAGCAAGUCUCUUCGAGUCAUUGGUUUGGUUUGCCCAACUAGAUUCGUAAUUCUUGCAACGGGAGAAGUGCUCAGUUUUGGGUUCAAUCUUGCGCUGUCCUCGCCCAGUGACAUAGUAGGGGUAGCUAGGCACAUAUUGGAUUGUUGCCAUCGAGGAUAAAAAAGAUGGCAUUGUCAUCAUAUUGCUUGAGUUUAUCCCUCUACAUCAUGUCAUCUUACUUAAUGCCUUACUCUGUUCUUCCUGAACUUAAUACUCUAAAUGCAGGCAAGAGUCGGUUGAUGUGCGGAGUAAUAGGAGUAGAUGCAGAAUUGUUUUAGUCUACUUGACACGGAUGUGAUGCCUAUAUGCAUAAUCAUUGCCUUAGAUAUAUUCAUAAUUAUUCGCUUUUCUAUCAAUUUCUCGACAGUAAUUUGUUCACCCACUGUAUUAUUUUCCUUUAUGAGAGAAGCCUCUAGUGAAACCUAUAGACCCCAGGUCUAUUUUCCAUAUUAUACUUUCAGAUCUAUAAACCAAAUAAAUACCAAAAAUAUCUUGCUGCAAUUUAUUUACUUUUGUUUCCGCAAUCUUUUAUAUCUAUCUCUAUCAGAUCUCAUCCUUGCAAAUAACUCGGAAGGGAUUGACAAUCCCUUUUUAGCGUUGGGCGCAAGUGUUUGAUUGUUUGUGUAGGUAGUAAGAUUGGGGCCUUUCUUGUUCCUCCUACUAGAUCGAUACCUUGGUUCUCAACAAACUGAAGGAAACACGUAUCUACUUUUCUGCAUCACCUUUUCCUCUUCAAGGGAAAACCAACGCAAGCUCAAGAAGUAGCAAUGCACCGUUGAGCUACGCGAGUUACACUUUCUCUAUGAAGUUGUCCAUUUAUCACAGUAAAUGCCUUGGACGUGCAAACAAUCUGUCGAGCUUCAACCUCAUCUUCUGGGAGUUCAUGCCUCAGUAUGUAUGCCAUGUAUGGCACCGUCCAAUCAGGCGUAAUCAACAGAAUAUCCAUGACCAGAUCAACGACUCCUGGGACAUCAAUCUUAGUCGGAUUGGAAGCGCUUAUCGCUUGCGGGGGAUCUUCAGUGAAGGGAUCUUAUUGCACAGUGUUCUAGAAACACAUUGCUAGGUACAUGCUUUUGAGUGGAUCCAAUCUUGGCUAGGUCGUCAACUCCUUGAUUCUUCACUCAGGGAAUAUGAUGGAGUUCCAAACCUUCAAACUUCUUCUCAAGCUUUCUCACCGCAUGGCAAUACCCAGUCAUGGCAGGGUUCCUGACAUCCCACUCCUUCAUCACUUGAUUGACCACCAAAUCCAAAUCACUGUAUACCAUCAGGCGUCGGACACCGAGUGAGAUGUCCAUAGGUAACCCGUAGAGGAGUGCCUCGUAUUCAGCUUCAUUAGUGUAGGAAUCAAAGUGAAUCUGGAGGACAUAGCUGAGCUUGUCACCCUUUGGAGAUACCAAUACCACAUCGUCACGAGACCCAUUCAACAUUUUAGAGCCAUCAAAGAACAUGGUCUAGUGUGUCGAGUGAAUUUGAGUUGGCUGCUACUGUUCUACCCACUCGGCCAUGAAAUCAGCAAGCGCUUGGGACUUGAUUGCCUUCUUUGCUUCAAAUUUGAUAUCAAUGUAUAGGAGUUCGAUGGCCCAUUUUCCCACUCGACCAGCCGCGUAUCGGUUGUUGAGGAUCUCAGACAAUGGAGCAUCACUGACGACUGAGACUGAAUGAUCUUGAAAGUAGUGUGCCACCUUCUUUGCUGAUAAAUAUAUAUCAUAGAGGAGCUUCUUAUAAUGAGGGUACCUUUGCUUCGAAGGAGUCAGCACUUCGGAAAUAUAGUAGACUAGACGUUGGAUUUUGUAAGCCUUGCCCUCUUCUUCUCGCUCGACAGUUAGAAUUGUGCUGAUGACUUGAUUAGUAGAUGCAAUGUAUAGGAGUAGGGGUUCUUUGUUGUGCAGAGCAGCAAGCACCAGCUGGGUGGAUAGCAUGGCUUUUAGCUCGACAAACGCUGAUCUAUCUCGGGAGUCCACUUGAACGCAUCAGACUUCUUCAUGAGUCGGUAUAAAGGCAAUGCCUUCUCUCCGAGGCGAGAAAUAAACCUACUCAACGCCGCUAGGCAGCUUGUGAGCUUCUGGACAUCGUGCACAUGCUCAGGGCUUUUCAUUCGGACGAUGGCGCCGAUCUUCUCAGGGUUGACGUCGAUCCCUCGUUCAGAAAUGAGGAAACCGAGUAACUUGCCACCAGGAACUCCAAAAGUGCACUUAGACGGAUUCAACUUUAUAUCAUAUUUCCUCAAAAUUGGUGAAUGUUUCUGCCAAGUUAGUCAGCAGGUCGGAACCUUUGUGAGACUUGACUACGAUAUCAUCCAUAUAAGCCUCGACAUUUCGAUUGAUUUGAUCAAGCAUGUAUUUCUGAAUCAUACACAUGAAAGUAGCGCCAGCAUUUUUCAAACCAAAAGGCAUGGUGAUAUAGCAGAAACACCCGAAAGGGUUGAUGAAGGCCGUCUUUAUUUCAUCGAGACCAAACAGACGGAUUUGAUGGUAACCAGAGUAUGCAUCAAGAAAAGAUAAACGCUCGCAUCCUGUAGUUGAGUCGACAAUAUGAUCGAUCCAGGGGAGCACAAAAUGAUCUUUCGGGCAGACCCGAUUGAUAUGUGAAAGUGCGUUAUAUCGACUAGAGGGGGUGAAUACGAGAUUUUUAGAAUUUCAUCACUGAGGAAAUUCCUUUUGAGGAAAUUCCUCACUGAUGACUAACUUACAGCGGAAACAGUAAAGGAUCAGAAGUGCAAAGUUUCACAACACUGGUUUUUCAGAGUGAAGAAUGUGAAAACAGAUUGCACAGUGAGCAGGCACGCAGAAUACAGAUGAGGAUUAACUGACGUGAAGAAUUUGGGGUUGAGGAAAUUCAGAGAAAGUCUUCAGCAAAUUCUUCAAAUAGUCGCAGUGGAAGUCAUCAACACAUAAUACGAGGAAAGUAAGGAGUUGAGGAAUUAGAACCCGUUUCUCAGUGAAGACAGUCGUUGAUGACCCAGUUCCAACUGUUGUGCCAGUUGUACAUCUGGUUUGGAGCGGCUUGGUAUUGAAACCAAAAGUCACACAGUCCCGGGACACAUAGUCCCGGGACACACUGUCCCUACCGUAUUCUCCUUGAGCUAAGGACACACAGUCCUCGCCCAACACUCGUGGUAAGUCUUCGGGGCAGACUUCCAAACCCUCACAAACUUGGUCACCCGGCGAUCCACAAUUGACUACUCGAAAGCUCUAGACCAUGACGCCUAACCGUCUGGAGGAUGCACAGUCCUCAAAGGUAAAAGGCUUCAGUCCCACACAGGAACAACUUCUUCAGUGAUGCUCAAUCACUAGGUUUGGUUUGUGGUUUCGGUGUAUGGUGUAUUUCCUCACUGAUGAAUUACUCUCAAAGACUCUGAGGAAUUGGGUUGCUCUUAUGACAAGUGACAGUUUCUAACGGAGCAGCCAACCAGCUAAUGGUUGUGGGGGUGGCUAUCUAUAGCCUGGGAGCAUCCCGACAUGAUUUGACACUAAUGCCCUUAAAUAAUAUGGCCGUUGGAGUGGAUAAGACCAAUGACUUGGCGUGACUAUCGAAACGGUCGGAACCCUCAACUGUGAGAGUCCUCAUGUCACUCGUAUUCCUCACUUGAGGCUUUUGGUAGGAUUAGGCUUGGGUUGAGCAUCAUGAGGAAAUUCAUUCCAAAGUGUAACUUCGACCCCCUUUAACAGUACGGUGUUCCUAUUACUCAAAUGCGAAGAAAAUAAAACAGAAAGUGUAAAUCUUCAUGCUUCAAAUUCUUCAGAGUGAUUUUCUUCAGGACACACUGGAUUCCUCAAUAUCAGUAUCUUCAUGAGGAAUAUCAAUUUCAUCGCAGAUUCCUCGCGAUUCAUUUCUUCAGCUUCAGACCAAUUUCUUCAACUGAAGACACAUAUUUUUGGGGGUCGAUAUUCUUCAAAUAUCUCAAACUCCUCAAUGACUUAUAGAUCAUGUGUACACUCACAAACACUUUAGAUACUUAACCUAUAAGUCUUCAAACCACCAAAAUCACUAAGGGGCACUAGAUGCACUUACAAUAUGUUUAAAAUCGAUACACAUAUGGAGAGACUUAUCCUUCUUGGGGACCAUGACGACGUCCACGAGCCACUCCGAGUGGUAAACUUCCUAUAUGAACGUUGCCUCCAAGAGUCGAGCCACCUCUUCGCCGAUUGCUUUCCGUUUCUCUGCUGCCGACCAACGCAAAUGCUCUUUGACGGGCUUUGCUUUUGGGUCAACCCUCCGUUGGUGCUGAGCAAGUUCCCUAGGUACACCCGGCAAGUCAGAAGGCUUCCAUGCAAAGAUGUCCCAGUUCUCACGGAGGAACUGGAUGAGCGCGACUUCCUAUUUACUGUCAAGUGUCGUUGAGAUGUUGGUCGGGGCAACAUUAGGAUCUGUCGGGUGAAUGCUCACUUUCUUCACGUCACCUGCCGACUGAAAAGCAAUCUCAGAAGCGGGCUUCUUUGAGCGCAUCAAAUCGGCAGGAUCAAUGUUCUUCCGGUAUUCUUCCAACUCAACCAUAGCCAUCUGCUGGUCGGCAAUCUUGGAGCCUUGUUAUAAGCACUCCUCAGCCCUCUGUCGAUUCCCUAUGACUGUGAUCACACCCUUGGGUCCAGGCAUCUUCAUCUUGAGAUACACGUAACAUGGGCGGGCCAUGAAACGAGCAUAUGCUGGACGACCAAGGAUGGCAUGAUAUGCGCUCUGGAAGUCCACAACUUCAAACGUUAACUUCUCCUUGCGAAAAUUCUUGUCAGUGUUGAACGACACAUCCAAAGCUAUUUGGCUGAGUGACUUGGCCUUUUUCCCAGGAAUGACUCCAUGGAACUGCAUAUUGCUCUCGCUGAGUUGGGACAUCGAAAUACCCAUCCCCUUGAGGGUAUCCGCAUACAAAAUGUUCAACCCACUCCCUCCGACCAUCAGAACCUUGCGGAGACGAACGCCUCCCACAACUGGAUCCACCACCAAAUCUUAUCGACUAAGGGUAGGGACGUGAGUCAGGUGGUCUGACUGGUCAAAUGUUAUGGAGGUCUGAGACCACUUGAGGUACGUGGGGGUAGUCGGAACAACCAUGUUGACCUCUAUGUUUAUAACCUUCAAUCGACUUUUGCUCUCCACAUCGGCAAAAAUCAUCAAAGUGGCAUUGACUUUUGGAAAAUAAUAUUUAUCUUCAUCAUCCUCCUUUUCAAGAUUUUUCUCACUCAACUGAGCUUCCUUGAACUAUUGAAUCAGCAAUCUGCAUUGUUGAGUGGUAUGCUUGGGAAAUAUCAAAUUGCCCUCUGAUAUUCCCAAACGUAUCUAUAAUUUAUAAUUGUUCCAUGAUCUUUUGGGUAACAUUGGUAUAUGUUUUGCUACACUUUUAUAUCAUUUACACAUAUUUGGACUAACCUACUAACUCAGUGCACCCAGUGCUAGUUUUUCUCUCCUGAUGUCUAUUUUGCAGGGGCUUUUACCCAAUUUUCCGAAGCCCGAAAAAUUCCAGAAAAAAUAUAUAUAAACUCAGCGAAACAGAAGCUUCAAAAUCACCGAAGGAGGGCUAGAGGGGGGCCAGGGGCCUCUCAGGCGGUCAGCUCGUGCGGCUGGGCCCUAGGCCGCGCCAGGAGGUCGCUUGGGUGGGUCCCACCUCCUCCAGUGCCCUCCUUUGGCCUAUAUUUAGAGUUUCGUGAGGAACCCUCGAAGACUUUAUGGAAUCGCGAAUUUCUCCAUCGUUCCGCCGCCGCGGCGCUUCCAAGAUUGGGAGCUGCUACGGCGACAGAAAUCUUCUGUCGUCUCUUGAGCUUACGUUGGUUUUUCCCUUCAAGAGGAAAGGGCGAUGCAGCACAGGAGCAGUAAGUAUUUCUCUCAGUUUGAAAACCAAGGUAUCAAUCGAGUAGGAGAAUCUCGUCAAGUCCAGAGUACCUGCACAAACACAAAAGAGCUUGCACCCAACGCUAUAAAGGGGUUGUCAAUCCCUUCAAGAUUGAUUGCAAAGUGAGAUCUGAAGGCGGAAAGUGCAACAAAGAAAAAGUGUAAGGUUGAAAAUAUGGUGUGAAGUAGACCCGGGGGCCAUAGUGUUCACUAGAGGCUUCUCUCAAAAUAGAAAAUAUUACGAUGGGUGAACAAAUUACUGUCGAGAAAUUGAUAGAACCAUGCAAAGUCAUGACGAUAUCUAAGGCAAUGAUCAUACAUAUAGGCAUCACGUCCAAGACAAGUAGACCGAUACUUUCGGCAUCUACUACUAUUACUCCACACACCGACCGCUAUCCAGCAUGCAUCUAGUGUAUUGAGUUCAUGACGAACAGAGUAACGCCUUAAGCAAGAUGACAUGAUGUAGAGGGAUAAACUCAAACCAAUGAUGAAAACCCCAUCUUUUUACCCUUGAUGGCAACAACACGAUGCGUGCCUCACUAUCCCUUCUGUCACUGGGUGAGGUCACCGCACGGUAUGAACCCAAAACCAAGCACUUCUCCCAUUGCAAGAAUCAUAGAUCAAGCUGGCCAAACAAAACCCACAACUCAAAGAGAAUUACAAGGAUAUGAAAUCAUGCAUAAGAGAGAUCAGAAGAAACUCAAAUAAGAUUCAUAGAUAAUAUGAUCAUAAAUCCACAAUUCGUCGGAUCUCGACAAACACACCGCAAAAGAAGAUUACAUCGGAUAGAUCUCCAUGAAGAUCAUGGAGAACUUUGUAUUGAAGAUCCAAGAGAGNNNNNNNNNNNNNNNNNNNNNNNNNNNNNNNNNNNNNNNNNNNNNNNNNNNNNNNNNNNNNNNNNNNNNNNNNNNNNNNNNNNNNNNNNNNNNNNNNNNNAGAGAAUGAAAUUAAUGAUUAGAAAUUGUCCCGCUCAUGGCUUGAGCCUUUGGAUGAUUAUUCAAAUCUUUUACGUUGGCUUGAAUUUCUCUUCUAGAAAUAUCUUGGACUCCGCCUCAGGUGAAACGUUCAUGGAAAUCACGUUAGGAGAAGCUACAAAGCUCUUCGACAACAUCAUGACAAACUAUUCUCAAUGGCACACUGAAAGGUCACCUACUAGUAAGAAGGUACACGCUAUAGAAGAAAUUAACUCGUUGAGUCCUAAGAUGGAUGAGUUAAUGAAUUUGGUUGCUAGUAGAAGUGCUCCUUUGGAUCCUAAUGAUAUGCCUUUGUCUUCUUUGAUUGAGAGUAGCAACGCUAGCUUGGACGUUAAUUUUAUUGGUAGGAAUAACUUUGGCAACAACAAUGCUUUUAGAGGAAACUAUGUUCCUAGGCCUUUUCCUAGUAACUCCUCUAAUAAUUUUGGCAACUCCUACAACAAUACUCAUGGAAAUUACAAUAGAUUACCCUAUGAUCUAUAGAGUAAUAUCAAAGAGUUCAUCAACUCUCAAAAGAUUUUCAAUGCGUCCAUAGAGGAAAAACUACUCAAAAUUGACGAUUUGGCUAAGAGCGUUGAUAGGAUUUCUUGUGAUGUUGAUGCUUUGAAAGUUAGAUUUACUCCUCCCAAAAUCAACAUGGAUUAAACUUUGAAAGAUAUGCGUGUUUCCAUGAUUGAGAGCCAAGAAAGAACCGCCCAAAUUCGUGCUAGACAUGAAUGGCUGAAAAAGGCGUGUUCUCGUGAUGAGAAUCACGAAGAUCUUAAAGUGCUUGGUGUGACUCCCAUUGAAUCUUUGUUUUCUUGUGUCAAACCUAAUGAUUAUGGUGCUGGAUAUGAAUCCACUUUGGUUGAAUAUGUUGGGAACGUCGCAUGGGAAACAAAAAAUUUCCUACGCACACGAAGACCUAUCAUGGUGAUGUCCAUCUACGAGAGGGGAUUUUUGAUCUACGUACCCUUGUAGAUCGCACAGCAGAAGCGUUAGUGAACACGGUUGAUGUAGUGGAACGUCCUCACAUCCCUCGAUCCACCCCGCGAACCGUCCCACGAACCGUCUCACAAUCCGUCCCACGAUCUAGUGCCGAACGGACGGCACCUCCGCGUUCAGCACACGUACAGCUCGACGAUGAUCUCGGCCUUCUUGAUCCAGCAAGAGAGACGGAGACGUAGAUGAGUUCUCCGGCAGCGUGACGGCGCUCUGGAGGUUGGUGGUGAUCUGAUCUCGGCAGGGCUCCGCCCGAGCUCCGCAGAAACGCGAUCUAGAGGAAAAACCGUGGAGGUAUGUGGUCGGGCUGCCAUGGAAAAGUCGUCCCAAAUCAGCCCUAAAACCUCCGUAUAUAUAGGUGGCAGAGGGGGGCCUUGCCUUGAGGCUCAAGGAGCCCCAAGGGGGUCGGCCGAGCCAAGGGGGGAAGNNNNNNNNNNNNNNNNNNNNNNNNNNNNNNNNNNNNNNNNNNNNNNNNNNNNNNNNNNNNNNNNNNNNNNNNNNNNNNNNNNNNNNNNNNNNNNNNNNNNACACAGGCGGUUACAGAAGCUGGGAGAGAAAGAGGAAAGCGGAGUUGUGCGACAUGCAGCAGAUCCAAACAAGACUACAAAAGCUUGAGGAACUUGAGAGCCAGCGAGCUGCCGGCCAACCAUCUCAGCGGCACGAAGCUACCUCAGAAGGUACCCCGCCAUCUCAGCGGAGAAGCAACGUGGCUUCCACGGUGCCCAUUCAGCAUGACUUCAUAACUCCUAGCUACCGCGUGGAUACUAUCACAGAGGCUCAACAUUGCGAGCUUAUGAUGAAAUGUCGGAACCCCACUUUCAAGGCGGCUGUCGGCUCUGUUGCACCUCCUGAAGCCAACGGAACUUUUCACUUCCUUCUGAUUCCACAUGGCUAUGUUGUUGUGAUGGUGGAUCAAGUAAUGGAGGGAUUUGAGGAGCUCAAGCUUGACCACCCUACAGGUAAAGGGGAUAAUCAGCUGGUUCGUGCUCUGAGGAGUACAUGUCUAUGACAGAAGGAGUUCAUCAAGCUUCCAAACUAGACGCCUCCUCCUCCUACUACUACUCCGGCGAGUGAUCAGGGCACUCUGCCUCCUCCCCCUCCUCCUCCUCCUCCUCCUCNNNNNNNNNNNNNNNNNNNNNNNNNNNNNNNNNNNNNNNNNNNNNNNNNNNNNNNNNNNNNNNNNNNNNNNNNNNNNNNNNNNNNNNNNNNNNNNNNNNNUAGUAGUAGUUGGCGUGAUGACUUCACAGAGACACGAUGAUGGAGAUCAUGAUGAUGGAGAUCAUGAUGAUGGAGAUCAUGGUGUCAUGCCGGUGACAAUGAUGAUCAUGCGAUGCCCGAAGAUGGAGAUCGAAAGAGCAAAGAUGAUAAUGGCCAUAUCAUGUCACUAUAUGAUUGCAUGUGGUGUUUAUCAAGUUUUUCAUCUUAUUGCUUAGAACGACGGUAGCAUAAUAAGAUGAUCCCUCAUAAAAAUAUCGAGAACGUAUUCCCCUAAGUGUGCACCGUUGCGAAGGAUUGUUGUCUCGAAGCACCACGUGAUGAUCGGGUGUGAUAGAUUCUAAUGUUCGCAUACAACGGGUGUAAGCCAGAUUUACACACGCGAAACACUUAGGUUGACUCGACGAGCUUAGCAUGUACAGACCGAAAGUUCGAACAUGAGUCAUAUGGUUGAAUACGGUCAGCAUGAAGUUGCUCACCAUGACGACUAGUCCGUCUCACGUGAUGAUCGGACACGGGUUAGUCAACAUGGAUCAUGUAUCACUUAGAUGACUAGAGGGAUGUCGAUUUAAGUGGGAGUUCAUACGUAAUUUGAUUAAAUGAACUUAAUUGUCAUGAACUUAGUCUAAAAAGUUGUCUUUACAAAUAUUGUAGAUCCAAUGGCCAACGCACAUGUCAACCUCAAUUUUAACGCAUUCCUAGUGAAAAACAAGCUCAAAGAUGAUGGUAGCAACAAUGCGGACUGGGUCUGCAACUUGAAGCUCAUCCUCGAAGCACCUAAAAAGGCUUAUGUCCUUAAUGCGCCGCUAGGUGACCCUCCUGCUCCCGCAGCGGCCCAAGACAUUCAGAAUGUCUGGCAGACGUGGAGUGAUGACUACUCUCUGGUUAGGUGUGGCAUGUUAUACAGUUUGGAUACGGGGCUCCAAAUGCGUUUUGAGCCACACGGAUCAUAUGAGAUGUUCCAGGAGCUGAAACUAGUUUUUCAAGCUCCUGCCCGUGUCGAGAGAUAUGAAGUCUCCGACAAGUUCUUUAGCUGUAAGAUGGAGGAGAACGAGAGGCAACUGGGAAACAAAGUAAAUGCAAGAGAUGAGUUUGCGACACCUACUUGGAUGAGUUCUUGACUUGAUCCUCCCUGGCAACGGCGCCAGAUAUCCUUCUGCUACUACUCAAACAACAGCGCCAGAAAUUGACACGUUGACGGAGACUUGCUUGCGUUGGUUUUUCCCUUGAAGAGGAAAGGGUGAUGCGGCACAGGAGCAGUAAGUAUUUCCCUCAGUUUGAGAACCAAGGUAUCAAUCCAGUAGGAGAAUCUUGUCAAGUCCAGAGUACCUGUGCAAACACAAACGAGUUUGCACCCAACGCUAUAAAGGGGUUGUCAAUCCCUUCAAGAUUGUUUGCAAAGUGAGAUCUGAAGGCGGAAAGUGCUACGAAGUAAAAAGUGUAAGGCUGAAAAUAUAGUGUGGAGUAGACCCGAGGGCCAUAGUGUUCACUAGAAGCUUCUCCCAAAAUAGCAAAUAUCACGGUCGGUGAACAAAUUACUGUCGAGCAAUUGAUAGAACCGCGCAAAGUCAUGNNNNNNNNNNAUACAUAUAGGCAUCAUGUCCGAGACAAGUAGACCGAUACUUUCUGUAUCUACUACUAUUACUCCACACAUCGACCGCUAUCCAGCAUGCAUCUAGUGUACUGAGUUCAUGACGAACAGAGUAACGCCUUAAGCAAGAUGACAUGAUGUAGAGGGAUAAACUCAAACCAAUGAUGAAAACCCCAUCUUUUUACCCUUGAUGGCAACAACACGAUGCGUGCCUCGCUACCCCUUCUGUCACUGGGUGAGGUCACCGCAUGGUAUGAACCCAAAACCAAGCACUUCUUCCAUUGCAAGAAUCAUAGAUCUAGUUGGCCAAAUAAACCCACAACUCGAAGAGAAUUACAAGGAUAUGAAAUCAUGCAUAAAAGAGAUCAGAAUAAACUCAAAUAAGAUUCAUAGAUAAUCUGAUCAUAAAUCCACAAUUCAUCGGAUCUCGACAAAUACACCGCAAAAGAAGAUUACAUCGGAUAGAUCUCCAUGAAGAUCAUGGAGAACUUUGUAUUGAAGAUCCAAGAGAGAGAAGAAGCCAUCUAGUUACUAGCUAUGGACCCGUAGGUCUAUGGUGAACUACUCACGCAUCAUCAGAGAGGUCAUGGUGUUGAUGAAGAAGCCCUCCAUGUCCGAAUCCCCCCUCCGGCAGGGUACCAGAACGUGCUCCAGAUGGGAUCUUGCGGAGACAGAAGCUUGCGGCGGCGGAAAAGUGAUUACGAUGCUCCCUUGAUUUUUUUUGGGAAUAUUUGGGAAUUUAUAGGCGCAAGAUCUAGGUCAGGGGACCUCCAAGGGGCCCACAAGCCUGCAUGGCCCGCCCCCUGGCCGCGGGGUGGGGGCUUGUGGUGCCCCUGGGGCUCUUCUGGCUUGGCUCCCAAGUCUCCCGAUCUUCUUCCAUUCCAGAAAUAAUCUUUACGGGGAUUUUCUUCCGUUUGGACUCCGUUUCAAAAUCUCCUCUGAAAGGGGUCAAAAACAUGGAAAAAAUAGGAACUGGCACUUGGCACUGGAUUAAUAAGUUAGUCCCAAUAAAUAUAUAAAAGGCAUGCAAAACAUCCAAAGUUUGACAAGAUAAUAGNNNNNNNNNNNNNNNNNNNNNNNNNNNNNNNNNNNNNNNNNNNNNNNNNNNNNNNNNNNNNNNNNNNNNNNNNNNNNNNNNNNNNNNNNNNNNNNNNNNNNNNNNNNNNNNNNNNNNNNNNNNNNNNNAGCAUCCCCAAGCUUAACUCUUGCUCGUCCUCGAGUAGGGAAGUGAUAAAGAAUGAAUUUUUGAUGUGGAAUUCUACCUAGCAUAAUUGUCCUUUGCAACUUCUUUCACGUGGCAUGAAUGUUCAGAUCCAUAUGAUUCAAAACAAUAGUUUGAUAUUGACAUGAAAACAGUAAUACUUCAAGCAAACUAGCAAAGCAAUCAUGAACUUUCAAAAUAACAAGGCCAAAGAAAGUUAUCCCUGCAAAAUCAUAUAGUCUGGCUAUGCUCCAUCAUCCUCACACAACAAAUGUAAAUCAUGCACAACCCCGGAAUUGGCCAAGUAAUUGUUUUCGCACUCUUACUUUCUCAAACUUUUUAUAACUAUCACGCAGUACAUGAGCGCGAGCCAUGGAUAUAGCACUAUAGGUGGAAUAAAGUGUGGUGGUGGUUGUGAGACCAAAAAGGAGGAGAUGGUCACAUUGACUCGGCGUAUCAAUAGGCUAUGGAGAUGCCCAUUAAUAGAUAUCAAUGUGAAUGAGCAGGGAUUGCCAUACAAAAGAUGCACUAGAGCUAUAAGUAUGUGAAAGCUCAAGAGGAAAACUAGUGGGUGCGCAUCCAACUUGCUUGCUCACGAAGACCUAGGGCAAUUUUGAGGAAGCCCAUCAUUGGAAUAUACAAGCGAAGUUAUAAAACGAAGAUUCCCACUAGCAUAUGGUAGUGACAAAGCAAGAAUCUCUCAAUCAUGAAGAACAUGGUGCUAAUAUGAAGCACAAGUGUGGAAAAAGAUAGUAGCAUUGUCCCUUCUCUCUUUUUCUCUCAUUUCUUUUAUUUAUUUAUUUGGGCUCUUAGCAAUCUCUUUUUUCUUUUGUCACCUUUUUUUUGUGUUUGGGCUCUUUGGCCUCUUUUUAUUUAUUUAUUUAUUUCCUGACAUGGGACAAUGCUCUAAUAAUGAUGAUCAUCACACUUUUAGUUACUCAAAGCUCAAAGAUCACAAUGAUGAUGACUCCAUAGGAAAUGCCUCCGGCAGUGUACCGGGAUGUCCAACGAUCUAGUAUGAUCACGCAAUGGCAAUAUGAGAGUGAUGGCACAAGUCAUAAGACGGAACGGUGGGAGUUGCAUGACAAUAUAUCUCGGAAUGGCUAUGAAAAUGCCAUAGUAGGUAGGUAUGGUGGCUGUUUUGAGGAAGGAAUUUGGUGGGUUUGUGCACCGUCGAGAAUUGCGUGGCGCUAGAGAGGCUAGCAAUGGUGGAAGGUGAAAGUGAAUCUAUACCAUGGACUCAACAUUAGUCAUAAAGAACUCACAUACUUGUUGCAAAAGUUUUUAUUAGUAAUCGAAACAAAGUGCUAAACGCAUACUCCGAGGGGAAGGGUUGGUAGGUGUAAACCAUCACGCGAUCCCGACCUCAACACAAAGGAUGACAAUAAAUAGAUCAAUUAUCCUCCGACUUCCUAACAUAGCGGUUCACCAUACGUGCAUGCUACGGGAAUCACUAACUUCAACACAAGUAUUUCUAGAUUCACAACACCCUACUAACAUAGCUUUUAAUAUUCCCGAAUCCAUGUCUCAAAACUAAUUGAGAGGAAUCGAAACUUUUCUUUCUACUCAAUGCACAUGAAGAUGGAGGGUUUUUGCAUCCUCUUUGGGUACCUAGCACAUGGGACUACUUUCAUAGCAUAAGCCAACUACCAAAUCACGCACCGUCGUGCUCUAAAGAUAUAAGUGAAGCACAAGAGCAAACGUAUCUAGCUCAAAAAGAUAGAAGUGAAGCACUAGAGCAAAAGUAUCCACCUCAAAAUAUAUAAGUGAAGCACUAGAGCAAAAGUAUCUAGCUCAAAAGAUAUAAGUGAAGCACUAUGAGCAUUCUAGCAAAAUCACGAUGAGUGCAUGUCUCUCUCUCUCAAAAAGGUGUGCAACAAGGAUGAUUGUGACACAACAAAAAGAAAAGACUCCUAAGAUACAAGACGCUCCAAGAAAAACACAUAUCAUGUGGUGAAUAAAAAUAUAGCUCCAAGUAAUGUUACCGAUGGAUUAAAGACGAAAGAGGGGAUGCCUUCCCGGGCAUCCUCAAGCUUAGGCUUUUUGGUGUCCUUGAAUUUGGCUUGGGGUGCCUUGGGCAUCCCCAAGCUUGAGCUCUUUCCACACCUUAUCUCUUUGUCCAUGAGAACAUGACCCAAAACUUGAAAACUUCACAACACAAAACUUAAACAGAAACUUGUGAUAACAUUAGUACAAGAAAACAAACUACCACUUCUUUUGGUACUGCAGCAAACUUGAAUUCUAUAUAUAUUGAUGAUGGGAUACUGUAUUCUCACUUUCCAUGGCUAGUACCCACCAAUACUAACCAUGGUUUCAUCAAAACAAGCAACCAACCCAACAAAAACAGAAUCUGUCAAAAACAGACCAGUCUGUAGCAAUCUGUAUUCUUCGUAUACUUCUGGUACCUCAAAAAAUCUGAAAACUUACGACGUCUGGGGAAAAAGAAUAUCAAUCAGAAGCAAAAAUAAUCAACUCAAAAGAUCUUUCUUAAUAAAAAUGAAAAAUCAUCUCGUGAGCGAAAAGUUUCUGUCUUUUUCCAGCAGGAUCAAACAACCAUUACCAAGACUAAUCAUAAAGGCUUUGCUUGGCUCAAACACAAAAAGAAACACAAAAACACAAUCACAACAGAAUUAUGAAAGUGUGGACGCAACAAAACAGAAAGAAAAAAGAUAAAUUCAUUGGGUUGCCUCCCAACAAGCGCUAUUGUUUAACGCCCUUAGCUAGGCAUAGAAGCGAUAGAAUCACGUAUCGUCGUCUUUGGUGCUCAAACCAUAAGUGGCCCUCAUCAUGGAUUCAUAAGGCAAUCUUAUUUUAUUUCUAGGAAAGUGUUCCAUACCCUUCCUUAAAGGAAAUUGAAAUCUAAUAUUCCCUUCCUUCAUAUCGCUGAUACUACCAAUAGUCCUUAGGAAAGGUCUACCAAGAAUAAUAGGGCAUGUAGGAUUGCAAUCAAUGUCAACCACAAUGAAAUCCACGGGUACAUAGUUCCUAUUUGCAAUAAUAAGAACAUUAUCAAUCCUUCCCAUGGGUUUCUUGACAGUAGAAUCAGCAAGAUGCAAAUUAAGAGAACACUCUUCAAUCUCAUUAAAAUCUAGAACAUCACAUAAAGACUUUGGAAUCGUAGAAACACUAGCACCCAAAUCACACAAAGCAUUGCACUCAUAGUUUUUGAUUCUAAUUUUGAUGGUAGGUUCCCACUCAUCAUGAAGCUUUCUAGGAAUAGAGACUUCCAAUUCCAGUUUCUCUUCAAGAGCUUUCAUCAUAGCUUCGACGAUAUGAUCGGUAAAGGCUUUGUUUUGGCUAUAAGCGUGUGGAGAGUUCAACAUGGAUUGCAUCAAAGAAAUGCAUUCAAUCAAGGAGCAACUAUCAUAAUUGAAUUCCUUGAAAUCCAUGGUAGUAAUUUCAUUACUAAUCAAAGUUUUAACGUCUUCUACCCCACUUUUAAUGCUUUUAGCAUCAAGAUAGAUGGACUUCGAAUCACUCGGGCACUUUUCUGUUGGAAAUAUGCCCUAGAGGCAAUAAUAAAUUAGUUAUUAUUAUAUUUCUUUGUUCAUGAUAAUCGUUUAUUAUCCAUGCUAUAAUUGUAUUGAUUGGAAACACAAUACUUGUGUGGAUACAUAGACAAAACACUGUCCCUAGUAAGCCUCUAGUUGACUAGCUCGUUGAUCAGAGAUGGUCAAGGUUUCCUGACCAUAGGCAAGUGUUGUCAGUUGAUAACGGGAUCACAUCAUUAGGAGAAUCAUGUGAUGGACUAGACCCAAACUAAUAGACGUAGCAUGUUGAUCGUGUCAUUUUGUUGCUACUGUUUUCUGCGUGUCAAGUAUUUGUUCCUAUGACCAUGAGAUCAUAUAACUCACUAACACCGGAGGAAUGCUUUCUGUGUAUCAAACGUCGCAACGUAACUGGGUGACAAUAAAGAUGAUCUACAGGUAUCUCCGAAGGUGUUCGUUGAGUUAGUAUUGAUCGAGACUGGGAUUUGUCACUCCGUGUGACGGAGAGGUAUCUCGGGGCCCACUCGGUAAUACAACAUCACACACAAGCNNNNNNNNNNGACACCGGAGGAAUGCUUUGUGUGUAUCAAACAUCGCAACGUAACUGGGUGACUAUAAAGAUGCUCUACAGGUAUCUCCGAAGGUGUUCGUUGAGUUAGUAUGGAUCGAGACUGGGAUUUGUCACUCCGUGUGAUGGAGAGGUAUCUCGGGGCCCACUCGGUAAUACAACAUCACACACAAGCCUUGCAAGCAAUGUGACUUAGUGUAAGUUGCGGGAUCUUGUAUUACGGAACGAGUAAAGAGACUUGCCGGUAAACGAGAUUGAAAUAGGUAUGCGGAUACUGACGAUCGAAUCUCGGGCAAGUAACAUACCGAAGGACAAAGGGAAUGACAUACGAGAUUAUAUGAAUCCUUAGCACUGAGGUUAAAACGAUAAGAUCUUCGUAGAAUAUGUGGGAUCCAAUAUGGGCAUCCAGGUCCCGCUAUUGGAUAUUGACCGAGGAGUCACUCGGGUCAUGUCUGCAUAGUUCUUGAACCCGCACGGUCUGCACACUUAAGGUUCGACGUUGUUUUAUGCGUAUUUGAGUUAUAUGGUUGGUCAUCGAAUGUUGUUCGGAGUCCCGUAUGAGAUCACACACGUCACGAGGGUUUCCGGAAUGGUCCGGAAACGAAGAUUGAUAUAUAGGAUGACCUCAUUUGNNNNNNNNNNUGAUCGAAUCUCGGGCAAGUAACAUACCGAAGGACAAAGGGAAUGGCAUACGGGAUUAUAUGAAUCCUUGGCACUGAGGUUCAAAUGAUAAGAUCUUCGUAGAAUAUGUGGGAUCCAAUAUGGGCAUCUAGGUCCCGCUAUUGGAUAUUGAUCGAGGAGUCACUCGGGUCAUGUCUGCAUAGUUCUCGAACCCACAGGGUCUGCACACUUAAGGUUCGACGUUGUUUUAUGCGUAUUUGAGUUAUNNNNNNNNNNCCGAAUGUUGUUCGGAGUCCCGGAUGAGAUCACGGAUGUCCCGAGGGUUUCCGGAAUGGUCCGGAAACGAAGAUUGAUAUAUAAGAUGACCUCAUUUGAUUACCGGAAGGUUUUCGGAGUUACCGGGAAUGUACCGGGAAUGACGAAUGGGUUCCGGGUGUUCACCGGGGGGGGACCCACCCCGGGGAAGCCCAUAGGCCUUGGGGGUGGCGCACCAGCCCUUAGUGGGCUGGUGGGACAGCCCAAGAAGGCCCUAUGCGCCAAAGGAUAAGAUAUCAAAGAGAAAGAAAAAAAAGAGGAGGUGGGAAAGGAGAGAAGGACUCCACCUUCCAAACCUAGUUGGAUUCGGUUUGGAAGGGGAGGACUUCCCCCCUUGGCUCGGCCGACCCCCUUGGGGCUCCUUGAGCCUCAAUGAAAGGCCCCCCCUCUCCCACCUAUAUAUACAGAGGUUUUAGGGCUGAUUUGAGACGACUUUUCCACGGCAGCCCGACCACAUACCUCCACGGUUUUUCCUCUAGAUCGCGUUUCUGCGGAGCUCGGGCGAAGCCCUGCCGAGAUCAAAUCACCACCACCCUCCGGAGCGCCGUCACGCUGCCGGAGAACUCAUCUACUUCUCCGUCUCUCUUGCUGGAUCAAGAAGGCCGAGAUCAUCGUCGAGCUGUACGUGUGCUGAACGCGGAGGUGCCGUCCGUUCGGCACUAGAUCGCAGGACGGUUUGUGGGACGGUUCGCGGGGCGGAUCGAGGGACGUGAGGACGUUCCACUACAUCAACCGCGUUCACUAACGCUUCUGCUGUGCGAUCUACAAGGGUACGUAGAUCAAAAAUCCCCUCUCGUAGAUGGACAUCACCAUGAUAGGUCUUCGUGCGCGUAGGAAAUUUUUUGUUUCCCAUGCGACGUUCCCAACAGUGGCAUCAUGAGCUAGGUUCAUGCGUAGAUGUCUUCUCGAGUAGAACACAAAAGUUUUUGUUGGCGGUGAUGUGCGUUUUGCUGCCCUCCUUAGUCUUUUCUUGAUUCCGCGGUAUUGUCAGAUUGAGGCGGCUUGGACCGACAUUACUCGUACGCUUACGAGAGACUGGUUUCAUCGUUACGAGUAACUCCCUUGCUCAAAGAUGACUGGCAAGUGUCGGUUUCUCCAACUUUAGUUGAAUCGGAUUUGACCAAGGAGGUCCUUGGAUGAGGUUAAAUAGCAAUUCAUAUAUCUCCGUUGUGGUGUUUGCGUAAGUAAGAGGCGAUCCUACUAGAUACCAUGGUCACCACGUAAAACAUGCAACAACAAUUAGAGGGAGUCUAACUUGUUUUUGCAGGGUAUGCUUGUGAUGUGAUAUGGCCAACGAUGUGAUGUGAUAUAUUGGAUGUAUGAGAUGAUCAUGUUGUAAUAGUUAAUAUCGACUUGCACGUCGAUGGUACGGCAACCGGCAGGAGCCAUAGGGUUGUCUUUAAACUAACAUUUGUGCUUGCAGAUGCGUUUACUAUAUUGCUAGGACGUAGCUUUAGUAGUAAUAGCAUGAGUAGCACGACAACCCCGAUGGCGACACGUUGANNNNNNNNNNNNNNNNNNNNNNNNNNNNNNNNNNNNNNNNNNNNNNNNNNNNNNNNNNNNNNNNNNNNNNNNNNNNNNNNNNNNNNNNNNNNNNNNNNNNCUCCUUGGGUAGGACCUAUAGGGCAGACCUAUGACCCUACCCUCGGACUAUAACCCCAUCAUUAGUCCACGAAUGGAUCGGGGUUGGAACGAUGAAGUGAUGUCCGGAGUUUGGAACCGACUGGUAUUGAGGUGAUCUUUGCGUUGUCUGCCUCGAUCCAUUUUAGCUUUGCGGCAAGUGAUCCGAGUGAAUAUGCAAGCGAAACGAACCGUGAGGGACCGUUUGCUUCCGCGGAAUCUUUCGACGUGACCGGUCAUACUAAGAGCGCCGGAUUUUCCGAGAUCCUCAAAUUUCGGUUGCCGCGCGCUCACCGGGGAUGACGACAUCGCCAUCGAGUAGAUUUCGCCUCCUCGAUUACCACGACGCGAUCUUCUCCACUAAUCUUGCAGCAGCCGGUUGGGAGGAUAAGAUCUUGGGCCCACCUGUAGGUGACUCAGUCGGAGGCCUAUUAAAGCCUUCCCGACAGACCUUCCUGUUGCCUGCUCGUCCUCCUCCCAUUGAUCUCCCCCCUCCCCCCCCNNNNNNNNNNNNNNNNNNNNNNNNNNNNNNNNNNNNNNNNNNNNNNNNNNNNNNNNNNNNNNNNNNNNNNNNNNNNNNNNNNNNNNNNNNNNNNNNNNNNGGUCUUGUCCAUCACAUGAUUCUCCUAAUGAUGUGAUCCCGUUAUCAAGUGACAACACUUUCCUAUGGUCAGGAAACCUUGACCAUCUCGGAUCAACGAGCUAGUCAACUAGAGGUUUACUAGGGACAGUGUUUUGUCUAUGUAUCCACACAUGCAGUGUGUUUCCAAUCAAUACAAUUAUAGCAUGGAUAAUAAACGAUUAUCAUGAACAAAGAAAUAUAAUAAUAACUAAUUUAUUAUUGCCUCUAGGGCAUAUUUCCAACAGUCUCCCACUUGCACUAGAGUCAAUAAUCUAGUUCACAUCACCAUGUGAUUCCAACGAAUCCAACACCCAUAUAGUCAUGGGGUCUGAUCACGUCUUGCUCGUGAGAGCAGUUUUAGUCAACGGUUCUGAAACUUUCAGACCCGUGUGUUCUUUACAAAUCUUUAUGUCAUCUUAUAGAUGCUGCUACUAUGUGCUAUUCGGAAAUACUCCAAAUAUCUACUCUACUAUACGAAUCCGUUUCACUACUCAUAGUUAUUCGGAUUAGUGUCAAAGCUUGCAUCGACGUAACCCUUUACGACGAACUCUUUAACCACCUCCAUAAUCAAGAAAAAUUCCUUAGUCCAUCAGUUACUAAGGAUAAAUUUUGACCGUUGCUAGUGAUUCAAUCAUGGAUCACUCUCUGUACCUCUCAACAGACUUCGAGUCAAGGCACACAUCAGGCGCAGUACCCAGCAUGGCAUACUUCAGAUUCUACGGCCAAGGCAUAGAAGACGACCUUCGUCUAUUCUCUUUAUUCUGCCGGGGUCGGGUUUUGAGUCUUACUCAAAUUCACACCUCACAACGCAACCAAGAAAUCCUUCUUUGCUGAUCUAUUUUGAACUCCUUCAAAAACUUGUCAAGGCAUGGAUCUUGUUGAAACUUCCAUUAAGCGCUUUUGAUCUAUCUCCAUAGAUCUUUGAUGCUUAACGUUCAAGUAGCGCAAUCCAGGUACUCCUUUGAAAACUCUUUUCAAACAACCUUGUAUGCUUUACAGAAAUUCUAUAUUACUUCUGAUCCACAAUAUGUCAACCACAUAUACUUAUCAGAAAUUUUAUAGUGCUCCCACUCACUUCUUUGGAAAUACAAGUUUCUCAUAAACCUUGUACAAACCGAAAAUCUUUGAUCAUCUCAUCAAAGUGUAUAUUCCAACUCCGAGAUGGUUGCACCAGUCCAUUGAAGGAUCGUUGGAGCUUGCAUACUUGUUAGUAUCUUUAGGAUCGACAAAACCUUUUGGUUGUAUCACAUACAAUGUUUGCUCAAGGAAACCGUCGAGGAAACAAUGUUUUGACAUCCUAUGUGCAAUAUUUCAUAAAUAAUGCAACAACUACUAACAUAAUUCUAACAGACUUUUAGCAUCGCUACGAGUGAGAAAGUCUCAUCAUAGUCAACCGUUUGACCUUGUCGGAAACAUCUUUGCGACAAGUCGAGCUUUUCUUAAUAGUGACUUAUCACCNNNNNNNNNNUGUCUGUCUUCAUUUUAAAGAUCCAUCUUUACUCAAAAGUCCUAUGACCAUCAAGUAAUUCUUCCAAAGUCUACACUUUGUUUUCAUACAUGGAUCCUCUCUCGGAUUUCAUGACUUCCAGCCAUUUGUCGGAAUCCGGGCCCACCAUUGCUUUCUCCAUAACUCGCGGGUUCACUGUUGCUCAACAACAUGACCUCCAAGACACGGUUACUGUACCACUCUGCAGUAGUACGCGACCUUGUCAACCUACGAGGCUUGUAGUAACUUGAUCCGAUGCUCGAUGAUCACCAUCAUCAGCUUUCACUUCAAUUGGUAUAGGCGCCACAGGAACAACUUCCUGCGCCCUGCUACACACUGGUUGAAGUGAUGGUUCAAUAACCUCAUCAAGUUCUACCACCCUCCCACUCAAUUCUUUCGAGAGAAACCUUUCCUCGAGAAAGGAUCCGUUUCUAGAAACAAACACUUUGCUUUCGGAUCUGAGAUAGGAGAUGUACCCAACUGUUUUGGAUAUCCUAUGAAGAUGCAUUUAUCCGCUUUGGGUUCGAGCUUAUCAGACUGAAACUUUUUCACAUAAGUGUCGAAGCCCCAAACUUUCAAGAAACGACAGUUUAGAUUUCUCUAAACCUCAGUCUAUACUGUGUCAUCUCAACGGAAAUACGCGGUGCCCUAUUUAAAGUGAGUGCGGUUGUCUCUAAUGCAUAACCCAUAAACGAUAGUGGUAAAUCGAUAAGAGACAUCAUAGUAUGCAUCAUACCAAAUAGUGCGUGGCUAUGAUGUUCAGACACAUCAUCACACUAUGAUGUUCCAGGUGGCAUGAACUGCGAAACAAUUUCCACAUUGUCUUAACUGCGUACCAAAACUCGUAACUCAGAUAUUCAUUUCUAUGAUCAUAUCGUAGACAGUUUAUCCUUUUGUUACGACGAACUUCACUCUGAAACAGAAUUGAACUUUUCAAUAUUUCAGACUUGUGACUCAUUAAGUAAAUACUCCUGUAUCUACUCAAGUCGUCAGUGAAGUAAGAACAUAAUGAUAUCCACUGCGUGCCUCAGCACUCAUUGGACUACAUACAUCAAAUGUAUCACUUCCAACAAGUUACUAUCUUGUUUCAUCUCAAUGAAANNNNNNNNNNACUUGUUACAACGAACUUCACUCCUGAAACAGACUUGAACCUUUCAAUAUUUCAGACUUGUGAUUCAUUAAGUAAAUACUCUUGUAUCUGCUCAAAUCGUCAUUGAAGUAAGAACAUAAUGAUAUCCACGGCGUGCCUCAGCACCCAUUGGACUGCAUACAUCAAAAUGUAUCACUUCCAACAAGUUACUAUCUUGUUUCAUCUCAAUGAAAAUAAGGCCUUGCUCAUGUGGUAUGAUUUGCAUGUCACUAGUGAUUCAAAAUCAAGUGAGUAUAAAGAUCCAUCAGCAUGGAGCCUCUUCAUGCAAUUUAUACUAACAUGACUCAAGCGGCAGUGCCACAAGUAAGUGGUACUAUCAUCACUACCUCGUAUCUUUUGGCACCAAUAUUAUGAACAUGUGUAACACUACGAUCGAGAUUCAAUAAACCAUUAAAGGUGAUUAUUCAAGCAAACAGAGUAACCAUUAUUCUCUUUAAAUGAAUAAUCGUAUUGCAACAAACAUGAUCCAAUCAUGUUCAUGCUUAACGCAAGCACCAAAUAACAAUUAUUUCGGUUUAACACCAAUCCCGAUGGUAGAGGGAGCGUGCGACAUUUGAUCAUAUCAACCUUGGAAACACUUCCAACACGUAUCGUCACCUCGCCUUUAGCUAGUCUCCGUUUACGCCGUAGCUUUCAUUUCGCGUUACUAAUCACUUAGCAACCGAACUGGUAUCCAAUACCCUCGUGCUACUAGGAGUACUAGUAAAGUACACAUCAACAUCAUGUAUAUCAAAUAUACUUCUUUCGACUUUUGCCAGCCUUCUUAUCUACCAAGUAUCUAGAGUUGCUCCACCUCAGUGAUUGUUCCCCUCAUUACAGAAGCACUUAGUCUCAGGUUUGGGUUUAAUCUUGGGUCCCUUCAUUAGUGCAACAACUGUUUUGUCGUUUCACGAAGUAUCCCUUCUAGCCCUUGCCUUUCUUGAAACUUAGUGGUUUUACUAACCAUCAACUAUUGAUGCUCCCUUUUGAUUUCUACUUUCGCAGUGUAAAAACAUCACGAACCGCUCAAGGAUCAUUGUAUCUAUCCUUGAUAUGUUAUAGUUCAUCACGNNNNNNNNNNUUCUUGAUUUCUACUUUCCCAGUGUCAAACAUCGCGAAUCGCUCAAGGAUCAUUGUAUCUAUCCUUGAUAUGUUAUAGUUCAUCACGAAGCUCUCACAGCUUGGUGGCAGUGACUUUGGAGAACCAUCACUAUCUCAUCUGGAAGAUUAACUCCCACUUGAUUCAAGCGAUUGUCGUACUCAGACAAUCUGAGCACACGGUCAACGAUUGAUCUUUUCUCCUUUACUUUGUGGACAAAGAAUCUUGUCGGAGGUCUCGUACCUCUUAACAAGGGCACAAGCAUGAAAUCGCAAUUUCAUCUCUUUAGAACAUUACUUAUGUUCCGUGACGUUUCAAAACGUCUUCGGCGCCUUGCUUCUAAGCCAUUAAGUAUUUUGCACUGAACUAUCGUGUAGUCAUCAAAAACGUGUAUGUCGGAUGUUCACAGCAUCCACAUACGACGCUCGAGGUGCAGCACACCGAGUGGUGCAUUAAGGACAUAAGCCUUCUGCGCAGCAACGAGGACAAUCCUCUACAAAGUUUGCUACUAUCAACUUUCAACUAAAUUUUCUCUAGGAACAUAUAAAAACAAUAGAGCUAUNNNNNNNNNNNNNNNNNNNNNNNNNNNNNNNNNNNNNNNNNNNNNNNNNNNNNNNNNNNNNNNNNNNNNNNNNNNNNNNNNNNNNNNNNNNNNNNNNNNNUGGUUAGAUAGCUUGGUGUCGCCGAUGAUCUCUCCUCGCUAGAUCCCUGAUGCCAAUGCAGCAGCUCUCUACCCUUCGGAUAUUCACAACUUCACACACUUGCGCAACGUAGCCGUCGACCACGAGACGGUUAGAAUUGCAAUAUACUAAUUCCCAAUGGAACAGCAGAUCACACUUAACUUGUAGUAUAUAAUCUCCAGAUCGAUAUGAAUUGGAGACAAGAAUUCAAGAUGAAUGCUUAUAGCAGUCUCAUGAACUAGGUUUUAUCUUAAACGUGGUCUAUCUAUCUAAUCUGAGAGCAGCCCUCUAUAUAAGAGGGGCUGGGUGAUGCGCCCAGGGGGGGGGGGCUAGGUCUGGUGCGCCCAGCCUGGUCCUCCUGACUUGGUGCAACCUAAACUGGUCGACUCAAAAUGUGGUUCGACUCAACUUGAUACAAACUGACCCAACUUGGGUUCAGCCCCUUGGCACGCAGGCCAUGUACUUGAGGUAUGGCGCUGCAACAUGGUGUUGGUGCGCCUGGUGUUACUCGACGUGGGGAUCCUCCUCCUUGACGUUAGCGCCUGACUGCCUCUCCUCCCUCGCGCCCUCUUGCUUGUACUCCACAUCAUGCUCCUCUUGCUGCAACUCCUCGCUCCCUCGUGCUAUGCCUUCUUCUCCCAUGCACCUGAGUAUGCAAACACUCAAAGACUUAGGUAGUAGAAAGCUCUCAUUAAAAUAAAUAGCAUAUUCAACUAAGAGAGAAUUCACCCGUUGUUCUAUUAUCUUUGCACGAGCUCUUGUGAUAGGUCCAAUUCUGAUUUCAUCAUUGGACGUCUUCUUUGCAGCCACUUGGUGAUCAUCAUCAUAGGUUGGAGGUGGGUCAAGUGUNNNNNNNNNNNNNNNNNNNNNNNNNNNNNNNNNNNNNNNNNNNNNNNNNNNNNNNNNNNNNNNNNNNNNNNNNNNNNNNNNNNNNNNNNNNNNNNNNNNNAAAGUUCAUCAACUAAUGGCCUUAGGUACACAUCAAUAUCGUUGCCGGGUUGCUUUGGACCUUGGAUAAGCACUGGCAUCAUAAUGAACUUCCGCUUCAUGCACAACCAAGGAGGAAGGUUGUAGAUACAUAGAGUAACGGGCCAGGUGUUGUGACUGCAACUCUGCUCCCCAAAAGGAUUCAUGCCAUCUGUACUCAGACCUAACCAUAAGUUCCUUGUGUCAGCUGCAAAUCUCGGGAACUCUCUCUCGAUUUUUCUCCACUCACGACCAUCAGCGGUGUGCCUCAACUUAUCGUCUUUCAUACGAUCUUCCAUGUGCCAUCGCAACAACUUCACGUGAUCUUUAUUUCUGAACAGACGUUUCAACCGUGGUAUUAUAGGAGCAUACCACAUCACCUUGGCAGGAACCCUCUUCCUGGGUGGCUCGCCCUCAAUAUCACCAGGGUCAUAUUUUCCGAUCUUAUACCGCAACGCAGUGCAUACCGGGCAUUUAUCCAUAUUCUCGUACUUCUCACCGUGGUAGAGGAUGCAAUCAUUAGGGCAUGCAUGUAUCUUCUGCACGUCUAAUCCUAGAGGGCAGACAAGAUUCUUUGCUUCGUACGUGCUGGCAGGCAAUUCGUUCUUUCUUGGAAGCAUCUUCUUCAUGAGUACCAGCAACUUUUCGAAUGACGAGUCAGUCACACUGGUCUCUGCCUUCCACUUCAGCAAUUCCAGUGUGCUACCCAGCUUCUUCUGGCCAUCUUCACAAGUUGGGUACAACAAUUUUUUGUGGUCCUGUAACAUCUGCUCGAACUGCAACCUCUCCUUUUCUGUGUCUCAACCUCGCCGUGCAUCAGAAAUGACCCGGCCAAGAUCAUCAGCGGGCUCAUCUGGUUCCCGUUCUUCAUCAUGAUCUUCUUCUUCAUUGUCUUCCAUUGCGGUAUCAGCAUACUCAGGGAACAUAUAUCGGUAGUUGUCAUCAUCGUUCUCUUCUUCUUCAUCGUCGUCUUCCAUCAUAACCCCUCUGUCUCCGUGCUUGGUCCAAACAUUAUAGCCCGACAUAAAACCGGACCGAAGCAGGUGGCUCUGAAUGACUCUUGAGGAAGUGUAAUCCUUCUCAUUCCGACAAUCAACACAUGGACAAAACAUAUAGCCACCACCAUGCUUGUUCGCAUCGGCUGCAUCUCGAAAAGAAUGCACGCCUUCUCUGUAAGCGGCUGUGCGUCGAUCACCGUACAUCCAUGGAUGGCUCAUCUGUGUUAUACGACAGUAUAUCAAAUACAAUCACGAUCCUAAAAAUUAGUACCGCACGGUCUAAAUGAGGAAAUAUAGUUGCUAACCUUUUAGAAUAAGUAGAAAUAAAGAGGAAGAGGUUUAAGCGUGGCUCAGGCAUCUCAUAUCGUAGUUGUGUUCGGUGAACUGAAGCGGCAUCGCUCUAACACACAUUUCAACAAACACCUCUAGUGCAUCAAAAAAAGUGGAGAGCUAGCACACACCCACAAUCCUCCAUCCAAGAAAAAUGCAAGGAAGAGGGGAGAGGGGGGCUGUGCUAUAUAUGGGCAGAGGACUUUAGUCCCGGUUUGGGACACGAACCGGGACUAAAGGCUCCUUACGGGUCGGGACUAAAGCCUCGAGGCAGGCAUUGAGAAUUGGGGCGACGUGGCCGGGCCUUUAGUCCCGGCCCAGAGGCAGGCCGGGACUAAAGGGUUACGGCCAAAGGCCCGUUUUCCACUAGUGAUUGGUUUUGCUUUUUCGAAAAUAUGGAAUAUUCCAUUGUUUGCCCACUGCAAAGCCGCUGGUAGGAAGCUGUGAUAUACGGAUAUUUUUCUGUGAAAAAUGGGACGCGCGCAUGCAAAAUUUUGUAGUGGUUCCUGCAUGUGGGCGCCGUGGCUGCAGGCCUGCAGCACCCCCGCCGUCUCGGCUCGCCGUCGACGGAGGCUUCCACCACCAUUAUAUUCAGCAAAAAAAAUCAGGAACAAAAACAAUAUUCGCUGGUUGUAGCAAAAAACUAAAACUGUUCCAGUAAAAAAACAUCACGGUUUCGAUAAAAAUAUGUCGUGGCCGGUGUUCGCAAACAAAAAAUAUCGCCGGAUGCAGCAACUUUUUUGUCGGUUGUAGCAAAAUAAGAAGAUAGUACUAGAAAAAUGCUUCCUCUUGUGCUUCUUGUGCUGUCUUAAAAAAGGAAAAAGCAGGUGCUUGGUCUGUUUCUCCUGUUCCUCACUCACUUGCUUUCUUUUGCAAUUUUGACAAUGUCAGUGUGGGUCCUCUCUCUCCUUUGUGAGACUAUACUGUAUGGCCUGUGUUAAAGUAACUAGAAUCUUCUAUGGCUUCAUUAGUAUUUGUUUCUGUUACGGUUGGCUGGAGUUAAAGCCUUAAACCGUUUUCUAUUAUGAUCUUCUCUUACGUAUCAAGUUGUAAUUUAUCAAUACUUGUACGCCACGGAUGGGGCUGUUCCAUCCCUAUAUAAACACGCAACAGCGGCCUGCUACGGUGGGUAGAACGCUUUCCAUCUUUCAGCCUGCUCUAUCCUGAGUUGUUGAACUUGAGGAGGGAUCUAUGGUUGAGGGUACCACUAACAAUACUUAUACUCUUCAGUCAUAGAUAGUGUUUCCCAUGAAAAUGUACUAUUAGCUGGUGUUGCAAGGGCACGAUGUGGGCAACCAUCGUCAUGUUAUGCAACAUGUUGAAAGCCAGUGUCGUUGGAGUGCCGACAUAAUACGACGCACGCCGAAGCCAAUGCUAUGAGGGGCAUCUCCAUGCUACAAGAUUUGCGUUGCUGCUGCGAGGCAAUGUUACGAGGGGAGUCACCAUCCUCGAGGGACUAUCGGCGUGUGGCGAGGCACGCUACAAGCAGGUGUUGCGAGCCAUGAUUAAGGAGUCCCAUUGGUGUUGCGAGUGACGACCAUAGAUGUUGCGCCCGGGGGUGCAGGAAGAGGAAUUGCGAGAUGUAUUGAGCACUAGACACACUAUGUGCAAUCUGAUGACUCUCCAUGUUACAAUGGGUGGGCAUCCCGCUAAGACACGCGCUGCUAUAAGGACCGACCACCAGUGCUGCAAGCCUUGAGAAGUAAUGUUGCAAGGACCGGACAACAUCGUCCAGGUGCUCGCUGCUGCAAGGCCGUUUAGUGAUGUUGUGAGCUGCUGCUCCAAGGUCGUCGGGGUUGGUACGACGGACAACACUGCUACAAGCCACAUGUUAUGAGGCCGUCAAAAUUGGUACGACGGGUGGCGAUGUUGCGACGUCAAUGACGGAUGGCGAUGGUGCGAGGUUGAUGGAGCAGCUUCGACGGGUGGAGUUGUUGAGAGCUGAUGCUGGAGCUGCGAUGAUGGUCCGAUUGCUUCCACCACAUGACGGCGAUGUGACGCUUGAUGACCGCAAUGAUGGCAUUCAUCCACGACAGGACGGUGCUACGACGCUCGAUGAACCGUGGUAACGGCAUGCUUAUAUGACACGACUAUGUUGCGAUGCUCGACAGGCCGCAGCGGCGGUGUGCUUCCACAACAUGACCAUGCUGCGACGGAUGCUACGAUGGUGUCUCAGCUGACAGGAUACCAGCGAUGCUGCAAUGACGACGGCAUGCUAUGAGUUCGUGGUGCAACGGUAGUCAUGCUAUGACGAUCGGCGUGCUACGAGCAAUACCGAUUUGCUGCGUGUCGGUGUUGCGACAACGCCGAUGUGUGAAAAGUCGGUGCUACGAUGGGGAAGAACGAAACAAGACAGUGAGGAGUGGUCCCGUUGACUUGUCUGACCAACGGUAAGAUCAAGAUUAAUCGAAGUAUGAAGAAGACAGUUGAGUCCGCACCAAUACAUCCACGUGAUAUGUACCCAGCCAAGCAGAACAAGAACCAACGAUUUGCUUGUUCCAUCGUACGACUCGAAAGACGGCUUAAAACUCAUACAAAUCAUCCGUCUGACGCCUAGUGCGGGUCUUUUUUUUGACAAACCAACGAACAUUUUCCCCAUCGAGAUCGGGUCUCCUAUACACCGCUCCUUGCGGCCAACUGCCGAGCAAACACAUAGGGGUUGCCCGACUAGCCCGGCCCAGUUAUUUUUUGUAUUUUGUUUUUCUGCUCUUUUUCUGUUUAUUUCCUUUUUUGUUCAUUUUUUCUUUCUUUAUUCAUUUUCUUUUAGAAUUUGAAGCAAAAACAAAAUCCAGAACAUUUUUUGUUUCUGUUUUUAAAAAUGUUCUGAAUUAUCGACAAAUGCUCCAGUUUUUCAAAUUGUUCACAAGUUAAAAAAAUCUUUCUUGAAUUUGUUUCGCAAUUUCAAAAAUUCAGGAACAUUGUUUCAAAUUCCGGAAAACAUUUUUUCAAAUUCCAGAACAUUUUUUCAAAUCCUGGAAAAAAUUCAAAAUCCAAAAAAAAUUAAUUUUUUUUGGAAUAUUUCUUCAAAUUCUGGAAUAUUUUUCCAAAUACCGGAACUUUUUUCCAAAUCCAGAAGAUUUUUGUAACAGAAAUAGAAAAAAAGGAAACAGAAAAGAAUAAAGAAAAAGGAAACGAAUUUUUUCUGAAUAUUCAAAACAUUUUUUGAAAGAGAAACAGAAAAGAAAAAACUGAAAAAGCUGAAGCAGUUCAGUGAACCUUCUAGAAGUUUUCCAAAACCAAAAAAAUCCGGCUGAGAACCUCUAGAAGGUUCCCAAAACCGGGACUCUCUAAUGGGCCAGCCCAAUCUGAAGCCAUCCCUCUCUUCCAUGUGCAUUUGGUCGACAUUUCAACACACAAAGUAUCAAAUAGGAUUUUCCGUCGCGACCUCCCUCCCCGCUCUUCAUCAUCAAGCUACAGCCCAAAAUGCAACAACUAGUGAUUCUUAUUUGUGGCCUACAUCGUGUGUUUUUAGUGUUUCUGCAAACGAACGCUCACAGUACGUCUUUAACUCUUCCAAAUAAUCGAUGAACUUUUUUCAAAAUCAAUAUAUUAUUAAAAAAUCCAUGAACUUGGUUUCGAGUUUACAUUUUUCAGAUAAUUUAUAUUGGGUACAUGUUAAUGUUUUACUAAGCAAAAAGGUUAUCUAGCAUUGUUUUCUUGCACUAGAAAACAAAGUUACUUUGGUCUAGUGGUUAUUGCGGUGGGCUGGCAACAUUGCAAACCGGAGUUAGUAUGGAUUUUUCUUUGGAGGUCCUAUACAACCCAUUUAGCGUCGGUUAGGCAAACCGGGGUUGUAGCGUCCUUCUCGUGGGUCGGCCCAUGUAGAAUGUGUUGGUUCUUAAAAAUCAAAAAAGUUUAUAAAAAAAAUCAGAUUUGCAAAAAAGUUCAAUGAUUAUAAAAAAAGUUCACCAAUUUUUUAGUUAUGUUUAUGUUUUUUCAAAAAGUUCACAAAAUUCAAAAAAAAUCAUUGAUUUUCAAAAAAAGUUUAUGGAAUCUCCGAAACUAUAGGAUCUGAAAACUAAAUCUACAUCAUGGGAUAAGGUGGCUGGGAGGAGAAACCGGAAAUUAAAAAUGCAUGAGCGUACAACAGUGAAGAAGCUAUCGAUAAGUAGCGAUACUCGUGGGAUACGACCAUCUGCCAUAUUACACACGACCUCCUUUUCUCUAUAUAUUCUCUAUCUUCCAUGUAACAAAAAAAUCUUAUGUGACAUGUGUUAUAGACGACUGAGUUGAUGCUGUUGUACAUGCCCUUAGAGUGGCGGUUAGGAGCUCCCUCAGCUGCUAUUUGUAAAGAUUACAAUGGUAUAAUUCCCAGGAUUCUUCUGCAAUGGUGUUCAACAUUGUACAUGCUCCGGCAAACGCUUGAAGUACUUGCUUGUCGAGAAGAAUUAGCUCUAGCUCUUGAUAUUUUUGUGCAGAUCGGGUGGGAUUCGGUCGUGUCCAUUGGUCCUCCGUUUAAAAGGGAGCGGCACGAAGCUCUGCUAUCUGUUGCCAUCAGGAGCUAUGUUUUGCUUUAUGGUGAAGUCAGAUGUGGAGAAUGUCAUGGAAGCCGAUGUUGGAGGACUGGUAAUGGUGAUUGGAGCCUACAACGCUGAGGAAUUUGCUUGGAGUUUCGGGAUUCGUAGCGGUGGUAUGUAAGUGGGGCAACAACAUAUGUGAAUGUUCAAGAUCUUACCUUUCAGGAUGAAAAUCUAAGACUUGGCCUUAGUUGGUUGUGUAUCACAAUGGCCUUGUUGAAGGCAUUGUUUUGAGAGCGGACAUUAACUUCAGGGUGAAAACCAAGAUAUAUAAUCGGAUGACGACGACGCUUGUGCACUGUUUCCUUCUUUGAGGCAUCGCUUUUGGGGAACUUGGACUACGGGGGUUGUUUUUGUGGUGGUUGUACUGCUGCUGCAAGGACUGGAACUAUGUAGCAGGGCUUUUCUUUUUUUAGCUUCUUCUUUCUUUUUUGGUUGCGUCCAGCCGUAAUGCCAUUAGUGUAUUGCGUUGUUGCAGAGGUUGGGUGUAAUUGAUAUCUUCGAGAUAUUAAUAUAUUUCCUUUAUCAAAAAAAAAAAAUUCUGUGCGAAGAGUGAUUAUUGCAUGCGAUUGCAAAUCAGUAGUAUAAGAGAUAAAGAAUGGAACCAAAGGAAGGUAUAGCCCAUCAAAGAAGUCACAAAAAGAUCAUGAUAGUCCACUUUUGUAGAUUCACGUUUGAAGGACUCAUUUUAAACUUUUGAGGCUCAUAGUUUGGCAAAGUUUUCUUCUUCUUUAGUCGAGGGUCGUUAUGUCUGGUUAGGAAUGCCCCAUGGCCCGUUUAAUUAUCCGAGUAUCCGGUAAUCCUCCUUAAUAAAGUGUGAUUUACUGUUGAAACAAAAUCAAAUCAAAGUCAUUAAUUAAAGGGUUCCCUACAAAAAUCAAUCCCACCUUCUCUGGAUGCGACAAGUGGUGUAGUGUAUGUGGGCAACUUGUUGCUUCCGAAGAGUUUUCCCUUUUUAGGUAGAUUCGUUUAUCCAUACGGUUUAUCUUAAACCUUAUGUCCAAACUGCGAGCUUUUUUCAUCGUUGGAUUUCAUGCGUUGAAAUUUUUAAAACUAGAUCUCAUGUUAAUAGGUUUUGACGAAAUUUUUUUCAUGAAAAAACCAGAAGAAAAGAAAACAGACCGAAACCACGGUUAUUUCUCUCACAUUUUCUAUUUCCGAGAGUUAUAGUUGUCCUCUCACGAAAUAAAAUCCAUGUCCCCACGUGAAGCAAACUUGUACCUCUCAUGUAAGAGAACAAACAAUAUUUUUUUUGCUUUAUAUGAGGCAUAACUGUGCCUCUCACGAAAGAUUUUUUUUAUCUUUUUGAGAGGCACAAAGUAUGUGCAUCUUGCGGAAUAAAACAAUGUUUUUUUCUAUUUCCCAAAAGGUGCAGUGGAAGCAAACUGUUGUUCCGAUGAAAGAAAAUAACAUUUUUUCAUACAAUUUUUUUCUCCGUACUUUUUUGUCCAAAAUCUAGGAAAACUGGGCAAAAGCCAUAAGAAUCAUCUAAAAUCUGAAAAAGCAUACAGAAAAUAGAAUAAAAAUAAAACCCUUAAAAAGCGUCCAACACGCGACAAGUGGCAACCAAAAGCACAUCGAUUGACGCGGUCUCAGUCCACCCGAUUUUUUUGAACACAUGCAAAAUGCUCAUAUAUACACGUAUAACUAUAUACUCACCCCUAUGAACAUAGACACGCACGCCUUAUUUCUAUGAUCACCUCCGAGAGACUGAGCCGGCAUAUCAUCUUGAAAUUUACGAAGUCACCGUAGACACUUCAUCGUCGACGGAAACGUCUCCUCCCAAUAAAGUGUAUCGUUAGAAAUCCUAAAAUAAAUUCAGAAAUAAUGCAAGCACUAGGACUUCAAUCCUGAUGGGCUAGAGAUACCAUUGUCCUUCUAACCAUCCAACCGCAUGUUAAUUUGCUCAGCCACCCAAAAUGAGAGGAUCCCGCAAGGGGUAACCCUUAGUUAAUUACUCCUACGUCAAAGUAGCAUAUCAUAAAGUCAUAAAAAAAUCAAGGUAGCACCAUUCAAGACACAACAUCAAGCUACAAUUCAUUUUCUAGAACAGGUGCAAAAAAACAUUGUUCAAAAAUAAAAUUGCCGUCAUGUUUGAAAGAAAAAUGGCGUAACACAAGUAAAAUGCCAUCAUGUUCAAAAAAGAUGGAUCACAUGCAAAAACAAAUCCUUGGAAAAAAGAACCUUCCAUACCCUAAGAGCUAAGAAUACAAACGACAAGAAAAAUGGGGUAUGUUUAUACACAAAACUGCCACAUUUUAAAAUAAAAAUACAUUAUGCACACAUAAAACAUGAUGUUGAACCUAAAAAUGUCAUAUAAGAAGUCCAUGAUAUGCUAAAAUAUGUCGUUUUCUUACUAACGAAAUUUCCAUGCUCUUAAUAAAAAAUGGCAUGCUCUAUACAAAAAUGACAUGUUCUCUCUAACAAAAAAUUGUCAUCUAUAUAAAAAUAAAAGUGUCAUGCUCUUUAAAAUAAAAGUACCAUCUUGCAUAAAAACAUGACAUGCUCUACAAACAAACCCCAUGCACUUUAACAAAAUUGAAUGGUGCAAAAAAAAGGAAAAAGUCCAUUUUGAACCCUGAAUUUGUAGAGGUUCGACGAAAUGAAACUCCAACUCGAAAUCCCUGUCGAUUGCACCCUGAACUAUGUAAUCCUGGUCUAAAAAGAACCCUGGAUUCGUUUGACAAACUGGGAUUGCUGAUUUGACCAGUUAGGCCCAUCUCGGUAUCGUACAUCACAAAACAUUUACGGAAUUAAAAAAAUGAGAAUAAAAGUUCACGAAUUUUGAAGAAAUAACCACGGAUAUAAAAAAAGUUCAACGAUUUUAGAAACAAAUAAAUGGAUUUUCAAAAUUAAAAUUCAGGGAUUUUCAAAAACAUUGUGAAGUCCACAGGUUAUUUUAUAGUACGUAGGAAGCACCUUAAAAUGGUUUUUAACAUAUGAUUAACAUUUUUUUAGAAUACAUGUUAAAAAUAUUAAUACAUCAUAUACAAUUUUUUAAUUGUCCCCAACACUUUUUCGAAAUGUAUGAACAUUUUCCAAAUGCAACAAUUUUAAAAUUACACACAUGUAUAUUUUUAUAAUUUUGAUAUAUAUGUUAAAAUUACACACAUGUAUGUUUUUUAUAUUUUUGUUUUCUGGUUCUUUUCUUCCUUUUGUUUUUAUUUUUAUUUUUAUUUUCUGUUUCAAUUUAUAUUUUAUACUUUUUAUUUUUUUAUUUUUUAUUUCUUUUUUUGUUACUGUUUUAUUUUCACUUAUAUUAUAUAGAGUUCAUUGUGUGUCGUCAAAAUAUUUAUUGUAUAUCAUGUGUGCAUGUACGUGUAUGUGUGGAUUGUCAUGGUGUGUAUUAUACAUACCUGUAGGCUAUUCGGCGUUCAUCGCUGGACCGGAUUUGUCCCAACACGCUGUAAGAAAUAUUUGAAAAAAGAUUACUCAUUUUUUAAAAAGAUUAACAAAUUUAAAAAAAUGCUGACCAGGUAGAGCUUAAAGGUACAGUCUUAAUAUACUCACAACUACAAGAACAAAUGCAUGCAUCACUCCACAACUACAAGAAAAAAUGUUCGCGCAUCCAAAAAAUAUUUUCGAAUUUGAAAAAUGUUCCGAUUUUGAAAAAAAUCAUGUUUUCUAUUUUUGAGAGAUUUUAUAAAAUGGUUCACAUAUUAUAAGAAAUGUUCGUGUUUCAGGAAAAAAAUUAUUUGUUUGAAAAUGUGUUGGCCGUUUUGAAAUAUGUUCUAAAAAUAUUAAAUAUGUUUGUGAUUUUAAAACGGGCCGGCCUAAAAAAUAAAUCCCGGUUGACACGGUGCGAGGGUUUGAUUUAGACCGGGAUUGCAUAGUUCAGGGUGCAAUCGACCGGGAUUUCGAGUUGAGGGUUUAUUCCGUCCGACCAAUACAAAUUCAAGGUUGAAAUUGGACUUUUUCCGCAAAAAAAUGCCAUGCUUCAAAAAGUAAACUAUCAUUGCCUAACUAAAUAAAAUUGCCAUCGUAUGAAUAGUAAAAGGUACAAAGCCCAACGAAAAAAAACUCAUGGUGCAACUAAACAAAUUGCCAUGAUCUAAAUAAAAUAGGCUUGCCAUGGUACAUGACUUGAAAUGGCCAUUGUCUAAUUUUGGAAAAUUCCAUCCUCCAGCUAAAGAAUUGCCAUGGUACCCAAAUAUAAACUACCAAGUUCUGACUAGUAAAUAUACCAUAAUCUGAUGACUAAAAUUGCAUUGGAUUCCAUAAUAGAAAUGGCUUUGCUAAAAUACCUCUAAAUGUAAGAUAAGUAUUGCACAUGUAAGUCCUCUAUCAUUGAUCUUACAUGAAAUUCGUGUGGGUAUUUUUUUUCUUUUCUUUUCCUUUUCAUGCUUUAUUUAGUUAUUUAGAUGUGCAAUAACUAUGUCACAUCUAGAUGUGUUCUAGAUACAUCCUAAUAAAAAUGCACCUUUACGAACAAUUGUAGGAACAUGUCAAUUCUUAUGGGUGAAAACUGAAUAGUGUGACAACUUCAAUAUAAACACUCUUAGUAAAAUUCAGAACGAGGCAAUCUCUGGCAUUGUGUUGCCCAUGGCAAUUUCUACAUGAGAUGACCUAAUUCAAGUACACAAAAGAUUUAUGAAAAAAUGCCAUCUUAUUUUCAAACAAAAAAUCAAUGGCGAAAAAAAUCGGUAGACGCAUAUUUAAAACUUUGUGUCCAAAACCAUAUUAAAAAUGUUAUAAUAGUUGUACCAACAAUGCCAGGCUCCUUAUAAAUAAUAUGCCAUGUAUGUAAAUAAUGCCAUACCAAGUUCAAUAAAGAAAGUGCCAUACAUUGAAAAUGCCAUGUUGAAUACAAUAAAAUGCCAUACAAAAAUUGUGAAUUUUGCCAUGAUAUUUUAACAAAAAUAAUUCCAUGUCACUUUAGAAAUAAUUGCCAUGGUUAUAGACAUUUUUAAAAUGCCACCUCCUAAACAAUUCACAUGACUUCAUGGUUCAGUUUGUAAAAAGUUGCCAUGAUUUCAAUCUAAGAAUUGCAGAAAAUACUAUGUUAGACAAUAUUUUUUAGCAAACAUUGUUGAAUGUUUCACGGUGCAAAAUUAUGAUUCUGUAAAAAACCUAGAUGAAUUCGGUGCUCCGAAAUUUCUCGAAAAAAUAACAUCUUUAAAGUAUCGAUUUUCCCUUAGUGAUAGAAACAUUGCAUGCAUAUGGAACAUUAACCAGUGUUUUGUCACAAAAAAAAUCUUAUAUUUUUCUUUUUGUUUUAGAUUUUUUGUUUUGAAAAGCAUGCCUUAUAUUAAUUAAGCAAACAAAAGGUUAUUACAAUCAUUCAUUACGCCUUGCGUGGCGGGAUAGAGUUAACAAGCAACCCAUUAAACCUGCUACUAAAACUAAACUUAGCAAUCUCAUGUACCAUCUCGUUGGCAGGCCGACUUAUUUUUGAAAAACUUAAUUUUGGAACAUGUUAGUAAUACUCACUUAACAAGCAACACAUCAAACCUGCUACUAAACUUAGCAAUCUCGUGGUCGACUUAUUUUUGAAAAACAUGUUGACAAUACUCUGUCAAGCUUCUCAUUUGCAAGGAAGGAAUAAAUGAAGGCACACUCAUUUGCAAGGAACGAAUAAACGAAAGCACUGCCAAUUUGUUUUAGAUUUGAGUACAAUUGUUCAUCUGAGAGCAGUACUGUAAUUCAAAACGACAGAAAUGAACUCCAUAUAUUGCAGAAGAAUGCACCACUGUCAAGGCAAAAUUGCUUGUUUACUGCUACACAAAAAUAUAUGUUAUCGAGUGCAAGUAUAGUUAGUUCUUGUGGGGUAUUGCGAGUUGUAAGAGCAUCUCUAGCAGAACCCAUAUAAAGCCGACCCGGAAAACUCGUUUACAGUUCGCGGAAAAACAGUUUUGUGUGCCGGUACAGGCACGAACAAAGUCAGACCCCACAAAACGGACCCGUAAAAAAGGACAGAAGAUGCUCUUUUACGGAUCGGCUAUGGAGGGUCUGCUCGGGCAUCGCCGUGUCGACCCGCAAACCAAAAACCCUCCAAUAAGCGAAUUUGACAGUGAUUCCAACAAAUGAGUUCAAAUUCAAACAAUAAAACAUAGUUCGCUCACAAAAUGAAAGCAUAGUUUUUAAAGACAAACGCAAAAGGACUUCAUGCAUCCCGGUCGCUCUUCACUCCGCAUCAUCGAGGUCAUCGCUGCCCUCGAAUCCAUCGUCGACACUUGUUCCAACUCCGGUACCAAAAUCAUCGGUGAUAUUGGUUCGGAUUCCCGAUGAGAAAACAUCAAUGCCACUGUAACACGCAAGCAUCCUCCUCUUCAAGAUGUCUCGCCUUGUCAUAUCAUGUCAUUCUUUGUUGAUGUCGUUCAUGUCAUUGCGGUUCAAAGCAAUGAUCAUAUUCUAUUCGGUAAGAAGGUUGGACAUGAUUUUCUUCUCAGCGGCAUGUGCUCUUCUCUCGUGAAUGUCUUUGAGAAAUUUCCAUCUCUCUUGCUUCUCUCGUGCCUUCUUCUCGGCCAACUCUAUCUUUGUCCCCGAAGACUUCACUAGCAUCACCUCAUUUGAUUGCAUCAUGACAUCUAUUUUGUCCCGCAAGCUCGAUGCUUUAUGUCCCCUCUUGAUCUUCUCCUUUGUCUUUUUGUCAUCAUCGGGCUUGUUCAAGUUUCUUGGGCCAUCAUCAUCUUCAUCUUCAUUCAUGUUCGUAAGUGAACCUUUUUCGAUGGGGAUUCUUUGUCCAUUAACUUCCACUUCUCCCAGUCUUUGAUCAUUUUUCAACAAUGCUCUAGUUUAAAAAAAAUACCUUCAGAAGCUUCCAUGUCUUUAUAUCGUUGUUGGGCAUUUUUUUCUACACAAUUAAAGCAAAGUCAAAUGACGCAACCAUUUUUAUAUGAUGCAAAUGGUGUGCAGAACUUGGGACGUGAAAACGAACUCACAUAAUCGGAUUCCAUGGUUUCACUUGAAGGUGCAUUGCAAACUUGUUCCAAGCAAGCUGCCCAACGGUUACAAAUCGGUUUCAUCACAUCCCAACGACCUUGGAGUGACCGAAAGGUCCAUGUUGUCCUAUUGGGAUACUUGGUCAUGAAUUGGAAGUAUUGAUCUUCGAUUCCUUGUCAAUACCUCUUGACAGUUUGAGACACACUCGUGCAAGCAUCCAUAGACACCGUACUUUAAGCCUUGAUCAAGAUUUGAUCUUCCAAAAUCGUGUAGUUCUUCGAUCUCACCCUUUUUUUUUUGCUUGCACUUGCUGAUACGCCCCUCAUCUACCUUCUCCACUUCAUCUUCACCAUCGUGGUCAUCCACGCCACCCUCCAAUUCAUUAUAAUCGAAACCAGCGAUUGGGGCUUGAUCGAUGUCGACGGCGUUGGUCUUUAACAAGUUCACGAACUCGACAGCGACAUUGUUCAAACCACCGCUAUAUUGAGUGACAGCAAGUCAUGACAUACCACAAUAGCAAAAAAGCAAAGUAAGAACAAGGGAGGAAAGAUGCAUACCUUCCAGCCAUUUCAUCGAACACCUCGCUUGCGGUGGAAGCAACACUGUUCGAAGACAUCGUCGGGGAACAUCUUGCCGGGGCGGAGCGAGUGGACGAAGAACAUCUUGCCGGGGCGGAGCGAGUGGACGAAGGCGCCGAUCUUUUAUAGGAACCUUCUUUCGUUUCAUGUUCGAAACCUUAAUCAUCUUCUCCGCCAACGGUCGGUCAGAUCGUGCAGCAACAACGACGCCCGACGCGCGUGCCUUUCCAGCAGGAUUGCCGCCCUGCACGACAAUGAUGUCCUACUGCUUCUAGGCAGGCACGUUGAUGCCUUUGGCGACGGCGGGGCAACGUUGCCCUGCCGCUUGUGGGCAGGCACGUUAGUGCCUUGGGCGACGACGGGGGCGACAUGGCCGGCUACGAGAUUCGUCGGAGGGGAUUGCGCAUGCACGACCUCCACGUUGAUGUUGGGACGGCUCCACGUUGAUGUUGGGACGGCUGGAGGGUUAAAUGACGAUGAAAAUGGUGGGGAAGAUGUUGGGACGACUGGAGGCUUAAAUGACGACGAAAAUGGUGGGGAAGAUGGUCCGGGACGCGUGAUGACGGUACAAUGGCUGCCGAGGAGGGGGAGCGACUGCGUGGAAAUUUUCUUCGCGCCACAAAUUUCGUUGUGAAUAAGGAUAGAGCUUGAAAUCUCGUUGCGGAUAGGGGACAAGGUCAAUUUCGUUGCGAAUAAAGGUAGGUCAAUUUCGUUGCGAAUAAGGGUAGAGCUUAGGUCAAUUUCGUUGCGAAUAAGGGUAGAGCUUGAAAUCUCGUUGCGGAUAGGGGACAAGGUCAUAGCUGGUAAAUCUUCUAGAGGUUAGACGAACUUUUAUCGGGCAUUAUACGGGUCUGCUAGAGAUGCUCUAAUAGCAAAAUCUAAUGGUUAAGAUCGCAUUAUAGCAGAACUGAAGGUGGCCCAAUUUCAGAUGGAUGGGACUUGAGGCAAGAGAACAGUAAGAGCAAGUACAAUAAAGCUGAGUCAGCUGGCUAUAAGGAAUAAAGUAGUAUAUUUUUGCUUAGUUGGAGGAGAGAGAAGAGGAGAGAAAAGGUAAACGGGCUCUUAGCUAAGAGCCAGCUACACGUGCUCCUAAGCACUUUGUGAGAAUGAAAAGUGGAUCAUAUAAUAAAUAAGUAGUACUCUUCUAACCAACUAUUGUACAUGAUAGCUAUAAGAUGGACUAUAUGUGACAUGGAGUGGAUCAUAUAAUAAAUAAGUAGUACUCUUCUAACCAACUAUUGUACAUGAUAGCUAUAAGAUGGGCUAUAUGUGACAUGGCAUGAGCUUACAGUCGGCUCUACUAUUGUAGUUGCUCUAAGAACAAAGGAGGGAUUUAGAAAUGAGAGCGGUAGCACCGAAGCAGCAUAACAGGAAUCGACGAUCAGAGUCUCGAAAUGAGUAGUCCCUUGCAUCUGAAGACGAAGCAGCGCAAGUAGACGCUAGAAGGAACAAGUAGUACAGGCGUUUUCCAUUUUUAUUUUUAAUUUACGUAGUAGAUAAGAUAUGCAACAACUUAUUAUUCGUCGGUGGUACUAGCACCGCCCGCAGGCACGUCCGUACAUAGAGAGGCGUGGAUCCACACUGGUAACCACAUAGGAGGGCAAAUGACCAAAACAUGCCUACGGAGCUCGGGCCUGGUCGAGGCGAUGCUGCGCCCAGUUCUUCACGUCGUGCGCCUUGGAGUCCAGCUUCGCGCCCGCGUGGUCCACCGUGUCAGCCCCCAUCGGCGAGGGCGACCCGUGCGACAGGUACUUGUACAUCCACGCCAGCACCGCCACCGCCGCCGCGCCGAACGCCCCCGACGACACGAACCCAGCCGUCAGCAUCGUCACCGCUAUGGCCGCGGGCACCAGCACGGGGCUGAAGAUCACCAGCAGAGGCGUCGCCACGAUGAGCGCCAGCACCGUGCCCGUCAGCGUCAGGGCCGACAGGAACAGCAUCGACCCGGCGGCCGCCGCCGCGGCCACCCCCUUCGCGAGGGUGACGGCCGCCGGCUGGUUGUGGCCCUGGCCGUGCCCGCCGUAGUAGUCGUCGUCGCCGCGGAUGGCCCGCAUGUAGUCCGGCCCGACGGCGCUGCCGCCUCCGUACACGCCUCCCCGGUGGAACGCUUGCUCUCCAGCCAUGCCGGUAGCCAGAUGCACACUUUAAAAGCUUCGCUACUCCGAAACCUGAGCCUUACCUGAGAAAUGCGAUAACCAAAUGCGCCGUGGGUUUCUCGGCGAGAUGGAUUGUGGUAUAUAAGAUGUGAUGUGAGUGAGAGUGUAGGGCGGCGGUGGAGCGAGUCUCGAACAUGUGGACGCACAGCAGGGUACGUGGUGAUCUGCAUGGAUAGCGAUGCCUCAAGCCUUGCCACGUACGUGCCAACUUGCAGGCUCCCGGCGCACUCUCGUCUUACGUGUUGCGAAUGCAGUACCCUUCCCCGCCGCUGAGCUCGACGAGCAGCCUGCAGGACAUGGUUCCAACAUGACGUCUUUCAUCGACGGCGUGGGCGUUGCCUUGCUGGCCCGCGCGUCUGGAGUUAAGCUGGACGCCGCUUUACACAUUUUCACCUAGAGACACUUCGCCUCUAGACAAUUCUCGAACCUCAAAGUCUGUUUUAACAGGUUUUCACCUAGGUUAGGCAGUUUGGACAUUCAUCUUGUUAGAAUAAUCCGAGGCACUUCGUCGAUCAUCCGAAGAUCAAGCAAACACACAAGUACUACACCGAGAUUUGUUAACGAGGUUCAUCGAUAUGACUACAUUUCCGGAACAUGACUACGGUCGCUCCUCCCUCUGACACCGUCAUAAUACCACAUCCUGGCCGUCCUGGGCGCCGGCAUACGUCGCCGACUCCCCCUGCACACCUGUGUUAUUAUGUUGGCAUAGGUUACAUCGUGUGUCUAGACCCGCUAUAUAUGAGAGGCCUAGGAUACAAGUGUCCUGCUUGGACACGACUCCAUAUCCUAUCUAAACAUAAUACAACUACAAGUCCAACUGUAACCUACCUUGUACAAUAAUAUUCGACACAACUCUAACAAACUCCACCCUGGCGAAUAUUCUCCACCACCUUGAAUUCGUUCAUGCGUCAAUCUUCCAUGUACAUUGGACUUGAGCGUAUCCCAUGAGCACCGCUGCUACUCCAAAGAGUCGAUGUGACUUCACCUGCAACUUGUAGUUCCUUCUUUUCCUGACCAUAGUCAACGCUCGAACGAAAUUAAGCUCCACAUUACUCUAGUUGCGCUCCCAACUUCCAGAGUAUCCAACAUCAUCACAUACCGAUCACUAACCUACGUGAAAGUGAACAACUCAUAUUGGGUGUCGCUCACACAAGAGUUACCUGAACUCAACAUCACUGCUUUUCCUUGACCGCCUGUCUGAAACUUGAAAGAAUUUCGCCAUUGCUUGUAGUCAUCUCGAGUCAAAUUCGCAGUUUGUUUCACCACAUGUAUGACCACCAGAGCCCUAGCCCGUCUCCAUGUCCCGUGUGUACCGUACGCCUCGCCGCUAUUACCAAGUCGAGCCUCCGCUGUCCCGGUCGAGUCUCAAGAGUCGCGAACCCACACCACUCAACCCCCGCUGCAGAGUACCACCGAUCCUCACCGACCGAUGACGAGUAUCACGUUUCCAUCAGACCAGCGAGCUCUAGUCCGAACCACGUGCCACUCGCUUUUCCCCGAGUGAAGUCCUUCAGACUCCAGCUCCACCUUCAACAUGACUCCAUGGUAGAUAAUCAGUCCAUCCCUUGCGCCCCGUCGACUUCAAGCUCACAUGUGCACCCUCUUGAAUCAACCCCGCGCCAUAGUCUUGUCGAAGCCACACAAGCCCUAGAGCAUGCGCCGCGUGUUUCCACGCCCAGAAGUCGGUCACCAUCAGCAUCACGCUCCUAUGUUGUCGUCGCCGAUCCUACCACCGUCUUCUAUACCAACCGACUCGCGUCGACCCGUCAGACUGUCCAGUCCGACCCAGCCGAAAUCGUCCGACUGUCGUGAAUUUCCAUCUAUCACAUGAUAAUUCCAUCUAAGCUGGCUUAACUUCCCGCAACGCCUUCAAGCAUUCCUGUUGCGCCAACAAUCUUUCAUCCAUGUCUGCCAUAACUCAAGGUUUUCAGUUCCAUCGAACUUCUUCACCUCAAACCUGAUGCCUGAUGACGUCAUGAUUCUUUAAACGGGUGACCUUGCGAAAGACGACAUUGGCCUCAACUCGGAUACUAGCAAUUACCUUGUCAACGCCUCCUGCUAAUUCCAAUGGAUACCAACGUGAUGGAUUGUUCUUUCCCAGUACGAUCAGCUACCGCCUCUUUCCAUGUCGUAUACGAGGACACGAUCCUCUCUUUUUCCCCAAACAAAUCUCUGCAGUUUGCACUCUAGACCUUUCACGCAGAGCCUGUCGAGCUCCUUUCGUGCCUGGUCCACUAGCUCAACACAUGCACGCACUAGCUAGCUCCGAAUACACUUCGACCUCAACCGACUGGCCUGCCACGCGUGCCUCCGGAUCGCACACUUGCCAUCGACACGGCAUGCCGCCACACACGCCUGAUCAACUGAUCCGCCGAUCGAUCCGAUCCGCCGAUCGAUUGCCGCACGUCCCUUGCAACGCUGCUUUCCAAUCCCGUCGAGAACUCUGCCAGCUUCUAAUUGCUUCAUGAUGAUUACAACACGACCAAUACAUCUGCUUUGCAUCAAAACUCGCUGUAUUACGAUUGCUUCCUGCAGACUUUCAUCGUGUUUUGUUCCCUCCUCUAGAUCAACCUUUUGCAACCUCUCGUCAACCUAGCUCAUGAUACCACUUGUUAGAAUAAUCCGAGGCACUUCGUCGAUCAUCCGAGGACCAAGAAAACACACGAGCACGAUACCGAGAUUUGUUAACGAGGUUCACCGAUAUGGCUACAUCCCCGGGGCAUGACUACGGGCGCUCCUCUCCGUGACACCAUCACAAUACCACACCCUGGCCGCCGGCACACGCCACCGGCUCCCCCUGCACACCUGUGCUAUUAUGUUGGCAUAGGUUACAUCGAGUGUCUAGACCCGCUAUAUAUGAGAGGCCUAGGAUACAAGUGCCCUGCUUGAGCAUGACUCCAUAUCCUAUCUAAACACAGUACAACUACAAGUCCAACUUUAACAUACCUUGUACAAUAAUAUUCGAGACAGCUCUAACACGUCUAGCCACGUCGGACAUCCGGACAUGCGUAUGCAUAGAUGGAUAUUUAGAGGAUAUUGUUGGAUGAUGUGCUCCUGCUUCAAUGUGUCCGCUUUAUGGGUUAGCGUUGGAGAAGCCCUAAGGUCGCAAGUUAUGUAGACAUGUAUUUUGUCGAAGACAACUUUUCGUCCUAGGCUCAUUUGGCCCAGAUAUCUUAGAGAUUGGAUUAAAAACAAGGCAGUGACGCGACAUGGUCUAAUGGUGGGAGAAGGACUGGGAUUUCCUCACAAUUCAGGUGACUUAGAGUUACUAAAGUCUUGAGUCGCAAAUCCACUGACUCACAUGUGAGUGAAACUUAAUCGUCCGAGUUAGUCAUUUGAACCAAAAAGAGGAUACAUGACUUGCAUACCAUGGCAUGAUGCAUGGCACGUUGUCGGUAUUAAAACCGGCAGAUCUCGAGUAGGGGCUCCGAACUAUUGAUCUUGGAUCGACGGGUUACAAGAGACAAGGGAGACAAUGUUUACCCAGGUUCGGGCCCUCUUGAUGGAUGUAAAACCCUGCGUCCUCCUCUUGUUAUAUUGAUGGGGUUGCACAAAGUACAUAGUUGAUCUACUUCGAGAUCAGAUGUUGUGGUCUACACCCAAACAUUAAUGAGCUUAAUCUUUCCUACGAACUAUGGCCCUCUGAUAUAUACAUACCAGGGGCGUUAAGGUUACACAAUGUUGAUUAAAUCAUGAAAGGAAUAUACCAAUCACUAUGUGUCCUUGGAUUAGACGCCAAGUCUUGGGAAGAGUCCAUCUUGAAUUCAGCAUCACUUAAUGAUGGUAGAACGGUCCAGGAGUCUGACCCAUGGAAAUGAGCAAGCGGCCCGAGGACCCUUUAGUCCCGGACUCCCUCAGUAGACCCCAAACUGGCCCUCCAAUGCCGUAGUCUUGACCUUCAUCUACUUUAUGCUCCCAAAGACUUUGGCUUACGAGGCGAGUUCCUCUCUUCUUACAUUUAGCCGACAAUAGUUCGGUUGCUGAUGACGUACCCUCUUCCACACACACACACACACACACACACACACACGAACACACACACACACACACACAGAUAUAUAUAUAUAUAUAUAUAUAUAUAUAUAUAUAUAUAUAUAAGGCCGAUCGUUCGACCAAUAAUAGUGUUUUUUGCCUCACACCCUUUCUAACGAAAGGUCCCGGCUGGUCAAGGUCUAUGACCUUUAUGGUAGCGUGGUUCGAGACCGUCUUUACUGACACGUUCCAUUAUGGAGAUCAUGUUCCUCUUUUUCAGGGAUAUGGUUUAUGAUUUGGAUUAUCCCACACCCGCAUAACCGCACAAUUUUAUCGGGAAAUGACGAAGUUCACUACGUAGUAGUGGGACUCUUGUUAUCUCAGUUGUUCAUAAAAGGUAAAACCGUCACCAUAGCCUCCUAAUACAUUCCAGAUCUCGCAUAGUUGUUGCCUUUCCCAGCCUCCAAACCUCCAGUGCCCAAGUUCUCUUAUUCGCUCCACUUCCUCGAACCCUAAUUCCAAUCCGGCCAUGGCCAGCUCGGGCUCGAAAGGCAAGUGGAAGGGCUCAUGCGUCACCGAGAAGGAUAUCCACGAACUAAAGAGCUCCAUUUUUCUACCGGAGAACAUAGCCCACCGUGCCCCGAAAAAGGACAAGUCAUCCCCACACCAAAAGACGGGGACAGGGUGGUUUUCGUUCCUCAUUUUUGUCGGGGUCUUGUUUUUUCCCUUCACCCCUUUGUUCAGGGUAUUAUGUAAUAUUAUGGGGUAGACUUCCAUGAUCUUCCGCCAAAUUCCAUUAUGCACAUCUCAGCCUUCAUCGUAGUUUGUGAAGCAUUCCUGCAAUUUCAUCCCCACUUUGGCAUAUGGCCGAAGGUCCUCAACAUCAAGCCCAAAGUCGUUAAUGGCGAAUAGGCUGACUGCACGGGAGCAACAGUUAGCAAACUCGCUCGGAUCCAAUGUGUGGAAGGCACAUUCAUAGACACCAUCAAGGUGUGAUAGAAAGAGUGGUUCUAUAUCAUGGAGCCACGCAACACGGAAGGAGUAGCUUCGCCGGCAUUCAGAUUUGGUCCUCCCAUCGAACUUGUGUCCUGGACAGAGAAAGCCCUAGAUUGGGGGGGGGGGAGGCNNNNNNNNNNNNNNNNNNNNNNNNNNNNNNNNNNNNNNNNNNNNNNNNNNNNNNNNNNNNNNNNNNNNNNNNNNNNNNNNNNNNNNNNNNNNNNNNNNNNNNNNNNNNNNNNNCAAAGAAAAUCUCCGCUAUAAUGGAGAAGAAAAUCGAGCUCACCAACGUGGUCCACGUAAUGCUACACCGCCACCUUCUCCCUUGCCAACAUCGGGCCAUCCCGAUGUGGGCUUAUAAUCCGGACGACCCGACCACUGUGCGGAACUUUUUCCUCAUUACUCACGAGAAGUUGUGGAAAUUGUUGUUCAAGCCACAGUAGACUCGGCCAACUGAAGAAGAGGACGUUGGCAUUUCCGUCCUUAAUCCUACCGGAUCGGUAAGGUUUUUAUCAUAUUAUUAAUUUUCAUCCCUUCCUCUUAGUAAAGUGCUCACUUCUUCCUUCCUCCAUUCUCGCAGAUGUGGCUAAAAAAGUCCCAGCAGGUCACUGAUGACCCACAAGUGUAGGGGAUCUAUCGUAGUCCUUUCGAUAAGUAAGAGUGUCGAAUCCAACGAGGAGCAGAACGAAAGGACAAGUGGUUUUCAGCAAGGUAUUCUCUGCAGGCACUGAAAUUAUCGGUAACAAAUAGUUGUGUGAUAAUAUAAUUCGUAACGGGUAGCAAGUAACAAUAGUAACAAAGGUGCAACCAGAUGGCCCAAUCCCUUUUGUAGCAAGGGCAAGCCUGGACGAACUCUUAUAUAAGGUAAAGCGCUCCCGAGGACACAUGGGAAUUUCUGUCAAGCUAGUUUUCAUCAUGUUCAUAUGAUUUGCGUUCACUACUUUGAUAGUUUGAUAUGUGGGUGGCCCGGUGCUUGGGUGUUGUCCUUACUUGGACAAACAUCCCACUUAUGAUUAACCCCUCUCGCAAGCAUACGCAACUACGAAAGAAGAAUUAAGACAAAGUCUAACCAUAGCAUUAAACUGGGGGAUCCAAANNNNNNNNNNGCCCCUUGCGGAGGAACGCAUAAACUAGGGUUAAGCUUCUGUCACUCUAGCAACCAAUCAUCUACUUAUUACUUCCAAUGCCUUCCUCUAGGCCCAAAUAAUGGUGAAGUGUCAUAUAUUCGACGUUCACAUAACACCACUAGAGGAAAGACAACAUACAACACAUCAAAAUAUCGAACGAAUACCAAAUUUACAUGACUACUUAUAGUAAGACUUAUCCCAUGUCCUUAGGAACAAACGUAACUACUCACAAAGCAUAAUUAUGUUCAUGAUCAGAGAGGUAUUGAAUAGCAUUAAGGAUCUGAACAUAUGAUCUUCCACCGAGUAAACCAACUAGCAUCACCUACAAGGAGUAAUUAACACUACUAGCAACCUUACAAGUACCAAUCGGAGUCGCGAGACGAAGAUUGGGUACAAGAGAUGAACUAGGGUUUUGAGAUGAGAUGGUGCUGAUGAAGAUGUUGAUGGAGAUGAGUCCCCUCUGAUGAGAGGAGUGUUGGUGAUGACGAUGGCGAUGAUUUCCCCCUCCGAUAGGGAAGUUUCCCCGGUAGGACGGCCCUGCCAGAGCUCUAGAUUGGUUCUGGUCAAGUUCUGCCUCGCGGCGGCGGCGUUUCUUCCUGAAAGCUCUCUCUUGAUUUUUUUUCUGGGACAAAACCCUCUAUAUAGCAGAAGAUGGGAGUCGGAGGGGUAACAGGGGGCCCACGAGCGCCGAGGCGCGCCCAGGGGGGUGGGGCGCGCCUGGCAGGCUCGUGACCUCCUCGUGGCUCCACUCCAGUAUUUCUUCCGCCCAAUAUUUUUUAUAUAUUCCAAAAUAAUUCCUCACUGAUUUUCAUGGCUUUUGGAGUUGUGCAGAAUAGGUAUCUCAAACUUGCUCCUUUUUCAGCCCAGAAUUCCAGCUGCCGGCAUUCUCCCUCUUCAUGUAAACCUUAUAAAAUAAGAGAGAAAAGGCAUAAGUAUUGUACCAUAAUGUGUAAUAAUAGCCUAUAAUGCGAUAAAUAUCAAUAUAAAAGCAUGAUGCAAAAUGGACGUAUUAGUCACCUGCCCGGUGCCCUUACCUGAGGACCCCAUGAUGCCUUUAUUGGCAGCCAUGCUAGUCAGGAAGCCAUACACGGCUCCGAAGGAGAAGGACGAGAGGAACAAAGGGAAUAAAAAGGCCUAAGAGGGUCGUCGGUAAAAGGAUCCUUGGACACUAGGUCGUACGAUACGUUGGCUCCCUCUAAUCUUGUAACGCCCAAGAUGCGGUCCUAUCCUUAUUUCGAUGUGAGGGCUUCGAGAUGGAUAGAAACGCAUCUCGUCGUUUCGCAAGAAUGGAUAUCGUUACAACUACAUUCACUGAAAAGAUGAGUAUAAGGAGUUGGCUUAUACUCGCCAUAAGCUACAUGAAGUUCACAUCAGUACAACAACAUAAUCAGUCAUCAUGAAGGAUAAAAGAACGAUGUCCAUUCUUGCUAUCCCAGGCUGCCGCCCUGGAACCCAUCCUAGAUUGAAGAAGAAGAAGAAUUCCAAAUAGCACAACCAUCACGCUCAUGUCAUAAUAUCACUUUACGUGUACCUGCAACUGGUGUUGUAAUAAACUGUGAGCCACAAGGACUCAACAAUCUCAUUUCCAAAGGUAUCAAGACUAGCAAAGCUUAAUGGGUGAGUGCUACUUCUCAAACAACAACGCUAGAAAUUGACACGUUGACGGAGAUUGGGCUUGCAUUGGUUCUUCCCUUGAAGAGGAAAGGGUGAUGCAGCACAGGAGCAAUAAGUAUUUCCCUCAAUUUGAGAACCAAGGUACCGAUCCAGAAGGAGGGUCUCGUCAAGUCCAGAGUACAUGCGCAAACACAAACAAGCUUGCACCCAACGCUUCAAAGGGGUUGUCAAUCCCUUCAAGAUUGUUUGCAAAGUGAGAUCUGAAGGAGGAAACUGCAACGAAGUAAAAAGUUUAAGGCUGAAAAUAUGGUAUGGAGUAGACCCUGGGGGCCAUAGUGUUCACUAGAGGCUUCUCUCAAAAUAGCAAGUAAUACGGUGGGUGAACAAAUUACUGUCGAGCAAUUGAUAGAACCGCGCAAAGUCAUGNNNNNNNNNNUAGCAUAUAGGCAUCACGUCCGAGACAAGUAGACCGAUACUUUCUGCAUCUACUACUAUUACUCCACACAUCAACCGCUAUCCAGCAUGCAUCUAGUGUAUUGAGUUCAUGACGAACAGAGUAACGCUUUAAGCAAGAUGACAUUAUGUAGAGGGAUAAUCUCAAACCAAUGAUGAAAACCCCAUCUUUUUACCCUUGAUGGCAACAACACGAUACGUGCCUUGCUACCCCUUCUGUCACUAGGUGAGGUCACCACACGGUAUGAACCCAAAACCAAGCACUUCUCCCAUUGCAAGAAUCAUAGAUCUAGUUGGCCAGACAAAACCCACAACUCGAAGAGAAUUACAAGGAUAUGAAAUCAUGCAUAAGAGAGAUCAGAAGAAACUCAAAUAAGAUUCAUAGAUAAUCUGAUCAUAAAUCCACAAUUCANNNNNNNNNNNNNNNNNNNNNNNNNNNNNNNNNNNNNNNNNNNNNNNNNNNNNNNNNNNNNNNNNNNNNNNNNNNNNNNNNNNNNNNNNNNNNNNNNNNNAUGCUAGUUGGUUUACUCGGUGGAAGAUCAUAUGUUCAGAUCCUUAAUUCUAUUCAAUAACUCUCUGAUCAUGAACAUAAUUAUUCUUUGUGAGUAGUUACGUUUGUUCGUGAGGACAUGGGAUAAGUCUUACUAUAAGUAGUCAUGUGAAUUUGGUAUUCGUUCGAUAUUUUGAUGUGUUGUAUGUUGUCUUUCCUCUAGUGGUGUUAUGUGAACGUGGACUACAUGACACUUCACCAUUAUUUGGGCCUAUAGGAAGGCAUUGGGAAGUAAUAAGUAGAUGAUGGGUUGCUAGACUGAUAGUAGCUUAAACCCUAGUUUAUGCAUUCCUUCGCAAGGGGUUGAUUUGGAUCCCCCAGUUUAAUGCUAUGGUUAGACUUUGUCUUAAUUCUUAUUUUGUAGUUGCGGAUGCUUGCGAGAGGGGUUAAUCAUAAGUGGGAUGUUUGUCCGAGUAAGGACAACACCCAAGCACCGGUCCACCCACAUAUCAAACUAUCAAAGUAGCGAACGUGAAUCAUAUGAACAUGAUGAAAACUAGCUUGACAGAAAUUCCCAUGUGUCCUCGGGAGCGCUUUACCUUAUAUAAGAGUUCGUCUAGGCUUGUCCCUUGCUACAAAAGGGAUUGGUCCAUCUUGCUGCACCUUUGUUACUAUUGUUACUUGCUACCCGUUAUGAAUUAUCUUAUCACACAACUAUCUGUUACCGAUAAUUUCAGUGCCUGCAGAGAAUACCUUGUUGAAAACCACUUGUCAUUUCCUUCUUCUCCUCGUUGGGUUCGACACUCUUACUUAUCGAAAGGACUACGAUAGAUCCCCUACACUUGUGGGUCAUCAAGACUCUUUUCUGGCGCCGUUUCCGGGGAGUGAAGCGCCUUUGGUGAGUGGAAUUUGGUAAGGAAACAUUUAUAUAGUGUGCUGAAAUUUAUUGUCACUUGUCACUAUGGAAACUAAUCCUUUUAGGGGCUUGUUCGGGGUAUCUUCACCUCGACCGGAAGCACAAAGAAUUGAUCCUCAACCUACUGCACCUACUGAAAAUAUUUAUUAUGAAAUUCCUUCGGGUAUGCUAGAGAAACUGUUGGCUAAUCCUUUUACAGGAGAUGGAACAUCACAUCCCGACUUGCAUCUAAUCUAUGUAGAUGAAGUUUGUGGUUUAUUUAAGUUUGCAGGUUUGCCCGAGGAUGAGGUCAAGAAGAAGGUCUUUCCCUUAUCUUUGAUGGAUAAAGCAUUGACAUGGUAUAAGCUACGUGAUGAUACUGGAUCAUGGAACUAUAACCGAUUGAAAUUGGAAUUUCAUCAAAAGCUUUAUCCUAUGCAUUUGGUACAUCGUGAUCGGAAUUAUAUAUAUAAUUUUUGGCCUCGUGAUAGAGAUAGUAUCGCUCAAGCUUGGGGGAGUCUUAAAUCAAUGUUAUAUUCAUGCCCCAACCAUGAGCUCCCUAGAGAAAUUAUUAUUAUGAACUUUUAUGCUCGGCUUUCUCAUGACAAUCGCACCAUGCUUGACACUUCUUGUACCGGUUCUUUUAUGAAGAGAGAUAUUGAUUUUAAAUGGGAUUUAUUCGAAAGAAUUAAACGAAACUCUGAAGAUUGGGAGUUUGAUGGAGGUAAGGAGUCAGGUAUGAAUCUUAAGUUCGAUUGCGUUAAAUCCUUCGUUGAAACAAAUACAUUUCGUGAUUUUAGCGCUAAACAUGGACUUGACUCUGAGAUAGUAGCUUCUUUAUGUGAAUCAUUUGCUGCUCAUAUACAUCUCCCUAAGGAGAAGUGGUUUAAAUACCAUCCUCCCGUAGAAGUUAAUGUAGUAAAACCCAAUCCAGUUGAAGAGAAAGUUAUUGCUUAUAAUGAUUCUAUUGUUCCUAGUGCUUACAUUGAGAAACCACCUUUCCCUGUUAGAAUAAAGGAUCACGCUAAAGCUUCAACUGUGAUACGUAAGGGAUACAUUAGAACACCCACACACCCUGAGCAAACUAAAGUUGAACCUAGUAUUGCUAUUAUUAAAGAUCUCUUGGCCAAUAAUGUUGAUGGGCAUGUUAUUCAAUUCUGUGAAGCUGCUGCUAGAAUUGCUAAACCUCAUGCUAGAGACAAACAUAAACCUGUUGUUGGCAUGCGUGUUGUUUCUAUUAUGAUAGGAGAUCAUUGUUAUCAUGGUUUAUGUGACAUGGGUGCUAGUGUUAGUGCAAUACCAUAAUCUUUAUAUAAUGAAAUUAAAGAUGAGAUUGCACCUGUUGAGAUGGAAUUUAUUGAUGUUACUAUUAAACUUGCUAAUAGAGAUACUAUCUGCCCUAUGGGAAUUGUUAGAGAUGUUGAAGUCUUGUGUGGUAAAACUAAGUAUCCUACUGAUUUUCUCGUUCUUGCUACCACACAAGAUAGCUUUUGUCCCAUCAUAUUUGGUAGACCUUUUCUUAAUACUGUUAAUGCUCAAAUUGAUUGUGAGAAACAAAUUGUUACUGUUGGCUUUGAAGUUGUGUCACAUGAAUUUAAUUUUUCUAAGUUUGGUAGACAAGCUCAUGAAAAAGAAUUGUCUAGUAAGGAUGAAAUUAUUGCUCUUGCUUCUAUUGUUGUGCCUCCUACUGACCCUUUGGAGCAAUACCGGCUUGAACAUGAAAAUGAUAUGCAUAUGGAUGAAAGGAAUGAGAUAAAUAGAGUUAUCUUUGAACAACGUCCUAUCCUUAAGAAUAAUUUGCCUGUUGAAUUACUUGGAGAUCCACCUCCACCAAAGGGUGAUCCUGUGUUUGAGCUUAGACAAUUACGUGAUACUCUUAAGUAUGCUUAUCUUGACGAAAAAGAGAUAUAUCAUGUUAUUAUUAGUGAUAACCUUUUAGAGCAUGAAGAAAAGAAAUUACUGAAAACUCUGAGGAAGCACCGUGCUGCUAUUGGAUAUACUCUUUAUGAUCUUAAGGGCAUUAGUCCCACUCUAUGCCAGCAUAAAAUUAAAACUGAUCCUGAUUCCAAACCAGUUGUCGAUCAUCAAUGAAGAUUAAAUCUAAGAUGAAAGAGGUGCUAAGAAAAGAAAUACUAAAGCUCCUGGAAGUAGGUAUUAUUUAUCCUGUUGCUCAUAGUGAUUGGGUAAGUUUGGUGCAUUGUGUCCCUAAGAAGGGAGGUAUUACCGUUGUCCCUAAUGAUAAAGAUGAAUUGAUCCCACAAAGAAUUGUUACUGGCUAUGGUAAUUGAUUUUAGGAAAUUAAAUAAAGCUACUAAGAAAGAUCAUUACCCUUUACCUGUUAUUGAUCAAAUGCUAGAAAGAUUGUCUAAGCAUACACACUUUUGCUUUCUAGAUGGUUAUUCUGGUGUCUCCCAAAUACCUGUUGCACAAUCUGAUCAGGAGAAAACCACUUUUACUUGCCCUUUCGGUACCUUUGCUUAUAGACGUAUGCCUUUUGGUUUAUGUAAUGCACCUGCUACCUUUAAAAGAUGUAUGGUGGCUAUAUUCUCUGACUUUUGUGAAAAGAUUGUUGAGGUUUUCAUGGAUGAUUUCUCCGUUUACGGAUCUUCUUUUGAUGAUUGCUUGAGCAACCUUGAUCGAGUUUUGCAGAGAUGUAAAGAUACUAACCUUGUCUUGAAUUGGGAGAAGUGCCACUUUAUGGUUAAUGAAGGCAUUGUCUUAGGACAUAAAAUUUCUGAAAGAGGUAUUGAAGUCAACAAGGCUAAAGUUGAUGCGAUCGAGAAAAUGCCAUGCCCUACAGACAUUAAAGGUAUAAGAAGUUUCCUUGGUCAUGCUGGUUUCUAUAGAAGGUUUAUUAUAGACUUCUCUAUGAUUUCUAGGCCUCUCACCAAUAUCUUGCAAAAAUAUAUUCCAUUUGUUUUUUAUGAUGAUUGUGAAGAAGCAUUUGAAAUACUUAAGAAGGCCUUGAUAACUGCACCUAUUGUUCAACCACCCGAUUGGAACCUACCUUUUGAAAUUAUGUGUGAUGCUGGUGAUUAUGUUGUUGGUGCUGUUCUAGGACAAAGAGUUGAUAAGAAAUUAAAUGUUAUUCAUUAUGCUAGUAAAACUCUAGACAGUGCCCAAAGAAACUAUGCUACUACUGAAAAAGAAUUUUUAGGAGUUGUGUUUCCAUGUGAUAAGUUCAGAUCUUAUAUUGUUGAUUCCAAAGUUACUAUUCACACUGAUCAUGCUGCUAUUAAAUAUCUCAUGGAAAAUAAAGAUGAUAAACCUAGACUUAUUAGAUGGUUUCUCUUGCUACAAGAAUUUGAUUUGCAUAUUGUUGAUAGAAAGGGUGCAGAGAACCCCAUAGCAGAUAAGUUGUCUAGGUUAGAGAAUGUUCUUGAUGACCCACAACCUAUUGAUGAUAGCUUCCCUGAUGAAUAAUUGAAUGUCAUCACCAACACUCCUCUCAUCGGAGGGGACUCUUCUCCAUCAACAUCUUCAUCAGCACCAUCUCAUCUCCAAACCCUAGUUCAUCUCUUGUACCCAAUCUCCGUCUCACGACUCCGAUUGGUACUUGUAAGGUUGCUAGUAGUGUUAAUUACUCCUNNNNNNNNNNNNNNNNNNNNNNNNNNNNNNNNNNNNNNNNNNNNNNNNNNNNNNNNNNNNNNNNNNNNNNNNNNNNNNNNNNNNNNNNNNNNNNNNNNNNCCAUCAUCAUCUACGUUACCGCUCAUUGAGAAGAUCGGGCUACCCCAUAUCAUAAAGUGCAUAAGUAAAGGGUUCGGGUAAGAGAUAACCGAGGUACGCGGAGACGAUGAUGUAUCCCGAAGUUCACACCCUUGCGGAUGCUAAUCUCCGUUGGAGCGGUGUGGAGGCACAAUGCUCCCCAAGAUGCCACUAAGGCCACCGUAAUCUCCUCACGCCCUCACACAAUGCAAGAUGCCGUGAUUCCACUAAGGGACCCUUGAGGGCGGUCACCGAACCCGUACAAAUGGCAAACCUUGGGGGCGGUUACCGAACCCGUACACGUGGCAACCCUUGGGGGCGGUUACCGGUACCCGUACAAAUUGCUCGAGGCUAUCUCCACAACCUAAUUGGAGGCCCCGACGCUUGCCCGGAGCUUCACACCACAAUGAUUGAGCUCCGAGACACCACCAAGCUUCUAGGAUGCCAAAGCAUCCACGAAGAACAAUAUCUAGGGUACUAAGUACCAAAGGUAGUAAGCUUCUCAACCUUCACUUCCACGUAUCACCGUGGAGAACUCAAACCGAUGCAACCAAUGCAAUGGCAAGAACACACGAAGUGGUCAAGUCUCUCACACUCAAAUCCCUCCACAACAACGAAAGCUAUGGAGAAAUAUGAGAGGAAGAACAAGGAGCUCACAAAGAACUCCAAGAUCAAGAUCCAAGGGGUUCCCCUCACAUAGAGGAGAAAGUGAUUGGUGGAGAUGUGGAUCUAGAUCUCCUCUCUCUUUUCCCUCAAGAACAAGCAAGAAUCAUUGGAGGGAUUGAGAGUAAGCAAGCUCUAAGAAUGUCAACAAUGGAGGUAGAACAAGAGCUCAACGAAUGGAUAAGGCCAAGGGGGAAGAAGACCCCCUUUAUAUAGUGGGGGAAGGAAUCAGACCGUUACCCCCACUCUCUGCCCGAGCUCCAGCGGUACUACCGCUGGCACCCCAGCGGUAGUACCGCUGACUACAGCGGUACUACCGCUGGGCCCCUGGUAGUGCAAAGGCACUACCACCGCCAAGAAAGUCUUUGCAAAAAUGUCCGUCCACGAACAACCGCUAGGCAGGCGGUACUAAGCUCCUGGAGCGGUACUACCGCUGACCAGGGGCGGUACUAUCGCCAGCCAGCGGUACUACCGCCAACUCUAACGGUACUACCGCUAGGUCCAGCGGUACUACCGCUCGCCACUGAAACAGCCAUAACUUUCGCAUACGAGCUCCGAAUCGAGCAAACCCAAGCUUGUUGGAUUCAGGACGACAAGAGCUAUCUUAAGACCAUGCAGAUAUGAGUCCUAUAUGAAAAUGCCAAUGAUAUAGAGAUGUGAGUCCUCUAUGAAUGAAGAACCGGCAAAAACUCCAACAUCGAAAACAUCAUAGUAGAUGCAUAUGGACUCCAUUUUCGAUGAACUCGAGCCUGUCACGAAGAUGACCAUAAGCUCUAAAACUCACAAAGAGAAACACCAAACAAGAACCAAGAAGUAUGAUGCAAGGAUGCAAAUGGUUUGAGCUCUCAACGAACGAUACGAUCAAGCUACUCACUUGAGAGCCCCCCUUGAUAGUACAACAAUCUAUCCUAAACAGAAAACCUAUCAAGGGCAAACCUAUACCUUGCACCUCGUCCUCUUGAGCUAGAAGAUGAUGAUCUUGGCUUCCUCAAGAUGGACUACCUUUCUUGAUUGCGUUGGCUUGAUGAAGACUAGUUGAUUGCUCCCCCAUACUCACUAUGGGUGAGCCACUCUUCAGCAUAUCUUCACAAGUCCAUUGCCACCACAAUGGACGGCAAGCUUCAAGCAUGAUAUCUUCGUGCUGAUCCACUUGAAAUUGCACAUCGCAAUCUUGAUGACGAUCACAACUUGACGUCAUACUUCAUGGGUUGUAUGAGAUCUUCCCUUUGACGCAAGCCCAUGGAAACACACCUAACCCCCACAUAGAACUCUCACGAAGACCAUGGGUUAGUACACAAACACGUAAUGGACAAUGCUUACCAUACCAUGGGAUCACUUGAUCCCUCUCGGUACAUCUUGUACGCUUUGUGUGUUGAUCAUCUUGAUUUGCUCUUUGUCUGAGAUCUUGAUCAACCAUGUGUCUCUAUGACCAUUCUAUGGAUAAUACCUUGAAUACCACCUUGGUCAUCAUAUAAACUCCUUGAACCCAACAGAUGGACUUCAAGAAGUGCCUAUGGACAAAUCCUAUAAAUAUAACUUAAGGCAACCAUUAGUCCAUAGGAAUUGUCAUCAAUUACCANNNNNNNNNNNNNNNNNNNNNNNNNNNNNNNNNNNNNNNNNNNNNNNNNNNNNNNNNNNNNNNNNNNNNNNNNNNNNNNNNNNNNNNNNNNNNNNNNNNNNNNNNNNNNNNNNNNNNNNNNNNNNNNNNNNNNNNNNNNNNNNNNNNNNNNNNNNNNNNNNNNNNNNNNNNNNNNNNNNNNNNNNNNNNNNNNNNNNNNNNNNNNNUGGUAAUUGAUGACAACUACUUCAAGAGAGUUUAUAUAAGGAAAUAAGCAUAACCAACCGCACACAUACAAAGCAAUAAUGCAUGCGUGCAAGAUGUAAAUGCUUACGCAAUAAAAGCAAACCCCUCUAAACAUAUCCAAAGUAAACUCUCUAAACUUCUCCCCCAUUGGCAUCGAUUGCCAAAAUGGACGAAAAGUUUAGAAAGCCAAUAUAUUUGGUGGUCCUCAAAAAAGUGUGUACUUCUCAGCAAAUGAGUGCCAAGAAAUACACAAAUACAAUGAUAAGUAGUUGGAGGAAAACAAACUAUAUUGAGGACCCAAAGAUUGCAAAUAAAAGAAUCGUAUGCCACAAGGACAUACCACAAUAGAGGCAAGCAAUCAAAAGAUACCGGAUGGGACAAACAAUCAUAUGGUCCUUCGAACCACAUGAAUAAAAGAUAUUAUGAUAAAAGCAACGGAGUGUUUUAUCAAAACUAGAGAAGCUCCCCAUGAUUUGUGCACUAAUAGGAGAUUUUUGUAUAUGAUACAAGUGCACAAAAUAGGAUCGUUGCUCCCCCAAAAUUAAUAAAAACACACAAUGGGUGCAAGAAGAAAGAUGAGACAAUAAGCAAAUCUCUUGCACAAAACAAGUGUUUGAGCAACAUGUAAAAGAAGCAACUUAAGAUUAGGCUCAACCAAAAUAAUGUGUGUGAGUCAUGGCAAGGCACUUGAGAAGACUAAGAUAAGGAUGAACAUUACUCAUCAACAUAGUCUUGAUGAAAUGAGACACAAAGUGCAAGACAUAUCAUUCCCACACACACAUACUAGAAAAUGGGUUCACAAGCUUACUAAUAAACAAAAUAAGAACCAACGCUUGUGACAACCCAUGGUGAAGAAAGGAAAUAAGAGCCUUGUCAAGAGAGGAGGGAUACCAAUCGAAAUGGCAAAACCCUCAUCAAGACAGGCAUGAGGAAAAAUAAUCUUCACGGCCAAAGAGUGCAUCAAGAUGUAGGAAAAUAAGAUACACACUCAAGACAAAUCCUUUCACGAAGCCACCAAAAACUGAAAAAGGAAAUGCAACGGUGGACGUAAAAGAAAAGAGGAUAUAAAUUAGAGAUGUAACUUCUCUCAUGUGUAAAAGAUUCUAAGUAGAAGACAAUCAUGAUGAUAUAUAUCCACAAAGAAGAAUGUACACACAAAAUGGUUACAAGAAGGAACAAACUAGAUAUCCAAAAGGAAGUCAUAAAUAUAUCAAUAAGAUCUUUUGCUUGGAAGCCCUUUGUAAGAGAUGAGUUCUCGUUCGAAACCCUGAUACUUCAAGAGAGAUUGUCCGUUNNNNNNNNNNNNNNNNNNNNNNNNNNNNNNNNNNNNNNNNNNNNNNNNNNNNNNNNNNNNNNNNNNNNNNNNNNNNNNNNNNNNNNNNNNNNNNNNNNNNNNNNNNNNNNNNNNNNNNNNNNNNNNNNNNNNNNNNNNNNNNNNNNNNNNNNNNNNNNNNNNNNNNNNNNNNNNNNNNNNNNNNNNNNNNNNNNNNNNNNNNNNNNNNNNNNNNNNNNNNNNNNNNNNNNNNNNNNNNNNNNNNNNNNNNNNNNNNNNNNNNNNNCAACUUUCAACAUUUUUAGAGUUCAUUUGUAGUGCUUUUCAAUUUCAGGGUCAACUAGCUCAAAAAAAUAAGUAAAUGCACGAAAUAUACCAAAUGAAGUCACAAAUUGUUGAAAUUUUGUGACGUGCCUUUGAAUGGUGCAUUUUGAACACACAAAAAGUAUGGAGUUCAAAUAAGUUCAAAAAAAUGAAAUCCCUUUGUAAGAGAUGAGUUCUCGUUCGAAACCCUGAUACUUCGAGAGAGAUUGUCCGUUNNNNNNNNNNNNNNNNNNNNNNNNNNNNNNNNNNNNNNNNNNNNNNNNNNNNNNNNNNNNNNNNNNNNNNNNNNNNNNNNNNNNNNNNNNNNNNNNNNNNNNNNNNNNNNNNNNNNNNNNNNNNNNNNNNNNNNNNNNNNNNNNNNNNNNNNNNNNNNNNNNNNNNNNNNNNNNNNNNNNNNNNNNNNNNNNNNNNNNNNNNNNNNNNNNNNNNNNNNNNNNNNNNNNNNNNNNNNNNNNNNNNNNNNNNNNNNNCAACUUUCAACAUUUUGAGAGUUCAUUUGUAGUGCUUUUCAAUUUCAGGGUCAACUAGCUCAAAAAAAAGUAAAUGCACGAAAUAUACCAAAUGAAGUCAGAAAUUGUUGAAAUUUUGUGAUGUGCCUUUGAAUGGUGCAUUUUGAACACACAAAAAGUAUGGAGUUCAAAUAAGUUCAAAAAACCAUAUUAUGAAAUUAAAUAUUAUCAUUGACGAUUCAUCUCUAUUAUGAAAUUAAAUAUAUCAAAAAACCAUUGCAGAACAUAUGACCAAAUUAAUACAAGUUCAUCAUCACAUUAAAGCCAAAGAACAGUAGUGAUGUUAUUAUUGCAAAAAAUAAAUACAUAAAGUUCUCUCAUAAAACAACAUACAACUAUGUAAAACAUUUAAAUGCAACAACAAACGCGAUCAAAAUCGCAACUAAGGUAACAAUUGACCCAACAACAUAAUGAUACCAAGCCUCUUUAUCAAUGGCAUAUUUUCUAAUAUUCCUAAUCUUCAAGCGCAUUUCAUCCAUCUUCAAGCGCAUUGCAUCCAUCUUCAACCGCAUCGCAUCGAUCUUCAUCUUGCGAUCAUCGAUGACACCGACAACAUGCAACUCCAGUUCCAUAUUCUUAUCCUCAAUUAUUUUCAAUUUUUUCUUCAAGUAUUUGUUUUCUUUUUCAACCAAAUUUAACUUCUCGACGAGAAUUUUUAUGUGGGUUGGAAUUUACGGUUCACAUACCUCCUAGAUUAAAAAAUAUAUGUCACGUUGGUCGUCAUAAUUGUCAUAAACACUAAAUAAAACAAAUAGUUAUAAAACAUAAUAUAUACCACAUCCGAAUCAUAGACAGGACGAGGGCCGACGGAGGCGGAUACCAAAACCAUCGCACUAUAUAAUAACAAAAAGUAAUGAAAGUGAGUAAUUUAUACAAGUAUGUAUCUAAAUCAUACAAGUAAGAUUUUUUUUCUUUUAAAAAGAAGAUAAGAACAAGAGGCUCACCACGGUGGUGCUCGCGACGAGAUCGGCACGAGGCGAUCGACAAUGGUGAGGACGGACACGGGACGACACCCUACGCAUGUGCAGACUCUAAGAAGUUAAUUUGAGCAUUUGAAAUGAGCUACACUAGCAGUGACAAAUGAAAGGAUGAAGUAGCUAACCUUUUAAAACACUUGUGCAGUUGGUGCAUGGCCAAACCUAGACAAAUAUUAAGGAAAAUGGAGCUUGGAGGUCGAGCUUGGAGAGGAGAAAGCUUAAGUAGAGUGGCUCGGGCAUUUCAUCGAACACGUCAUGUGCAUGAACUAGAGUGGCAAGAGCAUGGCAUGGUCACACUUCAACAACCAAAAAACAGGGGAUAUGGUGGGCAGGGGCGAGGGUUUAUAUAGGCAACACUCUAGUCCCGGCUUUUGUCUAAAACCGGGACUAAUAGCCUAACCUUUAGUCCCGGUUCUUUCCAUGCCCCGGGACUAAAGGCCCCUGCUUCCCGCCUUCUGGUCUGCCGAAAAAGGGCCUUUAGUCCCGGGUGGAGCCACGACCCGGGACUAAAGGGGGUCUUUAGUCCCGGUUCGAGCCACGCACCGGGACUAAAGAUCCACCUGUAUAAGCGGGAGUUGGAAAAUUUCCAACCCAAAUCGUCCAUUUCUCUUCUUCUUCCUCUCGUUCUCCUGCCCGGCGCGGCACAACGACGAACUCGACGACGCCGUCAGGCUGCCCGCCGUCCUGCUCGCCGCCGCCUGCCGUCCUCCUCACCUUCGCCGUCGUCCUGCUCGCCGUCGUCGUCAUCCUCGCCGCGUGCAGCCCUCCUCGCCGUGCGCCGCCGUCCUCCUCGCCGCGCGCCGUCGACACCUCCGGCCGGUAAGCCCCCCGCCCCCUCCUCCCCAACACUCCGGCCAGUAGAAGAAAAGAAUAAAAAGGAGAAGAAAAUAAGAAAAAGGAGAAGANNNNNNNNNNNNNNNNNNNNNNNNNNNNNNNNNNNNNNNNNNNNNNNNNNNNNNNNNNNNNNNNNNNNNNNNNNNNNNNNNNNNNNNNNNNNNNNNNNNNNNNNNNNNNNNNNNNNNNNNNNNNNNNNNNNNNNNNNNNNNNNNNNNNNNNNNNNNNNNNNNNNNNNNNNNNNNNNNNNNNNNNNNNNNNNNNNNNNNNNNNNNNNNNNNNNNNNNNNNNNNNNNNNNNAAAGGAAGAAAAAGGGAAGGAGAAGAAAAGAAGAAAAAGGAGAAGAAAAGAAGAAAAGGGGAAGAAAGGAAGAAAAAGGAGAAGAAACGAAGAAAAAGGAGAACAAAGGAAGAAAAAGGGAAGAAAAGAAGAAAAAUAUUUUUUUUGUCAUUUAAUUCCUAUUGUUAUUAGGUUUGUUCUAGAUUAUUAGGGUUAGUAAUAUGUAGAAUUAGGAAAAAGGAAAAUAAAAAGAGGAGGAGAAGAAAAGAAGAAAAAGGAGAAUAAGAAGAGGAGGAGAGGAGAAGAAGAGGAAAAAUAGAAGAAGAGGAGAAGUAUAGAAGAAGAGAAAAAAUUAGAAGAGGAGGAGAGGAGAAGUAGAAGAAGAGAAGAGGAGAAGUAGUAGAAGAAGAGGAGAAGUAGAAGUAGAAGAAGAAGUAGAAGAAGAGGAGAAAUAGAAGAAGAGGAAAACUUAGUUUAGGGUUACAAGAAGAAGAAAUAUUUUUUUUGUCAUUUAAUUUUGCUAUUGUAUAGUGUAUAUGCUUAAGUGUUAAUAGUGUUUCUUAGAUUAUUGCUUAAUUUUGCUAUUGUAUAUGCUUAAGUGUUAAUAGUUUAAUUUUGCUAUUGUAUAUGCUUAAGUGUUAAUAGUUUAUUUUUAGCAAGAAAAUUAAUAGAACUAGUUUAAUUUUGCUAUUGUAUAUGCUUAAGUGUCCGGGACUGGGCUCCGCCCGACUGGUAUUUUAGAGUUUAGGUUCUAGCCAAGACCCGGGACUAAAGGUCCUCCUAUAUAAAACGACACUUUGAAGUUUCCAACCCUUCUUAUAUAGUUUGCUAGUUUAUUAGUUAAUCAAAUGUCCGUUUUUUGCAGAACUAUGGAUCCACAUAUCAGGAACCUCGAAGAGGAAGAACUUCUCGAAGAUAUAAUCAAAGACGGCCCCGACGUUGAACCAGCUGAAUCUCCGUCGUCAUAUCUAAACGCCUACCGAUAUGGAAUGGAGGUCGAGCGACACGAAGAUGAAGCCGAUGGGCAGGAGAUAGGUCCAAUGACGGAGAAGGUGAUAGCUCCACUGAUGGAGAAGCCGGUGGAGAAGCCGGUGAAGAAAUAAUAAAGUCCGGCGAGGUAUACAUAUGAUGUUCGACAAUCACUUGUAAUAUGUGAAAAAUAUUGGAGAUAGCUCUAUAUUGUAUACAUAUACAUUCACUUGACGAAUGUUUCUCCCUCUUAGGCCUCCACAUAGAGCAAAGCUACGAAACGAGGCCCGACUAGAAAGUUGGAUGCACGGACGCAUUACACCUUUGAGGUGAUAUUGCCUACGGGCGAACCCAAGCUUCCUAAGAAUGCUGCUGACACAUUCAAGAAGCAAUGCGGAGUUCUCGUUAGGGAUCACGUCCCGAUCAGCGUUCGGGAGUGGAACAAGCGCAAAGGGGCAGCCGAUAGUGACUAUGUCGCCGAAAGGUACAAAGAUAAUCUUUGGAAUGAUCUCAUGUCACAUUUCAACCUGCCAGAAUGUGAGAAUGAAGACGCCUCAGACAAACUGAGGGCCAAAGUCAAGAAGUGGACUCUAAAGAAGAUGGCCGAACUGUUCCAUAGCUGGAAGAAAAAGCUAUGGAAAAACUAUCUGAAGACAAAGAAAGUGCGAGUAUUCGAGGGGUAUCUAGCCAAGGAGGCGAAUCACUGGAAGGCAUUUCAAGAGUACAAGGAGUCAGAAGAUGCCCAGACAUUAUGAGAAAAGAACAAGAUAAAUGCCGACAAGAAGAAAUAUCACCACAAGCUGGGGCCAGGGGGCUAUGAGACUGCCAUCCCAAAGUGGGAUAAGAAAGAGCAAGAUCUGCUAGAUAAAGGCAUCGUACCUGAACCACUCCGUGAUGAGUGGGAAUUGAGAGCAAGAAAUUGGUUCCUUGCGCAUGGUGGUUCGUACGACGAAGAAACAGGGGACCUCAUCUGCAGUGACGGUCUUAGGAUACCCAGGGAUAAUUGGAAAAGGAUAGUGAAAGAAAUUAAGGAGGGAAAAAGAAAGUUCACUGCAGAUAGAGAUAAAGAUUUGCUCACACUGGUCCUCGGCAAUGGCGAACAUGGAGGACGAACGCGAGGCUUCGGUCCUUCUUACCCGUGGUGGCUUGGGUUUGCCAGAGACCAAGACACUUACAGAAGCCGAAAGAGAGCAAAGAAGCGGCAGCAGGAUGAGGAGAAUGACAAGUUCAACCAGUUCCUUGCCAGGAUUAACGAGCAACAGAAGCAGAUUGAUGAGCUUAGAGGAGUAUCGCGCCAGGAAGAUCCUGCACUUGAUAUUACGGGCACCCCAUCUAAGCGGAAAAGCAGCGUGGCUGAAUCUGAGGCCCCGCCCGACGAUGCACGAAGAAUGAUAGAGGGCGGUCCCGGCUACCCCGUGGAUGGAAUCAAGGAGUCAACAUCAUGUGAACUCCAUAAUAAAUUCAAGAACAUAUCCAUGAAGGUGGCCAUCGGACAAGCUUUACCUUCUGGCCCUGAUGCACGCUGGCAUGGCCGUGAGAUUCGAGCUGGCUUUGCUAAAGUCGGGGUGGAUGAAAUCCUGACGGGGUUUCAUGAUAUGGAGCUCGACAUAGCUGGACCCGAAGAUGAGAGGACACUCGGAGAAGUACUGGGUGGAUUCAUCCUAUGGGACAAGAAGUACAUCAAGCUUCCAGGCUCGGCCCCAAGGACAACACCGCCUCCGAGUCGUCGCAGGUCACCUACACCUCCAUUACCUCCAAGCCCUCCACAUGACGUCGGCCAGCACAACACGAGUCCAUCUCGAUCACCGCCGCCGGACUUGGGUCGUCCGUCUCCGCCGCCGCCCGCUCCGGAUACUAAGCGGGAGUGUGCCACCAAGAACGCUCCGCCGAUGAUUCCUAAGCGACGGAGCCCCCCAAAGCGCAAACGGUCGCCCCUCCCAAAGGUACGUCAUGCUAAUCUUCCUACUAGACCUUAUGAUCGUACCCCCGAGGAAAACGCCAGGAUAGCAAAGGAACAUCAUGAUGCGCAGAUGAAAAAGAAGGAACCCGAGCCCCGCCCGGAAUACACCGAGAAGCAAAUAGCAUUUGCAAAAUACUUCACGACCCUUCCAUCACAGUAUGACUUACACCAUAAGCCUGAUGACUAUACACGCACAUUGCAGAAGGAAGUGAAAAAGAGCAGAUCACGUGCAAGUGCAAGUGGGGGCAAAUCAAGUUCAACUACAAGCAAGAAAAAAUCAGACGUUCCUCAGCUUGGGCAACAGGCCAAACAGUCGAUCCCACCCCUCAAGGUGUUAACCGAGAAUGUUCCCCCUCCGGUGCAGGGGCAAGCUUUUGAAAUAGCAAAGGAGUGGGCGGCUGAAUGUGGUGUCUCGGUUGAAGUUUUGCUGGCUUCCCAAGACGACAGGAUACCCAAGGCUGUGGUAGCCCCUAAGCCACAGUUUGUCAUGGGAGAGCCUUUGGUCAGCAAAGAUGAUCUCCCAACAAAUAUGCGUUACUUGCAUCAAUGGUACUUAAGUGAAUCAAAGAAUGGGAGAACGAUGAUCGUGCUGAGUGUCCCACGGGAGUACUACGGCCGCCCCGAACAAAUCCAUAUCGACUUUGAUGAACUCUUCCAGAUGUACAAUGGCGACGCCCUCAACAAAUCGCUUAUGAGUUACUAUUGUCUGUAAGUUUUUCAAUUCGUUGUCUACAUAUAACUUGUUUAGUUAUUUCAAUUCAUUGUCUAUAUAUAACUUGUACUCUAUUAUGCAGAAUGAAGAUUCUGGAUUGUAAAAGUAAGAACAUCCUAAAUAUUGGAUUUAGAUAAAAUACAUAUAGUGACGCUAACUGAUAAACCCAAGGAGACGGAGGAAAACCUUCUAAGGUUUCUAACAGAUCAAAAUUUCUGUUACCACAUAAUGUUUCCAUACAACUUCAGGUGAGGGUCUUUACUCUGUUGUGUCCAUUCACUUAUAAGUGUAAUUGAUAAGUUACUGACACAUAUAUAUAUAUAUACAUGUGCAGCUUCCAUUGGAUUCUGUUGGACAUUCAAAUUGAUAAGGGAAGAGUUGAUGCCUUCGACCCAUUAUCGAGACCCUUGGAACAGUUCCAAAGCCUGCAGGACAUGCUCCAAGGGUAAUUUCAAUCAUUCUUGCGCUCUAUCGGUCUCUUUCGAUGAUUUUCUGAUAUAUCAAUUAAUGAAAAACUUAGCAAAUCAUUAUCCUUGUCGGGCAGGGCUUGGAAGCGGUUCAAGUGCGUGACUCCCGGUAACUUUCCUGAGAAGCUGACCUUUAGAGCGGCUCAGGUAAGUAGUAGUAUGAUAUACUUCUAUUUUCAAUACAUUUAUGAUGCUAGAUUAUUAUUUUGAUUAUAUAUAUUCUAUUCUUGUAAAGUGCGACCAGCAGCCACGGGGAACGCAUCUAUGCGGAUACUAUGUUUGUGAGACCAUUCGCACGUUUACCUAUGAGCACAAGGAUCACAGAUUCGACGUAAGCAAUGAACAUUCACACCUCUAUUUUUACCCGUCAUUCUUUGUUAUCAUGAUUGAUAUUCAUAUUCAUCUCCUCUUCUUAUAUAGUACACGGCCAUGACGACGAAGGUCCUACUAGAGCAACGCGCGAUUGCUGCUGCAGAGGAGCUUGCGACCUUUCUGAGGACGGAAGCUAUAGAUGACAAAGGAGGAUUUAGUGUAGCUAGGGGCCAUUACUGAUGUUCGUCCAUGUAAUCGAAUAGACGGCCUCUAGUCCCGAUAAUUCAGAUCUCCAUAUAAUUGUAUAUAUAUGCUCGCUUGUAAGAUAAGUUAAUCUUAUAUAUAUAUAUAUAUGCAUAAUUAUUUCUAUUUAAAUUAUAUGAAAACUAAUUCCCGAACACCAAAUAAGGCAUCACGUUAAUCUCCCGAACACCUAAACCCUAAAACCCUAAAAUCCAAAAAUAAUUUCAUUCAAAAAAAAAUCCAAAAAUGAACAAAAUCUGAAACUCUUGAGUCCCGAUCCGUGUAACGAACCGGGACUAAAGGGCCUGCCCCUCGGGCGCUACGAGACGCCCACGUGGAGCACCUUUAAUCCCGGCUUGUAACAGGGCCGGGACUAAAGGUUAGGCCUUUAGUCCCGCCCCUUUAGUUCCGGUUGGUGAACCGGGACUAAAGCCCCUUACGAACCGGGGCUAAAGGCCCCGUCCCCACUAGUGAAUGGAAUAGUCCAAGUAAGCAUGCUCCUCCUGAAACCAUGCGUACAUACGCGAGCCACUCACGGCCUCACGGCUUCUCCUUCUGGAUAUGGGCGUAGAUUAACCAUGUGUUGACUGGACUAGCUAUAUAUGAAAAUCCAAAUGACAGACUCGAUCGAGUUGCUUCAUGCAUGUCUUGUUCGUGGAAUUCUUUGCCAGUGCAAUAAAAUUCCUUGCCAUGGUGCUAGACUUUCCAGGCAAACUGCAGAAAUUGCUCGUACAAAUCCACUAUAAAACCCCCUCUAAACUGAAGCUAUACGUACAAAAGCAUAGCCAGCUAGCUACGGCCUACACAUACGCAGGCACAAAGAAAUCAUUUAGACACCAAACCCAGAAUGGAGACGCCCAAGCUGGCCAUUUUGCUCGCCCUAGCCAUGGCAGCCGCCAUGGUUAAUCUUUCCCAAGCGCAAAACUCACCUCAGGACUACCUUUCACCCCACAACGCCGCCCGCGCUGCCGUCGGCGUGGGCGCAGUGAGCUGGAGCACGAAGCUGCAGGCGUACGCCCAGAGCUACGCCAACCAGAGGAUCGGCGACUGCAAGCUCCAGCACUCCGGCGGGCCCUACGGGGAGAACAUCUUCUGGGGGUCGGCCGGCGCGGACUGGAAGGCGGCGGACGCGGUGAAGCUGUGGGUGGACGAGAAGAAGGAUUACGACUACGGGUCCAACACCUGUGCAGGGGGGAAGGUGUGCGGGCACUACACGCAGGUGGUGUGGCGCGCGUCGACCAGCAUCGGCUGCGCUCGCGUCGUCUGCAACAACAACGGCGGCGUCUUCAUCACCUGCAACUACGAGCCCGCCGGGAAUGUUGUUGGACAGAAACCAUACUAAACUGUGAUUGCUUUUCGCAGUACAUAUAUUCAUGCACGCUCGUAUCUAUAAUUAGCUAGAGGGGCUGGGCGAGUAAAUAAAAGGAAUGCUGUAAUAAGCUAUGUAUUCUCCUCUCCAUCAUGGACUGUAAUAAAUAAUGAGCUUUUUUACUGUACCCUA
rnacentral:lncRNA from 1 species